CCCGGAAUGUCUGUGAGUUUGCAUGAAUGACUUAGAUACAGCUCUCUCAUACUCAACAAUUCUGAAAAAUCUGGCAUUGUUUCUAGUGCAGUGCACAAACCCGCUCGCAACACUUUCAAAUUUGUUGGUAAAUUUGGGAUUGCAUGUAGGUUUGUGCAAUCAUCUAAACACAAUGUUUCAAGCUUAGAAAGACCACUGAGGCUUGGUAAGCUACAAAAACUAUUUUUUCGAAGAUCUAAGUCUUCUAAAGAAAUUAGACUCCCAAGAUCUUUCGGGAUUUUGUCAUCAGUCAAAGUGCAGCAUCCGAGAUCUAAUUUCCGUAAAUAGUUUAUGCCAUGUAAAGAAGGGGGCAAAAGACUAGUUGAUGGUGACUCUUUCAAAACAUAUUGAGAUGAAAAACUCAGCCUUAGUAUUUGUCUUAUGGGUGUGCCAUCUGCUGUCUUCUGGUAACUCUUUCCCAAGCCUUCAGCCAAGUUUUCAAAUCUUGAACAGCCGUUAAGAAGAAGAGUUUCAAUAGACUUGGAAUUAAAGAAAUUCAAUGGGAGAUCCUUGAGAUUUUUGCAGCCGUCAAGAUUAACCAAAGUAAGUCUUUCAAGAUUCCCAAUGGAUGAGUGAACCUCGGACAAACUCUCACAAUCAUUCAAUAUCACUUCCUCGAGAUUUGGGAGUCUUGAGAAGUCUGGUGUUUGUGCCAGGUUAGGGGAAUGACUGAGAUUAAGAAGCUUCAACUUCUCGAGCAACUGUUAAGACAAAAGGAAAAACUAAAAUAAAUACAAAUGGAAGAGAGAAAGCAUGAAGUUGGUGUUUAUAAAACCUGGAAGAAAGAAUUAACAAUUUGGUUGAGGCCAUAUCAUACCAAAUCGGAAUCCUCCCAAACUCGUAUGAGUUUGCUAUAGCUCAGGUCAAUAGCAACUAGGUUUGGUUGAUCAAAAUCUUUUGGUAUGACCUCCAGAGGAAAUCCAUGCCAACACAACCAUCUUAACUCUUUGGAAAGAUUGUCGUAACUUCCAGUGAGCUUUAUGUUAUUGAGUUUGAGCAAUCUCAGACUCUGCAUGUUUCUAAAUAAUUCUGAACUGAAGCUACACUCGUCAGACUCUUGCAUAUCUAAAGCGAGUCCUUCAACGUCUUCCGUUCCCUAUUACAAAAAAUAGUUAAAAAUUUAAAACAAACAAACAACAACAACAACAACUACAGACGAACUAAGAAAAGGGUUAUAGGCAAGUGAAAAGGUGAUUAAACCAUACAUCAGAACCACAAAGCCUUGAAUUGGAUGGAUGAACCACAUGAGAGGUAGACAAUUAGACAAUAUAGAACAUGGGACGUCUCAUAGGCAACUUUUAUUAUAUAUCUACUAUAAUGUGCUUAUAUGUCUGGAUUAUAACCAUAGAGUUGUACUUUACAUCUGUCUACAUUAAUUAGGUAUCUUUAGCAAGCUUCUGUUACGGGUAUCAUAAUUAACAAAUUGUACUUAACGAGAGCAGGACAUGUGUGAUUCUGUUAUUUAAUUUGAGAUGAUUCAAUACAAAAGGCUCCUUUUUUGUCUCUUACAGGUUCCCUUCUCUGCUACAUUGGUACAUGCAUUUAACAUCAAAUUUAAUUGCAAAAGUACUCACAGAUUGCUUCGUCAAUACGUCUGUUAUAUCUUCAUUAUGCCACAAUCUACUACGUUCUCCAGGAUUGUCAGGCGAUUCUGCACGCACGAUUUCUCUGCCCAUGCCUUGAAUCAAAUCAUGCAUCAUGAGAUUGCCUUCUUUAUCAACAGUUCCUUAUCAACAGUUACAAGGCAUUGAUCUUGGAGUUCUCGAAUCCCUAUUUCUGGAUAAAACUGACAGCCAUCCAGUACUGUCAUGACAUAGUCCUUGUUCAUUCCAGCAAAGAAACAAGAGAUGUCUAGGAAUAUAGCCUUCACGUCAUCAUCAGUUAGCCCAUCAUAGCUUAUUUCAAGUCUUUUGUGAAUUCCCAAUAAGGCUGUGAUCUUUUCCAUUUAUCAAGUACAGUCUCCCAUUCACUUGUGCUUUUUGAACAUAGAUAAGAACCUAAGACUUCAAGUGCAAGUGGCAAACCUCCACAGUAGCCAACAGCCUUUCUUGAGAGCUCAACAUACUCUUCAUGAGGAUAAUUCUUUCUAAAGGCAUGCAAACUAAGUAGCUCAAGAGCUUCUCUUUCAUUCAUUGCUGGCAGAGGACAUAUCUUAUACACAUUAAGUAUCCUUAGCAAAUGUUCGUUUCUUGAAGUUAUAAUGAUUCUGCUCCCUGGACCAAAGGAGUCAGGUUUUAUAGCCAAAGCAUCUAUCUGUUCAACGCUGUCUAAAUCAUCAAUUACGACAAGUACCCUUCUGUUGCCUAACCUUUGUUCUAUCUCCUUGGUCCCUUCAUCGAUACAACUUACCACUUUGUAGGCCGGUUUCAAGAUAUCAGAAAGAAGUUGUUCUUGCAAAUCAACCAGUUUCUUUUCCCUCACCUUUUGAAGGAAACUUGCACCGUCAAAAUUAUGAUGAUGUUUGUUGAAAAUGGCUUUUGCAACCGUUGUCUUACCCAGUCCGCACAUACCCAAAACUCCAAUUGUGCGAAUAUCAUUUGAUCCUUCAACAUUUAAAUGCUUACUAAUUUCCCGCACACGAGAAUCUAUUCCAACUAGGUUGGUGGGUACCUCUAAGCUUGUGGUGAUGCUCUGUUUUCCAGUGAUCUGAGAAAUAACGUUCCUGAUAAAGUUUCCUUCAUGCCUGGUUGUUAAAAUUCAACAAAGCAAGAGUGAAAAUUUAUUAUGCAACUUCAAGAUUACAUCAAUCUUUCAGAAAAUGACGAGUCAAACUCUCCAGAUACCCUUACAAUUUCUUAAACUGAAAUCUUGGAAGUUAAAAUUCAACAAAGCAAAAGUGAAAACUUAUUCGGUUUUCACUUUUUUGAAAACUAAAAUCUUAUGGGAAAUUUUAUUUGAAUCCAUACAACCUCUUUCUACACCCAUCUUACUCUUUACACCCAAAUUAUUUUUAAUUAAAGAAUCAAUCUCUCUUUAAACCCAAAUUUACUAUCUAAACUACCUUUACAAACUCAAUUCAAUAUAAAAAAAUUCAUCUUUACACCCAUUUAGAAAAUAAAUCCUAAAUGAGUGAACGAAGAAUUAAGAUUUUGUCAUGGCAACCAAUUGUUAUAGAUGAAUUGAUCAACAGCAUCAAUUUGUUUUUUAAACUUUUGCGACGUCGGUUUGGAGUGCAAGAUUGUUAGGAAAUGAUCUUCGCCAACCUCUUAAUAUAGUCCAAGUAGCUAGCCUGAAUGUGAUUCGUGGAACUAAGUGAUGAAUUUGCAAUUCAAGAUUACACAGUUCAGUAGUUGCUAGGCAAGCAGAUGAAAUAGUACUUUUGGAAUUUGAAUCAUGUAAAAUUAUGUGGACACCUUAGUGAAAGUAAAUUUCAGUAGAACUUCUCAUCACGUUGUCUUGAAGGAUCAUGGCAGUAAUUUUCAUUUGAGCGAUAUAUGCUUUUACAGGCAUACAUAGUUCAAUUGGAAGCAGAACUGAACAAAUAACGAGAAGAGAACUCACACUUUAGACAUGCACUCGUAAUGACAUGGAAAACAUUUCGUUGUGUUGAAAGCUUUCUGACUUUUUUGUUUCUGGUGAUGAUAUUGUUUGUAAUUAUUGCUCUUGCCAAUCGAGUUAACAUGAAGCUAGAGAGGAAAUGAAAAGCAACCAGAUUUGAUUAUUAGGUGAUCGUAGGGCUUUGUGGCAGCUCUUAGGAAUUUAGUCAGAAUGAAUGUAGGAUAAAGAUUGUGUGAUGGUAGAACUUGAUUAUUGAGUACGGGUUUAUGGAUAGAUUUUAGUUUUAUUCUUAGUUUCAUCUUGUUUUAGAAUUUAAGUUGGAUGUAGUAAGAGGUUAGAUGGGUUCAAAUAAAAUUUCCCAAAUCUUAUUUGUUAACAACUUUCAAUUUUCAGAAAAAUGAGAACUGAAAGCAAAAAAUAAAAACUGAAUGCCAAAUUGUAAAAACUAAAACCAAAACGAAAAACUUCCCCUUUUGUUUUUCAGUUUUUAUUUUUUUAUUUUUAUAUAAACUCAAAACUGAAAGUAAAAAUUAAAAACUAAAACAGAAAAUUAAAAACUAAAUGGUUACCAAACCAACUUUAAAGCUUAUAAGCCUGAUUUAAUCAUUAUAUACAAAGAGAUAAAUAAAAUGGACGGGAAAUUUAAAGCGCACAAAGUAAAGAAAAUAAAAGGGAAAUAAGAAAAAUAAUUACCCGUCAGUCUCCCUAAAAUUUAAUCCGGCCAAAACUCCAGCUUCCCAAAGAGCCUUUCUCCAGAGACAUACCUUGUCUUCGUUAAUUUUCUGUUCGUAUUUCUGAAACGCUUGCGCAAAACUACCACUCUGUUUCCGGACAUCUGAGGGAUCAACAUCAAAGAAAAUUGGAAAAAACAUUUGACCCAGUGUUUCCCUGCACUCCAUGAUCUUCACCAGCUCCUUGAGACACCACAAGGACUCCGGAUACCCUCUUGAGAAGACGACGACGGCAACCUUAGACCUUUCGAUUGCUUGAAUCAGAUGUUCUGGUAUAGCUCCAUUACUUUCUUCUAGUUUGUCAUCGUACUCGUCUCCGUACAUGAAUACGUUGACUCGGUGGUCUUUUAAUGAACAGUAGAGGUGGUCCGUGAAGGUCCUGCGUGUGUCUUCACCUCCAGAACUCAAGUACACGUCGUACUUGCUAUCGUCUUUGGAGGAUGAAGCCAUCAAUUGUUACUCCAGGGAUUUCUUGGCAGCACAGAUCAAAUUUGAGAUCUACAGACAACCGUAAAGAAAAGGGUGAACUGGGAAGAACCGAGUCAAUUGCAAUCGGUCCACCCACCCAUUUUUCUUUUUCAUCCAACGGUAUCAAAAAGCUCAGCAAGGAAGAUAAUGUUUUCUUUUACCAUACGUUUGUUAAAGACAAAAUAACAGCUGUCCUUCCUAUAGAAAAAUAAAAUAACAUCUGCCACCCAAGGGCCAAGACAAAAGGAAGAAAAGAUGCGACAAUUGUGAACGGGUGCUAAAUCAACCACUUGUCUCAAUCGUUAUUCGGUUUAGUACUUUAUAUUAUGAAUAUUUUGUUGUGUGGAUACAAGUUGCGUUUCGAAUUCUGGCAACAGUAAUAGUCAAGGAAGGCUGACAUGUUCCUAUGUGUGUUCUGGGUUUGUAAAUUAAUAGAAUGUUGUGAAAUCAUCAGCUAAUAAUAAUUUAUUUUUAUAUAUUUUUUUUAAGAAAAAAACUACAUAAGAAAUGCUCCUGUGUUGGGUUUGUGAACCAGCACGUUGGCUUCUUCCCUCCCGUGACACCCCAUUUCCUCGUGUUCCUUCCCUCCCAUAUCUCAAGCUCUCUCUCUCUCUCCCUCACAAUCUCUGCAAAACACCCAUUGUUUAUUCUCCUUUCUCCCCCCGUGACACAUCCCAUUUUCGAGAACACCCUCUUUCUCUUCUUCCCGUGCUCUCUCCCUCACCUCACUUCUCUGCAACUCUCACGUUCAAACACACACACACACUCUCUCUCUCUCUCCCCCCCCCCCCUUAUUCCCCUCCCUCUCGUUCCUAUCAACUCUGCAUGCAUGGCAUGCACUGUGGAACAACCACUUUCUGUUAAAGUCCCACGUUGGUGAUGGGAAGAAAAUCAAAUGGGUUUAAAUAUGUUUACCCCACUCUAACUAAUACCGAGAUCUUUUAUGGUAAAAUCUCAACUAAUACCGAAAUCUUUUAUGGUAAAACCCCACACCUGACAGAUUGGACAUGUGGUAAAGUUGGGGACAAUAUCAGUGUCGUUAGAGUGGGACGGGCCUGGCGAUUCAAAAAUUUCAACAUGGUAUCACAGCCCAUAGUUGCGGGCCCAUGCAAGCCAACGAGCUUGUGUGCAAGCCAAUGAGCUUGUCACCACUAGGAAGGAAACAAGUAUGAGCUCUUAACAUAGAGACGACUGCUGAGUUCCAAUUGAAAAUAAGUGGGCCCAACGUGAGCCGACCUAUGAGUUUCAAUUACUGAUGUGGAUCUCCACGUGUGAACCACUAAAUAAGGUUACAGGUGAGGGUCCCACAUCCCACUACUACAAAAUGGACUUAUUGUGUCACUCGGUGAUGUCGCUUUAAUAUAAUAUAGUGGCAGACAAGACAUUUGCGACACCUACUGAAUAUGACGUCGGAUUUAUUGUCGCUUGUAAGCAUCAUAAAGUUUCUAUGUCGCUUUUAACCAAUGUAAACAUUUAAUGUCGCUUAUAACCGACGUACAUUUUAAUAAUUUUUAAAUAAUGGUGUCGUUUUAAAAAAAAAAGUGUCGCUUUAAAAAAAUGUUGCUUUUAAGCGACAUAAAGUAUUGGUGUCGCUUCUAGUCAACACUGACACACCACGACCUAAAUCAGGGCGUGUUGGCUGUCACGUGAGAGUGACGUAACCAUGUGCACAGUGCGGAAGCAAUAAAGAUAUAAGGAAGAGCGAAUAAAUAAAUAAAUAACCAAAUCGGCUAGAGUACUAGCUAAAAUAAGGUGCACGAGUGAGAUUAAGUGUGAAAUACACUAUCAGAGCAUAAAUAGCCUAAGUGCAGUCAAGCAAGACAAGUACUAAUUAUACAACACCCAAAGGUGAUCCUACAUUUAUGAUGUUCUAUCAGAACCACCGUCGAAAUCCUUGUGAUCCGCCAAAGCACUCCUACCUAAAACCUGGAAGGGCGCAAAACAGAAAGUGUGAGUGGGUAAAAAAGCUUUUCAAAGUCAUUUCAUUUCUCAAAAGUUCUAACCCCCCGCCGUAAAACCGUAUAAUUUCCCAGAAAAAUAAUAAUAGUAGUAACAUGCUAUACCAGAAAUCAUGCUCAGGAUGAAAAUCCAUAGAAGUAUACCAUGCCAAAGUAUCUCAAUGCAAUGCCAUAAGUAAUCCAGAUAAAACAUAUCGAUGCCAGAUAUCACAUCAGCCGAAUCCCUUAAUUCAAUCUGUACAACUGAGUCUAUAGCUCAUAACCAAUCUCAACUGUAUCAAAUCCUGCACACGAGUCGGAACCACCUAAAGUGGUCUGUACGACAAGGCUAGGUGUAAAACAAAUAUGCUCUAGUGCUACGAUCACAUGAAGGCUGUGCGAAUGAUUACGGGUCACCUACGAGUUGGAACCACCUAAAGUGGUCUGUACGACAAGCCUGUGCACCUAACUCGGAAUCACGUGAAAGAUUGUGCCUUAACUCUGGGCGGGAGCACUAACACUGGGGUGCAGGUUUAUGAGCUCUCAAUACAUCACAACAUAUCUCGCAUAACUGAAGUAAUCUCAUAUCUUUAAUUUAUGAACUUACCUGGCACUUACCAGUGCGUCCGCAACACCAAUCAUAAAUAUAUGCAACUAUUAAUGCAUAAGUAAAAUAGGCAGAUACUUUGCAUGGCAUUUUAAAACGUAUAAUCAUUCAAAUUCAUUUUUUGGGAAAAAUACCAAGUAUAUAAGUAUAUACUGAAAACCAAAAGCUCACCCACUGAUAUGUUGAAGAGUCGUAGCCCCCAAGCUUCGAUUGAUGGCACUCAUCCUCAGGAUAUAUCUCACCUAUAUGCGAAAUAACUGAAUAAACGUUAUUUAAAGCACAUAUACCAAACUAGGAAAUAACUUCUCAUACAUUGCUCAAAUGGGGUAUUUGAAUAUACCAUCAUGACCUACUCAACCUCAGGAACAUCCCCAAAAUUUUAGAAAAAUGUUUCAUGACCCCACGCGCCGCCCAAAGCACGGCCAGACAAGCGGCUCAUGCACAAGCACGUGCCUGGCACGCCAAAUGGAUUCCCUAACGGCGUUAGAGAAUAUUCCGUUAAAAAGUAGCAUAUGCCGUUAAAGCUACCUGACGGCGUCAGAAUAUUCGGUCAACUUUGACGGAAUAUUCUUCUCCUUCUUCCUUGGUUCGUCGGAGUCUGGCGCCGGUCACCGCUGCAAUCGCCGAAAACUGGAAAAAUUUAAAAACUUCAUAUCUUCUUCAUUGCUCAUCCAAAAUUCACUAAAUUUAAACCAAAUUGAAGCUUAAGAUGAGAAGAACAUAUUCAUACCACUUUGGGGACCUAAAACCAAUGGAAAAGUGCCUGAAAAACCUUCGAUAUUUCGGCCAAACCUGCAACUCACUAAACAUGGGCUUCCUGACGUCCAAAACACUUCAAAAUUACUCCCCGAGCUUCAUGAAGAUGUUUUAAGGCUCCCUAUAACCUUAAACCUCCUUAAAAACUUCACGCUUACGUUUGCAUGAAAAGUACCCAUGAUCGGGGUUCCUAGGUUCUUGAGUUUACGAAGGAUUCACAUUCAACUAAGGGUAUGGAUGAGUUCCUGAGCUCACCGGGAACACUAAUAUAGUCUCCAAAACCUCGAUCCGUGAAGAAAUUGUUUGGUUUGAGGUUUGUCAGUACGUAUUGUACGGACAAUGGAAGAAACUCGAGAAAGGGAGGAAAUAGAAAGGUCAACGGAAGUUGGGUAUGGGCGUGAGUGUGUGUGUGGGGUCCAGAUUUGGGUUACUAACAACAACUAAACCCACUAACUUUAAGUUCCAAAAACUUAGGAACUAACUAAAUUAGUUUAAAACCCAAACUCAAGCCACAACACCACAUAACGUACUCGACGUCCAAGGGCAAUUUAGUCAUUUCAUGCCAUCGAUAAAAUAAUUCAGGACGGGCUGUCACAGACACUAAUUAUUAUUUUUAAAUAUUUUAAAGUAUGCGUUAGUUUUGAGCGACAUAGCUUUUUUUAUUUAUUAAUAUUUUAGGGGAUACACAAAGACUAUCAAUCUGUCGCUUACAACCGACACCGGGUUUAUGAGGUAGCAUGCAACUAGGCCUAGCAAACGGGUCGUGUCUAUCGUUUUCGUGUAACACCUGUUAUCUUAACGGGUCAUGUCGUGUCUCACCCAUUAUCUUAAUGGGUCUUUAACAGGCGACCCGUUAUGACCUGUUAAGAAAUAUAUAUUUUUUUUCUUAAAUUUGCACAUACCACACAUUGCCACAUAAAAUAUUACUUCAAAAAAUUAUAACACAUUUGUCAUUUAAGUAUUACAUCUACACUCGAAAAUAAAAGCCUAACAAACAAAUAUCCAUACACUACUACUCUAUUACAAAAUGUUAAAUGUGCAAGGAUAUGCAAAAUGAAAGAGUUUUUGUUUUCAAGGUUGUGAAAUCUUUCUCAAAAGUUUAAACCUUGCCAAUGGAACUCAAAGCUUGCAUGUUAUUCCUUUUACAAAAUCCUCAAUUUUCAUCGAUCAUCAUGACAUAAGAUUUUGUGGUAUCCAUUUCUAGAAAUAUUUUAAAUUGAUGAUCAAAUUAGUUCGUUGUAUUCAUAUAGGAUCAAGGAGUGUAGCUGUAAAAAAUCAUCAAAAUCGAAGUUAAAAUAACUGCUAAAUCGUGAUUUUUCGUUUAUAACUAUCGGAAAGUUUUGACUCGUUACUUAAUCUCUUAAUGUUUGUUUUUUUGCAAUUUUUGGCUUAUGCGAUCUCAAAGCAUAUAUAAACAAGUUUGACGGUUGGAUCGUUGAAAUUAGUUUCGUAGGAUACGUAUCCCAUCAAAACAAUAGAUUCACUAACACUUAGAGUUUAUUUAUACUUUCAUUAAGUAUAACAUAAGAUUUUGUGGUAUGCAUUAGUGUAAAUAUUUUAAAUUGAAGAUCGAAUUCAUUAUUGUAUUCAUAUAGGAUCAAAGAGUGUAGCUGCAAAAAGUAAUCAAAAUCGGAGUUAAAAUAGCCGCUAAAUCGUGAUUUUUCGUUUCUAACCGUUGAAAUGUUUUGUCUCGUUACUUGAUCUCUGAAUGUUUGUUUUUUGCGAUUUUUGGCAUAUGCAAUCUCGAAGAAUAUAUAAACAAGUUUGACGGUUGGAUCGUUGAAAUUAGUUUCGUAGGAUGCAUAUCCCAUCAAAACGAUAGAUUCACUAACACUUAGAGUUUAUUUAUACUUUCAUUAAGUAUAACAUAAGAUUUUCCACUAGUGUAAAUAUUUUAAAAUGAAGAUCGAAUUCAUCCAUUGUAUUCAUAUAGAGUCAAGGAGUGUAGCUGUAAAAAAUCAUCAAAAUCGGAGUUAAAAUAACCGUUAAAUCGUAAUGUUUCGUUAUAAUCGUCAAAUAGUUUUGUCCUGUUACUUGAUCUCUGAAUGUUGGUUUUUUGAGAUUUUUGGCGUAUACGAUCUUGAAGCAUAUAUAAACAAGUUUGACAGUUGAAUCGUUGAAAUUAGUUUCGUAGGAUGCGUAUCCCAUCAAAACGAUAGAUUCACUAACACUUAGAGUUUAUUUAUACUUUCAUUAAGUAUAACAUAAGAUUUUGUGAUAUCCACUAGUGUAAAUAUUUUAAAUUGAAGAUCGAAUUCAUUCAUUGUAUUCAUAUAGAGUCAAGGAGUGUAGCUGUAAAAAAUUAUUAAAAUCGGAGUUAAAAUAAUCGUUAAAAUAUUCAUACAAGGGUUGGCAUGGAAGAGACUCAUUUUCAUGAAUCAUUACCGUUGCCUACCUAGUUCGCUAGUUAUGACAAUGCCGACGACGACAUAAUAGAUGAUGACAUGGAAUAAAUAUAUUAACUAUUUUAUGUGCUUUAAGUAUUAAUUAGACUAUAUUUUUGUUUUUAAUUACGUAUUUAUUUAAGUUCAAUUUUAUUUAAUAAAAUCUUAAAUUGUUAUAUGAGGUUAAAAAAAAAAAAAACUCGUUUUUUUUUUGUAUGGGGACAUUUAAAAAAAAAAAAAAAAAAACUAUUUUCUUGUCGGUUUUAGGAGACGGCAUUGGUCAGAUAAUUUGAAAUACACUAGGCGGGAACUUUUCCGUUUGAAUUUAAAAUAUACUAAAUUCGAUGUCAUGUGAAUUUAAAGCUUGUCAGUUAUCAUGUCAUUUUAAAUUGACGCCAAAUGUAUUUAAACCGACGCAAGGUGCACUUCAUUAAAGCUUGUCAGACUAUGGUGUCGGUUUUAAUCGACACCAAGGUUAACUAAAGCGACACCAUGUGAAUUUAAAAAAACUAUGUCAGAAAGUGGUUGUUUGAUUUAAUGUACCAAUAAAGUGUGUCAGUGUUGGUGUCGGUUUAAACCGACACCAAGUUUAACUAAACCGACGUCACUUUUGGUCCAAUAAAUGUUGUCAGAAAGUUGGUGGAUUUAAUUCAACAUAAUGCAUGUCAGAAGGGGGUGGCGGUUUCAACCGACACUAAGCCUAACUUAUUGCAACGCCAGUGGAUUUUAAUACGACGUUAGGGACUUAAUGUCGAUUUCAACCGACGCCAACUGAGCAUCCAUAUUUAAACCCCUUUUUCCCCCAUUUCAUCUGUGCUUUCAUUUUUUCCCUAAUUUCAGUCUCUCAUUCUCCUUCCCAAUUUUGUCUAUACUUCCAUUUCAUAUCCGUUUUCACUUUUUAGUUUUUUUACUUUAUCUUCUUGCAGAUUGUUUUGCUAUGGAUCAUUUUGAAGAUGAGCAUGCUGACGAAAUCCAAUUCGAAGAGGAAGAAGUCGAAGGUGGUCCAUUUUUAAUUUAUUAUGGUUAUUAGUUUUAGUUUUUUGUUUUGUAGUCUAACUAGUAUGAUGCCCAAAUUGAAAAUUGUUUUUUGGUCCUUGGUUUUUAAUUCUGUUUUUUUUUUUUUUGUAUUUAUAAGGAACAACUAAACGAGGACGAGGAUCCUCAAUUCCCAACUGGAAGGAACAACCUUGUUCUUUUGAUGCGUCUGGAAAAUGCAUUAGUGAAAAUUCUAAUGCUUUUUCAAAACAUGUAGCGGCGGAGGUUAGAGAUUCCGUUGGUGAGUGAUUGGCGUAAGAUCAAGGAAAAUGGCAGGGAAGCUUUCUGGAAUAGAAUAAAGGUAUAAAUAUUUUUUGUUACUCUAAGAGAGUAUAAUAAGUCAAUGUUUAUAGUAAUAAUUAAUUUGCUUGAUUUUUUUUAUAAGUAUAGGAAACCAGUCGAGGAGCACGAGAACACACCUCUUAAUGUGGAUCCUCAACAGUGAGCACAAGAACACACCUCCUAAUUUAUUUUAUUAUAGCUUGAAAUUUGUUUAAUAAAUUCUUCUUUUUAUUUUCUUCAGGAGAUUUCUGCAAAAAAUAAGCAUAAUAGGCGGUUGAAAACAAUGAACUACACAACUGGUGCAAAAUCUUUUGCAAGAGUUAGGGCAGAACUUGUAAGGGUUGUACAUUUUCAAGAAAUGUAGAUAAUUUAAAUUUAAUAUAUAAUUGGUAGAAAUUUAUUUUUAAUUCGAUGGUUGCUGAAAAUUGUUUUUUUAUUGACUUAUAAUUGUAGUGGAAAAACCAUGGGAAGGAGGCGGAUCCUGUUUCGUUUUUUCAUCACUGUCAUGACAGAUGAGUUUUUGUAUGUUAUGUGAAAUAUAAAUGUAUGUUAUGUGAAAUAUAAAUUUUUGUUAUGAGUUUUGUGGCUUUGAUUUGUGAAUUUGGAUUUGAAACCUAUAAUUCUAACACCACAGGGAUGCAUCUCAAAUAUGGUUUAAGAAUAUCGAAAUACGCAUAAAAUGGUAGCGUCAGCUCACUGGCCACGUGCCGCCGCCAAGGUUCUAAAAAACGCUAAGCGCUAGUUGGGAGAAAAUGUAAUGAAAAGUAAAAAAAAAUGGUGGGGACCAUUUCAAAGAAAACGUUGCAGCUAUAGAUAAAAGAUGGCGGGACCAUCUUAAUUGAAUCGUGCAAAAUCAAGUUAUGGAACAGUUUUCUUCUUCACGGAGCCAACUAUGCAACAAAACAAAAUUGCAAAUUCUGGCGUCUUUAUAUAAGCCUGAUUAGUCUUCACCCAGCUUGGCCUAGCCCUGUCCAGACUUACAUAUCUCCGCCUAGCCACCGGGACACCUGUGAAUUUUGUGGCUUUGAUUUGUGAAUUUGGGUUUGAAACCUAUAAUUCUAACACCACACGGAUGCAUAUCAAAUAUGGUUUCAAAUAUCAAAAUACGCAUACAAUGGUAGCGUCGGCUCACUGGCCACGUGCCACCGCCAAGGUUCUAAAAAAUGCUAGGCACUAGUCGAGAGAAAACGUAAUGAAAGGUUAAAAAAAUGGUGGGGACCAUUUCAAAGAAAACGUCGCAGCUAUAGAUAAAAGAUGGUGGGACCAUCUUAAUUGAAUCGUGCAAAAUCAGGUUAGGGAACAGUCUUCUUCUUCGCUGAGCCAACUUUGCAAAAAAAAAAAAAUUACAGAUUCUGGCAUCUUCAUAUAAGCCUGAUUAGUCUUCACCUAGCUUCGCUUAGCCCUGUCCAGACUUGCAUAUAUUUGCCUAGCUAACGGGACACCUAUGAGUUUUGUGGCUUUGAUUUGUGAAUUUGGGUUUGAAACCAAGAAUUCUAACACCACAUGGAUGUUGCGCUCGAUGAGAGCUUUCCCUAGACACCAGAAUCACCUCGAUCGGAUGUCGACGGAGGAGUUAGAGCCGGGUCAAGGAACAGGGUCGGGUCGGGUCAGGUUGUAUGGAUCUAAAAGGAUCUGAUGCUCCCUCACCUUCCUUUUUUCUCUCCCUUCUUCCUCUGCCCAUUGGUCAUCUUGCCCUCAUUUUCUCUCCCGUAUCCCUCAUUUCCUUUCUCUCUCUUGCUGCCACUUGGUAGUUUCCACCCAUUUUAUUCCAUUUAUUUAAUUUUUUUUUCCAACAAUGAAAACGUCUCUAAUUUCUUCAUUAUAACAUCAUUUCACGAACUGCUUUCGCCUACGCACUUAUAGGAACGAACUCUAUCCAUAUAUGUCAAGAAAUACGAUAAAAUACGUCCUCGUAAAAUUACGUUUAGUCAACGAGGGGCAUUUUCCACUUAUCGAAUUUUUUUUCUACAUUUUCAUGUAUUUUAAAUUUUCUAGGGCUUUAAAAAUACCGAGGCCUUUUGUGGUAAAACUCCACACCUAACGGAUUGGGUAUGUGGUAAAGUUGGGGACAGUAUCUGUGUCGUUAGAGUGGGGUGGGCCUGGCAAUCCAAAAAUUCCAACAUGGUAUCAUAGCCUACGAUUGCGAACCCGUGCAAGCCAACGAGCUUGUGUGCAAGCCAAUGAGCUUGUCACAACUGGGAAAGGAAUGUUAAAGUCCCACAUCGGUGGUGGGAAAGAAAACCAAAGGAGUUUAAAUAUAUUUACCCCACUCUAACUAAUAUCGAGGUCUUUUAUGGUAAAACUCCAAACCUGACGGAUUAGGCAGUAGGUAAAGUUGGGGACAAUAUCGGUGUCGUUAGAAUGUGGCGGGCCCGGCGAUCUAAAAGUUCCAACAUGAUAUCAGAGCCCACAGUUGCGAGCCCAUGCAAGCCAAUGAGCUUGUCACCACUGGGAAAAGAAUAUUAAAGUCCCACAUCGAUGGUGGGAAAGAAAACCAUGGUAUGAAUAAGGGAAAAACCGUGAACUUUAUUCGGUUAUGGUUUUGGAUAUGGUUAUUGUAAGAUCCCACAUCGCCCAAGGGCGAGGAUCCUGUAAGUGUUAUAUGUAUAUUCCCAUCUUUACCUAGCACGAGGCCUUUUGGGAGCUCAUUGGCUUCGGGUUCCAUCGGAACUCCAAAGUUAAGCGAGUUCGUGCGAGAGCAAUCCCAUGAUGGGUGACCCACUGAGAAGUUGUCGUAUGAGUUCCCUGAAACAAAACUGUGAGGGCGUGGUCGGGGCCAUAAGUAGACAAUAUCAUGCUACAGUAGAGUCAAGCCCGGGAUGCGGUGGGGGCCUAGGCCAGGAUGUGACAAUUUGGUAUCAGAGCCAAUCCCUGGACGAAAGUGUGCCAACGAAGAUGUCAGGCCCCUAAAGGGGGUGGAUUUUAAGAUCCCACAUUGCCCAGGGGUGUGGAUCUUGUAAGCCUUAUAUAUAUAUUCUCAUCUCUACCUAGCACGAGGCUUUUUGGGAGCUCACUGACUUCGGGUUCCAUAGAACUCUGAAGUUAAGCGAGUUCGUGCAAGAGCAAUCCCAUGAUGGAUGACCCACUGGAAAGUUCUCGUGUGAGUUCUCAGAAAAAAAUCGUGAGGGUGUGGCCGGGGCCCAAAUCGGACAAUAUUGUGCUACGGCAGAGUCAAGCCUGGAUGUGAUGGGGGCCCGGGUCAGGAAGUGACAAUUAGGUAUCAGAGCCAAUCCAUGGCCGGAAGUGUGUCGACGAGGACGUCGGGCCCUUAAGGAGGGUGAAUUGUAAGAUCCCACAUCGCCCAGGGGUGAGGAUUCUGUAAGCCUUAUAUGUAUUCUCAUCUCUAUCUAGCACGAGGCCUUUUGGGAGCUCAUUGGCUUUGGGUUCCAUCGGAACUCCGAAGUUAAGCGAGUUUGUGCGAGAGCAAUCCUAUGAUGGGUGAUCCACUGGGAAGUUCUCGUGUAAGUUCCCAGAAACAAAACUGUGAAGGCAUGGUCGGGGCCCAAAGCGGACAAUAUUGUGCUACGGUAUAGUCAAGCCUGGGAUGUGGUGGGGGCCUGGGCUGGGAUGUGCAAUUAUAAGGAUCCCCAAUCCAUAUCCGUCCCCGAAUAUAUAUAUAUAUAUAUAUAUUAUAUAUAUAUAUAUAUAUAAUAUAAUAUAAUUUUAUUCAAUUUACCGAACCCUCCCUAUACAAAUUCAUUAUGCAUGCAUUAAACCCUAUACUAUCUUUAUUAUGCACCAAACAUCAUGAUGGGGCAUAUCAACAACCUCAUCAAUUCAAUACUCUUAUUGUUAUACUCAACCAAAUUAAUUUAUUGAAUCAUUUUAUAUAUCAAUUAUCAAAUGUUCCAAGUUUAUUAGAUUCAUCUCAUUUUAUAGUGCGUCAAUCGGAUGAAUAUAAUUUUUUUUUUUUUGACGAAAAUGGAUAUAACCGAUAAUUGAUUGAAAAUCCGUUGCCCGGUGGAUAUGGUUAUGGAUAAUCCCCGAUGGUUAAUUUGUGGUUAUGGAUAUGGUUAAUUUUCGUGGUUAUGGGGAUGGAUAUAGCAUUUCCGUCCCUAAACCAAACCGUUGCCAUCCCUAAUCAUAAUCUCCAAGUAUACAAGAUGGUUCGUACAAGAAAUCUAGGAUGAUAUUUUCCCAUCUUCAUUCGAAUACGAGAAGUGAUUAUAACCACUCGAACGAUUUCUUUAUUCUUUCACUCGUGAUAAAAACAGGUAUCUACUUAAUGACUACGCAAUCUCCUUUUUUCAUCUCAAGUCAAAAGUAGAAAGAUCGAACUUGGAAAUUAGCUAACAAGAUUUCCUGAUGAUCAGUAAAUAAUGUCACAUCAGUACUCGUGAGUUCUACUUAAGGUGGAAUAGGACAUGCUAAAGGGUAUUUAGUCAUUCAUGUGUUUUUCUAUUAAAGUUGUUGAUAACUACAUUUGCACAACCGGUGUAAUACUUGAUGGCGUAAUCGUAGGCAUAUAUUUGUUUCUUCCAUCGCCGCUAUCUAAGAUUUGUUUCUUUCGGGUGAAGAUAUACUUGAGAAAUUUAUGUGGUCAGUAAAGACUUUGACAUGUUUCUCCACGGAGAAGUGUCAUCGGAUUUUCAAGCAAAUAAGGUAAUCAUUGACUCUACGUCAGGAGUAAAAUUGUUCACUUCAUGCAGUUCCAACCAUCGGUAGACAUAAGCAAUACCCAUCAUGGUGCAUUAGCACACAUCCAGAAUAUUCAAUGAAACUUCACUGUAGAUAUAAAAUUAUCAAUGUCAUCGACAAGUGUAAGAACAAUGCUCAGAAAGAGACAACACUUCAGUUGUCAGAAACUUUAUUCACAUUUAACGUCUAAAACUAAACUAACUUUUCUCAAUCAACUUGUGAGGAAAACGCUAUAGCUAAAAAAUCGUUAACAAAGCUUUUAGUAAUCGUAAAAAAUAAGGGUAUUUCGUAUUUCACAACACUUUGUUAGGAUUUCAGUUUUCUUCCGCUACAACCUUUAGGGGAAAUGAAAAGAAUAUCGUCUGCUGAGACCACAUCUUCCAAGAAAGGUACCUAAUCUAAAUAAAGCUACCAUUUGAGGAACUUGGUAUAAAGUUGACUAUCGUUCUUUAGAAAAUUUGAUCUGCUUGUUGGAAUAGGUAAGAAAGUCGUUCGGAACAUAAUGGUCAUUCAAGUCUUGAUCGCAACCUUGGGAUCAUCAACGCUUCUGAUCUUCAACUGGUUGUAACCAGACUUCAGAUCAACUCGAAUAAAAUUCAUUCUUUACUGAGUUGGUCGAAGAGACUAUCAGUUCGACACAUUGUAAACGGUUAUUAAUUGUCACUCAAUUGAACUACCAGAAAUCUACGUACAACCUUAAGGUUCAAUCUUCAUCUUCGCAAAUAGGUUUAUGAUUGCCUAAGAUAAAUGUUGGGUUGGAUAAAUCCCUAAUCAAUAAGCUUUUGUAACUAAGUUAUCUCGAACACGCCCCAACCCAGAUGUUCAAAUGACACCUGAAUGGCACUUGUUGGCCGACACUUAAGAGUGGCGAAAGCCACAAAUAUAAAAAUGUGCAAAGACAUAAGGAAACAUGUAAUCGAGAAGUCACACAAGAAACAACAAUCAUAAAGAAUGUACAAACGCUAAAGCAAUAAUAAUAAUAAAUAAGCGUUAGUCAUAGAUAAGAAGGAUGUCCAACAGUUAACAAACCGAAAGAAAUGACGCACGAUUAUGUUUAGAGCAUACUACUAAAUGAGAGUGCUAGUGAAACGAAAGUCAUUAAGUUACAAAUACACAUAAAGAAAUCGUACGCAGUUCGAAGAACACAAGAUCAUUGGCAGGGAAAUGCCUCGAAACUCGGGUUAUUUUCCUCGUCACUUGGUCCUUAAAGGGGCAAAAAAAAAUAAAAGGUGCGUAGAACAUAGUUUAUAAUAACCAUAAUAAUAAGAAAGCCAUUUUAUUUCUGAACAUACUAACCCCUUGUUUUAAAAAAAAAUUAUAAUACUACGUGUUUAUACCAUACUUAGGGCCUCCGUAUUUAGACCUCGUAUAAAUACUCGGGGGACUCAAGUGUAAUUAUGUAAUAAAUGAAGGGGCAAAUAUGUAAUAAGUGAGGAUCCCUUAGUCUAUAAAAGGGACUUCUCACCUUCACAAUCAGAGGCCCUCAUCCUCACAUACAGAAGCUCUCUUUCCCUCACAACCUUCUCACAAAUAGAGAAAUACAAUAUCAGUGUGGACGUAGCCCAAACAUUGGGGUGAACCACGAUACAUCUUAUGUUCUUUACUUUCUUGCAGAUUCACGGUCGGAUUUACGUUGUUCCAAGACCUCUCUGAUUUUAUGCAUAAACAUUUGGCGUUAUCUGUGGGAAAUGACACAAAAAACUAUGUCGAUUCUCUUUCAUUUUUUCAUCAAAUCUCACAUUAUCGACCGUGAAUCGACAGAAACUCAGAGACUACGAACGCUGCUGCCAUGAGAGGUUAGAGCAACAGCGGAUGAUGAGGGCUGAGGGGAAUUGCCUCGCUCGACAGGGGUGCGCACGAUAAGAAAAACCACCACCGCCACCACCAUAAUGAUGAGAUUAAUCAUCACAAUAACAAGUGCACAGCGUUUUCAGACACGACGCACGAUAGCAAGAAGGGUGGGUCUUCGUCGGGGAGCGGAGAGGCGGCGGCGGGGCCAGAGAUGGUGUGGCCGCCGAAGUUUGUGAUUGCUUUGACUAAUAAGGAGAAAGAAGAGGACUUUAUGGCAAUCAAAGGGUCAAAAUUUCCUCAGAGACUAAAGAAGCGAGCCAAGUUCGUUCAACGCACCCUCAAUACUCUGAAAAUCUAAUCCAAGCUGAAUUCGUACGUCGACCCAAGUUAAAAACUCACAGGUGAUAUGACGAAAGGUUCCUAGCAACCGGUCUCUCAACUGAACGCCCUCACUCGGCCGGAUCGCCACUGCCAGAUUUCUCAAAAACUCGAUUCCAAAUCCUCCGAAUCACAGAUCCAAACCCGUCGCAGAUCUGAAUCUCCUGUACGCUGCAAUGGCUAGACUGAAACUAAUUACAGGUCCAAUUCCUCAAAGCUCCUCCAAUCUCAUCCACCUCACCUGACUCUCCCACCGAGGCUCCCCUUCAUGCGAACGGUGCCGUGUUGAUCUUGGGGUUUCAUGGACGGAGGAAGAGCACAAGCUUUUCUUUCUUGGAUUGCAGAAAGCGGGAAAAUGAGAUGGAAGCAGGAUCUCAAGAAACUUCGUGAAGACUCAUCCCCCUUCACUGCCGUCUUUGCCAGAGAGCUUGGUUUUGUCCAAGAACUUCUUGAAAGAAACCCUCUGCUUGUUUUCGGGGAAGGAGAAUAUGGGGUGACUGAUAUUUUCUAGGUUGCUGCAAGGAGCAAGAAUGUUGAGGUUUUCAGGCUGUUUUUUUACUUUGCGGUUUCGCCAAGGUUCCCUCUAUCUACAAGUGCAAUGGAUGCUUUUUGUUUUUCUCAUUCUUGCUCCUCGUCUCUUUUGACCAAGCAGGCACUUCCUUCAUGCUCUUCAAUCAACUUCGCAGUAGAAGUUGGCACCAUCUCAGUCCUCCACUUGUCCAUGCCCUCCCUCAAGCCUCGAGCUUCUCCUAACUCUAUUAGAAAACACAUUUUAAUUGAGCUCGCCGUCCCAGGAUCCGGAUAGCAUGAACUGACCGUCGGAGGAGAGGACAACAUCCUCGACGAAGUGGGAAUGUUUGGUGAGAAGAGAAUAAACUCUGAAAGAUUGGAAUUUGACUGGGUAGGACCGCAAGUGGGUAGGGGACAAACUGCAAAGAAGGUAUUAAUGAUUAAUUGGGUGCACAUGCAUGACAGCAACGCAGAGACAGAGACAUAGAGAGGUGCGGUGGAAAAGAGAAAGUAAAAGCAAAAGCAGAAAGCAAAAGAAGAUAAAAAGAAGCAGACAUAAUUGCGGUGGUGAUGGCAUGCAGAAAAGGGAAUUAUGGGAAUGACCCAUUGAGCAGAGGGUCGGAUUUAUUUUUGAAUGAUGUAAUUUAUUUUUCUUAUCUUUCGGAGACAUCUGUAUAACCCCAUCAGAGGGUAAUAAAAAAAUAAAUAAAAAACGGCAAGCCCAAAAUAAUGGGCUGGAAUGUUAUGUGGAGGGCGAAAACCCAUAUGCCCAAAAGAGCCAGGCCCUCUAUUAUCACUAACCAAGUGAUCAAAAGUACGUCCAGUACUCCAAAAAAUUAUUCGGCAGCCUACUGCUAUUACCACCAACCAGGUGAUCAAAAGUACGUCCAGUACUACAAAAAAUUAUUCGGCAGCUUGCCGCUAUUACCACCAACCAGGUGAUCAAAAGUACAUCUAGUACUCCAAAAUUAUUCGGCCGCCUGCCGCUAUUAUCACCAACCAGGUGAUCGAAAGUACGCCAAGUACUACAAAAUUAUUCGACAGCCUGCCUCUAUUUUCACUAACCAAGUGAUCAAAAGUACGUCCAGUACUACAAAAAAUUAUUCGGCAACCUGCCGCUAUUAUCACCAACCAGGUGAUCAAAAGUACGCCCAGUACUCCAAAAUUAUUCAGAAGUCUGCCGCUAUUAUCACCAACUAGGUAAUCAAAAGUACGUCCAGUACUCCAAAAUUAUACAUGUGCAUUACUCAUGUCAAUCAUACAUAAACAUUCAUGAGCAUCACUCAUGUCAAUCAUACAUAAACAUUCAUGACCAUCAUUUAUGUCAACAUUCAUGAGCAUCACUCAUGUCAACAUUCAUGAGCAUCACUCAUGUCAACAUCCAUGAGCAUCACUCAUGUCAAUCAACAUAAACAUUCAUGAGCAUCACUCAUGUCAAUCAGCUUCGAAAGCUUCAUUUACAGAGCUCUAGCUUUGAGAGCUCCAGCUUCAAAAAGCUUCAUUUACAAAAGCUCCAGCUUCAAAGCUUCACUUGCAAAGCUUCACUUGCAAAGCUUCACCUACAAAGCUUUAGUGCAUGGUAUACAAAUACCGCAUCCGAACAACCGCCACUUCGGCCCAUACAUGGAUUGAAUUUCAAGUCUCCAGCCAACAACCUCUAUUAACUGAAGACUUGGGGGACUACACUAUGUACCAUAUAUUGAGCUUCCACAACUGAGCCUCAUGAAAAAUACUUGGGGGACUCUAGCCCAUUAUUUAUGUACUGAGGAGUGAACCCUUAUUCUAUAAAAGGGACUCCCUCACUUUCAUUAGAGAGCACUGAUGCGAAUAAUAUAAGCACACUCAAAUUAAACCCUCUUUUUGACAAUUGUAGCAAAGUAUGUAAGUAGGGAUCGUUCUAAACCGGGGAUUAGGAGGGCUUGCUAAAACCUCUAAACUGACUCAAAAACAAAAAGAAACAAAGUUAAAAAUGUAAACAAAAGAUUUUAAAACAAGAAAGUAAAAGGGGGAUUUGAGUUUGGUGAAGUUGAAAGUAAAAACGAAUGAACUAAAAACUUAAAUAGAUUUUAAACAAAUUUGGGUUGAAUGGAUAAUGGAAGGCUAGCUAAGGGGUUCUUCUCCACACAUGUCUUGCUUGCAUACAAAAUGAUUUCCAAUUGCUCUUCUAUAAGUUAUGAAUACUCAACGCCCCAAAUUAACCGUGAAUUGCACUAAUUAACUCUCAGUUUUUCAACAAGUUAUUAGAUUGGAUGAUUGCAUACGACAACCCAAAACAUUCCCUACAAGUUCCCUACAUGAAUUGCAUAAUAGAGAUACAAGCAAGAAUCAUUAAGUUCUAUGAAAAACAUAAGUAUUGACGAGGCACUCGUUACUAUGAUUUGCAUGAAACUUAUGCCAAGAAUUUACUUAACGUGAUUGUGACUAGCAACCUUCACUACUUGUGAAUAUAAGUUCAUAACGAUUAGGUGAAACUCCCUUAUAUUCUAGCGUCAAAUUCAUGCAUGAAAAUUAAGCGUGCACUCUCAACCAACAUACACAAAUUAGUUUUUAUACGAACGGAUAAGUAAAUUGAAUUCACAAUUCAAGAAACGCAAUUGGAAGUAAUCAAAUCAUAUAGCAAGCAUUAACAUGGUUUUGAAUCCCCCCCUAGCCAAGGGGGGUUUAGUUCCUCAUUAUUACAAAACAAAGAUAAACAAAUUUAACCAUUGAAAAACAAAGGGAAGAAAGCACCUAAACGUUCCAACGAUCCAUGUUGGAUAGCAAGCGCGUCCAAGGACUUUUCUCCUUCUCCUUGCCGCCACAACAAGGUUGGAAUGAUGUUGAAGGGUUGGUUAUUUGGAGGAAUGGAUGGGAAGGGGUUUAGAUAUGUAGGAGAGGCAAGGAAAGGCUUGGAGAAUGGUUAAUUUUUGGAUGAAUUGAAUGAGGUUGUUGCCAUGGUAUUUAUAGGAAAAGGAUGGACUUGUUUAACACAAAAUUAUGGUGGAAUUGAGUAGGUGAGCAAGGCAAAGAGUGGGAAUUGUUGGUGGGUUAGGUAUUGAGUCAUCCAUUCACAUGUCAUGGUGAGCUAAGCAUUGCAUCAUCACUCAUAUUUCUGGUUGCUUUGAAGUAAAAGCCACGGCAUUGAGGUUUUUGAGUGAAGUUUUGGCCAAUCCUUCUAGAAACCUAUCCCUUCUUGCAAUUUGUAUUUGUUUCACCACAUUUUUAGCAUGUUCCUAGCCUCAUUUGACUUCAAAUUCGUCCAUCCUCAUGUCUCCAUGUUUGCACCAUCCAAUCAUGGCCCAAAAAUGCUCCAAAAUGCAUCUUCUUGCAUCCUUGGCCCAUAGAACCUACAAACACCCAAAAAUGGCUUAAACUACUAACAUAACUAAGACUAAGAACAUAAAUGCACGAAAACAAACAUACUAAGUCGCAUAAAUAUGCUCCUAUCAAAUUCCCCCACACUUAGCUUUUGCUAGUCCUCGAGCAAAACAAAGAAACAAAACAUAAGAACAAAACACCUGAACCUUCCAAUAUUUACCUUAGGGAUUUUUAAUGCAACAUGACAUGCAAAAGAUCAUCAUAACCACAUAUUUUGGCCUUCCCCACCCUUGAGCACAUACUUAAUUAUAGUCACCACAUACUAGUUCACAUAUAACCAAUUAAAACUAUGUUUUGAAUGUAGUAACAUGCCUUAGAGAAUCUGCUCAAUUCCUUACAAGAUACACUCUUAUUUUCACUCCGAUUUUCUGACUACACACCCUACACUAGGUGUAUGUGAGAAGAUUGAUGUAAACAUGAAAACGAACACUCACAUAAGUUUAUAGCAAAGAAAGCAAUUUAUGGAGUUAUUAAGCAUGUAUAGAUAUGAUCUCAUGACUGGAAUGCUACUACUUAGAUGCGAGAACCAUGGACACCAUAUGCUCGUACCAAUCCCAAACUCCACAUAUUGAAACACAUAACACUCAAGAUUGAAGUUAAGGGUUGUAACGGGGUUAGGGGUGAUUGGCUAACAAUGAAAGGUAAGGAAACAAACGUUUUUAAAGCAUAAUAAGCAAAGUAAUGAAAUUGAUGCUUAGAAUUCCCUUUGAAUGCAACAACUAACUUUAAACACAAUGGGGUUAUUCAUUCAACUUUUUAGGGCUGAUUUCAACUUUUUGGACCCUUUCUACAACAAACAACACUUGUGAGCCUUUCCUCACUUAUUUCAAACUCUUUUUCUUUUCUUUUCAACACUUUUUCUAUUCUUUUUUUUUCUUUUUUAACCAGUGCCUUAUUACUUUCUUUUGGCACACUAAACACAAAAAUCUCAUUCCCCCACACUUGUUUUCUGCAUAAGGACAAUCAAAAGGAAUUCAUUUUAAGUCAUGCUUCAUUAUGCUUUAAAAACAAGGGUAUGGAUAGUCCUAAUCUAGGCUAGGUAAGGGAAAUGUGGUUUAACAAAGAAAACAGGCUAAACAAGGCUCAACGGGGUUAAACUUAAACAAAUAUGCACGGGAUAAGCUUUUUGGCUCUAGUUCACUACACAACUUCAUCUUGAAUAUGUGUUAUGCAAAUCAAUGUCAUGCUUUGAAUGGAACGGGCAUAAGUUCUAGUAUUUGGAACUUAAAUGAUGAAACGCCUUCUAAGUAGCAACCAAGCAAAGAAUGAUGAGAUCAUGCAACGACUUUAGAAAACAAAAAAUGCACAGAUUAAUAACUCUCCAAAGAACGUAUUAGGCUCAAGUCUCUCAAGGUUGUAGUGUUAGUUUGAGUUCCUUCCUUCAAGCAUGUUACAAAAACUGAUUUUUUUUUUUUUUUUUUGUGAUUACAUGUGAAUUCGUAAACUAUAACUAUAACCAAGCAUAAAUCAAGAGCAUAUCAAACUUCCAUCCAUGUUUAUAACUUUCUUUAACAGUCAUGCAAUUAAAAACCGAAUCCUCAUCAUUGUGUUGGAAAGUACCCUAAGACACAAACAAACACACAAAAACAACUCUUUUUGGGUUUUUUUUUUUUAAACAAUUUUUCAAAUUUUUAUGGGAUUUUCGGACUUUUGACUUAAAACACACUAAAACAUACCAAAACAGCUUAAAAAGGCUUAAAAACAGUGAAAAACAACAUUAGAAAUUAUGAGUGAGAAAACCCUACAAAUUUGCAUCAAACACUUUGGUUAUCCCCCCCAUACUUAAAUCAAACAUUGUCCUCAAUGUUUCAAGCAUAGACUAACACAAAUAACAAACAAACAAACAAAACAGCAACUAAGCAAUUUUAACAUGGCAUAAACGAAAACAACAACAAAGAGAAGGGUUUAGGAACGCAAAUCUGGAAUUUGGAGUGCUCUCUAGGUCUUCCUUUGUUGCAUGCAUGGGUUGCCUCCCAAGUAGCGCUUGCUUUAACGUCGUACAGCCGGACGAAGAACCCAUUCACUCCUCAAUGGAGUCCACGGCAUGCAAGGGAAUGUCAUCCACGGUAUGCUCCUCAAAGUUCUCGUAGUAUGGCUUCAAACGAUGCCCGUUUACCUUGAAUUCAUGUCCUGUUUUCAAGCUUUGGAUUUGGACUGCACCAUGAAUAAAAACAUUAGUAAUAACAAAAGGUCCAAUCCACUUGGAACAUAACUUACCAGGAAACAAACGUAAACGGGAAUUGAACAAUAGCACUUUCUGCCCAAUUGCGAAUGUUUUGCCUCUAAUCAUCUUAUCAUGGAACGCCUUGGUCUUUUCCUUGUAAAUGCUUGCGUUCUCGUAUGCCUCGUGCCGUAUCUCAUCAAGCUCAUUCAAUUGGAACUUCCGGUGACUUCCUGCUUCAUCGAGGUUCAUGUUAAACUUCUUGACGGCCCAAUGAGCUUUGUGCUCCAACUCAACGGGGAGAUGGCACGGUUUGCCAUAGACAAGCCGAAAGGGGGACAUUCCAAUGGGUGUCUUGUACGCCAUACGAUACGCCCAAAGUGCAUCAUCUAACCGUAAACUCCAAUCCUUCCUUGUUGGCCCAACGGUCUUCUCUAGGAUUUGCUUGAUCUCACGGUUGGAAACCUCGGCUUGGCCAUUAGUUUGAGGAUGAUAAGGCGUAGAAACCUUAUGAUUGACAUUGUAUUUCCUUAAUAACGCCUCAAUGGUCCGGUUGCAAAAGUGUGACCCUCCAUCACUAAUGAUCACUCGUGACAUGCCAAACCUUGCAAAAAUGUUAGUUCUAAUAAAAUCUGCAACCACUUUAGAAUCAUUAGUCCGGGUGGCCUUUGCUUCCACCCACUUUGACACAUAAUCAACCGCAAGCAAAAUAUAUAUAAAACCAUACGAAGAAGGAAAGGGACCCAUGAAAUCAAUACCCCAAACAUCGAAAAUUUCAACAUUUAGGAUAGAAACCUGCGGCAUUUGGUCCCUAGCACCAAUGUUACCCAUUCGUUGGCAUUUAUCACAUGUUAAGCAAAAAGUUCUAGCAUCCUUAAAAAUACUAGGCCAAUAAAAUCCACAUUGUAAUACCUUAAGGGCAGUUCUUUGUGUGCCAAAGUGCCCACCACAUGCAUAUGUGUGACAAAAACUUAAAAUUGAACGAAAUUCAGAAUCAAGCACACAACGACGAACAAUUUGAUCCGGGCAAAAUUUCCACAAAUAUGGGUCAUCCCACACAUAAAACCGUGCAUCAUGCCUAAGUUUCACGUUGGUGCCUAGUGUAAGUGCUUGGAAUUCUUUUUGUCACCAAAAAGUUCACCAAAUCAGCAUACCAAGGUUCACUAACCUUUAUGGACAUCAAUUGUUCAUCGGGGAAUGUCUCCAAAAUCGGCAAAGCCUCCUCAUUAUGCACCAUUCGGCUCAAGUGGUCAGCCACUACGUUCUCACUUCCCUUCUUGUCACGAAUCUCUAUGUCGAACUCUUGAAGUAGCAACAUCCACCGAAUUAGCCGUGGCUUGGCCUCCUUUUUGGUGAGCAAGUACUUCAAUGCUGCAUGGUCAGUGAAAACAAUUAUUUUAGUACCAAUUAGAUAUGAUCUAAACUUAUCUAAAGCAAAAACAACGGCAAGAAGUUCUUUUUCUGUAGUGGAAUAGUUCAAUUGUGCAUCAUUCAACGUCCGUGAGGCAUAGUAGAUGACGUGUGGCUUUUUGUCCUUCCUUUGUCCCAAAACAGCCCCUAAAGCGUAGUCGGAUGCAUCGCACAUAAGCUCGAAAGGUAGGCUCCAAUCUGGUGGAACAAUGAUGGGUGCCGUGGUUAACAACUCCUUGAGUUGAUUGAAUGAUGCCGUGCACUCCUUGGUGAAUUCAAACGCCACUUCUUUUUGUAGGAGACGGCAAAGAGGUUGUGCUAUCUUCGAAAAAUCUUUGAUAAACCUACGAUAAAAUCCUGCAUGACCAAGAAACGAACGAACCUCCCUAACCGAAGUCGGAGAGGGUAAGUGACGUACUAGAUCUAUUUUGGAUUUAUCCACCUCAAUGCCGUUUUCAGAGAUAAUAUGCCCUAAAAACUAUGCCUUGUUUUACCAUAAAGUGACACUUUUCCCAAUUUAAAACGAGGUUAGUUUCCAUGCAUCGUUUUAAGAUUAAUGUGAGAUUCUCCAAGCAACCAUCAAACGAAUCGCCAAAGACACUAAAAUCAUCCAUAAAUACCUCAAUAAUUUUCUCAAUAAAAUCUGAAAAAAUACUUACCAUGCAUCGUUGGAACGUGGCCGGUGCAUUGCAUAAACCGAAUGGCAUGCGGCGGUAAGCAAAAGUACCAAAUGGGCACGUGAAGGUGGUUUUUUCUUGGUCUUCCGGAGCUAUGACAAUUUGAUUAUAUCCCGAAUAACCGUCAAGAAAACAAUAAAAAGAAUGACCGGCUAACCUUUCUAGCAUUUGAUCGAUGAAUGGUAGUGGAAAGUGGUCCUUCCUUGUGGUGUUGUUGAGCUUCCUAUAAUCAAUGCAUACUCUCCAACCUGUUUGAAUACGGGUUGGUACAAGCUCGUCCUCGGCAUUCUUCACCACAGUGACUCCGGACUUCUUUGGGACAACUUGAACCGGUGAGACCCAACGGCUAUCCGAAAUUGGAUAAAUCACCCCACAAUCAAGAAGCUUUAUAAUCUCCUUUUUCACGACUUCCAUCAUUGGAGGGUUGAGUCGGCGUUGAGCCUCUCGAGUUGGUUUAGCCCCCUCCUCUAGAAAGAUGCGAUGCAUGCACGUUGUAGGGCUAAUUCCCUUAAUAUCGGCCAAUGUCCAUCCGAUGGCUGUUUUGUGCUCUUUCAACACCCGAAUCAACUUUUCUUCCUCUAAUGCCGUGAGUGAUGAAGAGACAAUGAUGGGCAACGUCUCUUCCUCUCCCAAGAAUGCAUACUUUUAAAUGAUCCGGCAACGGUUUAAGCUCAAGAACGGGGGCCUGAAUCACAGAAGGUAACAACGUAUUAGUGGAAACGGGAAUUGGAAUUGGGUUAGACGGCUUACCAUGAUGUUUUGGCAAUGAUUCCAAGGCAGCCACAAGCUCGGCAUGUUCAUCAUUUGGUACGGCCAUGUUGGGUUUUGUGCCAAAUCCUUGUGCAAUUGUCGUUUCGAGUGGAUCGUCUUCCAACAUAUCAAGAUAAUCCUGCGCCAAUUCAUCCAAUAUAUCAAUAGAAAAACAAGAAUGAUCAUCUUUAGGAAAUUUCAUAGCUUCAGAAAUGUUAAAGUUAAUAAUCUCCCCAUCAAAUUCCAUUGUCAACGUCCCUUUGAACACAUCGAUCUUGGUGCGUGCUGUUUUCAUGAAUGGCCUCCCAAGUAGAAUCGGCAAUGGGGUGACAUUUGGUGAUUCCUCCAUCUCUAAAACGUAGAAAUCCGCUGGAAAUAUCAAGUUAUCCACCUGCACCAAUACAUCCUCCAAAACUCCUUUCGGAUAUGCAUUAGAACGAUCGGCUAAUUGAAUUAUAACACCAUCGUUUUUAAGUUCUCCUAAGUUCAUUGAUGCAUAAAUUGAGUAUGGCAUGACGUUAAUUGAGGCUCCUAGAUCUAACAUAGCAUGUUCAAACUUGGUAUUGCCUAUAACACAUGGAAUUGUAAAACUUCCCGGAUCUUUGCAUUUAGGAGGUAAUUUUCUUUGCAAAACAGCAGAAACAUUCUCACUUACCUGGACAACCUCUUUGUUUGAAAUUCUCUUUUUUGUUGUACAUAGUUCCUUUAAAAACUUGGCGUACCUAGGUACUUGCUUAAUUGCGUCAAGGAAAGGUAUAUUGACUUGCACUUUCCGGAACGUCUCUAGAAUGUCCUUUUCAGCUUCUUCUUUCUUUGUUUGCUUGAACCUACUAGGAAAGGGGACAUUCAAAGGAAAAUCAUUAGUAGGAAUGGAAUUGGACACGGUUGUACCUUUAUUUGGCAGAUUGGAUGGCUUAGGAGCCAUGGAGACUUGCGGCAAAGGAACCUCUUUCCUUACCGUGGCCAACCCUUGUUCCUCCUCUUCAAGUAUCACUUCCUCCACCUUGUUUAGGGCUGUUCCAACUUGUUUCCCGCUUCUUAACAUGAUUGCCUUGGCAGAUUCAAAGCCUCCUUUUGGAUUUGCAAUGGUUGAGCUAGGCAACUUGCCUUGCUCUCGAAACUGCCCCAUGAACUCGGCAAUUUGCCCUACUUGUUCUCCAACUCGUCCACCUUUUUGUCCCUAUUUUGCAUUCCCUGUGCCAUAGAAGUUAGUAAAUUAAAAAUUUGAUCAUUAUCAAUAGACGAACCUGAUUUUUGGGCAGGUUGUGCUUGGGGUUGAGUUGGUGCAAACGGCUUUUGAUAGAAACCCGGGGGUUGUUGCCUCAAUCCGCUUUGUUGUUGGCCUUGUUGGGGUUCUCGCCAUUUGAAAUUUGGAUGAUCACGCCAACCGGGAUUGUAAGUAUUGGAAAAGGGGUCAUUCCUUGGUUGGUAUUGGUUGCCAAAUCCCACGGCAUUGAGGGUCUCCCACCCUCCAUUUUCUAUCAACUGUGGGCACUUGUCCGUAAGGUGGCCUUGCAUGGAACACACGCCACAAAGCUGCCACGUUUUGCACUUUUGGACCUUCCACUACCUGAGAAAGCAAAGUAGUAAGGUUAGCCAUUUGAUUUUGAAGUUCGGUUAUGGCACUUACCUCAUUGACUUGAUGUGGUCGUGGGUUACUCCUUUGUCCAACGCCUUCGUAUUGUUGAGCAUUCAAUGCACGGUUGGAAAUUAAAGUCUUUGCUGCCGUGGGGGUCUUGUCCACCAAGGCUCCUCCCGCCGAGGCAUCUAGCAUUUGACGUUCGAUAGGUAGUAGCCCCUCGUAGAAGUAUUGCAAAAGAAGUUCCUCCUUCAUCUGAUGCUGUGGACAAGAAGCAACAAGAGAUUUAAAACGUUCAUAAUAAGUAGGAAAAGAUUCACCUUCCUCUUGUUGAAUUCCACUUAUCCUUUUCCGUAGGAGGAUGACUCGAGAAGUUGGGAAAAACUUCUCUAAGAAGGCCCGUUUCAUGCUUUCCCAUGAUGUGACGGUUCCGGGCGCCAAUUCGUACAACCAAUCCUUCGCCUUUUCCAAGAGAGAAAAAGGGAAGGCUUUCAUCUUCAAAAUACUCCCAUCGACAUUGACGGGGGUCAUGCUCGAACAUACUACCUCGAAUUCUUUCAAGUGUUUGUUAGGAUCUUCCAUGGACAACCCAUGGUACUUCGGAAUGUGGUGUAACAAGCUUGACUUCAAUUCAAAUUCUUCUGUCUUUCCUCGGGCUGCUGCGGGGUAUUGGAUACAUAGAGGCGCGGCAUUGUCCAAUCCCGAGGCUGAAAGUUCUUUGAUUGUUCGAUUGUCCACCUCCAUGUCUUUUUCUGCCUCCUCCUUUUCUUCAAAUUCGGAUUCAGAACUAGAACUAAGUGGAUUAGGUUCUGGUUCUUUCCUUUUCCUUCUCAAAGUUCGUUCAAAAUUGUCGUCAAACUUCGAUAUGUGUGCACGAACUGGUUGAGAACUACGAGUCAUAAACUAGUACCUUAAAUAAACAAAAUCAAAUAAAAUUAAAACUAAAAUUAAAACACACAAAAAAGAAAUAAAAAGAAACAAUGGGGAUUUAGCAAAGUUGCUAAUCCCCGGCAACGGCGCCAAAAUUUGAUGCGAAUAAUAUAAGCACACUCAAAUUAAACCCUCUUUUUGACAAUUGUAGCAAAGUAUGUAAGUAGGGAUCGUUCUAAACCGGGGAUUAGGAGGGCUUGCUAAAACCUCUAAACUGACUCAAAAACAAAAAGAAACAAAGUUAAAAAUGUAAACAAAAGAUUUUAAAACAAGAAAGUAAAAGGGGGAUUUGAGUUUGGUGAAGUUGAAAGUAAAAACGAAUGAACUAAAAACUUAAAUAGAUUUUAAACAAAUUUGGGUUGAAUGGAUAAUGGAAGGCUAGCUAAGGGGUUCUUCUCCACACAUGUCUUGCUUGCAUACAAAAUGAUUUUCCAAUUGCUCUUCUAUAAGUUAUGAAUACUCAACGCCCCAAAUUAACCGUGAAUUGCACUAAUUAACUCUCAGUUUUUUCAACAAGUUAUUAGAUUGGAUGAUUGCAUACGACAACCCAAAACAUUCCCUACAAGUUCCCUACAUGAAUUGCAUAAUAGAGAUACAAGCAAGAAUCAUUAAGUUCUAUGAAAAACAUAAGUAUUGACGAGGCACUCGUUACUAUGAUUUGCAUGAAACUUAUGCCAAGAAUUUACUUAACGUGAUUGUGACUAGCAACCUUCACUACUUGUGAAUAUAAGUUCAUAACGAUUAGGUGAAACUCCCUUAUAUUCUAGCGUCAAAUUCAUGCAUGAAAAUUAAGCGUGCACUCUCAACCAACAUACACAAAUUAGUUUUUAUACGAACGGAUAAGUAAAUUGAAUUCACAAUUCAAGAAACGCAAUUGGAAGUAAUCAAAUCAUAUAGCAAGCAUUAACAUGGUUUUGAAUCCCCCCCUAGCCAAGGGGGGUUUAGUUCCUCAUUAUUACAAAACAAAGAUAAACAAAUUUAACCAUUGAAAAAACAAAGGGAAGAAAGCACCUAAACGUUCCAACGAUCCAUGUUGGAUAGCAAGCGCGUCCAAGGACUUUUCUCCUUCUCCUUGCCGCCACAACAAGGUUGGAAUGAUGUUGAAGGGUUGGUUAUUUGGAGGAAUGGAUGGGAAGGGGUUUAGAUAUGUAGGAGAGGCAAGGAAAGGCUUGGAGAAUGGUUAAUUUUUGGAUGAAUUGAAUGAGGUUGUUGCCAUGGUAUUUAUAGGAAAAGGAUGGACUUGUUUAACACAAAAUUAUGGUGGAAUUGAGUAGGUGAGCAAGGCAAAGAGUGGGAAUUGUUGGUGGGUUAGGUAUUGAGUCAUCCAUUCACAUGUCAUGGUGAGCUAAGCAUUGCAUCAUCACUCAUAUUUCUGGUUGCUUUGAAGUAAAAGCCACGGCAUUGAGGUUUUUGAGUGAAGUUUUGGCCAAUCCUUCUAGAAACCUAUCCCUUCUUGCAAUUUGUAUUUGUUUCACCACAUUUUUAGCAUGUUCCUAGCCUCAUUUGACUUCAAAUUCGUCCAUCCUCAUGUCUCCAUGUUUGCACCAUCCAAUCAUGGCCCAAAAAUGCUCCAAAAUGCAUCUUCUUGCAUCCUUGGCCCAUAGAACCUACAAACACCCAAAAAUGGCUUAAACUACUAACAUAACUAAGAACUAAGAACAUAAAUGCACGAAAACAAACAUACUAAGUCGCAUAAAUAUGCUCCUAUCAAGCACCUAUUAUUUAUGUACUGAGGAGCGAACCCUUAUUCUAUGAAAGAGACUCCCUCACUUUCAUUAGAGAGCACCCACUAUUUAUGUACUGAGGAGCGAACCCUUAUUCUAUAAAAGGGACUUUCUCACUUUCAUUAGAGAGCACCCAUCAUUCAUGUACUGAGGAGCGAACCCUUAUUUUAUAAAAGAGACUCCCUCACCAUCAUUAAAGAGCAUGGGCGCCUGCUAAGCAACCGUCUCACCACGAGCAUCACUCCUAAUCCAUCACUUAUGUAUUGAGGAGCGAUCAUUUAUUCUAUAAAAAGGGACUCCCUCACUAUCAUUAAAGAGCAUCGCCGCCUACUGAGCAACCGCCUCGCCGUGAGCAUCAACUCUAGCCCAUCAUUUAUGUAUGGAUGAGCUAGCCCUUAUUCUAUAAAAGAGACUCCCUCACCUUUAACGCCACAAGCCGAGCCAACCAAGGCAACAUAAGCCACAAGCCGAGCAGCCUCGCAACAUGUGCUACUUCUAGUUGAGCUUCAUUUCACAUUGAGCACCGCCUCAUAUCGAGUAUCAGUUCUGGAUGACAUCUAGUUACUUCGGCCCACACAUGGACUGAAUUUCAAGUCUCCAGCCAAAAGACUCUCUUGACUGAAGACUUGGGGGACUACUAUUUAUACCAUACUUAGGGCCUCUGUAUUUAGACCUCGUAUAAAUACUCAGGGGACUCAAGUGUAAUUAUGUAAUAAAUGAUGGGGCAAAUAUGUAAUAAGUGAGGAGCCCUUAGUCUAUAAAAGGGACUCCUCACCCUCACAAUCAGAGGCCCUCAUCCUUACAUACAGAAGCUCUCUUUCCCUCACAACCCUCUCACAAACAGAGAAAUACAAUAUCAGUGUGGACGUAGCCCAAACAUUGGGGGUGAACCACGAUACAUCUUGUGUUCUUUACUUUCUUGCAGAUUCACGGUCGGAUUUACGUUGUUCCAAGACCCCUCCGGUUUUGUGCAUCAACACUACGUAAUAGGUUUGUCGAAACUCUACAUGUUAUAAAAAGCAUUUGUACGAUAAAAUCAUAAUUGAAGUGAUAUCAAAUUCACCUAAAGGUAAAAUCCGUAAAAGCUCAUAAGUCAAAAACACUAAUGUACUCAAUAGGGGCAUCAUAUUCGCCUGAAGGCAUAUCCAUCACCCAAGGGUGAAGCUGUAUGACACCGGGUUACGCCAGUGAAGAAACAUGGUAGAUCUAUACCCAUCUGAGGCCGUGUCAUGGUCGGAGUUGGCCCAAAAAAUUACAUGAAGAUGGCCUGACGGCCAUGGUUCUACUUUUUCAGAAAACUAGGAAAUCUUCCUCGAGGUUUUUCUGCACUUAAACACCACCAAAACAUGCAUUCAAAAUUAAAAAUCAUCACUAAAGGUAGAUUGAGGGAAAAACAAUGCUUACCCUAGAUCAGGCAGCCGAGAAAUCUCAUUGGAGUUCAAUGAAGAAGACAGUGAACAGUGGCAUAAGCCACUGAGCAAUGCCAAGCCUUGGUUCAAUAAUGUUAUUUCUCGGUUAGUGGUUCGUGACUGGUCUGUGUUUGUAGUGGAGGUGCUCGUCGGAGUAGUGAAGGUGAUGAUAGUGUUGUUUCUCUGCACUUGUAGAGAAAUGAGGACGAGAAGGAGCUGAGAGAAAGAGAGAGUGUAAAGGGUAGAGAGUAAGGAGAGUUUUUGUGAGUGAGAAGUGAGGGAAAAAGAGAGUGACAGUAUGAGAGGGAGACAUGGAGAGGGGACACGGGAGAUAGGGGAAAGAAUGGGGCAUGGGCCCCACUUGGCACAUAGCUCAAUCCACAAAAAGAAGAAACAAAAAAUAUCUCAUGUAAAUGUGAAAUUACCAAUGCUCUUCACAUUAAAAAAUUCGUAAAAUCUUCGUCGUAACUUCUAAUUCAGUUCUGCUUGUGCCCACGCGUUCGUAUCAUCAAGUACUCUAAAAAUAUAUGUGUAUCAUUGGUUAUGCCUAGAUAAGUAUUAAUUAGGCACAAAGCCAAAUUAAUAUAAUACUAAUGUAGACGGGCCUACUUGCCCACUUGAUUAAUGAACCCAAUGAAUAAGCUAUUGAAAUUACAGUUUGUAUCUAGCAAUACCGAUAACUCACUGUUGUCUCAAUAAACAAGUAAUAAAUUCCUAAGAGUACAAAAUUACCAUUUUGCCCCUUAUUGGGAAACGUGCCUAAAUAGUCCAAUAUAUACCUCGUUUGCGCUCAUGUGUUUGUAAGGACACGUACUACCUGAAAUAUGGGCAAGGUGAUAUAGAGUGUUAAGGACUCAAACGUCCACGUAGGAUUUCCACCUAUCAGGGGCAUAUUCAUAAUUUUACCAAGGUUAGGGAGUAAAAUAAUAUUAAACUCGGGAUGGGACGUCACAUGGAAUGCCUCUAUAAGUCUUCUCAGCCCAUAGAAGGGAGGAAUGCUGUGGCAAGCCACCAGCUGGUCUUAAAAAAAAUUAAAAAAAAAAAAGAAAAAAACUGGAUAAGCAAUUCUCGUCCCUCUUACCAGAUACCUUAAUGUGUUACUUAUGUAAUUGCUUUAACAUGAAUGGUGUUGAAUCAUAAUCUUUGUCAUGCAGUUACGUAUAUAUAUAAUCUAUUAUGAAGAUUAUAUUAUAUGAAAUUAUAGAGCCAAGCGUAUUAUAACAUUUUGUACAGAAAUAAAAAUCAUGAUUGUUGGAAUCAAAUAUGCGCACAUUCACGGACAUAGGUUAAAUCUAGUUGGAAUUGCCCAUUAUCUCUAACAAGGAAAGAAUAUGGUUGAUUGGAGGGUGUGGUUAAAUCCGAAUUGGACUACCUACAUAUCUCCGGGAGGAACAAAAUGUUUUUUUUUUUUAACCAAGUGUUUGUUUAAGACAAAAUAAUAGAAGUCACCCAUGUUAAAAGGAAGAAAAUGCGAAUCGGUUAACCGGUUCUACAAUCAUUGGUGCUAAAUUAAUCAAUUAUGUCGGAAUGGUGUCAGAUUAGGACCUUGACCCAAUCCUUCUUAGUUUAGUAGUAUACAAUUAUGAAUAUUUUAUUAUGUAGAUACAAGUUUAGUGUACAUGGAUAAGUGACUUGAUUCCUAGCACUGGUAAAUCACACGAUGAUUGUCAAGGGAAACUAAAAUACCUUUGUAAGUCUUUUCGGCCCCUAUAUGAAUGGAAAUGUUGUGGCAGCUGGUCUUCUUUUUUAAAGAAAAAAUUGGAUAAGCGAUGCUCGUCCCUCCUAUCACAUACCCUAAUGUGUUACUUACGUAAUUGUUUUAACGUGAAUGGUACUGAAUCAUAAUCUUUAUCAUGCAGUUAAGUGUGUGUGUGUAUAAAAUCUAUUAUCAAGAUUUUAUUAUGUGAAAUUAUAGAGCCAAUCAUGAUCUAACAUUCUAUGCGGAAAUUGAAAUUAUGAUUGUUGGAACCAAAUAUGCGCGCCUCCACUGACGGAGGUGAAACCAGUCAGAAUUGCCCAUGACCUCUAAUGAGGGGAGAAUGGAGUUGACCGGAGGGUGUGGUUGAAUCCAAAUUAAACUGCCUACAUAUUUGUGAGAGGAAGAAAAUGUUUUUUUUUUAAAAAAAAAAAAAAUCAUUUAUGCCACCCAUGAUAAAAAAAAAGUAAGAAAAUGAUGCGAACCGGUUCUACAACCAUUGGUGCUAAACUAAUCAAUUAUGUGGGAAUGGUGUUGAAUUAAGCCCUUGUCCCAAACCUUAUUCAGUUUAGUAUUAUAUAAUUACGAAUAUUUUAUUAUGCAGAUACAAGUUGCGUUUAAAUGGAUAAGCAAUUGUGGAUUCGCUUCCUCACACUCGUAAAUCAUACGACGAUGGUUAAGAAAGGCUGAAAUUUCUCUAUGAAUCUUCUUGGCCCUUAGAAGAAUGCUAUGGCGAAACCACUAGUUGGUUCCCUUUUUAAAGAAAAAAAUUGGAUAAGCAAUGCUCGUCCCUCCUAUCACAUACCCUAAUACAUUACUUACGUAAGUGCUUUAACGUGAAUGAUGCUGAGUCAUAAUCUUUGUCAAGAAUUUAAGUAUAUAUAUAACCUAUUAUCAAGAUUUUAUUAUGUGAAAUAUAGAGCCAAGCGUAUUCUAACAUUCUAUGCAGAACUUGAAAUUAUGAUUGUUUGAAUCAAAUACGUGCACAUCCACGGACGGAGGUGAAAUCCAGUCGGAAUUGUCCACGAUCUUUGAUGAAGGGAGAAUGGGGUUGAUUGGAUGGUGGUUGAAUUUGGACUGCCUACAUUUCUCUGGGAGGAAGAAAAUGUUUUUUUAACCAAAUGUUUGCUUAAGACAAAAUAACAAAAGUCACCCAUGACAAAAGGAAGAAAAUGAUGCAAACCGGUUCUACAAUCAUUGGUGCUAAAUUAAUCAAUUAUGUCGGAAUGGUGUCAAAUUAAGACUUUGACCCAAUCCUUACUUAGUUUAGUAGUAUACAAUUAUGAAUAUUUUAUUAUGUAGAUACAAGUUUGGUUUAUAUGGAUAAGCGACUCUGGAUUCGAUUCUUGGCACUGGUAAAUCACAUGAUAAUUGUCAAGGGAGUCUUAAAUGUAUUUGUGAAUCUUUUCGGCCCCUAAAAGAGUAUAAAUGUUAUGGGAGCUGGUCUUCUUUUUUAAAGAAAAAAAGUGGAUAAGCGAUGCUCAUCCAUCCUAUCACAUAAUGUAAUACCCUGAAAAUUUAAAUAUAUGAUUAUGUGGAGAGAAAAUCGAAAAAUAAAUCAAUUUAUGGUUAUGAAAAUUUAAUUGAAAAUUUUAAAGUUUUGUUUCUGGAAAUUACUAUAAUUUACGUUGUAAAAUUUUAACGAUAACGGGCCCUAGUUGGCUUAACAUAAUUAUACGGGGAUGCAUUUUAUCCUCAUGUAUUUUAUCUUAAUUCUUGACGUAGUUGGUUUGAGCUCGAUCCUCUGAAUGCAUAGGCGCAAAUCGUUCGUGAAACGGAAUUAUAAUGAAAAAGUUAUUAACGUUCAAAGUUAGGGACAAAAUAGUCAUUUAAUUGUAAAAUUUGGAAUGCUCCAGAUUUGUGGGAGAUUUGAUUAAGAGCCACGUGUGUGGCUGUGAUGAAAAGAAAAGGAGAGUGCGGGAGAGAAAAGGAGGGGAACGGACCAAUAGGGAGGAGGCAAAGGGGGGAAAGGAGAGAAGAAGAAAAUGGGGAGAAACGGGCUAACCUGUAUACCCCUUCGGACUCGACCUGUGCGCCACCUUUUCGACGCUUUUCCGUCGGUUUUCCAGUGAUUCAAAGCCUGCCGCCACAUGAAGACUAAGCAUCAUCCUUCCUUACUCCAUCUCCACCCAAAAUUAAAAGGAAAUUGGUGGUGUUUUUGUAGAGAAAUGCAUCGGUGGGUGCGGCGGGCAUUGGGGGUGAUCCACUAAAUCCGAAGGUAACUCCAGCAACCACCACCACCUAAAGACUCCCCUCAAUCUCAGGAACAAAGCCCAUGCAUUGGUUGGGGCAUCAAAGUUGUUUUGGAGUUGAAUCAAGAACAUCAAAAAUCAAGGGUUUCCUGCGGUUCAUGGGAAAUUUUGUGUUUCCCAGCCAAAUUGGACUUGGCCGCAGGUAUGAAACUUGCUCCACUAAUUGAGAUCUACAACCUUGUAAAAUUUGGUAAUUUUUUAAAUAGUUGAAUUUUCCGAAGAGUCGGGGCGGCCGACCGCCACCCGCGGCGGCACCUGCGGUAGCGCUUUGGCUAGUGGGCCGACGAUGCCUUUCUAAGUUCAAUUAGAUGUCCUGAAUCUGUAUUUGAUAUUCGUAUGAUGUGAUUUGAUCGUUUGAACCUAAUUUCACUAUGAUACACUACUUGAUCAAAAUAUGAAUCGACGAUCCGACUGUUGGAUCGUCUCCAAACUUUAAUACAAAAUAGAACGUAAUAUUUGAGGAUAUUAGGAACUGAUGGAUCAGGAAUCCGACCUACGGAUCUUCCUGAAUUGGAUUUCUAAGUUUGUAAAACAAAUUGUUGAUCACCACAUAAUUCUAGAAAUUGACGGAGAUCCGACCGUCGGAUCGUGAUGGAAUUUUAGUAUGUUGUUUUAGUGGAAUAAUGUGUAUUUUAGAAGAUUACGGAUCCAAAAUCCAAUGUGUGGAUCUUCUGGAUCAAAUUACGUAGGGAUGAGGACCCCAUUGUUUAUCGAGAGUUGACUUUUGGUCAACAUGUCUCGAAACAUUCUAAAUACUAAAAUUAGUACUACGGGAGACUAAGUGAAGUUUGGGGGGCCUACAUCGGUUAGAGACUGACUUGAAUAUAUGUGAGAUGGUUAUUACCUUAAUUUCUUAUAUUAAUAUCAUUUGUGAAUAUGACUCGGUUUUAUGAAUAUGAUUUCUAUUGAAAUGUGAUUUUUAUAUGUUUAGCCAUAGACCUAUGAUUAUUAAACAUGAUUUGGAUUGUGUAUUGAUGAUGAUGAUGAUUGUGUUAUAUGUGUGUUCAAUUAUCUUUUAGUAAAGUGAAUGUGAAUCUUUUAGUAAAGUGAAUGUGAAUUACGAAUGGCUUGACCCCUCCGAAGGGUAUGAGGCAGUCUAACAAGAAGUUAGGUGCAUCCAUAAAAUAAACGAGGUUAAAGAAUUGAGAAUAUAAUUGUAUGUUUUGGUAAGAGAAUUAUGGUUAUACAUCAUGUGUGGAAUUAAGGAAUUUAAUUAAAAGAUCGCAAUUAAUGGUAGUAAAUUAAACAAGAGUUUAGUUUGGGCCUACCAUCGAUAUUAAUUUCUGAAAUAAAUAUUUCGGAGUGGGGCGUUACACAUACCCUAAUGUGUUACUUAAGUAAUUGCUUAAACGUGAAUGGUACUGAAUCAUAAUCUUUAUCGCGCAGUUAAGGGUGCGUGUAUAUAAAUAUAUAUAUACAUAUAUAUAUAUAUAUAUAAUCUAUUAUCAAGAUUUUAUUAUGUGAAAUUAUAGAACCAAUCGUAUACUAACAUUAUGUCCUGAAAUUGAAAUUAUGAUUGUUGGAACCAAAUAUGCGCACCUCCACUGACGGAGGUGAAAUCCAGUCGGAAUUGCCCAUGACCUCUAAUAAGGGGAGAAUGGGGUUGAUUGGAGGGUGUGGUUGAAUCCAAAUUAGACUGCCUACAUAUCUGUGAGAGGAAUAAAAUGUUUUUAUUUAUUUAUUUAUUUUUAUUUAAAAAAAAAAAACCAAAUGUCUGAUUAAGACAAAAUAAUAGAUGUCACCCAUGAUAAAAGUACGAAAACGAUGCAAACCGGUUCUACAACCGUUGGUGCUAAACUAAUCAAUUAUGUGGGAAUGGUGUUAAAUUAAUACCUUGUCCCAAUCCUUAUUUAGUUUAGUAUUAUAUAAUUAUGAAUAUUUAAUUAUGUAGAUAAAAGUUGGGUUUAGAUGAAUAAGCGAUUUUGAAUUCGAUUUCUGGCACUGGUAAAUUAUAUGAUAGUAAUCAAGGGAGACUGAAAUACCUCCGUGAGUCUUCUCGACCCCUAGAAAGGUGGACUAUUGUGGCAAAGCCACCAUUGAUCUCAUUUUUAAAGAAAAAAAUGGAUAAGUGGUGCUUGUCCCUCCUAUCACAUAUCCUAAUGUGUUACUUAUGUAAUUGCUUUAACGUGAAUGGUAAUCAUCAUUUUUGUCACGAAUUUAAGUAUAUACAUAAUCUAUUAUCAAGAUUUUAUUAUAUGAAAUUAUAGAGCCAGAGCCAUGUGUAUUCUAUCAUUCUGUGCAUAAAUUGAAAUUAUGGUUCUUGGAGCCAAAUAAGCGCACAUCCAAAGAUGGGGUUGAUUGCAGGGUAUCGUUGAAAUCACAUUGGUGCACCCUUCCAUUUGAAUCCUUGUUCUGCAAGAAAAGUUGCAAAAGAAAAGGAAACUAAAUCCUAAAGAUUAAAAAUCCUAACUUACCUAAAAUAAGACUUCAAGAAUAUUUACAAUUAAGACUCAAAUCAAUAGGUUUAGGCCUUAUAAUGUAUGUGUUUUAGAUGUAUGUGUGUGAAGAGAGAGCGAGAGAGAGGGGAAAGAAGGGAGAGGGGGUGAGUUUAACUAAAAUUUUAGGAAGGAUUUCAGGUCAUCUGAGGAGGGAGGAAGGGAGGGAGGGAGAGAGGAAAAAGGGCGGAGGGUGCGUGGGUUUAACUGAAAUUUUAGGAAGGAUUUCAGUUCAUUUGAGGAUAGCCGAGUUCUGGACUUCAUUAUCUGUUUAACUACAAGUUAUAGUAUUCAUUUUUCAGUCUUUGAUGCUUAUAUGGUUGAGGCUUUCUAACAGAAACUUGGAGUUGAAGAGAACAAAAACUUGAUUUUCCUAGUUCAUGUUUAGCCAGGCUAUGGAGAGUGUGCUAGUUGGAAAUUUGUUGGCGAACAGGACUUCAGAAACUUCAGUAAAAUGGAUGCACUGAAUGUACACGUUUUCCUUAUGAUCUGAAUUGCUUGAUCUUAAUGUACUCUUUUUUCUUACGAUUAUGAGCAUUUUUGUCAUUGAAUUUUUGCUACCUUACUAGGUUUUAACGAGGCACCAUCCUGGGCUGGUUAUAUCCUUGUGAGUUUUUCUACUUUCAUAAAUACGUAUAGUUCUAACAUUAUGCAUACUUUUCAUAUUUCUCCUUAGUCUAUAAGUUUUUCUCCUACAUUGAGUUUUACCAUAGCUAGGUUUUAUGAGUUUUACAACCAAUGCAUCCUUCAAUUAAAAUGAAACUCAAAUUCGCUCAUUAUGCUGCUGACUUGACCAGCUGAACUUCCUCACUGAAGACCUGAUGCAACAUUUUGAUUGAGUACUUACACACUCAAAGGAGAGUGUUGUAGUUUUAAUUAGUUUAAGCAUCUGAUUGUAUAAAUCCUAUUGGGAUUCUAUGAUAUCUUUUAGAUAGUGUCCUGAUUCAAUCGUAAAUUAAACUAUCGAUAUUUUUGUUAAUGUCGAUACUUUAUAUAUGAAAUAUCUUCUCAUAGAGCAGUGAAUGAAUGGCUGAGAUUGAGCUCAUAGGCUCUCUCUCUCUCUCAUUGUUUGUAGCGACUGUACGCCUACUGUUACAUUGUUGAAGGGAUAUACAGUGGAGAAACACAACUUGUGCUCUAAAAAAAAUACCAAAACUUCAUAAUCUUCCUCCAAUUUCAUUUCUGAAAUUAUCUACAAAACACACAUAAACACACAAUUAAACACUUAAUGAGGUCAUCACCUAGUCUUGCAUACGAUUGACAUCAUUGUCAUACUUACUUGAACAUGUCAUAAGAUUGGCUAUUUCCAUUGUCAUACUCACUUGAACGUGCCAUAAGAUUGGAAAAUUUAUUGACUAAAUUUUCCUGCUCCUGGUAAACCCCUAUUUUCUGCACCCUGAGAUGAAUAUCAUCAGUACUCCUGUGUCGUGAUAAGUGUGCACCAACAUUUAUCCUUGCCCCACCGUUCACAUUGAGCUUAUUGUUUGAUAAAUGUCCCAGCCAAAUAUAACUUUCAUGGCGAUUUAUUACGGUUGCAUACAGAGGGGUUGAAAACUCAGUGUGCUUGGAUUUGGAGUCGUCUGAAGAAUAAACGACGCACAGAGUCAAUGCUUUUGCAUCAUAGCCAAAACAUUGCGGCAUAAAUAUUUCAUCCUUCAGGUCAACGCAUGUAAACCCUGAUGGAAGAUCAUUUCCGGGGAGAAAAAGAUCACCAUUUCCGCUCGCGCUCCAUUCCUAUACCAUGGAGUAAGAUUUGUAAAAAAAGUUGAUACAUAUAAGCUGUAUACAGUUGGGUACAAACCGAGAUUAUAUAUAUACAUAGAGAGAGAGAGAGAGAUGACCUGUAGGAUUGCUUUUUUAAAAGCAGCAGUGAGAUUGGUGCACCCUUCCAUAUGAAUCCUUAUCAUAUUGUUUAACGACUUAUCCAAGCCUAGAAUCUCAGUGAGUUUGGGGGAGUGAUUCAGAUGCAGUUCUACCAUACUCGACAUUUUUGAAAAAUUUGGCAUCUCUUCCAAUGCAAUGCACUCAUCCGCUUUCAGGAUUUCCAAUUUUGUUGGUAAAUCUGGGAUUUUCUGAAGGUUUUGGCAAUUCGCAACAGAUAAAUACUUUAGGUUCUUCAAUUGUAUUAUGGAGUGGUGAAUCUUGGACAAACUCUUACAGGCUUCGAGUAUCAAUCUUUCAAUAUUUGGGAUUCUUGAAAAGUCUGGUGAUUCUUUCAGGUUAUCACAAGAACCAAUAUUGAGAAACUUCAACUUUUCAAGUGACUGUGAGACAAAAUGGGAAAGCAAAUAUCAAAAUUCAAUAGAAGAGAAAAAGCAUGAUGUUGGUAUUUAAAAAAUCUGUUGGAAAGAAUUGAUAGUUUGGUUGGGUAUGUAUUUUACCACGUUGUCAUUCCAGACUUGUAUAUUGCUACAACUCAGGUCGAUGUCAACUACGUUUGGUUGAUUAAAAUCCUCUGGGAUGGCCUGCUGAGGCAAGUCAGACAUACUUAACCAUCUUAACUCAUCGGGAAGAUGUUCGCAGUCUCCAGUGAACUUUACGCCUUUUAUUUUGAGUAAUCUCAGGUUCCGCAUAUUUCUGAAUGUUUCUGUACUGAAGCUAAGCUUGUCAGGUUCUGGAGAAUCUAAAGCGAUUCCUUCUAUUUCUUCCGUUCCCUGUUAGAAAGGAAAAGAAAAUAAAGUAAGACAAGGGUUAUUUUCUUAGACUUUAACCGGUGCAGAGCACCAAUACUGGAUCAAUGCCAUAGAGUUUGUUUAGACAUCAGUCUUGUUUUAACAAUCUAUAUUAGUCAUCUGUGUUACAGGGAUAAUUUUCAAAUAAUUCAGUAAAUAAAAUCAGCAUUUUUUUUCUAAUGCAAUUUGAUUGAGGAAGUACUUACACUUUUUUUCCUCAAAACGUUUAUUACAUCUUCAUGAUGCCACAAUCUACAGCGACUUUGAAGCUUCUUAGGGGAUCUAGCACGUACAAUUUCUCUGCCCAUGUCUCGAAUCAAACGGUGCAUCAUCAUCAGACUACCCUUUGGAUCAUCAGUUACAAGGCAUCGCUCCUUGAGUACUUCAAUAUCUGUUGUUGGCUCACAGUAACACCCAUCCAAUAUGGCCAUGACGCGGUCCUUGUCCAUUCCAGUAAAGAAACAGGAUACAUCAAGGAAUAUAUCCUCCACCUGGGCAACCUUAAGCCCGUCAUAACUUAUCUUAAGCUUUUCAUGAAUUUCCGGAUAAGGCUGUGAUUCGUUCCAUUUUUUCAAUGCACUUGUCCAUUCUUUCGGGGUUUUUUUAUGUAGGUAAGAACCUACAGCUUUAAGUGCAUGUGGUAAACCCCCACAAUAACGAACAGCUUCUCUUGAGACUUUGUGGAAUCCUUCAUUAGGAGAACUCUUUUGAAAGGCACGCCAACUAAGGAGCUCAAGAGCUUCAUCGUCAUUCAUUGCUGGCAGGGAACAUGCCUUAUCCACCACUUCAGGUGUCUUUAGCAAACUUUUAUCUCUUGUUGUUAUAACAAUUCUACUUCCUGGACCAAACGAGUCACGUUUUAUAGCCAAUGUAUCUAUCUGGGCCACAGAGUCUAUAUCAUCAAUAAUGACAAGAACCUUUAUUUGGCGAAGUCUUGUAUUUAUCUCCUUGGUCCCUUCAUCGGGCAUACCCACCUUUCUGUGGCCCAAUCUCAAGAUGUCAAACAGAAGUUUGUUUUGCGAAUCAACCAGUUUCUUAUCUUCUCUCACAUUCGGAAGAAAAGAUGCACCACUAAACCUGUGCUGGUAUUCGUUGAAAAUAGCUUUUGCAAUCGUUGACUUCCCUAGUCCGCCCAUCCCCCAAAUUCCGAUUAUGCGAACAUCAUUUGAUCCUUCAACAUCUAAAUAAUUACUGAUUUCUUGCACGCGAGAAUCUAUUCCAACUGGAUUUGUAGCUACAUUUAAGCAUGGUUUCUUCAGUAUUGUAGCGAUCUGGCCAACAACUUCCCUGAUAAAACUUCCUUCAUGCCUGGAAUGAAAAAUUCAUAACCAAGGAAAAGUAAGAUUUACUAUGAGACUGAAGGAUUAAAAUGUACCAAUAUACUAGUCAUCACCGAACAAACUGAUAUCAAGUGAGAUAGAUCAAGCGUUCAUAUAUUAAUCCUCAUAUCAGAGUUUCUAAGCUUUGCAAUUAAAUUUUGGAAAACAAAAUGAUUUAAAGAAUUACUUUGUCAAAGGGAAAUAAGCAAGUUAUUACCCGUCAGUCACUUGAAAGUCCUUGCCGCUCAACCCUGCAGCUGCAUGAAGGGCAUCUCUCCAGAUCCGGACCUUUUCCUUAAACUCUUGUUCAUCCCUCUGAAACUCUGCAGUUGCCUUAAAAUCAUUUCCCCACUUGCGGACCAUUUCUUCCUCAAACUUUUGUUCAUGGUUCUUGAACGCGGUUUCAAAACUACCAGUCUGAUGCCUGACAUCUGAAGUAUCAACAUCGAAAAAAAUCGGAAAAACAUGUUGACCCUGUGUUCUGCUGCACUCCAUGAUCUCCACCAGCUCGUCAAGACACCAUCUGGAUCCCGCAUACCCCUUUGAGAACAUGAUGACAGCAAGCCUGGACUCUUUGAUUGCUUGCUUCAGAUUUUCUUUUAUAACAUCCCCACAAAUCAAUCGGUCCUUGUCCCGAAAGACAUUGAACUUGUAGUCGUUUAAUGUAUGGUAGAGAUGGUCCGUGAUGCCCUUGCGUGUUUCGCCUCUAAAGCUCAAGAACACGUCGUACUUGCCGCCCGCGGUAUUCAUCUGUUGGCAAGUCAGCGAUUCUCUGAUGUCUGAUGGGCACUGCAAAAUGGCACCAGGGGCAGAUGGUUUUUGAAUUGAACUGGCAAAGUCAACUACUCCUAGUUUCAAGUCCACAAAAAAAACAAAAAAAAUGGUGUACGUUGUUAAUAAAAUGUACAGUACAAUCCUCAAAUUGAAAUAUGAAAAUUGUAAAAGCUGCUAGACCCAUUGAGAUCGUCUUCAACCUUUGGUUAAGAGUUAAAAUUUUUAACAUAUAAAAUUUAGAUUUUGUUACUUAAUAUUAUAUUCUAGUAGUAUUUUUAUUUACUGGUCAGUGAUAGGUUUUAAACUCGAUUCUCGUCAAAAGCAAAUUUGAACCACAUUAUUACUAGUUUAUUAUGAGGCUCAUCCUUUUAGUAUAAAUAAUAUCAUUUGUUAGAGAGUGGGGUCGAUAGGCCCAUCCACUUAGUAUAAAUAAUAUCAUUUAUUGGAGAGUGGGGUUAAUUUUGUUGGAGAAUGGGAUUGAUUGGAGAGUGUGAUUGAAUCGUAAUGAGGGUAGGUUUAGUAUUGAUGUACUUUAAAAAAAAAAACUGUUUUUGUGCUGUGAGAAUAAACUUAUUUUUGCUAUUUCGCAUUUUCAGUUUUUUUUUUUUCUUCAUACAAAACUGUGAAAAUAAGCUGUUUUUAAAUGUUUACCAAUUACUUUUUUGAGCUUAAUUUUUUUUUGAUAUUCAUAUUUUAUAAAAGUAAAUCAGUACCAAAUCAGUAUUUAAACUGUCUACAUAUUUCUAAAAGGAAAAAAUGUUUGCUUUUUUUUAAGCAAAUGUUUGUUUAAAACAAAAUAAUAGAUGUCGCCCCUGACAGAAGGAAGAAAAUGAUACGAACCGGUUCUCCUACCAUUGGUGCUAAAUUAUUCAAUUAUAUGGGAAUGGGGUUAAACUAUAAUUAUAAUAAAAGGGAGAUGGAGAAAAGAUAACGUGUCAUGAUGAUGAACAGGCAACCAAAUGGCGAUUUUCAGCAGCAGUACUCGCUGUCGUUCACCAUGAGCACAGCUGCCAUAAAUCCUAAAGCCACUCACGUGCCAUUCAAACAGAAAAGGCCAAACAAAAGCCUGCUCUUAUUUUCUUUGCUGCUGCUGGGCACCGAAAACAGAACAUGGGGAACAAGUGGACAACAAGUGGAUGAGAUGGGAAUCAAAAAGAGCAUCUAAAGCCUACUGCCAAAACCUCACGUAGCUUUCAAGCAAUAGUCACGAUUAGUAGUCACUAGUCGUGGCCGUUGUUUUUAUUAUUAUUACUCGCAUAUGGGGCACAUGAAAUUUUUUAAUUUUUUAUUUUUGAAGUAGAAGGAGGGAGGAAGAUAAUGAUAGAAAAUGUAGGAGUUGUUGCAGAUAUAAUUUAUUGAAUAGUUAUGGAGGUCAUAGAGAAAGAGAGGGGUGCAGCACAUAGAGAGAAAGAGAGAGAUGUAUAAUUGAGGGGUGUGUUCUAUUUCAUCUUAUUGUGUCUUUAUUUAUAACAGUAGAAAAGAUUAAUUUCUUACCUUUUUAGGAUUACAACUCUUAAUAGGUAAUCAACUCUUAACAAGAAUAUAAAAGAUAUUCCAAGAUAUACUAGGAUUUAUACAAUCACAUUACUAUUCUAAUAGGACUGCAACACUCUCUAUUGAGUGUGUAAAUACUCAAGUAAAUGACGCAUCAGGUCUUCAAUGAUGAAGUAAGUAUAGUUGAUGAAAUCAUUGGCACAAUGAGCGAACGCGAGUCUCAAAUUAACGGAAGAAUGCAUAAAAAAGUAAAACUCACAAACCCUCGAUAUGGUUAAACCCAAGGUGGGAGAAAAACCCAUAGACUAAGGAGAAAAGUGAGAAGUUGCAUUAAGUCAAAACUAUACGUCUUUUAGAUGCAAGUAGAAGAGCUCAUAAGGGUAUGAUCAGCUCAGGAUAGGUGCCUUGUUAAAACCUAGUUAGGUAGCAAAAACCUAGUGGGAAAAAUGCUCCUAAUCAUAGGGAAAAAGAGUAUAUUAAGAUCAAGUGAGUAUACUUCUGGAUACUCCUCCUGAGUUUGAGACAACUUCCAACUGAGAACUACAAGCACAUUGCAUAUGAAUAGUUAGGCAUACCAAUUCCUCAGACAAGCUUCUGGAAGGUUGACUUCGGUAGUGACUUCGUGUAGAGGUCGGCAAGGUUGUCUAGGAUUGGGUUGCAUGACUUCAAUCUCCUGAUGCUGUGCUGAUGUGAUGUACACGCAAUAUGUCUUGGUGUUGACUUCAUUGAUGUAUCAUGACUUGGUCGAGUUGAUACAUGUGGCAUAAUCUUCAUGGAUCGUCGUCAAGACUCAACGAUGGAUGAAAACACAACAAGUGCUUUGAAUAUGCUCAACAAGAACCUAACCAUGUCUCACUUGUGGCGUAAUGAAGUGAGGUGAGUCUUGGAACGAUUCAAAGAUUUCGCAACUAAGGUCAUAUCAUGGACCUCCAAGAUAUUGCGAAAUCCCUAACGGUAAAGACAUAACCAUUCGGGGAUUUUACCCUAUGCGGGUUUGAUAAGUAACAUGCGUCAACAUAAUAAAAAAGGCAAACAUCAUUCCGAGGAUCAGAGGAUUGGAUCCGCUAGAGAUGUGUCAGGAUUUGAUUUGCUCAAAUUCGUAGUACCUUCAGGGUACGUCUUUGAUACCAAUUCAGUGGUUGUGUGUAGGCGUGGUGCUGCAUCUUUACCAAGACCAACAGCGAAGGAGAUGUCUUGUCUAAUACAAUGAGCUAAGUACAACGAAGCGCAAAGUUGAACUCAGAUAUGGAAUUUCAGAUUCCAUAAUCUCUUCAAGGGUCUCGUUUGCAUAUAACGUAUGGACGAUCAAAGGUAUACUCAAAGGUAACACAUUCGGGAUGUAGUUUAAUUGGUAGACCAAGGUACCAUCAGAACAACGCUUGAACUUUAGGUCAAGGCAUAAACGAGUUUUCCCAAGAUCCUUCAUCUCAAAUUCCAUCUUAAGGUGCGAGACAGUUUUCUCAAGCUCUUCCAGAGUCUUAGUGAGAUUCGUGUCAACGACAUAAACUAUAACUCUAGUAAUUCGGAAUAAGACUUCAUAGUUUAACACGCAAGGGCAUAAUUCAUCCCUGACUGAUCAAAUAAUCACUUAGACGGGUAUACCACAUCCAUCGGAUUGUAAGUGAAAGCCUAAAACAAGUUAAGAGGGUGUUUUGUGGUUUGAAACUAUUUGAACCAGUCCAUGUAAUUCUUCGGAAACUUACAUGUAAAUCUCCAUAUCAAUAUACUAACCACAUUUCAUAAUGCUGCUAUCAAUCACAAGACAUUUUAGGAGAAACCUUGCGCUGUAAGGUGUGCAUCAUAUUGCACUAUUUCAUUCAUCUCAUAACGCUUCAUUUCCCAUUUGGAACACAAUAGGGUUACCUUGGGCAGUCUAGGAACGACAGGUCCAUUACAUACUUUGGUAAGGAAUUUGACCUGGAUUGUAAUUUUGGUUGUCCAAUCAGUUCUACGUUGUCACUUAAUCAACGGAAUACAGUUCGAUAUCGUCGCUUUUCAUUUAUGUCGAUAGCUACCAUAUAAGUGAAAACAUCAUCGAUGGUAAUCUCAUUUCAAUUUCAUUUAGCUCAUCAAACUAGUAUACUGGACCAAGAACUUCAAGUUUUAGGAGUAAUCUGGAUUAAUCUCAUGAGAUGGAAAUGAUUUGAGACAGCGAUCGAGUUUAGAUUCAUUAUUGUGUCGUGUCUUCCUCUUCUAGGGAAGUGAAUCCUAUGAACCGAGUGAUCUGUGUGCUCCAGGCUAAGACAAAUUGAUUGGCUAUCCGCCGGUGUACCGGACCGUCUAACAGGGGUAUCCAAACCGUCUAACAAGGGCGGCACACCCUACAGGGAUGUUGACUCGACGUCCGUUAAGUACGUCUAUCCUUUCAUGUAUGUUUGCAGUUGAUAUAUGAUCUCGUCACUUUAGCUAGAUCAGAGGAAUGAGUCUGGAGCAACAUUUUGAAAGCUAGAAUUUAUCGCACUUGCCUAUCACACUUGUGCGGUUUGGGGAUUAAGAUGAGACAUAGUAGGCAACGUCCAUGCAAAUUCGCGCCGUUCUCCAGAAACGUUGACAUUCUUAUCUCCCCCUAAUGGCAGGAAGACUGUCUCAUUAAAGUGACAACUCGCAAAUGAGCGAUAAAGAGAUCGCGUGCAAGGGCUCUAGGAGAGCUAGAGUGAAAGAGAAUCAUAAUCGACAAAGAUUCCCAUCCUUCUUUGUGGACCCAUGUUGGUACGUUGCGGCGAAGCAAUUUGGCACAUGGAAUGCACACCCAAAUGCAUAAAUACGAAAAUCAUUACGUUCGUACCAGUAACCAACUGUAACGUCAAAUAGGUUGGGUGACAAUGGGCCUUAAGGUGGACCAACAUAGCUGCGUACAAUAUUGCAUAGCCCUAGGCAAAAAUUGAAAACUUGGUAUGUUCUCCAAAAUCCAGGCGAUCAUUGAAAUUGCGCUUUAUGAUUGCUAGGCGAGGCAAUUUGGGGUGAACAUGGGAUUUCGAUGUUCAAUUAUAAACCCAAAAUACAUGCAAUACUUUAUAAAAACCGUUGAUAUAAACUCUCCAACAUUAUACAGUCUCCCGGACUUUAUGGGAUAAGUAGGGUGGUGAACCUUUAAUCGGCCAUGAGGUUUAGCAGUAAUGUAUGUGGACAAACAUGUGACCAGUUUGUCGAUUCAUAAACCAAAACCAUAAGUAUUUAUAUGGUCUGCAUUUUGGUUGGAUUAGUCCACAUAUAUUCCCUUGAAUCCACUUAUGAAAAAUGAUGAUUUUGUAUCUUUGCGAGGAAUGAUAUAGAAAAUCAAUUUUCUUAAUGAGCAGGCUUGACAAAGUGUGCUUGUAGGCACAAGAUCCUUACUUCAGGUAAGGAGAUGCGUCAUAGCAUCAUUGUUCGACCUAAGUGUCCUAAAAAGUCGUGCCAAAGCAAGUAAACUGCUCAAUCACCAGACUCUAGGCCUGCCAUAUGUGGUGUGUUCCCAGUUGGGAGACAACCCAUUGGCCCUAAAUCAAAGCUUUAGGCUCAUUUUUGGAGGUGGUGCAAAGAUAUUUCAUGCUAUUUUCUUCAAUGGUUCAUUUAUGAUCAUUGUUCUAUCGAAUAUCCUUAAAAACUAAACGACAUGGAGAAUUUAAGGUCCCUUAAAUGGUGAUGCAAUACCAUUCAUACAACGAGGAGCAUGCUAAUGCUCUUAAUCAAGUUGGAUAUAUACAAUUUAGUUAAAUAACAAAGAAGUUUACCUAGAACUAGCAAUUUUUUUGUAUAAAAUUAACAAGAAGGUCCAGGGUUCAAAACCUAUGUGUGUUUAUUUACUUUUCAAUUUUUACGAAUUUCUUUCGAUAAGAGUAUACAUUUUUAAAAUUUGGUCAAAUGAUCAAGAAAUAUAACAAUGAGCAAUGAUUUAUGUUAGUGUUUAUAUCACAAAUGAUCAUUGGAAUUGAACCAAAUUGAUCUUUGAAAUUGAAAAUCAAUCAAUGUAAUCCCUAAAAAAUAGAUGUCACAAAUCAAUGUUUCAUCAUAAUGCUGUAAAAAAUUCUAUUAUGUGCUGAUAUGACACAUAAAUAGGGCCCACAAGAUGUAAGAGUUUUUAUCACAAAUGAUCCCUAAAAUUGACCUGCAUGAUCAAGAUGGUCCUUGAAAUUGAAAAUCGAUCAAUGUAGUUCCUGAAAAUAGGUGUCGCAAAUCAAUAUGGUCAUUCUGUCACACUUCUGUAAAAAAUUAUGUUAUGUGCUAAUGUGGUUUAAUAAUUAAUUAAAAAAGUUGUCAAAACACACUUCUGCACAUUGAGAUUAUCUCAAGGUGUAGCUCGACUAUUUCCGCGUCACCAAGAUCACCGAGGGAGCACCUAAUAAGCUUUCAAAGAUUAAGGUUAUAAGGUUGUCUAUAACAACCCGUCCCAGGAUUUUCGAAACUGGAUAAGCAAUGCUUGUCCCUCCUAUCACAUACCCUAAUGCGUUUACUUAUGUAAGUGCUUUAACGUGAAUGAUGUUGGAUCAUAUUCUUUAUCACGAAUUUAAGUAUAUAUAUAAUCUAUUAUCAAGAUUUUAUUUUGUGAAAUAUAGAGCCAAGCGUAUUCUAACAUUAUGUGCCGAACUUGAAAUUAUGAUUGUUUGAACCAAAUACACACACAUCCACGAACGGAGGUGAAACCCAAUCGGAAUUGUCCACGAUCUUUGACGAAGGGGAAUGGUGUUGAUUGGAUGGUAGUUGAAUUUGAAUUGGACUGCCGACAUUUCUAUGGGAGGAAGAAAAUGUUUUUUUAACCAAAUGUUUGCUUAAGACAAAAUAACAGAUGUCACCCAUGACAAAAAGGAAGAAAAUGAUGCAUACCGGUUCUACCAUCAUUGGUGCUAAAUUAAUCAAUUAUGUCGGAAUGGUGUCAAAUUAAGACCUUGACCCAAUCCUUACUUAGUUUAGUAGUAUACAAUUAUGAAUAUUUUAUUAUAAGUUAGGUUUAUAUGGAUAUCAAUUAUUGGCACUAGUGAAUCACACGAUGAUUGUCAAGAAAGUUUAAAAUGCAUUUGUGAGUCUUUUCAGCCCUAAAAGAUUGGAAAUGUUAGCCACCGGCUGAUCCUCUUUUUUACAGAAAAAAAUUGGAUAAGCGAUGCUCGUCCCUCCUAUCACAUACCCUAAUAUGUUACUUGCGUAAUUGCUUUAAUGUGAAUGAUACUGAAUCAUAGUCUUUAUCAUGAAGUUAAGUGUGUGUGUAAUCUAUUAUCAACAUUUUAUUAUGUGAAAUUAUAGAGCCAAUCGUAUUCUAACAUUUUGUGCGAAAAUUGAAAUUAUGAUUGUUGGAACCAAAUAUGCACACAUCCACUGACGGAGGUGAAAUACAGUCAGAAUUGCCCAUGACAUCUACCGAGAGGAGAAUGGGUUUGAUUUGAGGGUGUGGUUCAAUCCAAAUAUGAUUGCCUACAUAUAUGUGAGAGGAAGAAAUUUUUUAUUUUUUUUCCAACCAAAUGUCUGAUUAAGACAAAAUAAUAGAUGUCACCCAUGAUAAAAGUAAGAAAAUGAUGCAAACCGGUUCUACAACCAUUGGUGCUAAACUAAUGAAUUAUGUGGGAAUGGUGUUAAAUUAAUACCUUGUCCCAAUCAUUAUGUAGUUUAGUAUUAUAUAAUUAUGAAUAUUUAAUUCUGUAGACAAAAGUUGGGUUUAGAUGAAUAAACAAUUUUAAAUUCGAUUUUUGGCACUGGUAAAUUACAUAAUGGUAGUCAAGGGAGGCUGAAAUGUCUCCGUGAGUCUUCUCAGCCCCUAGAAAGGUGGACUACUAUGGCAAAGCAGCUAACUGAUCCCAUUUUUAAAGAAAAAAUGGAUAAGUGGUGCUUGUUCCUCCUAUCACAUACCCUAAUGUGUUACUUACGUAUUUGCUUUAAUGUGAAUGGUGCUAAAUCAUCAUCAUUUUUGUCACGAAUUUAAGUAUAUACAUAAUCUAUUAUCAAGAUUUUAUUAUGUGAAAUUAUAGAGCCAUGUGUAUUCUAACAUUCUGUGCAGAAAUUGAAAUUAUGGUUCUUGGAACCAAAUACGCACACAUUCAAAGACGGAGGUGAGAUCCAUUCAGAAUUGCCCAUGAUCUCUGACGAGGGGAGAAUGAGGUUGAUUGCAAGGUAUCGUUGAAAUCGCAUUGGUGCACCCUUCCAUAUAAAUCCUCGUUCUGCAAGAAAAGUUACAAAAGAUAAUGAAACUAAAUCCUAGAGAUUACAAAUCCUAAUCCUACCUAAAAUAAGACUCCAAGAAUAUUUACAAUUAAGAAUCAAAUCAAUAGGUUUAGGCAUUAUAAUGUAUGUGUUUUAGAUGUGUGUGUGUGAAGAGAGAGAGAGAGAGGGAGAGAGAGAGAGAGAGAGAGAGAAGGGAAAGAAAUGGGAGAGGGUGAGUUUAACUAAAAUUUUAGGAAGGAUUUCAGUUCAUCUGAGGGAGGAAGGGAGGGAGGGAGAAAGGGAAAAGGGCGAGGGUGCGUGGGUACGUGGGUUUAACUGAAAUUUUAGGAAGGAUUUCAGUUCAUCUGAGGAUAGCGAAGUUCUGGACUUCAUUAUCUGUUUAACUAUAAGUUAUAGUAUCCAUUUUUCAGUUUUGAUGCUUUUUUUUUUUUUGAAAGGAAGUUUUGAUGCUUAUUUGGUUGAGGCUUUCUAACAGAAACUUGGAGUUGAGGAGAACGAAAACUUGGUUUUCUUGGUUCAAGUUUAGCCAGACUAUGGAGAGUGUGCCGGUUGGAAAUUUGUUGGCGAACACGACUUCAGAAACUUCUGUAAAAUGGAUGCACUGAAUGUAUACUUGUCCUUACGAUUUGAAUUGUUUGAUCUUAAUAUACUUUUUUUCCUUACAAUUAUGAGUAUUUUUCUCAUUGAAUUUUUGCUACUUUACUAGGUUUUAACAAGGCACCAUCCUGACCUGGUUAUAUCCUUGUGAGCUUUUCUACAUUCAUAAAUACGUAUAGUUCUGCAUUAUGCAUACUUUUCACAUUUCUCCUUAGUCUAUGAGUUUUUCUCCCACACUGGGUUUUAUCAUAGUGAGGUUUUGUGAGUUUUACUACUAAUGCAUCAUUCAGUUAAAAUGAAACUCAAAUUUGCUCAAUAUGCUGUCGACUUGAUUAGCUGAACUUUAUCGUUGAAGACGUGAUGCGACAUUUUCAUUGAGUACUUACACACUCACAUUUUGAUUGAGUAUUUACACACUCAAAGGGGAGUGUGCAGUCUUAAUUAGUUUAGGCAUGUGAUUGUGUAAAUCGUAUUGGGAUUAUAUGAUAUCUUUUAGAUAAUGUCCUGAUUCAGCUGUAUAUUAAACUAUCGAUAUUUCUGUUAAUGUCGAUACUUUAUAUAUGAAAUAUCUUCUCAUAGAGCAGUGAAUGAAUGGCUGAGAUUGAGCUCACAGGCUCUCUCUCUCUCUCUCAUUUGUUUGUAGCGACUAUAUGCCUACUGUUACAUUGUUUAAGGGACAGACAGUGGAGAAACACAACUUGUGCUCUAAGAAAAAUACCAAAACUUUGUCAUCUUCCAAUUUCAUUUCUGAAAUUAUCUACAAAACACACAUAAACACACGUUUCCAAAAAAAAAAAAAAAAAAAUAAACACACACACACACACACACAUAAACACACAAUUAAACACUUUCUUAAUGAGAGUUGUUUGGGUUAAUAUUUGAAUAUUGGGCGUUAAUGAAGGAAAGUCGGAUGACUUACCCGAAGCCCAAUAUCAAGCCCAAGAGCAAACUGACGCCUUCUUAAGCCAAAACACAAUCCACGUGUCUAUAAUUGAAAUGAUAAGUGAUGGAGAUUAACCUAUAUCUGCCAAAAAACGUUUUCCAGUGGCAUUGCUAGGAAAAAGUUGAUGACUCACUACCCUUCAAGUGCUUUCGGGCAAGAUCAAAAGCUACAGCAGUCGGGCCAAACUGCCUAUAAAAGGUAGAAAAGACAACGGGGACGAGGAUACUCAACCAAUCAAACAAACAAAUAUAUAAACUCUGCUCUCAAACCAGAUUUGCAUUCAAAAGCUAAAAUCAACCCAGAUUCAAUCAUUUUCGCGAUAGUUCUCUGAAAAAGCUAUCUCUUGUCUAGUAUAAAAGCUCUGCUACCUCCCAUUAGUGUUGUAGUAUCGAUUCUCUCGUGUAAACUUGUUUACCAUCCAUCCCUUUUUAGCAUAUAAGCCUUGUAAAUUCAAAGAGAAGUGAGUGCAAGAAGUUCAACCUUGCUAAACAAGGUGAAAUCUUGCCUGAAGCUCUUUGUUUGUUUUCUAAAUUAAUAGAUCUAUUGCUUAAUGCACUCUCCAGUAUGUAUUCAAGUUAUUUCCACCUGUUUUUCUAUUUUAAGAGUCUCAUUUGCGUUUGGAUCUGGUUAGUUUGGUGGAUAUGAUUUCAUUAAAAGUAAUUUGGGACCAAACAAAUGACUUAAUGAGCUCUGGACUCCCUUCAUUUGAACAUACAAGACCAUGAACUAAAAGUCCUUGUUUACAAGGCAAGAAAAAGAACCUAAUACAGACUUAAUCCAUCUGUGAUAAUCAUUUGAUAACAAGAAGUCUGAGUAACUUGGGGCGCAAGUAAUUGACUUAAAACAUACUUGUUCUACAUCUGCUAUACUAAGCAGUGGCACGCCUAGCACUUGAUUAGUUUUGAUUGCGAGCCUCAAGGUCUACACCUAAAGCCCCACAAAGGUACCUUUCGGAACUAACUUUAUUCUCUUCUUGUAGCAUUUCAACAAGCAAGAGCCUGACUACACACCCAAAGUGCCAAUCCCUUGGGAAGUUUCACUAAGGUUCGAGGAGUCUUCUCCAGAGAAAUCUUUGCCCAAACAUAGUUUUGGCACGCCCAGUGGGACUCAUUUAGUCUUGUAUGCCAAGAAGGAAGAAGAAGGAGCGAACCUUCAGGUGGAACACAGAAUAAGGGCCAUCCCAGUAUCUAGUAAGAUCAAGCAUGACAGAUCAUCCAGAAGACUUCCCCUCCAUACGAGGACCAACUAUUAUGGGAAGCCCAACUUCAUCUAAGAAAUCAUGAGGGAAAGUGACCAAUGAAGACUUGCAAACCACCAUGGUGAAAGUGUUGAAAAGUAUGAAGAAUAUCUCUUUGGAGACCAGAGGAGAAGUAAGGAAACUCUGCUCCUUACAUGAAGUUUGUAGAUAAGACUAGAACUUGAGUACUCUACUCCAAAAGGCAGCUAUGCUCGAGAAAUGAUAAAAGAGGCAAGUUCUGAGAAGGAACCAGCUAUUCCCCUAUUUCCCUUACUCGAGAAGGAGAAGGAAAAAGAAAAGGAGAAAGUAGGGCCUAGGGCUAGCUAGCCAAUAUUAGAAGAAAUCCUGGAGACAGUGUUGCCCGACCCACUAUUGUCCUCACUAGAUAGUAAGGGGCAUGUCGAGCAAGAAAUAAAGAAGUAUGGGAUACCCCAAUUAAUUGGAGAAUCCAGCGGGAAAUAUGAGUUCAUAACUGCAGACAAACUUCCCUUUUAUAGGCCACCACUGUUGGCUAAUAAGGGAGGAGAGGCCAAAUAGAGGAAGCCCGAACAAAAAAAAAGAAACUUUAUCGGACAAUGAUCGUAGCCCGAAGUGGAAACCUCUUUAUACCCUACCUAAUAAUACAGUCAAUUAGCAACUCAGAAAAGAGUUAGCCGAGCUAAGAAGGAUGGUGAUCCAGAAUGCUCAACCUCAAGCUUGCCCGCUGUUUAGGGUCACCUACCAGAAGCCAUAUCCUGAAUAAAUUGAUGAGUAUAUUCCUUUUCGCCUCAACUUCAAGAUGUUCGCGUUUCCCACUUUUAGUGGAAAAUAUGGCAGUGUGUCGUCUAGAGAUCACAUUUUCAAGUUCUCUAACCAUUGUCUGGCGUUUGAAGACAAUCUUAACUAUAAGUUAAGAUUGUUUGGGAACUCGUUGGUUGGCCUAGCAUCUCAAUGGUAUUCUAUGUUGCCCCCCAAUUCCAUCGCUAAUUGGGGGCAAAUGGAGAUGGCUUUUCAUGAAUAGUUUUAUAGGGUGGAGCCCAAGAUGACUAUCAAUGAUCUAGUGGAGGUAAAACAAUAUAAGCAUGAAUCUAUGAAGGACUUCAUGAUGAGGUUUAUAAAGACAAGGAUGAGGUGCCAAUUCCCUAUCAAUCAUGACCAACUUAUAUCCAUUGCUCAAAAGGCGUUGAGGUUGCCUUUGAGAAAAAAAGUUUUAUGAUGUGCAGUUCAAUGAACUGCAAGAGUUGGUAAGUGCUGCCACAAAGUAUGAGAAGCUGCUAAUUGAAGAACAAUAAGUGAAACACUCAUCUACGAUGCUUCAUUUCUAUAAGAAUAAAGUUGCAAUUCACCAAGUAGAGUUUAAAGAAGGAGAGCCAGAAGGAAGCGGUGAUAAUGAAGGAGAGGGAAUAUAGAUGUGUGCAACAGAAAUGACCGUUCCCUUCAAACCUUUAAUGGUGAAGGGAUUGGUCCAGCCAGUCAAAGACCAGAAAGUGGUAAUGAAUGAUGGCAGUUUUGUCCCUAUGAAAUUUGAUUUGACUAAAGCCUCAGAAAUUUGACUAGUUAUUCUUUUGAUUUGACUAAAGCCUCAGAAAUUUAUGAAGAGUUGGUGCAGGUAAGAGUAAUUGUGCCCGACAACACUAAGAAGAAGCCUAAACCAAAAGAAUUAUACCUUCAAUCAUUCCAUAACUAACAGUGUUCAGUUCAGGGAUUGGAUACAAGACGUCAUAGUCAAGGGAAAGUUGCUUUUAGAAAAACCCUAGGCGAACAUGAUAAUUGAUACAGAUCCAUUCCUAGAAGCUCCAAUAAACAUGAUCAUCCUGACCUGGGAUGAAAAAGGGAAAGGAAAAGCUACUUGAGAAGUAAAAGUAGAAAUAAGGCAAGAUGAUAAGCAUACAGAAGGAGUUAUCAAGUUGUCCGAGAGCCCCAAAACAGCCAUAGUUAAAGGGCUGGUGUUGUGUAAUAAGUACCAGUGUGAAUGUGAACUAGAAGUGCCAGCAUCAGGAGGAGUUGUUAUUGAUCAAAAGUUGAUCAGAAGAAGAGAGAAAGAAGAACAAGAAGCCUGUAAAAACAUCAUGCAGGUAGCUGAGAAAGAGACUUCCAAAAAUGUUUUCCAAAGAUUAGAAGGAGAUUCUGAACCAAAAAAAUUGUUCGAGGUAUUUAGGAACCACGAAACCUUGGAAGAAGUGGAAGAUAAAAAAGCUAAAAUACCAAAUUGGGUGGAGGUUAGGCUGCCCUAGUCGAGUUAUGAAGGUGGUGAUGUCAGGAUGAGGGGAAGAACAAAGAAUAUAGUAUCCCCAGUCACUAAGAAGGGUUGUGCCCAACUUGGGCAGAAAUGGUAUGUAAUUGGAAAAGAUAGGAGACCUAUUAAGGAAAUGGGAGCUUCUAUGAUUAUAAGAGUCCAAAGACAGCACAAAGGCAAUAUGAACUCACUAAAAGUUUUUGCUACAUCAUAAACCUCUGAAAAUGUAAAGUUUGAGAAAGUACCUAAUGGGGGAAGAAAACAACCUCAUUAGAUGAGCAAAAAUGAGGUAGAAAAGACGAAUAGCAAGAUUGAGAGGGAGGGAGAUCAUGUGCCACAAAACCCUCAUCCGGGAAAGUACAGAAUCUUGAGGAGAGCUUAAGAGGAUAUGGCAAUGAUGUCAACCCUAAGAUGGAGCCCAUAACCCAUAUGUUUUGGACCUAUCUUGCCUGAAGGGAGAAUGCCUUCAUCUUUGCUAGUUGAUACUCUUUGUGAAGUCCCAUAACAGGUAUAGAACUUUAGUAUAACUCGGGAGGAAAAGUUGAUCAAGCUAAUGUUGCCAAAAGAAGCACAUGCCUGGUUAGAUGAAUUCAUAGACCACAUUAUGGGCAAGAAAGAGGAUUUACUUAAACCUAGCAACUUCCACGUAAACAUGACAUAUGUUUUAUCUGCCAUGUUUUGCACCGAGCCUGAUCAACCAGCCACAAUGGAAGGUGAUUACUUGGCAACAGAACUUAUGAUGACACAUGUUAGUGUUGAAGAAACAGGAAAAGAAGAAUCCAGCUAGACAGGUUUGCCGGAACACUUAAGGAAAGAGCCUGAGAAAGUGUAUUCUGACAAAAUGGUCUUUAGUUGCCCGAGUAUGUCCUUAGCUAAUCAUAUUAAACCUAUAUACGUAACCGCUCAUCUGGAAUAAGUGCCAUUCAAGAGGAUUCUAGUUGAUGGAGGAGUUGCGGUCAACAUAAUACCAUUGAAGUAAAUGAAGAAUUUAGGAAGAAGUGAAGAAUAUCUCAUUCCUACGGAAUGACUGUGUCUAGCUUCUCUGGAGCUAUUACUAGAACACAUGGGAUACUGCAUUUGGAAGUUGACUUGGGAUCCAAGCAAAUCAUGCUAGUUUUCUUUGUAGUGGAUAAUAGUUCCACUUAUGGAGCUUUGCUUGGCAGGGAAUGGAUUCACCAAAGUCUAUCUACACCAUCUACAUUACACCAACAUAUUACAGUUUACCAUGAAGCCAAAACCAAAAAACCAGAGUUUGGGAGAUGGUAGAGGCCGAAUCACAGCCAUUUCUCCCUACUACCAAUGUUGCAGAAGCCAGCUUUUAUAAUCCUAUUGUUGGGACUCUGCAAUGCCUAGGAACUGAUGAGAACAGCCACCCAACUAAAGUGAUAGCCCAAAAGCUCUUGAACCAAGGAUUGUUCCUCACUAGGGAGGAAUGGGAUAAACCCAGAUCAUCCCAAGUUCCUAACACUAGUAAUGUCAGAAGAAAGAAGGAAUGACCAAGUAGUUGCAGUCAGGUCCUUAAUCAAGAGACUGUUAGUGUAUGAGAGAUAGAGAAAGCAAGAAAAUGAGAGCUCGGCCAAAGAACAAGAGGGAUGGAAGGACGAAGCAUCAAGCAGCUAGACCAAGGGUGAAGAAAAGUUUUUUGGAAAAGAGUUGGAAGCAGCACGAGAGUCCGGAUUUAGUCAAAUUUUUGUGUGCAAAACCUGACAAGCCAGCACCAAAAGUACAAAACUUCUUAGAAACCAUUGAUUUUGGAACUGAAGGGGAUCCAAGGCCUAUACAGAUCAGUGCCCUAUUGGAAGUUGAAGAUCGGGCAAAGAUAAUUAGUCUUCUGCAUGAGUGCAAAGGCGUUUUGCUUGGCAUUACAUUGAGAUGCCAGGUUUAGAUUCAACCUUAGUAGAACACAAAAUGCCUAUUAAUGAGGGAUAUAAACAUGUAAAGCAAGCACCAUGAAGGAUGUCAAAAGAGAUCGAGGAAAAAGUCAAAGAAGAGAUUGAAAGGCUGGUAAAGGCUGGAUUUAUUAGGCCUGCCAAGUAUGUCGAGUGGUUGGUCAACAUUGUACCUGUAUUAAAAGCUAUAACUAAUGCAGUUCAGUAUUGUGUUGACUAUAGAAACAUUAAUGGAGCCACGCCUAAAAAUGAGUAUCACAUGCCCAUGGCUGACUUAUCCAUAGAUGCAGUUGCAAAACACAAAAUCCUAUCUUUCAUGGAUGGGAAUACUGGUUAUAAUCAGAUAAAAAUGGCUAAAGAAGAUAUACAUAAAACAGCUUUUAAGUUCCCAAGCCAUGUUGGAGCAUAUGAUUAUUUAGUCAUGCCAUUCGGGUUUAAAAAUGCUGGUGCAACCUAUCAAAGAGCAAUGAAUGCCAUUUUUCAUGACUUGAUUGGCCAUAGCAUAGAAGUAUACAUUGAUGACAUCGUGGUGAAGUCUAAAACUGAAGAACAACACCUAGUAGACCUCAAACAAGCCUUAACAAGAAUGAGGACCCAUAAGUUGAAAAUGAAUCCUAAUAAAUGUGCUUUUGGGGUAAGGUCGAGCAGCUUUUUGGGAUUCCUUGUUCAUCAAAGAGGGGUGGAGGUCGACAAAAAUAAAGCUUGGGCAAUAAUGGAAUCACCUCCUCCUACUACUAAGGUAAUUACAGAGGCCACUAGGGAAAAUCAACUUCUUUAGGUUCUCCAAAGAAAACCCGUAAUUAGCUUUUUGCCUAUAACUUUCCUUCUACUCACUUGAGGUGAGUGGCAAACUUAAAAUUAUGCAAACUUCCUCACCAUGGCCCACCUCUGUUGGUUCCUUUGGCUAAUUCCCAUUUUGUUUUAGUUGUCAUACAACUUAAACAUAAUGGGCCUCGGGGACCAAAACCCUUUUGAGCUACGAAACCUGAAACUAACUUAAAAGCCCAAUAGAACCUUUCGUAUAAUUAAUUAAUCUUAGCCAUUCUCAAUUAAAUUAUUUAAUUGCUUAUCCAUCUUAUUUAUAUUUGUUAACGUUCAUCCUUACUUGGUGUACGAUCCAUUAGGUUCCAUUUAGCAAAGCAAUGGGCAAUUAUUACUCUUAACAAUUGAUUGUGAAUUGAAAUCACAUUUCAAUUUUUUGUUUGAUGAAGAUUAGUAAUUGCUAAUCUUCAGGGCUUCCACAAACCAUAAGUGUCACCUAACAGUAUUUCAUGGGUACCCAAGCUAAGUAGAAGUGGUUGGAGAACCUAUCCAGUUACAACUACAAUGCAAUUCGGUCAUUCUUUAAUACAAUACUCUUGAUCACAUUGUUUACGUGAUAGUUUGUUUCAUGUCCAUUAUCCAAUGUGAUACUUCUCUAUAUGAUUCAAUUGAAUAUGAUUUGGAACAUUCUUCCUAAGUUAUAUUCAUAUGCUUUGUCCAAAGACUCCAAAAUCAUAUUCAAAGUAUUCUCCUUCUACCAUGGAAGGUUAGAGAUCCCUUGUGCAUUCACAUGCCUACAUGACUACAUAGCUUGACCCCAACAAUGUCGUGGACACUCUCAAUGGAAUGCUUUUGACAUAGUAGAAGAUCAAGGACCUAACCAUCAGAAAACUAUGAUGCCUCAUGUCAAAUGACUACUUUGCAUAUUGCAACUUAUUAGCUAUUACAUGACAUGUAUGUUCAAACUCUCUUUUGAUCGUUGUUCAGUGUACUCGAUUACCCUUUCGAGCACCUAUGUGUUUGUCUUAGUGUCCAACACUAAAUGACUUAAGACUAGUCAUACUCACGCUUGAGUCAACAUAACACAUACUAACCUUAGUGGAUUGUCAAUGCCCUAUUGGCAAUCCUAUGGCUAGGAAUGUUUUAGGAAUGAACAUAAGAGAAAUGUCUCGUUAAUCUAACUUACUUAGAUCACUUUUCUCUUAGAACGAAUACACUUGGAUUCCCCUAUUGCUUACAGUGAUUAACAAUAAGCUUUGCUCUUAUUAACCAAAUAAUAGUUUAACAUAUUGAGUAUUUCAAAAGCUAUUACAUCAAAUAAGUGGCAUUUGUGGGCAUGCCUCCAAUAUCUCCAAUGCCUAAGUUAGUUUCUCUGAAAAGAGUGCGUGUUUAGGGAUUUCUAUGUACAUAAAAGCUUACCCAUUUUUGGUGGAGAAAUGGGGUUUUUAUAAGAGAGGUGGUCAGCCUUUAGGGUUAAAUUUGGUGAGAAUAUUCCCAAGAUAUUGUGUAACUAAUAUCUUGGAAUAAUUGUGAAGAUAUCCCAGAAUAAACGUGAUUGGGAUUACUCACUUAAUAGGGUUUGUCUUCAAUUGGGAAUGUUUAUUUAGGGAUAAUGCAACCUUUGAUUUUUUUUUCCACGUGCAGAGGAGCUCUGAGUAGUCGUAGUUCGCUGCCUGCAUAUUCUGGGAUGUUAAGCUGCUCGUGGAGAAUUUAAAUAUGCACUGCUCAUUUAAUAAGGGCAAUCUUGUCUUUCUUGGCUAAAAGUCCACGUGUCGCCUCCAGGAUUUUUGGAAUUAUUUUUAGCUCACAAACAUGAAUCUCAUUGAGACUUCCAAAGAGCUUGAGAAAAUUGCCUCGCACUUAAAAGCAUAGUCUGAGAUGAAAGAUCUUGGAAAACUUGAUAUUGUCUCAACUUGGAGAUCCAGCAUUGUUCAGAGUGUGGCCUCGUUUUAAUGAGGAUAAAGCGAAGUCUUCAAGUACUCCUAUAAUCGUUCAUACGUUAGAUGCAAAACGAGAUCCUUUCUGAAGGAAAAAAUUUGUCCUAGCUAAGAACAAGUAUGAACAUUUGAAUACACAUGCAAGCUAUUAACACUUUAAAGUAGGCAUGCAUCCAAAAACAAUUCAUAAAACCCAUGACUUUCAAAGCCUAGUAUAUGGUGAACCAAAAUAAACUCUUUAACAACAUUAAAGAGAAAUAAAGAUUUAGUGAUUCUUUACCCUUGAAGCUCAUCCUUGAUUACACAAGGGAUUCACCCAAGUGGAGGGCCUUCAAGUCACCUCCAAGCUCCUUGAAUCCUCCUUGUGUUUUCCUCCCUUUAGUGCUCCUUUGAUGAUUUGAGGAAAAAGGAUUUGUUCUCCAAAACACCAAAAGCUUGAUGUCUCUAAGUCUCUUCACCAAGGAUGUAUCUUGUGAAGAUGAUAUGGAUGACUAAGGAAAGAAGAGAUUGCUAGAUGUCCCUUCCCUUAGUGGCCGGCCUCCUUAGAAGAAAAUGGAGAAAAUGUCUCACCCAAUUUCAACAAGAAGAACCCUAAUGAGAAAAUAGCUAUAAAGUUGCUUUUAUAACCUUUUCUUUGGUGAGUGGCAAACUUGUAAUUAAGCAAACUUUGCCAAUCCACCCUAAUGGCCGGCCAUCCUUUGUUAUUGGGCUAAUUUGCCCAUUUUGUUUUAGUUGUCAUACAACUUAAACAUAAUGGGCCUUUUGGACCAAAACGCUUUUGGGCCCCGAAACCCAAAACCAACAUAUAAGCCCAAUACGAACCUUUCGUAAAAUUAAUUAACUAAUUAAUUAAUCUUGACCAUUCUUCAAUUAAACCAUUUAAUUGCUUAUCCAUUUCAUAUAAUUUCUUCACAUACAUCCUUACUCGGUGUACGAUCCAUUAGGUUCCAAUUAGCGAGGCAGUGGGCGAUGUUACUCUUAACUAUCGAUUGUGAAUUGAAACCACAUUUCAAUUCUCCCUUUAAUGAUUAGUGUUACCUAAUCAUUUGGACUUCCACAAACCAUGAGUGACACCUAGCAGUAUGUCAUGGUUACCCAAGCUAAGUAGAAUUGGUUGGAGAACCUAUCUAGUUACAACUACAAUGCAAUACGGUCCUUCUCUAAUACAAUACUCUUAAUCACAUUGUUUAAGUGAUAGUUUGUUUCAUGUCUACUAUCCAAUGUGAUACUUUCCUAUAUGAUUCCCUUGAAUAUGAUUUGGAACAAACUUCCUAAGUCAUAUUCAUUUGCUUUGGCCAAAGACUUUAGAAUCAUAUCUUAGAGUAUUCUCCCUCCACCAUGGAAGGUUAGAGAUCCCUUGUUGUGCAUUCAUAUGCCUACAUGAUUAGAUAGCUUGACCCCAACAAUGCCGUGGACACUCCAAAGGAAUGCCGUUGACAGGAUCAAAGAUCAAGGACCUAACCAUUAGACAUCGAUGAUGCCUCAGGUCAAAGGACUACUUUGCAUAUUGCAACUUUAGAGUUCAUACAUGACAUGUAUGUUCGAACUCUCUUUUGAUCGUAGUUCAGUGUACUCGAUUACUCUUUCGAGCACCUAUGUGUUUGUCUUAGUGUCCAACACCAAAUGACUUGAGACUAGUCAUACUCACGCUUGAGUCAACACAACACAUACUAACCUUAACGGAUUGUCAAUGCCCAAUUGGCAAUCCUAUGGCUAGGAACGUUUUAGGAAUGAACAUAAGAGAAAGGUCUCGAUAAUCUAACUUACUUAGAUCACUUAUCUCUUAGAACAAAUACAUUCCUUGGAUUCUCUUAUUGCUUAAACACGUUAUACAAUAAAUAGUGAUUAACAAUAAGAUUUGCCCUUCAUUAAACAUAUAAAAGUUUAAUACAUUAAGUAUUCCAAAAAGCUAUUACAUCAAAUGAGUGGCUUUGUGGGCAUACUUCCAACACUUUCCAUCCUAAAGAGGAUAAGGAUGAGGUUUUAGAGCCUGGAUAUUCAUACUUUACUGCAAUUGACGCUUUAUUAUACUUAACAUAAUGCACUAGAUCAUACAUCUCUUUCGCUAUUAAUCUUUUGACAAGGUAUAGUAAUGUGCGUACACGCAUACAUUGGGCUGGUUAUGUAUUUAACGUUAUAGACACCUCUAUUUGUACUAUACUUGACCAAUCCUGAAACUACUAAGCAUCGGUCAAUGUUAUACCGUCAAGGACCCAGAAGACUUUCCCUCCAACCAGGAGGCCAAUCAUAGCGGGACACAUGUCGAUAUCAGAAGCCAAUCAUAGCGCGACACGUGUCAACAUUAGAAGCCAAUCAUAACACGACACAUGUUAAUGUCAAAACAAAGAUAGAAACUCUCUUUUAUAAAAGUAGAUCAUUUUCCCACAAUAUUUUCGAAUGUCAUUUGUUAAAUCAUUCACUUGUACUUACUAAAGGAGAGCUUGAACUUAUGUACUUAUGUAAACCCUUCACAAUUAAUGAGAACUCAUCUACUCCGUGGACGUAGCCAAUCUGGGUGAAACACGUACAUCUUGUGUUUGCUUCCCUGUCUCUAUCCAUUUACAUACUUAUCCACACUAGUGACCGGAGCAAUGUAGCGAAGGUCACAAACUUAACACUUUCUGUUGUACCAAAGUCCUCACUGAUUUUGUGCAUCAACAUUUGGCACCGUCUGUGGGAACAACACUUAUUCCCACUCUCUUCAGCUUUAUUAAGCUGGUUUCCACCAUUCAUACACUCUCUUUUGAGCAGGCAACCCUUUCCAACAUAGGGAGCGAAGGAAGCCACAGCAUACAGAAUGACAUCCCUCUUGCAUCUGGUGCGAAGCAACGAAAAAAGGAACAAAAGAAGUUUGUUAUUCAAGCUAAAGUUGAUGAGCUAGAAGCUCAGAACAACAAGAUAGCAAUGAAGAAUGAGGUCCUCCAAGGGCAGUAUCAGAAGCUCUUUGAGACGCUCCACGAAAAUAGGCGUACUCAAAUACGCGAGCUCAUUGCCCCUGUGGACAUCAACCAUCAUCUGGGUGUCCCCCAACACAGAAGGUCACCUUCCUUCGACAUGGGUAUCCCUGAUGAGGAACGAGCUAAUCAUUAAAACAUUGAUCAACAUAAGACUUCUCUCAACCCAGUUGCUUCAACCCGAAGCAUGAGAAGUGGAGGAAAACACCUCCUUGCAGAAGGGUUGGAAGGAUCGAAAGCCGUUUAUCGUGACUGCCGAGACUUCCUAAAGCAACGUCGAGAGAAUCCCCUCCACAUAUGCUCGAAGAUCAACAACCCAAGGUUUCUGAAAGACUCGGUCCUCUCCCACGACCCAGGCCAGGUGCCAAUCUAAGGAAUGAACGACAGGUCCCAGAGGAACAUGAAGGUACAGGGGACUCUGAGGUAUUCCGACAGACUCGCCCUAGAAGUUAGUACGGCGAGUCCAAGGAAAAAUCACAUGCCCUUGCUCAAACUUUCCUACUUCCAAAAUGCGAUGAAGACUUACGAAAGAAAAUUCCAGUGGUACAUGACUCCACUCAAGACCCCGUGUCUUACAGCUCAUUGAGGAAGGAAACAAGUUGAAGGCCGAACGUCAGGCUAAGAUACCUAACUGGAACCAACCCAGGCCUGGCCCUUUCACAAGGAGGAUCCUCGACACCCCUUUCAAAUGAAGAUAAAACAAAAGCUUGGUUUACAACUCUAUACUGGAAGGGAGGACCCAAUUGAACACCGUAACCUCUUUAAGUCCACCAUGGCAUAUCGGAUGCACACCGACAAAAAGCGAUGUCUUCUCUUCCCUUCCACCCUCUCUGGCGGAGCUCUAAACUGGUAUUGCAGUUUUCCACCUGAAACAGUAGACUCAUUUGAGGAGCUGAGGAAACUGUUUGUCUUUCAACACAUCUUCCAGACUGAUCAUUUGCAUUCUGCAGAUGACUUGUACACUAUUCGCCAGAAGUCGGACGAGUCACUACAAGAGUAUGUCGGUCGCUUCAGCCAUGAGUAUUCUCGCUGUGCUGAGGCAGAUGAUAAAACCGCCCUAAAGGCCUUCAUGGCAGGCCUACGUGAUUGUUUCUUCCAUGAUCAAUGCCAACACUUGGAAGACUUACUCUAAGGUGAUGGCACAGUCUUACAACCAUGCCUCCGUUGAGGCAAGGACAUAUCAAGGGAAACCCCCCACAGCCACCCCUUAUCAGCAAGUAAAGAAUAGAAGCCAGAUCUAACCAAAUGAGAAGACCUUGACCUUCCAAAUGGCAGCGGUGCCUCCCUCUGCUUUACUUAAUACUUCGCCAAGUCAAUAGACAUAUCAAUCUCAGGGUAAAAGGAAAGAUUUACAUCCUCACCAGUCUCAUUUUAGUAAAAGGAGUAAGGGACACUAUCGCGAUAACCAAAGGUAUCACCAUGAUAAUGCCCGCCCCCAGGCAGUCAACACAGUGGGCCAAGCAUGUGUCAUGAUAGGCCCUACCCCGAGGUAUGAGACAUACACACAUUUGAACACCACAUGCAUGGCCAUUUACCCCAACAUAGCACACCUGAUACCGAAGCUAAUACCUAGGCAGUCAAGUUACAAGCCCCUGAAGAACAUGGGCACGUUUUGCUGCCACCACAAGCAUAACGGCCAUGACGGCGAAAAGUGUAUCACCCUUCGUGAUCAUAUUGAAGCUUUGGCACGUCAAGGAAAAAUUGAUCAAUUCCUCCGUCACCCUCCAAGGGGUAACCGCAACCAACGCCAGGUGAAUGUGAUAUAUUCCAUAAAUGGUGACACACCAUAUCUAAAUCUUCCAACAUGGCCAUGAAAAAUAGUGAACGAGCUUUAAGGUCUGGCCACCAAGUGUUUCACGUGGAAGACAUCAGGGGAGGCAAGUAUCAAAAGCCUAACUAGGAUCCAAUAUGUUUCUACCCAGAGGAAGAAAAAGGUAUUAUCUACCCUCACAACGACCCACUGAUCGUGGAAGCUCAUAUAGCCAACUUUGAAGUACGACGAAUCCUGGUAAACACGAGGGCUUCGGUCAAUAUCAUGUUUACUGAAGCUUUUAAGGGCAUUUAAUGUAGCUGAACACUUGCUCGAUCGCUCGAUUUCUCCUCUGAUAAACUUCUCCAGUGAUAUCGUGCAACCUUUAGGGAGCAUACACUUACCUUUCACCAUUGGUACAUGCCCUUAAACAACUACUAUUACAACUAACUUCCUAGUGAUUGAUUGCCCAACGGCAUACAAUGUAAUCUUUGGACGCACAUGCAUCAAUGAUCUCAAGGCCAUGGUAUCCACACAUAUGUUGUUGAUGAAAUUUCCAACCCCCUAUGGCAAUGGUUACAUCAGAGGAGAUCAACUUAGUACACGAUCAUGUUACAACACUUCGGUCAAGCAACAGCACCUACCUGUGCCCAAGAAAACACUUUCUAUACAUGACCAAGUUAUAAAGACCAGCCCAGACGAAGCCAACUUGGAUCUUCACAGUGGCAACAGUCAACCUGAUGAUCUUCGAGAUGACUUUUUCACCCAGCAAGCACAACCCGCUGAAGAGUUGGAGAAGCUCUCUAUCUUAAAAGAUUAUCCGGAUCGCAUGGUGAAGAUUGGCACCACCUUGUUACCACCCAUUCGGUUGUCAUUGAUCUAUUUUUUUACAAGAGAACACUGAGGUCUUCGCCUGGUCAUACGAGGACAUGCCAGGCAUCCCUCCCGAUAUCAUCUGUCAUCGCUUAAGUAUUAACACCAAGACCAAGCCAAUGAGAUAGAAGUUAAGAUCUUAUGACGCUGAACGGUACGAGGCAAUGAAGGCAGAAGUUGAAAAACUCAAAGGCAUAGGCUUCGUCCACGAAGUCAAUUAUCCAAUGUGGGUAACAAAUGUUGUCCUUGUUAAGAAGAAUCCGACCAAGGAAAUUCUCCUGCUCCAAAAGGUUUUGUGGAGAAUGUGUGUUGAUUACACUGACCUAAACAAAGGAUGCCUAAAGUAUAGCUUUCCUCUUCCUCUCAUAAAUAAACUUAUAAACUUUACGGCAGGGUGUGAACUCCUGAGCUUCAUGGAUGCUUACUCAGGAUACAACCAAAUCCUCAUGAACCCUCCAGACCAAGAACACACAGCCUUCACUACUGACAGAGGACUAUAUUGUUAUAAAGUCAUGUCAUUUGGCCUAAAGAAUGCAGGAAUGACUUAUCAGAGACUGGUCAAUUCAAUGUUUGCCAAACAGAUUGGGAAGAGCAUGGAAGUGUACGUUGAUGAUAUGCUAGUUAAAAGAAAACAUGCUGACCAAUAUAUCGCUAACCUAUCUGAAACUUUCACCAUUCUGAAGAGGUAUCGAAUGAGGUUGAACCCCAACAAAUGUGCCUUCGGCGUAGGCUCUGGAAAAUUCUUAGGCUUCAUGAUUAGCCAACAAGGCAUUGAAGCUAAUCCCGAGAAGAUCCAAACAAUCCUCUACAUGAAGGAACCGGUAACUUCAAAAGACGUACAGGCUCACUUGAGGAAUGUUACCUACAAGCAGCACAUCUCCAACUACUAUGACUCAAAGGUCAAACCUCGUUCUUUCAAAGUAGGGGACUGGGUAUUGAAGAAAGGAUUACUUUACGACAGAGUCUCGAGUGAAAGAACAUUUAGUCCAAAUUAGGAUGGACCGUUUGAAGUUGUUGGUAUCAAUCGCCCUGGCUCCUACAAGUUUAGAAGCUCUAAUGGCAAGACCUUUGGCCAUCCAUAGAACGCUGAUCACUUGAAGUACUAUUACAAGUAAACUCACAUUGUACAAGUGUUGAGCUUCAGCCAUUCGGCAUUCUAUGUAACGAAGACUAUUUGGCAUGAAUUCAAUAAAGAGGUGAUUUAGAUAACUCGGUCCAAAUCCUCUUACAUUCCUAGCAAUGAAACACUCGGGUUCAAAGCUUCAACAUGAAUGCUUCUAACAUGAAACAAAGUCUAAGUAUAUGUCAACAAGACUAUACAAAUAAACGAACAACUUCACAAUAUAUUCGUUCAAUCAUACAUUCCAACACAUUCAUACAUAAGCCAACUGUGCUUCAAAAGGGUUCAACAUACUUUAUGUCAUUCGACACUUGCUACAAUGUGCCUCAACACCUUGCCAUUAUUCUCACCAACCAGGUGAUGAAAUGUGAAGAAUGAACUCAACUUCAUGCCACCAACCAGGUGAUGAAAUGUACAACCCGUACUCUCCUUCAUGCCACCAACCAAGUGAUGAAAUGUACAACCCGUACUCUCCUUUAUGCCACCAACCAGGUGAUGAAAUGUACAACCCGUACUCUAAUGUCAUUUGGCAACUUGCCACUCAUGCCACCAACUAGGUGAAGAAUGAACUCAUCUUCAUGCCACCAACCAGGUGAUGAAAUGUACAACCCAUACUCUCCUUCAUGCCACCAAUCAUGUAAUGAAAUGUAUAACCCGUACUCUAAUAUCAUUUGGCAACUUGCCACUUAUGCCACCAACCAAGUGAUGAAAUGUACAACCCGUACUCUCCUUCAUGCCACCAACUAGGUGAUGAAAUGUACAACCCGUACUCUAAUAUCAUUUGGCAACUUGCCAUUCAUGCCACCAACCAGGUGAAGAAGGAACUCAUCUUCAUGCCACCAACCAGGUGAUGAAAUGUGAUGAAAGGUGAUGAAGGAACUCACCUUCGUACCACCAACCAAGUGAUGAAAGCAACUCACCAUUCAUUCCACCUACCAGAAGACGAGUGGUACAACUUGUACAUGUGAACUCCUAGCAUUCACAAAUAAUCAAAAACCCUCAAGCUUGACAACUCAACUAGGGGAGCACUUAUGCCCAACAAGAGUUAUAUAGUCACCAACAAAGUCUUAUUGCAAGCCAACAACAACUUCAGUGCAUGGCAUACGAAGAUCAAGCUAUUCAGCCCUCUUGCAUCUGCUUCAAACAUUUCUCCUCUGUAACAAUGCAAACACUACAACUCGUAGAAAGCUUCACACACUCUUGAUCAAGACAGUGUGAAGCAAAACCAAUUUAUGGUGCCAACAAGAGCUUCAUCAAUGGAGGGCAACCACAAUUCUCAAAAGCUUCACACACUCUUGAUCAAGACAGUGUGAAGCAAAACCAAUUUAUGGUGCCAACAAAAGCUUCAUCAAAGGAGUUCAACCACAAUUCUCAAAAAGCUUCACACACUCUUGAUCAAGACAGUGUGAAGCAAAACCAAUUUAUGGUGCCAACAAGAGCUUCAUCAAUGGAGGGCAACCACAAUUCUCAAAAGCUUCACACACUCUUGAUCAAGACAGUGUGAAGCAAAACCAAAUUUAUGGUGCCAACAAGAGCUUCAUCAAUGGAGGGCAACCACAAUUCUCAAAAGCUUCACACACUCUUGAUCAAGACAGUGUGAAGCAAAACCAAUUUAUGGUGCCAACAAGAGCUUCAUCAAAGGAGUUCAACCACAAUUCUCUCAAAAGCUUCACACACUCUUGAUCAAGACAGUGUGAAGCAAAACCAAUUUAUGGUGCCAACAAGAGCUUCAUCAAUGGAGUUCAACCACAAUUCUCAAAAGCUUCACACACUCUUGAUCAAGACAGUGUGAAGCAAAACCAAUUUAUGGUGUCAACAAAAGCUUCAUCAAUGAAAGGCAACUACAACUUAUAGAAAGCUUCACACUCUUGAUCAAGACUGUUCGAAGCAAAUUCAAUUUAUAUGGUUCAUCCAAACCUUCGACUACUUCAAUUUGUAUAUGUUGUCUCUUCCAUAUUUUCAAAUUUCUAGUUUCCCAACAAAAAAAAAUGGGAAAUUCAACAAAGCUUCAUCAAUAAAGGACAACUACAAAUUCUCAAAACCUUUACACUAUCUUGAUCAAGAUAGUGUGAAGCAAAAUCAAUUCAUGGUACCCAACAAAGCUUCACCACAAAAGCUUCACCAACAAAAGCUUCAUCAAUGGAGGACAACUACAAAUUCUCAAAAGCUUCACACUAUCUUGAUCAAGAUAGUGUGAAGCAAAAUCAAUUCAUGGUACCCAACAAAAUCUUUAACUCCAAAGCUUCACCUACAAAGCUUCAACUCCAAAGCUUCACUUACAAAAGGUUCAACACAAAAGCUUCACCUACAAAGCUUCAACUCCAAAGCUUCAACACAAAAGCUUCAUCCACAAAAGCUUCACUCACUAAAAAAGCUUCACCUACAAAAGCUUCACCCAUAAAAGCUUCACCAACAAAAGCUUCACCCACAAAAGCUUCACCCACCACAAAAGCUUCACCUACAAAAACUUCACCCACCACAAAAGCUUCACCCAUAAAAGUUUCACCAACAAAAGCUUCACCCACCACAAAAGCUUCACCCACAAAAGCUUCACCUACAAAAGCUUCACACUAUCUUUAUCAAGAUAGUGUGAAGCAAAAUCAAUUCAUGGUACCCAACAAAGCUUCAACCUCAAAGCUUAACCUACAAAGCUUCGACACCAAAGCUUAAUAUAUAUAUAUAUAUAUAUAUAUAUUCAAAAAUUCAAAAAUUCGAAAAUUCGAAACAAAAAAUUGCCUAAGCUUCCUCUUCUUUGGGCCUAACAACUUUCAUAACAAAUAUAUAUAUGAAGAAGGAGUUUUAGGCUACCACUUAGAAAGGAAAUGCCUCAUUCGUCAACUCCCUCGACCGGAGACUUGGGGGACUCCUACCAUAUGCUACUGCACUUUGAUACUCGAAAGUCUCACGACCACUCAGUGACUUGGAUUUUUCAAGUCUCCAACUGAGAAGUUUUCCUCACUUGGGAAAUUAAGGGAGCACUACCUCAACAUACAUGCUUCACUCACAAAGCUUCAACAUACAAGCUUCAACAAAAGAAAAAAUUCAAAGAACUUAGUGAAGAAGGCCUUGGUGUAUUUAACACAAUACGUUGAAAUGAAGCAAAGCUUGUUUAUUGAUAUCUUCGAUAAGUUACAAAUAUGUACAUAUACAUGAAUAAAAAUAAACAAACAAGAGGGAGCCUUCACAAAGGUUGCUCAGGAGAAGUCUCAGCAGUCGGCAGAGCCCCAGAAAGAGGAGGCACCAAAGGGUGAUUAUUUGAAGCCUCAAUACUGGGCAGAACCCCAGAAGAAUGAGGCACCGAAGGUUGAUCAUUUGGAGCUGCAUUAUGCGGUACAACCCCAGAAGACGAAGGCAAUAAAUGCCUUUGGAACAAACCCACAAACCUCUGAUGAUCAAGUAAAAUCUGACCAUCAGAUUCCUGCAGCUGGUCGAGCUUCCUCUUCAUGUUUGUAGCAUAGUCAUGUGCGAGCCUGUGCAACUGUUUAUUCUCAUGCUUGAGCCCUAUGAUCUCUUGUUUGAGACUUAUCACUUCAGCCGCCAAUGAUUCAACUUGGUGGGUUAGACACAGAACCUGCACACUGAACACUGAGAGCCUGAGAAUCCUUAACAGCCAACUCAUCAGACCGUUUGGAAAGUAGUCUGUUAUCUUUGGGAGUGAGAAGGUUCCUGGCCACCACCGCAGCGGUCAUAUCAUUCUUCAUCACAGAGUCCCCAACGGUAAAAGAACCAGUAGGGGAUAAGAAGGAUGGGCGCCAUAUGUUGUCUUGAGAAGGCAUGGCUGCCUCUUCACCAAAGUUCAAGUCAAAAUGACGGUCGGAUGGGCCAGACAUUCUCAGAAACGAUGAAGGAGAAAUAAGGUGCAAUAAAUCUCUGAAGUACAAAAAUAAAGGGAAAAUUUAUGCAAGUAAUAACUCUCUGAACGUACUUCUUGCACACAAUUGGUGCCCCUAUAAAAGAAAGGGCAACAUGGCCGUUGGUUCAAAAAUCGAAGAGGCACCACUCUUCGGAUUUCUAGAAGCAAAUUUUCCUGAGUAAAAUAUGUCGACAAUCCCCGCACGCAACAUCAGCUCCUUAGGUACCACAGAUAACUUUGCCAAAGAUCUCUAACAAAGUUUAGACAUAUAAAUUUAACCCUACUAUUACCCACAAAGGUAAAGGAACAAACCGCUGCUUGAUAACUAAAAAGUCCCUAUGUGUGUCGACCUCCGUGCUCAGUGGCAAGGCAGACUGGCAAAAAUGCCCAACCUUUACUCACAUUCGAGAAAACAUUCCCAAUAAGGUUACUUGCUCAAAUAUCGAAGAGGCACCAUUCUCCGAAUCUCAAGAGCCAGACUCCCAACAGGAUUAUUUGCUCAAAAAUCGAAGAGGCUUCGCCCUCCGAAUCUCGAGAGCCAGACUCCUAACAGGAUUACUUGCUAAAAAUCAAAGAGGCAUUGCUCUCCAAAUCUCAAGAGCCAGACUCCCAACAAGAUUACUUGCUCAAAAAUCGAAGAGGCAUCGCCCUUCGAAUCUCGAGAGCCAGACUCCCAACAAGAUUGCUUUCUCAAAAAUCGAAGAGGCACCGUUCUCCGAAUCUCGAGAGCCAGAUCCCAGACAUGAUUGCUUGUUCGAACACCGAAGAGGCACCGCUCUUCGAACUUCGAGAGCCAAAUUUUUAGAUAAAGCUUGUCUGCAAUCUUCACACGCAACAUCAGCUUUCCAGAUACCACAGACCACUUUUUCAAAGUGCUCUGACAAAGUUAAAACACGUGAAUCUUGCAGCUUCCACUACAUUGCUAUGAUCGAGAAGGGUAAAGGAACAGCGUUACCACUCGAUUUUGGGACAAUUCCUAUAUAUGUCGACCCUCUUCCUCCACAUCCAGGCAGACUUGCAAAUAAAAAAAUGUUCAACUUUUCUUCACAUCCGAGAGGGCACUCUCAGCAGAGUCUCUAAAAAUACUCAGCUUCUUUUCCCCCCGAUAAUACCUCUACAAACAAGCCACACCAGAGCAAGAGUAUCUCAUAUCAUCAGGGUUAAAAGCAAGAGUAUCUCAUAUCAUGCUUUUUCCUUGUCUUUUCCUUUGGCCUUGUUCUUACUUGCAAGAUAAGGAGAAAGAGAGCAAUCAAUCAACACUUGGAAUCAAGCUUCCAGUUAGGAACUGACUGCCUGGAACCCCUUGCCUUAUUACUUACAUGGCAUUGCUCUCGAGUACUCAUUUUCAACAUCUAAUGCUUCCAGAGAAGAUACCACAUAUGCUUGAGGAACAGAUAAGGCAAGUGAGAAGGAUACAAGGAAGUAUGUGGAGACAAGCGUAACAAAACACGUGCCGAUACAUCCACUACUUUGUCAACAGCAAAAGUAUCCCAUAUCAUCAAAGUCGAACGUACUCUAGAUUUGAUGGACUUGUUUUGACCCUCAAAUUCUUGAGUCGGCCUUAUACUUUGGAGGAAACCAGAAAACCUUCCAGCCUAGUUCAAGAAUAAGCCUGUGGAAAUUUACUUCUUCAAAAGCAAAAGUAUCUCAUAUCAUCUUUUCUCUUUUUUCUUCUCUUUAUCCUUCUUGCUGCCUGCAAGAUAGGGAGAAUGAGAACAAUCAGCCAGAACUCGAAAUCAAACUUCUGAUCUAGGACUGAUUACUUGGAACUUUGAUUGCUUACCUUGUCUGUCACCUCUUUCGGCAAAUCUCCUAGCUCGACGGCUUAGGAGACUCCUACUACAUGGUUUGUAUCGUGCUUGACCUAGCCUGAAACUACAAGUAAGCUUCAAGUCAAAUUGAUACAUUACCUUGUGCAUCUCCACCGGUUAAAGAUACCACCCCUGGAUGGAGGAAAAGUACUUUCAGAGAAGAUGCCACAUCUAUUUAUGAGACAAAUAAGGCAAGUGAAGACGAUAUCACACUUCGAUACUUAGAAGUUUCAUGAUUACUCAGCGGCUUGGAUCUUGCAAGUCCCCAACCGAGGAGCAUCCCUCACUCAGGAACCUAGGGAAGCACUGUUUGUACCAUACUUGACCAAUCCUGAACUACUGAGCACUGGUCAACGUUAUACCGUCAAGGACCCAUAAGAGUUUCCUUCCAACCAGGAGGCCAAUCAUAGCGCGGCAUGUGUCGACAUCAGAAACCAAUCAUAGCGCAACACGUGUCAACAUCAGAAGUCAAUCACAACACGACACGUGUCAAUGUCAAAACAAAGAUAGAAACUUUCUUAUAUAGAAGGAGAUCAUUCUCCCACAAUAUUUCCGAAUGUCAUUUGUACUAAAUCAUUCACUUGUACUCACUAAAGGAGAGCUUGAACCUAUGUACGUAUGUAACCCUUCAUAAUUAAUGAGAACUCCUCUACUCCGUGGACGUAGCCAAUCUGGGUGAACCACGUAGCUCAAUAUUGUGGAGGUCAACCAAGAAGACCUUAGUUGCAACUUUUUCGAACCAUGCUGAAAUUCUCGCCUUGCAUGAAGCUACGCGUGAAUGCUUAUGGCUGAGAAACAGUUAUGGAACAUAUUUGAAUCACCUGCGGACUUUGUCAUUGACGUCCCUACAACAAUAUAUAAAGAUAACGCAGCAUGUAUCGAACAAAUUAAGAAGGGAUACAUCAAACGAGACAACACCAAACACACUGCGUCAAAAUUCUUCUUUUCACAUCAGCAACAAGAGCAUCAGAAGAUUGAAAUCAAGCAAAUCUAUUCCCAGGACAACCUAACUGAUCUUUUUACCAAGUCAUGGCUAAAGUCUACUUUUAGAAGCUUGUUCAAGGAAUUGAUAUGCGUAAAUUAUAUGUUUUGAAUUACUUGUAGUUCUCAUUUGGAAGUUUUGUCAAGUUCAGGGGGGUAUCUAGAAUGUGGGACCAUGAUUUUCCUGGGCGGAAGUAAGGCGGAACAAAAUACAAAUACCUCAGAAGUCAUGUCAUGGACUCAACAACUCUGAGCAGAGCUGGAUUAAUGGAGCCAUGAUGCCACCAUCAUCCUAUUCCAGAGUAAUGGGUGAAGCCCAAACAACUUUGUUGAGAAUGCCCAUUCUUGUUCUACAAGAUAUGGAAACCUGACUCAACAUGGAAUCAGCCAGGUUUCCUAUAUAUCAUGGAGUUCUUAUAAUCUAGGAACUAGUAUGCGCCGUAAGUAAUCACACUCUUGACUAGUAUAAAUACCCCCUUAUAGGGUUCAUCUCUAGUAACGCAGUCAUCACACUCUAACUCUCUUACUUACUACUUGAGUCUUAUAUUUACUUACUAACCCGAUCUUUGGCUUUCGCACAGUUGUUUGUUAUUUUAUAGGUUACUCGAAUUUGUGCAUCUCUACCACCUAUAGCGAUGCACGAAUUUGGUUCCAACACAGACGUAUAUUCACUUAAUCUUAAUGUACUCUUUUUAACUACGCUUAGAUGCAAUUUUUCUUUUGUUUUUUUUUUUUUGCUACCUGACGAGGUUUUAACAAGGCACCCAUCUUAGGUUGGUCAUAUCCUUGUGUUCAUUCUACUUGCGUCCUAAAGGUGUUUAGUUUUGACUUAAUGUAAGUUCUCAUUUUUCUCCUAAAACUAUGGGGAUUUAUCCUACUAUGAGUUUUACCAUAGUAACUUUUAUGAAUUCUACUACUUAUGCAUUCUUUCGUUUAAUUUAAGACUUGCAUUCCCUCACUGUGACGACGACUUCAUCAAUUGAACUUACUUCAUCCUUGAAGACCUGAUGCAACAUUUUGUUUUAGUAUUUACACACUCAAGAGGGAGUGUUGCAGUCUUAGUUUAGUUAGGAAUGUGAUUAUGGAAAUCCUAUUGAGAUUCUCCCCUCUUUACUACUAUAAAUAAAGGCACAAUGAAGUGAGAUAACACACACCUCAUAAUUCAUUGAUUCAAGGAUCUAAACUGCCUAUAUUUCAAUUCAUCAACAAUAGAUCAUCCUUAAAAAAAAAUUAGACAAAUCCAAAACCACUAAGACAUUCAGAUGUAUUGAAGAAAAUGAAUUUGGGUGGUUUUUGAUAGAGAUGAUCAUUAAGAAGGAGAUACAAAAGAUAGACGGUUGGAUUGUUAAAAGACAUUACGGAGUGAACCCCACGAAAAGAUGUGUCAAAAUGUUGUAAAAAAGGUGUGCCUCCAAAUCAUCCAAACCCAUAAAUAUACAUAUACGUAUAUUUGGGAAGUUUGGGAACAACAUAUAGGCUUGAGUCCCUGUAGUUAGUGUGCUAAUAUACUUAUUAACUUUUCAGAAAUCAAACCUUUAAGUAUAUAUUUAAGAAGUUUUGGGAAGUUAGUACUGACACACCCUGACUUGGGUAUCCAAGCGAACACCAAAAUCGAGGCAUGUUAGCUGACACAUGAAUGGGUGGUGAGAGCCAUAACAUGCACUGUCAGAGCAUAGUUUAAACUAAAUUAACUAAGAGUGAAGUGCGGGAAUGAACCCUUAGUACAGUGAUGCAGUGUCAUAGCAUAGUUAAAAUUGAAAUAAAAAAUAGAAUAUUCUAUCUUGGUUAGGAUGGAUAUUAUACAACUAAUAGGAGGUAGAAUUCUGACAUUAUUGUACGCAAAUGUCAAAACCACCAGUGGUCCCUCAUCGCCACAAAAUCCAACUACUUAGUCCGGGAGGGGCGCAAAUCAAAGAGCGUGAGUAGGCAAAAAUAAGGGUUUCUAAAACCUUCGCUUUUCAUAACAUAAUAACCCUUUGUUGUGAAACCCUUGUUGCAUCAAAAUACAGCCCUAGCCUUUGUGUGAUGCAUCGAUGUAAACUUCAUAUUCACCACUCUCGUCAGGAAGUACAAGUACUGGAGCGUGAGUGAGGCGAUAUUUAAGUUCUUGAAAACUAUGCUCACAAUCAUCAUUCCACUUAAAAGUCGCACCCUUUCGGGUCAACUUAGUAAGUGGGGCAGCAAUUGACAAGAAAUAUUUCACGAAUCUUUGGUAGUAUCCGACCAAACCCAAGAAACUUCGAAUCUCGGUAACAAUCUUCGGUUACUCGCAAUUGAUAACGGCAAAAAUUUUCUUAGGAUCAACAAAGAUUCCCUCAGCCGAGAUGAUGUGGCCUAAGUAACCAAUGUUAUCCAACCAGAAUUGACAUUUGUUGAACUUCGCAAACAACUUCCUCUUUCGUAACCUUUCCAACAGUAACCUUAGAUGACAGACAUGUUCUUGUUCACACUUGGAAUAUGCCAAGAUAUCCUCGAUAAAGAUCAUCACAAAUUCAUCUAAAUAAGAUUAAAAAUCCUAUUCAUCAAAUCCAUGAAAGUCGCAGGAGCAUUUGUCAAGCAGAAAGGCAAGACAAGGAAUCCAUAAUGACCAUAUCAGGUCCGAAAUGCAAUUUUAGGGACAUCCUCAUCUCGGAUCUUCAACUGAUGACACUUCAAUCUUGAAUCAAUCUUGGAAAAGACUUCUUUUCCUAACAAACAAAAUUGGAGCACCCCAAGGCGAGAUACUAGGUUGAAUAAUACCCUAUCAACCAGUUCUUGUAGUUGAAUUUUCAAUUCUCUUAACUAGGCAGAUGUCAUAUGAUACGGAGUAAGAGAGAUUGGAUUGGUACCUGGUAAAAAAUCGAUGGUGAAUUCAAUCUCCCGAUCAGAGGGCAAUCUAGAUAAAUCCUAUAGAAAUACAUUGAGGUACUUAUUUACGAUCGUCACAUCUUCAACAUUAGGGACUUCUUUUUCUUUAACCGUGACAUGAGCAAUGUAUCCCGCACAUCCUUUAGACAAUAGUCUUUUAGCUCGGAGUCAAGAAAUAAGACUAUUAGGUAAGAUCCUUCGUUCGCCCUUGAAUUUGACAUAUGCUCCUCCAGGUGGACGAAAGAUUACCAACUUCUGAAAACAAUCAAUGUGAGCAUGAUGUCUCGAUAGCCAAAUCAUACCUAACAUAAGGUCAAAAUUUACCAUAUGUAGGGGUACAAGAUCCGUUUCCAUGAGUACUGCACUCAUAAAGAUCAGACAAUUUCUAAAUUCCCAGUUAAUUCGAAUGGUUUCUCCCAUAGGAAACAUAAUCCAAAUUCAUGAUCUAAUAAAGUAUGUUGAACAUUCUCCAUACAAGUAAAUUGAGGAGAUAAACAAGAAUGGGUAGUGCCUAGAUCAAUUAAAAACUCAAGCAAGAUAUCCAAAAGCAUUUAACGUACCAGUGAUAACAUUAGGAUCCUUAUCGGCCUACUGACGAUUCAUUUCAAACAUAUGAUUCUACGUUGCACCACCCGAACCACCAGAAGUAAGUCCACCAUGAGAUCUAUGAGUUUAACCCCGAUGACCCUAUCGGUUAAUCUAACUCCGACUACCAGAAACUCCACCGCUGGACUGUCCCUAGGGGUUGCGUUUAUUGCACCGAACUAUCUCAGACUGGACUAGCUUUAGGGAUUAAGCUAGACUGCUUAGAUUAGACUAAGUUGGACUAACUUAGUGAAGUAUUUGGUACAAUGUCGGACUAAAAAGAGAAUAAUAAAAAAAAUUUCUUUUUUAUUCUUUUUCUUUCUAUUUCUGGAACUCUCUAUCUAUUUUUCUUUUUCUUAUUAUUUUUGUUUUCUAGGACUUUCUAUUUGAUUCUCCAUCUAUUUUUCUUUUUCAUUUUUUUCUUUUCUUUUCUUUUCUAGAACUCUGUAUUCUCUCCCUUCUCUGUUUCUCCAUCUGUAGUCCCCUAAGUUAGUCAAAGUGCACAAAUUGAUAAUCACAAAAUGGAGACAUGCCUCACUUUCAAUUCUCAAUUCCUAAUAUUUUUUUUCCCCAAAUUUCCAAUUCCCACCAAAAACCCCAAUGACUGCUCAUCCCAAUUCCAUCGGCGACCAUGUCAAGUUUUGCCAUUCGACAACCUCUCUCUCUCUUUCCUUUGUUUUCUCGUCUAAAUUCAUCCGGCCAAAUCCCUCUCUUUCCCAAUUUCAUCAGCGGGCAUGGCAAGUUUUCCGGUCUAGGUGGUUCUGAUUCUAAGAUUUUAGGGGGUUUUUGGUGGUUCUGCACUCCAUCGCGAUGCAAGAUUAUGGUGGUGGGUCGAGGGGCUUUAGGAAGACAAGAGGCAGUGACAUAGUCCUAGCUAAUACCAAAGUUUCAGUCGGGACUAGCUAGCGACGCUUAGCGAAGUUCAGAGUCGAGGCGAGUCCGACCUAGAAUCAUUUAAGUUAGUCCCUUGCUACGCCAAACACAGGACUACACAGACUAUUAGUCCAGUCCUAUCCAGUGAAUGUUAACGAUGUCAAACAAACACCCCCAAGAAGUAUUCUACUGAACCAAAUGCGGAGAAGAUUAUGGAACUUAAGGCAUAACAGGUUGAGAAAGCUGGUGAAUAAAAGGAUAGGCAUAUAAACUGGGCUGAAAAAACUAUUGCCCAUCAGCAGGAUAAGGUGCAAGCUAUUUAUAUGAAUUAUGCGGAACUUCAUGUUCAAGUUGCUAAGUCAUUUCAUAAGAUAUCCCCAACUGUUGCCUCAGAUAAGGGCAAUUCCUUAGAAAAUGUCUUGACUGACAACAAUUGAAGCAAAGUCUCAUACCCGGUCUACACUCCCCAUCAUGGUAUGUGAAGCAAAUAGUGUAGAAAGGUAUGUGGUCCUUACAAAAAGAGCCACCCCAAGAUUCAUUGCCAGAGAAUCGGCCAUUGCUGGUAAAACCCUUGCUGGCAUGAGGUGUAGUAUUGUUAGAUCCACCGUUAGUAGACCCAGAAAACUGACCUUUCUUCUUAAUAGCUACCUUACUCUUCAUUCCGCCCAUGGACAAUGCUUCCUUGAUAUUUUUGGCCUUAAACUUACUCUUAAAUACACCAAACUGUCAUCCACCACCACUAGUGCUCGUUUGUUUACCCUUCGCUAUCUGAUUUUCCUUCUUCUAAUUAAUCACUUAUUCAACUCGCUAAGCUGUGUGGAAAGAUGUCUCAUAAGUGACACCGUCGCUAACAAUGGCAUAAGUGCACAAUUCCGGAUUAAGGCCAGAAAUAAACUGCUUUCUCUUCUCAUCAGCACUAUCUUGAAUACCCGGGCAAUACUUGACCAAUCGCCAAAAUUCUCGCUCAUAGUCAACAACAGACAUAUCCCAUUGCUCGAGAACCAAAAACUCUCAUCUCCUGAUAGCUUGAAACUCAAGACUCAAAAAAUUACUCUUGAACUACUCCUCGAAAAGAUCCCAAGUCCAAACCUCAUCAGCCUGAAUGUUGUGACGCUCUGUCUUCUACCAAUUCUUAGCGUUGUCAACCAUGAAGAAAGUUGUUGUGCUUACUCUCUAGUCCAUCGGACAUCAUCCAUAUGCUCCAACCAAGAUUCAACUUCUUCCCCGACUCCACGACCGUCAAGAAAGUAAGGACCAUGACUCACGACAAUUUUCGCCUAAGUGCGACCACGAUUUGCAUCAGGAAUCAGUUGGGCUAAUGCCUCAGUUAACUGUUGUAAUCCCAAAAUAGGAAUAUGUUCACACCUAGGUGGCAUAAUUUGCCAAGUAGACAUUAAAUAAUUAGCACAAUUACUGGCAUCAUACAAUGCAAAUGUAUGUUUCCCCUAACCAUGCUCUGAUACCAAACUGACACACCGCAACCCUAAUAACACAAGUUAUAAGGCCAUAAUGUGCUGGCCGACACUAAAUUGACCAUAUGACCCCAUUAAGAGACAACGUCACAUGCCAACUUAAUGACGAAGCCAUAGUAAGGUAUUUAUGAUGUGCAAGAAUUUGAACAAAAACGUUCAUCACUAAUAAAUCCAAAGCUUCUACAAGUUCGCUUAUCAACCUCCCCACUUGGGGACACGAAUUAUCUCGAGAUUAACUGUCAUUAUUAUCACAUCACAUUAGAGCAACUAGAAGUUUCACACAACUAUAAACACAUAAAAGCACAGUAUUAUGCAUGAUCAAAAGUGCGAUCAUGCAACUAUUACAAUAAAGAUAAAACUAUAGUAAAUGAACCAUCAUCCUAAAUCCAUAUGAUGAAAGCCUCACUGCCAAGCCCACUCGUCACCAUCGGCAUUCUCCUUAUUCUCGUUACGUCCUAAAGGGGUUGACAAAAAAAACGUAAAUGGACCAGUUUUAUCACAUUUAAAGUUAUUCAACAUAAUAGUCCCUGUUUUGAAAACAUGUAUAGUGAAAUUUACAUACACAGUAAUACUACAAUAAUAGUAGUCAAGACCAACUCAAUCGUGCUCAUCAUAUCAAAGAAAGUAAAUCAAUCACAAAUAACGUAAUGUAUAGCAAGCAGGUAAAGUGACAUCUACCUGAUCGAUAUCUAGCAUCUACUAGCACAUUCUAGCCUCUAUUAGAAAAAAGGUACUUGCAAUAAGUCCUACGGCCAUAGCUAGCUAUAUGUAUGAUAACCAUGUGAUGAAAAUAAAUCACCAAUGAUCUCAAGAUAUCUUCUAAAUACAAUUCAAGCAUAAGUCUUGUAAGACCCAACAAUAUCACCUCUCCAGUGGACAUAACAUAAGCACGCACCCUAGGACACGACUUGGAGUGAAUAGAAAGCUAAGCCUACCCCCGAAGAGGAUCGAUCUAAUCAGGUGAUACCCUGAUACUAUCGAAUACAAACAAAUCAACUCUGGAGAGAACCAAGUCAAUCAAGAGUACAUACUCCACCAGCUGUCCAGGUACUAGGCUGCGCAGGCUAGCCUGCACAAUACCUUCUAGGCCACGUGAUGUGCCAUGCGAGGCAGUUUGGCACAGCCACUCCUCUCACCCACGAUGGAGAAAAGACAAAGUGUCCUUCUCCGACAUGGCAUUCGUAUGUCAGAUCGAUCUCCUUGUUGGACCCUUUAUUCCAAGCUAUGCAAGGGAAUGUCUAGUGAUGUGGACCGACUUCAUAGGGGGCCUAUAAAUAUGCCUGGUGACCCUUCACCAUAGGUAAGCCCAUCAACACCCCCAUAAAUACACUUUGCACCCCUCUCUACAAUCAUUGACUUAAGCAUCGGAGCCUCCACGCCAGGAAAUACCCUUCUCGGUGCUCAGACUCACAAUGUUGGCCUGUUCUUCAUCUACAGGUUUCACUCCACGGUGGUGGAAAAUCGGCUCCAACAAGUCUUAUCAAAGACUAACAUAAGUAAUAUGCAUCCGCAUAUAAAAUCAUAUAUAUAUAUAUAUAUAUAUGAUUUUAUAUAUCUAUAUAUAAUCGUAAAAACAUUUAGUUGUUCAAAGGGGUCCACUCAUAGGUAAGUAGAGUAUCCCUCCUCAAUAUGCUCCUUGCCUAAACUCUUUCGAUCCUCUAAUAAGUCAGUAAUAAUCAUAUAAAUCUAAGUUAUCUUUAAUCGACAUUUUAUGGAAAAUUGUCCAAAACUACCAUUUAGGUAAUGAAUUUGCACAAACGGAGGGUGUCACGUGAAUUUAAAACACCGAAAAACUAUGGAUAGGUCACAGAUCAUGCACGCGCCGUAGCGAUUAUGUCAUGCACUGUCAUGCGCCGCCAUGGGCCGUCAACGUCGUACUCACCACCGUUGUUCAGUGAGUAGACGUCACGCUUGCCAUCGCCAGUAUGGUGAGGUUUUAAGUGAGUUAACCAAAUAUACCUGCUCCGUUAGUAGAUAACGGAAAUUCAGUUCCUUCUAUUAAGGUUAAUAGAUGAUCAUCGCCCGUCGCCAUCGCUGGUUCCUUAAGUCUCGCCAAUUUGAAUGAUUUCAACGCCAAAAUUUGUGUAAUUUAGUCCUAAAUAUGAUCAGGAACUUACCUAGACCCUUUUUAAGACGAUGAGAGGUUGAAUCCACCUCAAAUUGAACGAGUGAAGCUAGAAACUGACAUACAACUAGGUUAAUUACUUGGGUUCGAUUCUAGUGGAGUCCAUGCACCACCAGUCAUAAACUCGUUGGAGUUCAUCCGUUCACACUCGCCGAGAACUGCAAAAAGAUAUAAGGUGCAUUCAGGGGUUAGGACUCGAUUAUGGAGUUAAAAACCUCAUCCCAAGUAUCACAAAAACUAUUGGAGAGAAUAGAAGUACUAGGACACCCACCGGUUUCUAACUCAACGAUAUUUCACCGAAAUUCGUCGACAAGGCUGGGUUCGAAGGUACAGAAAAUUGCUUGCAGAGGUUGAAACCCUCGAGUUUCAACAUAAAACUAACACCACAGGGUGAAAAACAACAUGAUUAAACCCGGAAAUUCAAAGGAUAAACAGAGGCCUCACCUGGGUAUGAAGUUUGAGAGCUUCUAGCUCUUUGCUUUAAUGGUGCCGAGGUCCACACUGCACCGAUCUCACAUGCAAGACCACUAUUCUGAUCCUUGCAUCCCACAGACUUCGAACAUGUAAAAUUUAGGUUUGAUUUGUGAAGGUAAGCGAUGUAAGUAUAAACUAACACACAAAUUAAACUAUAAAUUAUGCAAUCGUAGUACGAGUAAGUAGGGAUCGCUCUCUUCUGGAGAUUAGAAGUGAUGCUAAUCAACACAGAUUGAACUUAAAAAACUCAAAACUAAGUUAAACUAAUAAAAAAACAGUGACUGGGGGGAUUUUGGACGAAUUUAAUUAAAACAAAAGUAAAUGGCAAGAAGUAAAUUAACUUGUGAAUGAAAUAUGGAUUAAAAUGUAGCUAAAGGAUUCUUCUCCACACAUGAAUCAUAUGCAUACAAAUCGAUUUCCAACUAUUGUUCCUAUAAACCAUGAAUGACAAUGCCCAAAUUAAUCGUGAAUAGCACUAAUUAACUCGCUAAAUCCAUUGAAUUAGACUCAGCGACGCAACCAAAUUAUUCUUCUCAAGUUCCCUAACUAUGAAAACCAUAAUAAAGAUACAUCUCAAAGAUCAUUAAGUUCUGUGAAAAUCAUAAGCAUCGACAAAGCAUUCAUAACUAUGAAAAACAUGAUAUUCCUGCCAAGGAUUUACUUAACAUAAUCAGAACUAGUAACUUUUAAUACUUACAAAUAUAAGUUUAUAACAAUUAGGUGAAAUUCUCUUAUAUUCUAGCAUAAAAUCCCUGCAUGCAAACUAAGUAUGCAUCCUUAACAAGCAUACAAGAAUAAGUUCUCUAUAAAGCAGAUAAGUAAAUCACAUUCAUGUUUUAUGAAACAAUAACUGGAUGUAAUCAAUUUAUAUAAAACAUGUGAUCAUGGCUUCGAAUUCAUCUCUAGCUGUAAAAAAAACUUAGUUGCACAUGUUCAUCAUAAACGAAAAAUAUUCUAAAAUAAACAUUGAAACUUAAAGCAAAGAUAGAGAGAAAUUUGGAAAGUAAGGUUUACAAACUGAUCCCUUGUAGAUGGAAUGGGAUUCAAAUGGGAUGCCGCAAAGCCUUACAAGAAGGCUUAUUUAUACAUGUCAGAAAAGUAAAUAACCAUACAAGUGGCUUUGAUAAACAACACAAAGCAAGGACUAACACAUGCAAAACAAAUGAUGGUGUUCAAUGUCUUUACACCUUGUCAAACACAUGCAGCAACUUUGGGCCUUUUACACACACAUUUUCUGCUAUCUUUCUGUUGUCUUUCCACUGAUAGGAAUCGACAGUUUCAGCCAACACAUGGAAAGGUAGUGUGAAGGAAGCAUGAGUGCACAAACAGCUAGCAGCACAUGGGAAGGUAGUGUGAAGGAAGCAUGAGUGCACAAACAGCUAGCAACACAUGGGAAGCUCUUUUUGAACUUCCAAUCUCUUUAACUAGGAUUCCUUCAGAUUUUAGCACACGUUCAACGCCUUUUAAACACCAAAAUGUCCAAACCAUAUGCUAUCCAACCCAAGUCCAAAACUGUUCCAAAUUGCUCCAUUUGAUUAUUUAUUGUCAUCUUUACCCACUGGACCUACAAUAAUACGAAAAUGACUUAAAUUACUAUAAUAAAUGAAAAAUAACUAAGUAAAUGCAAAGAAAUAAGAUAACAAAGUCGCAUGUAUAUGCUACUACCAGUAAGUGAGAGAGUGAGAGCUUUCUUCUCUUGGUGCUAGAGAGAGAGAGAGUGAGUUUGAGAGAGAAAAAGAGUUUAGAGAGGGAGUGUUCUAAAAAUGAGGGAAGAGAGAGGACCGGAUGUGGAUUUAAUCCCGCUUAAAAUAAUUUAAAUGAAAUCACCCAAUUACCCUCCAUAGUUGCAAAAAUAACAAUUAUGCCCUCAUGGUCUCGAUUCGAAAUUCGUUUCGAAAUUGAACUAACUUCUGAGAAAAUUAAACUUAGAGAUAGUAAAAGAAUAUAAGUUUCGAGUCGAGGCUCGAAAAUUAAUUAAGACAUCCACUCGGACAAAAUAGUCAUUUCACAUAUCUUGGGAAUAAAAUACAAUAUUUCAAGAAAAGGGCCGUAACACUUUGGGCAUCCGAAAAAUUUUAAAUGUGUAAAGUUAAACAUAACUAAUGAAUUUGCUGAUGUGGAUUAUAAUCAAUGAAUUUUAUUCAAGUAAAAAACUUUUGUCGGUUUUUAUGUGAACAAAAUUAAGUUUCAAAAGCUAAAGUCAUAUUUUCAGUCAAAAAAAACUGGCUCGAGUUCCGUUUUACGCACCUUUUUUUCUUUUUCCUCCUAGUCCAUGCAGCUGUUUAUUGGGGCAUCAAUUUAUUGUGCAUUUCUUACAACACCGUUAGACUUCAGUCUUUUACAAGAUCGAUUCUCCUCGUAUGAGAGUCUCACCUGGUCUUGCGUAAGAUUGACAUCCUUGUCAUACCCCCUCCUUUUACGAGAUCCAUUCUCCUCAGAUGAGAGUCUCACCUGGUCUUGCAUAAGAUUGACAUCCUUGUCAUACCUCUGUCUUUUACGAGAUAGAUUCUCCUCAGAUAAGAGUCUCACCUCGUCUUGCAUAAGAUUGACCUCCUUGUCAUACUCACUGGAAAGUGUCAUAGGAUUGGAAAAUUCAUCGACUACAUUUUCCUGCUCCAGGUAAACCCCUAUUUUCUGCACCCUCAGAUGAAUAUCGUCUGUACUCCCGUGUCCUACAAAGCUUGCACCAACAUUUAUCUUGUCCCCAGCGUUCACUUUAAGCGUAUUGUUUGAUAAAUGUCCCAGCCAAAUAUUACUUUCAUGGCGAUUUAGUACGGUGGCAAACAUUGGAGAGCUUGAAAUCUCAGUUUCUUUGGUACGAUUUUCAACACAGAUGCAAAGAGAAUCACUAGAUUGGGAGUCGUUGCAAGAAUAAACGAUGCACAGAGUCAAUGCCUUUGCAUCAUCACCAAAACAUUGCGGCACAACUAUUUCUUUCUUAGGGUCAACGCAUGUAAACCCUGAUGGAAGAUCAUUUCCGGGGAUAAAAAGAGCAGAAACUAUUUCAUCCUUAGGGUCAACGCAUGUAAACCCUGAUAGAAGAUCAUUUCCUGGGCAAAAAAGAUCACCAUUUCUGCUCGCGCUCCAUCCCUAUGCCAUGGAGUAAGAUUUGUACAAAAAGUUAAUAAAUGCAUGUAUGUAUAGGCUGUAUACGGAUGGGUGCAGAUAGAGAGAGAGAGGACCUGUAGGAUUGCUUUUCUAAAAGCAGCAGUGAGAUUGGUGCACCCUUCCAUAUGAAUCCUUCUCAUAGUGUUUAACGACUUAUGCAAGCCUAGAAUCUUAGUGAGUUUGGGGGAGUGAUUCAGAUGCAGUUCUACCAUACUCGACAUUUCCGAAAAAUCUGGCAUCUUUUUCAAUGCAAUGCACUCAUCCGCUUUCAGGAUUUCCAAAUUUGUUGGUAAAUCUGGGAUUUCCUCAAGAUUUUUGCAUUUUGCAACAGAUAAAUACUUAAGGUUCUUCAAUUGUACUACAGAGUGGUGAAUCUCGGACAAACUCUUACAGGCUUCGAGUAUCAAUAUCUCAAUAUUUGGGAUUCUUGAAAAGUCUGGUGAUUGUUUCAGGUGAUCACAAUAACCAAGAUUGAGAAACUUCAACUUUUCAAGUGACUGCAAGACAAAAAGGGAAAACAAGUAUCAAAAUUCAAAUAGAAGAGAGAGAGCAUGAUGUUGGUAUGUAAAAACCUGGUGGAAAGAAUUGAUAGUUUGGUUGGGUUUGUAUCGUACCACGUUGUCAUUCCAGACUUUUAUAUUGCUAUAACUCAGGUCGACAUCAACUACGUUUGGUUGAUUAAAAUCUUCUGGUAUGGCCUGCAGAGGAAAGUCAGACAAACUUAACCAUCUUAACUCUUCGGGAAGAUGUUUGCAGUCUCCAGUGAACUUUACGCCUCUUAUUUUGAGUAAUCUCAGGUUCAGCAUCAUUCUGAAUGCUUCUGUACUGACGCUAAGCUUGUCAGGUUCUGAAAAAUCUAAAGUGAUUCCUUCGAUUUUUUUCUUUUCCUGUUAGAAAGCAAAAGAAACUAAAGUAAGACGAGGGUUAUUUGCUUAGACUUUAACCGGUGCAGAGCACCAGUACUGGAUCAGUGACAAGAGUUUGCUUAGACAUCAGUUUUGUUUGAACAAUCUAAAUUAGUCAUCUGUGUUACAGGGAUAAUUUUCAAAUAAUUCAGUAAAUAAAAUCAGCAUUUUUUUUCUCAUUUAUUACAAACAUGUAUUAAAUGCAAUUUGAUUGAGGAUGUACUUACACAUUUUUUCGUCAAUACGUGUUUUACAUCCUCAUGAUGCCACAAUCUACAGCGACUUUCAAGCUUCUUAGGGGAUUUAGCACGUACAAUUUCUCUGCCCGUGUCUCGAAUCAAACAAUGCAUCAUCAGAUUGCCUUCUGGAUCAACAGUUACAAGGCAUCGCUCCUCGAGUUCCUUAAUACCUAUUGCUGGAUUACUGUCACACCCAUCCAAUAUUGCCAUGACAUGGUGCUUGUUCAUUCCAAUAAAGAAACAGGAUAUGUCAAGGAAUAUAUCCUUCACCUUGUCAUCAGUAAGCCCGUCAUAACUUACCUUAAAAAUUUCAUGAGUUAUGCUAGGCUGUAGUCUUUUCCAUUUUUUCAAUGCAUCUGUCCAUUCACUUGUGGUUUUUGUACAUAGGUAAGAACCUACAGCUUCAAGUGCAAGUGGUAAACCCCCACAAUAAUCAACAGCUUCUCUUGAGACUUUGAGAUAUCCUUCAUUAGGAGAACUUUUUCGAAACGCAUGCCAACUAAGGAGCUCAAGAGCUUCAUUGUUAUUCAUUGUCGGUAGAGAACAUGCAUCAUCCACCACUUCAGGUGUCUUUAGCAAAUUUUUAUCUCUUGUUGUUAUAACAAUUCUACUUCCCGGACCAAACGAGUCAUGUUUUAUAGCUAAUGCAUUUAUCUGUCUCACACUGUCUACAUCAUCAAUUAUGACAAGAACCCUUAUGUUGCGAAGUCUUGUUUUUAUCUCCUCCGUCCCUUCAUUGACUGUACUCACAUUUAUGUUGGCCGAUCUCAAGAUUUUAGACAGAAGAAUGUUUUGCAAAUCAACCAUUUUCUCAUUUCUCACAUUUUCAAGAAAACAUGCACCAUCAAACCUGUCCUGGUAUGUGUUGAAAAUGGCUUUUGCAAUUGUUGACUUACCUAGCCCGCACAUCCCCCAAAUUCCAAUUAUGCGAACAACAUUUGAUCCUCCAACAUCAAAAUAAUUACUGAUUUUUUGGCGGCGAGAAUCUAUUCCAACUGGAUUUGCGGCUACAUUUAAGCAUCCAUUCUGCAGUUUUAUAGCGAUCUCCUCAACAACUUUCCUGAUAAACCUUGCUUCACGCCUGGAAUUAAAAUUCAUAAUUAAGAAAAAGUAAGAUCUACUAGUUAAACUUCUAAACAUUCAUUAGGAGUGUGUAAGAUUCGAAUAUAUUAGUUAAACUUCUAAACAUUCAUCACCAACACACUAAUAUUUAGUGAGAUAGAUCAAGCGUUUAUAUAUUAAUCCUCGUAUCAGAGUUUCUAAGCUUUGCGAUUAUAUUUUGAAAAACAGAACGAUUCAAAGAAUUACUUUGUUAGAGGAAAUAAGCAAGUUAUUACCCGUUAUUCACUCGAAAAUGCUCGCCGCUCAACUCUGCAGCUGCAGUAAGUGCCUCUCUCCACUCCUGGACUUUUUCUUCCGUAAACUUUUGUUCAUGGUUCUGAAACGCGGUUGCAAAACUACCAGUCUGAUGCCUGACAUCUGAAGGAUCAACAUCGUAGAAAAUCGGAAAAACAAGUUGACCCCGUUUUCUGCACUCCAUGAUCUGCACCAGCUCCUGAAGACACCAUCUGGACUCCGCAUAACGCUUUGAGAACACGAUGGCAGCAAGUUUGGACCCUUUGAUUGCUCGCGUCAGUUCUUCUGAUAUAGCAUCCCCUCUAGGUAAUUCGUCCUCGUCCAGAAAGACAUUGAACUUGUAGUCUUUUAAUGUACAGUAGAGGUGGUCCGUGAUGCCCAUGCGUGUUUCUUCGCCUCUAAAGCUCAAGAACACGUCGUACUUGCUGCCCGGGUUCUCCAUCUGUUCAACGAUUAUGUCUAAUCGGAACUGCAAAAUGGAACCAGGGGCAGAUGGUUUUUGAAUCGAACUAGCAAAGGAAGUCAACCACACAUCUACCCAAAAAAAAUGAACCUUAUAAUAACCCUAGAAUCGCUAUUCACAUACUCUUUCUUUUCCUUUUUUCUUUUUUCUUUUUUUCGGGUAUAAACAGUUAAUAUUAAGGAAAACUAAUGAAAAGGGUUUGAAAACUUUGAGUUUUAAUGAUAAGGACAAAAUUAAGGGUAAAGUGAAUAGUACCAGGAUUGACUUUUUAGUGUAAAAAUGUAGUUUUUCGUUAAAGUGAACAGUACCGGAUGCUUUUCGUUAAAAUCCCCUUAUUAUCAUUGCCAUAGAAAAUUUACAGAACAAAGCUAACAAGGGCCCAUACUAUAAAUACAAUUAUACAAAGCAAAAAUUGACCUUACAAACUACAUGUCAAGGGCCUAAAAAAGGGCUAAGGCCCAAAAACAAACACCGAAAGAAAGCCUUAGCCUUCUGCUACAUCCGCUGCUGCAGCACCACCCGAGCAGCAUGAACCAUGGACACCAACGAACAUCAAAAUUCCGACCAAUUAACGCCUCAGAGAUGGGAGGAAGGAAGACCAGUAAUCCAUCAAUGAAACUCUCUCCGAACGCAACCUCCAAGUAGAAGCAAACAAAGAAGCUUGUGAGAUUCCCACAAGUGACGCUGCCAAUAAAGACAGAUCGAGAGAAGAAGGUUGUGCGGAAACCCGAGCCAAUAAGCAUACCGGAGCUCUACACACCUUCUCAAUCAAUCAUUCCUAUACUACAAGAUGUAUUCCAAAGUAUUUACAUUUUUUAACGAAUGUAUGGUUUUAAUAACUUAUUUGCAAAUAAAAAUCCAGGAAUUAGAGGCUGUGAAGGCCUAAUCGGAUAAAUGGUCCCCGUGAUGUUAAGGUAAUCGGAAAGUAGCCCCCGUGGUAAAAAAUUUAGGAUUUAAACCCUCGUGAUGUGGUCCGUUAGCAAAUUUAGUCCAAAAGUGAUUUUUCAUUAAAUUCGUCAAAUACAAGGGUAAAAACGUAUUUUGAUGUGUGCACCUUCUUCUUCAAUGUUCAAUGUUCAAUCUAAAUUACAAUGAAAGUUAGGUCCAAUUCUAAAUUUUACUCGACACAAAAUGUCGAUGUAAAAAAUAAAAUUCAAAAAAUUGUAAAAAAUAAAAUUCAAAAAAUUGAAGUGCCAUAGUGAAGCCUUGCAGCAUGAGCAACAGAGAUGCUCUUAACUGCAUGAACCCUGGAAGCCCACAAGUCAACGUCCAUGGUGGUGGUUCAACUCUCCGGCGACCCAAGUCAGCUUUUUUCAACGAGAACUGGUGGAAACCGCCCCUUGGGGAAAUGGGUUUGGACCAAAAGGCUUAAGGUUUCAAGCUUCUCUUAGGGAAAUGGGUUUGGACCAAAAGGCUUAAGGUUUCAAGCUUCUCUUAGGGAAAUGGGUUUGGAUCAAAUGGCUUAAGGUUUCAAGCUUCUCUCUCUCUCUCUCUCUCUCUCUCUCUCUCUCUCUCUCUCUCUCUCUCUCUCUCUCUCUCUCUCUCUCUAUAUAUAUAUAUAUAUAUAUAUAUAUAUAUAUAUAUAUAUGUUUGUUAAAAUCCCAAUUGUUGUUGUAAGAGCAACUCCAUCAUGGGAAACCCCCCCAGGCUAUUUGAACAGUAAUUGUCUUUUGCAUCUUCACUGUUGCACUUGAAUAGCCCUGGCAAUAAGCAAUAAAAUAUUAGUUUUUUUUAAAUAAUACAAAAUAAUUUUAUUUGUAAUUUCGGAUAAGAUUUUUAAUAGUUCUCGUUGCGCCACGUGUCAUUAUCCGAAAAGACAAUUAUUGGUGAUGGAUUUCGAUAAGAUUUUUAUCCAAUGUCGUGCCACGUGUCGUUACCUUUUCAAAAUCUUUGAGGAUAGAUUUCAAUCAGAUUUUAAAUCGUUCUCAUUGCGCCACAUGUCAUUAUCCGAAAAGACAAUUAUUGGUGAUGGAUUUCGAUAAGAUUUUUCUCUAAUGCCGUCGUGUCAUGUGUCGUUACCUUUUCAGAAUCUUUGAGGAUAGAUUUCGAUCAUAUUUUAAAUCGUUCUAAUUGCGCCACGUGUCAUUAUCUGAAAAUAUAAUUAUUGGUGAUGGAUUUCGAUAAGAUUUUUAUCCAAUGUCGUCGUGCCACAUGUCGUUACAUUUUUAGGAUCUUUGAGGAUAGAUUUCGAUCAAAUUUUUAACGAAUGACGGCAUGCCACGUGGAUAGCACAUGUAUAGGCCAAGUUGGAUGGACAAAUUUGGAGUUCAAAAGGCUAGGAAUCUGAUAAGGAGAUGAAGAAAUUAAAUUCAAGACAAAGAAGAUAAGGAAUCAGCUCAAAAGAAUGAGAUAUUAUCCAAAACCUUAUCCAACCUUAUCUUAUCCAAACAAACAUUAUCUUAUCCUAUCCUAUCCUAAUCUUUUCCUAACUUAAUUCCUGCUGCAAGGGGGAGUUAAUUUCUGAUUUAAAUCACCUAGAAACCUUUCUAGAACGCCUUAUAUGUUCCUACAUUGGUGUUGCAUGCUUUUAGGCCUUGUUCUUCUAGAAAUCAGCCACAUAACAUUGUUUCUAGAAUUCCCUACAAAAGUGGCGCCCCAAACCCUUCUAGAAACCCUAAAAUCUGCACAAACCCUAGUUCUUUUCCCUUUUGGAUUGAGGCCCAAGCCUUGGCCCAAAAUUCUAAGCCUUUUCCCAUCAGAAUUUGUGAAAACCCUAGCCUAUAAAUAGAUGUUUUCAGCCACAAAUUCAUACACAACCCUCUACCAUUCAGAAACACCUCUCAGCCGCAACAGUUCAUCAUUCUACACCAUUCUACACCAUUCUCCACCACCAUACAUCCUUGCCGCAGCCCCCCUUCAACCUAAAUACAUUCCUGACCCUUCCAUUCACCCAUAAACAUCCAUAGACACUUGUGCCGCAGCAAGGUGUGGAAGAAGAAGGGCAUUGGUGUUUCAUGCUUGCAGAUUGGAGCGUUUUAGGUGUACUUCGUUCUUGUUUUCAAUGUUUACUUUGUUAUUACUUUCUGAUUUUGAUGUAAUCAUGAGUGGCUAAACCCCUAUUUAGUUAGGGGGAAGUUUGAAGCCAUGAACAUGCUUGAGAUAUGAAUUUAUUACUUCCAAUUGUGAUUUGUUAAGUUGUGAUUGCAAUUCAAUUAUCUGUUUUAUUGAUAACUGAUUCUUAUAUGUUUAUUAAGGAUGCAUACUUAGUUUUCAUGCAUGAAUUAGAUGCUAGAAUAUAAAUGAGUUUCAUCUAAUCGUUACAAGUUUAUAUGCAUUAGUAGUGAAGGUUGCUUGUCACAAUCACGUUAAUUGAAUUCUUGGCAAACAUAUCAUGCAUUCAUAGUUACAAUUGUCUCAUCAACACUUAUGAUUUUCAUGAAACGUAAUGAUCUCUGAUUGUAUCUCUAUUAUGCAUUCAUGUAGGGGACUUUUAGAGAAUGAUUUGGGUUGUUGCAUGCAUUCAUCCAAUCCAAUGAGUAAAGGAAAAUCUGAGGGUUAAUUUGUGCAUCACGGUUAAUCUGGGGUGUUGAGCAUCAUAAUCUAUUAAAAAGCAAUUGGAAAUCGAUUCAUGUACAAGUGUGUCAUGUGUGAAAAACGGACCUCUAACUAAUCCAUCCAUCAUCUUAUUUCUCAAAUUCGUUUUACAAUCUGCCUGGUUUUAUAACUUGUUUAUUUAUUUCAAAUUCGUCCAAAUCAAACCCCCCCCCCUUUUAUUUUCUUGUUUCAAAGUGUUUCAAAUCUGUUUUGUUUGUGUUUUUGAGUGUUUUAAUUCAAGCCAAAACACUAAAGUCGUCCCAAGUUGUGUUAGAGUCAGAAACUGCCCAGUUUGUGUUUAUAGGCAUUUUUUGAGUGUUUUUAAGUUGUUUUGAGUAUUUUGAACCUGGUUUGAGUUCCUUAAGUCUAUUCAAAUGUUUUUAACUUUGUUUUUAUGUUUUUGAGUCAGUUUAGAGGUUUUAGCAAGCCCUCCUAAUCCCCGGUUUAGAAUGAUCCCUACUUGCAUUUAUACUACAAUUUGACAACAAGAGGGUUUAAUUUGAGUGCUUAACUUUUAUCACAUCAAUCAGUAAGAGGAAGAAUUGUUUAACCAAUCCAAAAGAAUGUUCAAUCUCCAGGUGGCCCAAAAUGAGAUGGAAGAGGAUGAAGAGCGUAGAAAGAGCAAUGACGAAGCAAGAAUGGCUAGAGCCUCACAUUCCUGUCGAGUCAUCCAAGUUGUGGCUCAGAUCUCCAAGCCCAGCCUUUCCAUAAACCUUGAUAGAAACAUGCAACAACGAGGUGUGGACCUCUUGGACGAUUUUGUCCGUAACAGUGCAUUCCCUAAUACGUAUUUCAGACGUCGUUUUAGAAUGGAACGACAUUUGUUCAACAAAAUCAUGAUUGUUGUUUGCAACCAUGAUUCUUACUUUGUGCAAAAGAAUGAUGCUUUUGGUGAUAUGGGUCUCAUUCCUGAGCAAAAAAUUAAUGUUGCGAUGCGGAUGCUUGCAUAUGGAGCAUUUACAAACCAAGUGGAUGAGAUAGCGAGGAUGGGGAAAUUAACCAUUCUUGAGUCCCUGAUGAGGUUUUACGGAGCAAUCGAAUCUACACCGUAGAGUACCUUCGGAAAGCUACUAACAUGGACUUGCAAAGGCUUUUGAUGAAGGCAGAGGUGCGAGGCUUUCCUGGGAUGAUUGAAAGCAUCAAUUGUAUGCACUAGACGUGGAAAAAUUGUCCAAGUGCAUGGCAAUGCGCUUAUGGGGACAGAAAAUGAGCAAAAAGUAUCAUUUUAGAGGCGGUGACAUCUUUUGAUACAUGGAUUUGACACGCCUUUUUUGGGGUUUCGGGAGCUCAAAAUGACCUAAAUGUCCUUGCCCAAUCCACAAUGUUCAACGAUGUCCUGCAAGGAAAGGCACCAAAAGUCACGUACUGCGUUAAUGGACAUAUGUACGACGGGCCAUACUACCUAGCAGACAACAUUUACCCAAAGUGGUCAUCAUUUGUUAAAACAGUGCCACGUCCGCAAAGUGCAAAGGAAAAACACUUAGCAAGCUGUCAAUAGGGGUGUAGGAAGGAUGUGGAGCGUUGUUUUGGUAUCCUCUAAGCUCACUGGAUGAUUGUCAGGGGUGCUGCGAGAAUGUUUGAUGUAAAGUCGCUUCGAUCCAUCAUGAUGACGUGCAUCAUUCUUCAUAACAUGAUUGUGGAAAAUGAGUACGAUUAUGAUGUCGUUGAUGAAUAUGAGCCAAACACGAUGAACAAUUCAAGAACAUGUAUAUAUUGUGCUCAUGACGCCACCGAAGAACCCGUGCAACAUGAGCCAUUAGAAAGGGAUGGAUGUUACAAUGAAUUGAUCGUUCAACAAUAUACUGCACUUCAAAGGCCAUAUAUGCACAAUGCCCGAUAAAUUGACUUGAUAGAGCAUCAGUGGGAAUUGAAACAAGCUCAAGAUACUUAAGUUCAUUUAGUGUAUUUGUUUUUUAUUUGGUGUGUUUAUUUAAUUUUAUUUGGUGUGUUUUUUUUAGUUCAUUUAGUGAGUUUUUUUUAUUAUUUGGUAUGUUUAUGUAAUUUUAUUUGGUGUGUUUAUGUCAUUUGAAAUAAAUUACCAAAAAGUACUUUAUUCAUCAUCACUUUAAAUAAAAUACUAAAUUCAAUAAAUUGGAAACAACAUAAAGUAUUCUAUUCAAUAAAUAAUAAAUUACAAUCCAAAAUGAUUGGAAAAUUAUGGGCUCCGAUUACAAAAAGUACUCUAUUCAUCAUCACUUAACCAAUUUUGAAGACAUCGCAUGUACUUCGACUAUGCUCAACAUUAGCUCUUAACCAUGUCUCACAUGUGGCAUAGUGAAGUGAGGUGAAUCUUGGAAUGAUUUGAAUAUUCGCAACUAAGGUCAUAUCGUUGAACCCCCAAGAUAUUGCGGUAUCCCUAAUGGUAAAGACAUAGACAUUUGGGGAUGUCCCUUGUGUGGGUUUGAUAAACAUCUUGCGUCAACAUAACAAACAAGGCUAGGAUCAUUCUGAUGAUCAAGGGAUCGGAUCUGCUCGAGAUGUGUUGGGAUUAGCCCAAAUCCGUAGUACCUUUAGGGUAGCAAAAAAAUGUCCUUAUUACCAAUUCAGUGGUUGCAUGUAGGCGCGAUACUACAUCUUUAUUAAUAGAUUAACAACGAAUGAGAUAUCAUGUCUAACAUAAUGAGCUAAGUACAACAAAGCGUAAAGUUGAACUCAGAUAUGGAACUUUAGAUUCCAUAACCUUUUCAAGGGUCUCAAACAACGUUGGAACUUCAGGUCAAGGCAUAAAUGAGUCCUCAUCUCAAUUCCCAUCCUUAGGUGUUAGACAGUUUUCUCAAGCUUUUCUAGAGUCCUAAUGAGAUGCAUGUCAUCGACAUAAACUGUGACUCUAGCAAUUCGGAAUAUGACUUCAUAGUUUAACACGUAAUGGCAUAAUUCAUAUCUCUAAUUAAUCAAAUAAUCACUUAGACAUGUAUACCACAUCUGCCAGAUUGCUUCAAUUUGUAAGUGAACACCUCAAACAAGUUAAGAGGGUGUUUGUGGUCUAACUAUCUAAACCAGUUCAUGUAAUUCUUCGAGAACUUACAUGUCAAUCUCCGUAUCAAUAUUCCUAUUGAGAAACACUAACCACAUUCAUAAUUCUACAGUCAAUCACAGGGCGUUUAAGAGAAACAUUGUGUCGUAAGUAAUGUUAUUUCAUUCAUCUCAUUACGUUUCCUUUCCCACUUGUAACACAACAGGGUUACCUUGGACAAUGUAGGAACGACAUGUCCAAACAAACUUUGGUAAGGAAUUUAACCUAGAUUGUAAUCUUGGUUGUCCAAUCAGUUCUAUGUUAUCACUAAUCAACGGAACGUAAUUCGAAAUCGUCGCUUUUCAUUUAUGUUUGUAGUUACCAUAUAAGUGAAAACAUCAUUGAUGAUAAUCUCAUUCCAAUUCCAUAUCUCAUCUAAACUAGUAUACUGGACCAAGAACUUCAAGUCUCAGGAGUAAUCCGGAUUAAUCUCUUGAGGUGGAAAUUAUUUGAGAUGACAAUCGAUCAUGAAUUCACGUUGUGUCGUGAUCUUUCUCUUUUAGGGAAGUGAAUCUUAUGAACCGAGUGAUAUGUCGUGCUUCAGGCCAAGAACAGAUUGAUUGACAAUCCACCAGGGUACCAAGUCGCCCAACAUAGACAACUAACACCCUUCAGGAAUGUUGACUCAACGUCCAUUAAGUACAUAUAUCCUUGCAUGCAUGUUUGUAGCUAGUAUAUGAUCUCAUCACUUUAGCUAGAUCAAAGAAAUGCGACUGGACCAACAUUCUGAAAGUUAGAAUACAUCACACAUACUUAUCACACUUGUGUGGAUAUGAGACAUAGUGGGCAACGUCCACGCAAAUCUAUGUCAUUAUACAGGAACUUUGACAUUCUUAUCUCCCUCUAACAGCGAGAAGACUAUCUCAUUGAAGUGACAAUUCACAAAAUGAGUGGUAAGGAAAUUGCAUGCAAGGGUUGCAAAGAGCUAGUGCGAAGAAAAAUCAUAAUCGACAAAGAUUCACAUUCUUCUUUGAGGAACCAUAUUGGUAUGUUGCGGUGGCGCAAACUUGGCACAUGGAAUGCACACCCAAAUGUGUAAGUAUGAAACGUCAGGUUCGUCCCUAGAAACCAACUGUAAUGUCGAAUAGGCUGGGUGGCAAUGGCCUUAAAGUAGAUCAACAUAAUGGUGUACAUGAUUGCAUAGCUCUAGAAAUAUGAUCACUUUGUGAGGCUGUUUUGGGGUGAACAUGGGAAUUCAAUGUCCAAUUAUAAACCCCAAAAAAAAAAAUGCAAUACUUCUCAAAAACCUUCGAUAUAAACUUUCUGGUAUUGUUUAGUAUUCUAGACUUUAUAGGAUAAUUAGGGUGGUGGUGCCUUGAAAUCGGCCAGGAGGUUUAGCAGUAGUGUGUGUGGAUAAACAUGUGACCAGUUUGUUGAUUCAUCAGCCAAAACCAUAAGUAUUUAUAUUGCCCACAUUUUGAUUGGAUUAGUCCACAUAUAUUCCCUUGAAUACACUGUGAAAAGAGGGCCAUUUCGUAUCUUUGCUAGGGAUGAUUUAGAAAUCCAAUUUCCCAAAUGAAUAAGCUUGGCAAAGUGUGCGCUUGCAAACACAAGAUCCUUACUUUGGGUAAGGAGAUGCGUUUCGGCCUAAGUGUACCAAACGGUCAUGCCAUGGCAAGUAAACUACUCGAAUCACCCGGCUCUAAGCCGGCCACACAUGGCGUAUCCUAGUGGGGAGGUAGCCUAUUGGCCCUAAAAUAAAACUUUAGGUUCAUUUUGGGGGUGAUGCAAAGACAUUCCACUCUAUGUUUCAUCAGUGGUUUCAUUCAUAAUCAUUGUUCUCUCGAUUAUCCUAAAGACUCAACGAUGUUCUUCAGGAAUGAGAAGAACAUAAGGUUUCUUAAAUGGUAAUGUAGUACCAUUUAUACAACGAGAAGCGUGCCAAUGCUCCUAAUCAGGUUGGAUAAACUUAAAGUCGUAGUUAGAGAUGUGAUUUAGGUAUAAGUUAGUGUGCGUAGUGUCGCAUUUAUCCAGACAACUAAUUUUCCCACAUUCGAGGACAAUAUCGAUAAGAUUAUCCACAAAGUCGAUAUGAUUAUCCACAAAGUAAACCAAAGUUACUAAAGAGAUUCUCCCAACAAGGUCAUCCAUGUCAAAAUUUUGGAGAAAAAUUAGUCUCACAUAUUGAUUACGAGAAUGGUACUCCUUAACGACAUUGGUAGGGGCAUGAAGAGGUGCAUAACCAAUGAGUCUAGUCCACCAAAAUGGAAGUAGAUUAUGCAAGGUUGAGGUUCAUGAACAAUAUCCCUUAUUCUUGAAGUUUUAGGUCUUAAAUGCCAAGGAUCACACUUCGAGUUGUGAUGCCACACCUUGACAGGCCCUAAUUCUACCAUAUGUUGUAAAAACAAACUCGAAAUUAGAGAGGCAAACCCAUACUUGAGUUCGAAAGGUUCCAAUCGAAGCUGGAGAGGUUUGUUCGGUAUGCCUCUACACUGAAGCAGAGCAUAUAUUUUGGUGGGCUUUGACCAAACUGGGUCAAGCCAUUCGGUAAACUUCGGCCUAACUGGGCUUAUACUGUUCGGUAGACUCUAGCCGAAGUUGGGUCUAUACCUUUCUCACACGUUUUUUGUAGUAAUCAGAUUUGAGAAUUUGGUAAACUUCCACUCUCUAUGCUGCUGUUUCGAAAGCGAGUUAAAAAUAAGAAAUGAUGAGAAAAGUAUUCUCUAAUCAAAAUUCGAUAGGAUUUAUAAACUUCAAAAUCGUACUCAUUCAUGGACGUAAUCAUGGUAUGCUUCAGGCAAUAACUUUCAUGAUUAAAUGGUCUGUAAGAGUGAGCCAACGAGCCAUGGAAUCCUUGUUAGGGAGGUACUUCCAUUUGUUAUGUUUCAAGCAUAAGUCUUUGAAUGAAGAUCAUGACAGAGGCUUAUUCAGCUCUUCUUUACCAUUGUUGGCUACAAAUGGUUUCUCAGCUUCUUGAUAGUCAAGUGGAGAUUCACGUCUUAUAGCCACAUAAAGUGGUUUCAGUUAGAAACGUCCAAAUCAGUGAAAUCAAAUUUGUGACAAUCCAUUGAAUGGAGGGAACAAGAUUGUGAAUAGUGCUAUGGAAAAUAAAACAUCUAGAAGCAUCAAAGUUAGAACAUCCGAAUUCUAAGACAUGUACAUGAAAGUUGGACGUGGAAAAAUUAUUAAUGAGUUUAAAUAAAAUUUCACAUAAUAAUAUAGUCACAAAUAACUGUGUGAAUGGGGAGUUGAGGAGUUCCCGCGAGGGAAACUCGGGUCAAACAAAACAAGGGGUAAUUUUAUUUAAACCCAUCUAACCUAUUUCUACACCCAAUUUACUCUUUUCACCCAUUUGAUUUUUAACUAAACUAUUAUUAUCUCUUUAAACCAAAAUUUAAUACCUAAUAUACCCUUAUAAACCUAAUUCAGUAUGUAGAUUUAUUUUUACACCCAUUCAAAUUUUUAGUCAGAUGUAAGAUUGAAAUCGAAGAAGAAGACUAGGAAGGAGAAGGAGCUGCUCCUCCAUUUGUUAGCCAUCACUCCAUCAACGCCUUUUCUCCCCCUGCUAAAUCUUCCCGCCAUCGUGAAUCUACCGUUUGGCAGCCUCUAGAUCGUCAGACCCGCGGGGAGUCGAAUCGACCGGCACUCCGUCGUCGUCGCGCGGGGAUUUGGUUUCUUUGGACUCCUCGAUGGGUCCCAUACACUUUGCGCGACCCUUUUAUACAGACCUCAUUUGUGAGCUUCUAUGCUGAGCUUGGUAAGUUGUGCGAUGCGCAUAAGGUGUUUGAGGAAAUGUCUGAACCAUGUAUGGUUGCGUGGAAUGCGAUGAUUGAUGGGUUUAGGAAGAAUGGGGAAAUGGGUUAUGCUAUUUUGUUAUUUGAAAGCAUGCCGAAAAGGGACGUGGUUUCAUGGACAAGCGUUAUAAGCGGGUUUGGGAGAAAUGGGUGUGGUUGUGCUGUUUUGAGUCUCUUUGCUUCCGUAAAUUAUGUCUCUAGUUUCGGUCGGAAUGGGUGCUCUGAGAACGUCAUUUCUUGCAUUGGAUGCAUGGUGUGGUUACUUUGCAAUCAAGAGGUAGGAUUUGUUAAAUAAACUCUCUUUAUCUUCCUGCAGUUAUUGAUGAAUAAUUUGUGAAUGUAAUAUCAUUCACCCGUAUCUUUAUCCUUAAUUUGUUAAUGGUAUUAACCUUUUUGCAGAUUUGCAUUUAAAUGUCAUAGAAAAUCAGAGGCUGGAAGGGACAUUGUGUAUCCAGUAAAUGCAAUUGCAUUCCACCCCGUGUAAGUUACUUUUUUCUAUUAAAGUAUUGCGUACUAAACUUGUGAACUUGUGUGUGUUGAUUUAUUGAAGUCAUGAAAACGAUAGGCCAUAUCUGGUUUCCUGUUGAAGGCAUCUUGUGACUACAAUAAUAACAUAUGGGAAUUUCAUAGUAGUAACUUAGUUCAUGGUUUAUUCUUUGGUUGAAUGGUUCAAAAAAUAAGGAUCAAAAUUGUUCCUUGUUUUUGCGAUAGAUUAUGGCUUAGAUUAUACUUGAUCCGUUAGUUGGGAAUGUUUAAAACCUAAAUUAAGCUCGAGGGGAGCUUAAUAAUUUCAUAUAUACGUAGCUCAUGCUUUAAUAAAGUUUAUCAAGAGAGUUUGAGAAUGAGAUUCUUGUACAUUAUUGACUGUCAUGUUUUCAAGCUAUUUUGCCCUCUCGGGACAAAUUGAAAAGAGCUAUACAUACUUUCGCUUGAUGAGAGUUGCGAUCAUACUGCUUAUUGUAUGAGAGCAAUGAUGCUAGCAGUUUCUUUUUAGUCCACGUGCAUUUCUUUUAUUAGUUCUUUUCUGAAAUUCAAUUGCAGCUAUGGUACUUUGGCUGUUUCUCAGCAGCAGCCAUGUUGGCAAGGCGCCAGGAAUACCUUUACCUGGGGGGUUUGCUUUCUUCUGGCCUUUCUAUGCUAAUUUGGUUACACUUUGCUUCUUCUGUCUUUGGGGGUUUUGCAGCUCUUUUCAAGUUUGAGGUAAGGAAUUAUCAAUUAGUCAUGUGAAUGAUGGGCAAUGCUACAUUUUGUGUAUAAAAGCUAAAACAGGGUGAUAUAUGUGAAGGAAUAUAAUGAGAUUUAUGUGGGAUUUCUAGUGACUAGCAUGCAUAUACAAUUCAAAAUUUAUAUACAUUAGCAACGGAAGCAUGUUAUCACAUAAUAUCAAAGCUAUAGUCAUGCAAAUCCCCUUCAAGAAGCAUAGGUUCAUAUAUGAUGCAUCUAAGAAAUUAUUGAAGAACAAAGUGAAGGUAUAGUUUUAUACCUCUUGAUCUAGACUUGAGACCAAGGAUUGACCACCUUCAAGCUCUUUGUUCUUGGAACUCCUUAAGCCUAGCCUCCCUCCUUGCUUCCUCCACCUUGCUAGAAUGAGUGCUCCUUGGCUCUCCUUUAGUCUCCAAGGUUGAAGACCUCUAAAGAUCCACACCCACUAGUGUAGUGAGAUGGAUGGAGGAAUAACCAAAAGGGAGAGAAGAUGAUUAGCUACUUCUCCCUUAUGGUGGCCGGCCUUGUGUGUGUGUUUGGAGAGAGAGAUGUUUUCUUCUUUUGUGAAAAAUGAACACACAAAACCCUAAUGAAACUUUUUACUAAAAGUUCCUUUUAUAUCUCAAAGAUAGUUAGCCAACAACUUGACUCCCUCUCUCUCCCUUUCCCUUUAUUUGGCCGGCCCCUUUAGUGUUGUUUGGGCUUUGGGCUUUUAUUAUUUCAAGUCAUCAUAUGCUUAAAUAAAAGCCCAAUGGGUUUGGGCUUAAUGGGCCCAUAUUAACCCGAACUUUUCUUUAAGUCCAAAAACGAUCUUUCAUCGCUUCUAUGAUUUCUUUAGACUUUCUAAUUAAUCAUAACACUUAAUUAAUCCAAUUAAUUUAUUCCAUCAUCCAUUAGUUGUCUCAUUACAAGAGUGUAUCGGUGUACAAUUAUUUUGGGUUCUAAUUAGCAAGGUAGUGAGGUGAUUGGCACCAAUCCAAUUGAUUAUAUUUAAUCCAAUCACUUAGUGAAUUAAAACUUACUUUUAAUUCUCCUUCUUCUUUGACGACUACUUAUUUAAUCAUCUAGAAGAACUCACAAGCUAUGAGUGACAUCUAACCAUAUAUCAUGGUUACCCAAGCUAAUGUAGAAUUUGUUCGGAGAACCUAUUCAGUUGGAAUUACAAUGUAAUUCGAUCAUUCUUUAAAACAAUACUCUCAAUCACAUUAUUAGGGUAUGGAUAUAUUAUGUCAAACCCCUAAUGUGAUUAUUCCAUGUUAUAUGAUUCAAUUGAGUCGUAUAGGAACGAUUUCCUUUAUUACGCUCGAUACUUCGGCCGAAUAUUCCCGAAUCAUAUCUUAAAGUAUUCAUCCUCUCAUAACGAGGAUUAGAGAUCCCUUGUUGAUCAUUCACAUGCCUCUGAGAAUAAAUCAUUGACCUCAACAAUGCAUAGAACACACCCAAGAUGAGGUGUGGUCACGUCUCGUUAUCAAAAUGAUCAACAACGUAUCCCCAAGACAACUAUGAUGUCUCAGGUCAAAGAAUUACUUACAUUAUUCCAACCAUUAGAGUUGUUUGCUUCACAUGUAAGUAGACCUCCAUGCAAGUACUCUCGUUCGAUUGUGUUCAGUGAACUCAUUCCCAUAAUGAGCACCUACAUACCUGUCUUAGUGUCACUACACGAAUGGGAUGAGACUUUCCAUCAUUCCAAUUGAAGGGGACAUAGUAUGUACUGGUCUAUGCAUUGUCAGUAUCCCUCUGACAAUCCUAUGACUAGGAACCUUUUUGGACAUGAUGGUUAUGUGAAGAAGGUAUCUGUAGUCUAACAUCAUUAGAUUACUUCUUCCAUCGAUCCAUUGUCCAUGGAUUCACUAUUUAUGACAUAUAUCGUUUAUUGAGACAGUCCUAAUUAGUAUCUUUGCCUUUUGAUGUAUAAGAGUCAUCUAUACACUCAUUCAUUGUCCUGAAAGGUUUCUUCCAAAGAUUGACUUUCAGGGCAUAUCUCCAACAUUCUCUGAAAUUGUGUUGCAGCUGUAUUUCAGUUUUGUUGCUGUGUUUGUCCAUAUACUGGUUAUCAUGGUAAGUUCUCGUUAAUGCUUUAAGAGCAAAAUCCUUAUCUCGGUCUUGUUUUCUAUCAUAUUUAUGACUGUUGGUGCUUAGACCAUCUCCUCUUUUAUUUUAUAUUGUGAGAUGUUAUAUCUGUUAGGCUAAGUAGACUUGUUAACUAAAACGACUAUCGUUUCUUUACCACAGUUGAAGAACUUGGCCGAGAAGAAUGAGAAUAAGAAGAAAAGAAAGGAUUGAUGCUCCUUCUGUAACCCUGGUGAUGCAAAGCAAUGCAAAAUGAGAUCAUCACUUGUCUAUAUAGAGUUUUCCAUGUGACCUCAAAAACAAAAUGUGUAGUUGAUAUAUUCCCUACUCUUUGGUGGGUGGUAGACUGAUAGUGAUUGUCUAGUGUUGCUGCCGUUAAACUUCUACUUACUGUUUUGAAUGACAUCGUUUUAAUUCGUGACGAAGUUUAUUGUUGUGUUAAUAAACUGGCUAGCUCCUCCAUCUGCACUACUUGUAUGUUGGUAUAGCAGGUUUCCAAGUAGCGAUUUGAUACUUCUGAGUCCUUAUGGAACAAUUUUCGCCACGUCCAAUGAUCGAUCGGUGGCAAUAACCCCAGGAAGACAAUAGCCAUGAAGCAAUGUCUUUAAUCUAGUCAGGGCCCAAGUGUAAUUGUCUUCUUUCUCAGCCUCUAUAUACACAAAAACAACUGAGAAUGUCAUAUUAGUGGAUGUCACACCCACAAUUUUAAGAGUGGAAAACGAUACCUGUUAGUCUUAUAUGUGCAAUCCAUGAUAAGUACAUGUGGGAAUGCUCGUAAUAUCUCAAUACUAAUAGGGUGAGCCCAGAAAAUGUCAGUCACAGUAUCACCACAACUUCUCGAAAGUGCUAGUCGAGGGCGACUCACAAGCAAAUGUUAGUCGAGGGCGACUCACAGUAUUACCUUCACCUCCUAAAUCAGACCUUUUAAUAAUAAUUACCAUAUUAUUCAGCUUUCCCUGUUCACAAACCCAUGUAAUCAAUGCAUCUUUUCCUUUGAAUAUCUGCACGUAACACAUAUUUUAUUUCGAAGUAAAAUUCUAAAAUUAACUAACCCGUCAACGACACUAUAAAUAUAUAAUUACCUCAUAAGUUGUAAAUUGAUCAGUAUAAUCCACCACACAUUCUUGUCCAACCUCGUUACCUCGAUCAAAGGCAUCAUUGAAUUCUUGUUGCUAAAAAAUAAAUGACAAAAUUAUGAUUACAAUAAAAAAUCUUCAAGUUAUGAUUAAAACAAAUGGACAAAUAUAGCUAACUGCAGCAAUGUUUUCAUAUUACUGACUAAAAACAAAUCAAGCCCCAUUUUAUAGUAAACAACAGACAACUUCAACUACCUUUCGGUUUCCUCUUACACAACAAAUGGAGUUUGGAAUAUGUAGGACCAACAAUAACUUUCAUAUUGGGAGGGAGAGGGAGACCCCCGAAAAAUACAAUCAGAGAUUAUCCUUGCUUUCUGACUUACAGUAAUCAGGUUUAUAGGGACAAGGCUCACCUAGAUCCCGACAUGUAUCCCUCAAAGUUAGUAAAACUAAAGAUGGCAAUGGAUAUUUUGUAAUCCAAUAAUUGCUUAGUGCAGAGAUUUUCCAGUGCAGGAAACAAUGUUGGAAACUUUGAGCCAAUAAACCAUUUGCUUCUAAAAUGUUUUAGUCCUUGGGAAAUCGAAAAAUAAACCCCCAAAAGAGUCAACAAGACUGUAGAAUCAAGGUUCAAGAUUUUUCUCGAAAAAAAUCCCUUCACAUCAGUGGCAAUUCAAUGGGAAAGUCCAGACUUCCUCAACUCAAAAAAUCUUCCAUAAAGCAAAAAAUUAUAAGCUCAUGAAGGACUCACCACCCAACCAAACAUGACUGAAAGAUAUACACAUGCGGAACAGAAACCUUAAAGACAUCGUUCAAUUCGACAAGUUCUAAACUUUAAAAAAUUGAAAUCGAACGAACAAAAUAUUCAUAAAUUGAGUCAUACCUUGGUUGGAGGAUUCAAAACUUCAAAAUCACCAUCCAUCAAUAGAAAAUUUUAUUUUUCUCUAUGAGAGCUAUUAGGGUUUUAGCAGAAUGAACGUAUGAUAAACAAAGAAUGAUCGUAGGGUUUAAUUAUAAUGUUUGGGUUUAUUGAUAAAUUUGAGUUUUAUUAUUAAUUUCACUUUGUACUUAAUAGUAAUUAUACAAUAAGGUAAAAUAGACAAUUAACAUUCAAAAUUUUAAGUUUAGUGUAAAAAGAGAUUGCAUGAAUUUAAAUAAAAUUUCCCCAAAACAAGGCGCCUCUUUUCUUUUCGUUCUGGAGUUUUAUCAACCCGAACAAACAAACAACCCAAAAAAUAAUUAGAGACUCGUGAAACGAAAGAAAUCAAAACCGAAUUUCGAACCUGAAAAAAAAAAGGAAAAAAAAAGAAGAUAGGGAAAAUGGAAGCAGAGAUGGGACUGAUGCGUCGGAUGCCUCCCAAGUACACCGAGACGGCUCUAUCCGCCCUUCUCUCCCUUCUCCCCCAGCACUCCUCUGAUCUCCUCUCUCAAGUCGAUCAGCCCCUCCAGGUUCUCCCCUGUUUGUUUCCCGAGAAAAUCCAAUCCAAUUUUCACUUUCCAUUUUCUUUCUCAAGGGUUUCAUUUUAAUCCAAAAAAAAAAAAAAAAAAAACAAACAAACAAAAUGUUCUCUUCAAAUUCAAAUUUUAAAGUCACCGUGCUGCUCUCUGGUUUCCCGAAAUUCAGGUUUUGUGCGAUAUCGAAUACGGAAAGCAGUUCAUUUUGUGUGAAUAUAACAGAGACGCAGACUCUUACAGGUAAAACCCUCAAAUCUUUGUCAAUUUUGAUGGAUUGGUGUUAGUUUUCUGAUGUUUUACACUUUAAUUGCUACAUUUUUUAGGGACAUUUUAGAGGUAGCAGAUCUGGCCUUGAUUUGUGAAUCUGGAUGUUUGAUAUAUUUUGAUUAAUAUAACUUAUUGUUUUGGUUCAUAUGCUGAUUUAAUUGGUGUGAUUAGUGCAAUACAUGUAUAACUAUGUAAUCUAGUAGUUUAUUUUUUCGUAUAAUCGUUUCUGUUCUGUGAAUAUCGAUUGUCCAUGUUGAUAUUUUUGUGCUACUAUAUUUCCAUGUAGAUCGCCUUGGUCAAACAAAUAUCAUCCGCCACUAGAAGACAGCAGCCUCCCAUCUUUAGAGUUGAGGAAACUUGAAGUUGAAGCAAACGACAUCUUCGCCAUUUAUCUUGACCAGUGAGGUCCUUUACUUACCUUGUUCUUGUGUUAUUCUUUGCAUUGGUUGAACUGUAUAAAACACUUCUAAAAUAAUAUUUCUUCCAUUAGCUAAUUUAAAAAAAAAAGAAAAAAGAAAAAAGAAAAAGGCAAGAAUGUGUUGAAAGUAUCGUCGUGCAAUUUAUUUAGCAUAAUGGUUCAGUUCUUUGUUUCAUUCUGAAGAUUUCAUACAGCUUGGUUAACCGGUAAUUUGGUAGGUACUAUUUUUUAUUUUUUUUUAUUUUUUAUUUUUGAAUCUAGUGUCUCCGGGUCUUUGACCCGACUACUCACUCGGCCACCCGCCUGACCCCACAACAUUUGGUAGGCAAGAAACUCUAGCAAUUGCUAGGUGGGUACCUUGAGAGGUGUCGAACCCCAGACCUCUUGGUAACAAACCAAGGGCCUGACCAUUAGACUAAACACUCUUAGGUAAUUUGGUAGGUACUAUGAAGGUGGCAUUUCGUCAGUUUAUAUGUGGGAGGAUGAUAACGAAGGUUUUGUAGGCUGCUUUUUAAUAAAGGUAUACUGCCUAAACUUUCAAUUUAUGUUCUUGUACAUGUAUAUAUGCUGAUUUUUAUUAUUUGAUGCCCCGUUUGUUUGCCUUCACUAAGUUUCAUUGGACUAGACUGGACUAACUCUUAGUCCAGUCCAAUGUUUGGUAUCACGCGGGACUCACGUUAAUGAGAUUAAGUGGGAUUCGCACGGACUAAAGCUUUCACUGUAGGUUCUUAGCGAGAGUCCUCGACAACCAUGGGACUAGCUAAGACCUGCUUUGUUCCUCCGCUUCGCUCGUCUGCAUCACUUCGCGAACUCUUUUUGCUUCGCUUCGGAUCGUCGACCCAACACGCCAACUCCCCCAGCGGGUCUCAAAUCGCCAGACUCUCGCUCGGAGAAGAGUCUAGGUUGGUCGGAUCUGGGGCCUGGGAAGAUGAUAGUGGUUUGAUCAGAACAGUCCCCUCCGAGCAUUGCCAUCUCACCGUUGAUCACAAAAAGGGUCUCCCAGAAAUCAAAUGGCCACGCAUCUCCGUCCCUCAUCAUCUCCACCCAAAUUUCAAGUUUCCCCUCCUCUGUUCUUUCUACUGUACAUCGUUCCCAAUCAGCAAAAGGGAACCGGAAUUAGAUAUUCCUGUCUCGGAGGCCGCGUGGCUGGUGUUUUUCUGUAAAAAGGGAGAGAAAUGGUAGGUGUUGACGAAGACGACAAGUAAUUGGAUAGAUAGAUGCAGAUUAUCAAAGUUUAGUUUCAUUGAAAAAUGGAAAAAGACAUCAAUAUUGAAUCUAAAAUAUGUUAGUCCGAGAUCUAGUCCGGGACUGCACCAAACACUUAACUAUUUUUAUCCUGGUUAGUCCAAGCCAAGCCAGUCCAGCUUAGUCCUUGAAGUUAGUCCAGUCCGAGUUAGUCCAAUGCAACAAACGCACCCUGAGGGGUUUCAGAUGGCUCCAAGACAGGACAAGGUAGGAGAGGUUAUCUGCAGGAGGGGGCAUGGGAUGCUAUACAUGUGAUUGAGGUAAACUCUACUUGUCAUGGUAGGAACAACGUGGAUCUGUGGUGAAGGUGUUCAUAUAGUCCUGACACUCACCCCCUUUCACACUUACAUGUGAUUGAGGUAUACACUUAAUGUUCUUUAUUUAGUGUUGACCAAAAAAGGAGUUUCAACACCUUUUAGCUAUUUAAAGUUAUAGUGAACAACUCUUCUUUCUCUUGAUAGUUGUGAUAUGAACUUGCUGUUAGUUUGAAUGGUGCCUUUGUUAGGUCGAGUCAUUUGACAUGAUUAAUCAAAUUGGUUGAGUUAGGAUUGAUUCGGGAUGGACACAAAGUGAGGAAUAGAGAGCUGGAAAAUUUGAAAUUGAAGAUCAAAUAUGUGAAGAAUAGUGCUAACUGUGAGAAUGUGAGGACAAAGAUAGGUGAGUGACCAAACUAUGCAAAGGGCUUAUAAGAGGUUGAGUUGCUCUUCAUAUUGUCAAUUAGUUUUAUGAUGGAACCUUAACUUUCUUCAUGGUAUAUGAAUAGGUUGACCCAUGUGUAAAGCCUAAUGGCCACAUGUGCUCACAUCGCCCUGUUUGUAUCGUCCACAUGUUAGGCUUGAAAAUUCGCCAUAUAUGAGGGGGCGUGUGAGAAUGUGAAGACAAAGUCCCACAUUGGUGAGGAAACAAAACAUACAAGGGCUUAUAAGAGGUGGGACUAUUCCCUAUAUAACAUAUUGCCAAUUAGUUUUAUGGUAAAAUCUCAACUUUCUUCAGUAACAAUGCAUGAAGAUGAUGAUAUCAUAAGAAUUAUUAGUGGAGCGUGAGAGGGCUUUCUUAAGUUUAGGAGACAAAACUAAUAAUGUUUCAAUAGAGAAAAAUGAGAUUUGAUAGAAGAAUUGUAAUAGCUCAUGUGGAGCUAGGUUUAAGGAAAGGGAAUUUAUUACCCUUUUGGGGAAAGUAUGGGGGAAUUUUUGCUAUAUAAGGUUUUUUGGUCGAGUGAGUAUUGAUAGAAAUUUUCAGACUCCAUUUAGAUUUAAGGUGAGUGAUUGUUUACUUUAGUGGUAGUCUAGGGUUCAUGCCCUUCGCUAAGAGCAAGUCCACCCCUAAAGACUUUGCGCUAGUACCUAGCGCAUUUAUCCACUCAAGUAAAUAGUAAUAAACCCUAGUGAACAGUAAUAGGCCAAAGCAUCUCCACUCCUAAACAAAAAAUAGGCUGGUCAAUUUAUUAAAAUAUUAUUAUUUUUAUUAUAAAAUAAUAUUUUAUUUUUACUUUUUGACUUCUUCCCUUCAUCUUCUGCAACUUCCCAUCCCUUCCACAUAAAAAAAAACCCGACUCUUAGAAUCAUUGCUCCAACCCCAAAACUCCAAUCCCAGAAUUCCACUUUCCUAGAAAAGCUCAAAAGUUCCAAUCUUAGGUGGUUGAAUCGCGGGAGGCAGUCGGAUUUGGAGGAAAUGCACAUGCAGAUUUGGAGGAGCUCACAGGACGGGAAGCGGGAAGCGGGUGGAAGCUGCUCAUGGAGGCGAAUUAGCCGCUGCCGGUGGACAAAAGGGGGGUUUUGAGAGUGAGGUCGAGCUUGGCGAUGUUGACGGCUCCGUGGCUCCUUCCCUCCGUGGCUCCUUGCCCUUCGACACCACGCUGACGUCGGCUAGGCGUCACUUGAGACGGUCCCAAGGUCUGUCAAUUUUAAGCCGGCCUGUGGACUGGCUUGGGCUGGGUGCCAGUCGAUUCCACGGGCUGGAAUAGAUUGGCUGAGUCUCAACCUGUUUUUUCCACUAGGUGCUGGCCUAUCCCACCCCCGGUGGACUUGCUCUAAAAGUUUGGGGCAGGACAUUUUUGAUGUGGUGAUUUACAUCUAUGAUAUUUAAAAUUGAUAAAAUCAGUCUCUAAGUUUGUUCACAAUCAAUUAUUUUGGUCAUUUCAUAAAAAUUAUUCGUUAAAUAAGAAUAAAAUGACAAAAAUACCCUCAAUUUUUAUCAAAUUAUUUUGGCAUAUUGUUUAUUAAAUUGAGAGUAUUUUUUCUCAUUUUGAUCCUUACUUAAUAAAGUUUUUCACGGAAUGACCAAAAUAAUUAAAACUGGACAAACUCAGGAACCACUUCUGUCGCUUUCAAAUCUCAAGGACCAAGUGAAGAGUUAUAUCAGUCUCAAUAUCCACUUUAGCUAAAAAGCCCAAGGUAAAAGCCCAAGAUAACAUUACCCUUUACCCCUUAAUUUUAAAAAACUUGCAAUGAAAGGGGGCUCAAAAAAAUAAUUUUGAAUUGGAAAAAAAUAGAAGCAGAUUUGAGGUUCAAAUAGAACCAUCAUAAAUUCAUUUGUUUUCUAUUGGAAAAAAGGUUAGUUUUUGUUGCCAUCUUGGUCUGUGUUUAACUAGUUUUCUUUUAGUUGGAGACGCAUACGAGGUUGUGAUAGGUUUCGGGGAUGGGUAGUCUGGACUUGACACCCCAACAACUGGACCACUGACCCUUAGUGGAACAGAGUUGUCCUUGCUGAAUUCAAGAGAUGUCCAGUGUAAUGGUUCAGCUUUAGCCAGGCGAAUUUCAACUUUGGUGGACAGAACGUCAAAUCUGCACUUUGUAGGUAUUAUCUUUCCAAAUAAGCGAGGCUGAAAAUAGUAUGCAUCUUCACCAGCAACAUCAAUGCUAACACUGAGUAUUUGUUCACCAAAUUCAACAUUAACGUCUGCCAUGCCCUUGGUGAAUAUAGUCACAACAACCACUUCUGGCUUCUGGUAGAAUUCAUGCCUGUAUUUUGGCUUGACAGAUGCUACGGCCAACUCGAAGGGGUUCUAGAUGAACGCCUCCUUCACACGCUUUUUGAGAUCGGAGCCAUGGGCGGACAACCGUCAGUGUGGACUGAGGGAGAUGGAAGAGUCUAGGAAAGAAGAGUAUACAACUAUAGUUAAUUGUUGAUUUCUUUACAUCUUUGAGAUACGAAACUAAAUACAAUUUAUAGUAUUUAAAAAAAUAAAAAAUACCUUGAUAAAUUAAUAAAUUUUUAAUUCAUCGAUCAUUUAAUAUUUUGCUAAAUAAUAGUCUUCCUGGGUCUCGAGGCUAUUAAUUAAAGAAGUUUAAUUAUAUAGAAAACCAAAAGCAAAAAUCGGGCAAAAUAUAAAAAUAACCAAAACCUAAACUUAGGUGCUAAAAUUUGGCAAAUAUACGAUAUAACUCUAAUAAUUUCGGAAGUACAAACCUCGUCAGAUGAAGUAUUGCUCGGUACGGCACCAAUCUCGUCAUUGCUAGAGAUGCGUCACCGCCAUCACCAUCAUCCCAGAAUAGAUUAACUCCUGUUUUCAUCAGUCUCCCUCUCCCAUGAGCCUCUGUAACUGCAGAAAUCGAGACUUCGUCCCCACUUUGCAAAUGGAGUACAUCAUUUGAUAAUACACUUUGCAAACGGAGUACACUGUUAGCUACACUGGAAGUAGAAUCUCCCCAGAUGUGCAAAGCCUUACCCUUUGUAAAUUUGUAACAGUUAAUCCAGGACGAUAUGUUUCGAAAACACAGCACAGAGUCAAUCCUCUAAAAUUAUGACCAAUAAAUUGAGGCACUUUAAAAUGAACAUUUUUGGGCUCAUGAAUAACAACAAACUGGAACCACUCCGGAAUAUCAUAAAUUCCAUCGAGAAAAAUGUCACUAUGUCCGCAAGAAGUCCAUCCCUAGAGCAUACCAUGUAAAGCCCGAUUAAUUUGUAUAAGCAAUAGCCUUAAUUAUGCAUGCGUGUGUCAUGUACAUGUACAGUACAGGUCCUCUGUGGGCAUGUGAUAGAAAGAGGAGGAGAAUACAGCUCUUAGAGAGAGAUCUGUAGGAUGUUCUUCCUAAAACUCAGAAUGUACAUGUCAUUCUUAUGCAUAAGAAAUACAUGCAUGUCUUAGGCGUGUAUGUGUGGAUCUAUGUGUGUGUGUGUGUGUGUGUGUGAGAGAGAGAGAGAGAGAGAGAGAGUGAGAGAGACCUGUAGCAUGCUCUUCCUAAAAUCAGCAGUGAGAUUGGUGCAGCCUUCCAUAUGAAUCCUUCUCAUAGUGUUUAACGACUUAUGCUAGCCUAGAAUCUCACAGUGAGUUUGGGGGAGUAAUUCAGAUGCAGUUCUACCAUACUCGACAACAACAACAACAAAGUCUUUUCCCACUAAGUGGGGAGUUCUACCAUACUCGACAUUUCUGAAAAAUUUGGCAUUUUUUCAAUGCAAUGCACUGAUUUGCUUUCAAGAUUUCCAAACUUGUAGGUAAAUCUGGGAUUUCAAGAAGAUCUUUGCAAUAACUCAAAUCUAACAUUUUAAGCUUGGAGAGUCCACUGAGGCAAGGUCGGCUAUAAAACAAAUUGCCAUCAAGCACCACAAACAACAACAAAGCCUUUUCCCACUAAGUGGGGUCGGCUAUAUGAAUCCUAGAACGCCAUUGCGCUCGGUUUUGUGUCAUGUCCUCCGUUAGAUCCAAGUACUCUAAGUCUUUUCUUAGAGUCUCUUCCAAAGUUUUCCUAGGUCUUCCUCUACCCCUUCGGCCCUGAACCUCUGUCCCGUAGUCACAUCUUCGAACCGGAGCGUCAUUCGGCCUUCUUUGCACAUGUCCAAAUCACCGGAGCCGAUUUUCUCUCAUCUUUCCUACAAUUUCGGCUACUCCUACUUUACCUCGGAUAUCCUCAUUCCCAAUCUUAUCCUUUCUCGUGUGCCCACACAUCCCACGAAGCAUCCUCAUCUCCGCUACACCCAUUUUGUGUACGUGUUGAUGCUUCACUGCCCAACAUUCUGUGCCAUACAACAUCACUGGCCUUAUUGCCGUCCUAUAAAAUUUUCCCUUGAGCUUCAGUGGCCUACGACGGUCACACAACACGCCGGAUGCAUUCUAACACUUCAUCCAUCCAGCUCGUAUUCUAUGGUUGAGAUCUCCAUCUAAUUCUCCGUUCUCUUGCAAGAUAGAUCCUAGGUAGCGAAAACGGUCGCUUUUUGUGAUCUUCGCUAGAUUGCUCCGGUCAUUAGUGUGGAUAAGUAUAUAAAUGGAUAGAGAUAGGAAAGCAAACACAAGAUGUACGUGGUUCACCCAUAUUGGCUACGUCCACGGAAUAGAAGAGUUCUCAUUAAUUGUGAAGGGUUUACACAAGUACAUAGGUUCAAGCUCUCCUUUAGUGAGUACAAGUGAAUGAUUUAGUACAAAUGACAUUAAGGAAAUAUUGUGGGAGAAUGAUCUCGUAAUCACGAAACUUCUAAGUAUCGGAGUGUAGAGUCGUCUUGACUUGCCUUAUCUGUCUCAUAGGUAGAUGUGGCAUCUUCUCUGGAAGUACUCUUCCUCCAUCCAGGGGUGGUAUCUUUAACUGGUGGAGAUGCACAAGGUAAUGUAUCAAUUUCACUUGAAGCUUACUUGUAGUUUCAGGCUUGGUCAAGCGCGAUACAAACCAUGUAGUAGGAGUCCCCCAAGUCGCCGAGCUAGGGGGUCUGCUGAAAGAGGUGACAGACAAGGUAAGCAAUCAGAGCUCCGACUGAUUGUUCACCUUCUCCCCAUCUUGCAGCAGCAUGAAGGAUAAAGAGAAGAAAAAUGAGAAGAGAUGAUAUGAGAUACUUUUGCUUUUGAAGAAGUAACUUUCCACAGGCUUAUUCUUGAACUGAGCUGGAGGGUUUUCUGGUUUCCUCCAGAGUAUAAGGCCGACUGAAGAAUUUGAGGGUCAAAACAAGUCCAUCAAAUCUAGAGUACGUUCCACCCUGCUGAUAUGGGAUACUUUUGCUUUUGACAGAGUAAUGGAUGUAUCGGCACGUGUGCUGUUACGCUUGUCUCCACAUGCUUCCUUGUAUCCUUCGCACUUGCCCUAUCUGUUCCUCAAGCAGAUGCGGAAUCUUCCCUAGAAACAUAAGAUGUUGAAGAUGAGUACUCGAGAGCAAUGCCAGGUAAGUAAUCAGGUAAGGGGUUCCAGGCAGUCAGUUCUUGGCUGGAAGCUUGAUUCCAAGUGCUGACUGAUUGCUCUCUUUCUCCUUGUCUUGCAGGUAAAAACAAGGCCAAAGGAAAAGACAGGGAAAAAGCAUGAUAUGGGAUACUCUUGCUUUUAACCCUGAUGAUAUGAGAUAUUCUUGCUCUAGUAUAGCUUGUUUACAGAGGUAUUAUCGGGGGGAAAGAAAGCUGAAUAUUUCGAAAGGCUUCGUUGGGAGUGUUUUCUCGAAUGUGAGUAAAGGUUGGGAGUGUUUUCUCGAAUGUGAGUAAAGGUUGGGCAUGUUUGCUAGUCUACCUUUCCACGAAGCACAGAGGUUGACACACAGGGACUUUCCAAUUAUCCAGCAAUGGUACUGUUCCUUUACCCUCUCUUCGAUUUUUGAGGAAGUAAUCAUGUUGGGAGUCUGGCUCUCGAGAUUCGGAGGGCGGUGCCUCUUCGAUUUUGGAGCAAGCAAUCUUGUUGGGAGUGUUUUCUCGAAUGUGAGUAAAGGUUGGGCAUGUUUGCUAGUCUACCUUGCCACGAAGCACAGAGGUUGACACACAGGGAGUUUCCAAUUAUCCAGCAGUGGUACUGUUCCUUUACCCUUGUGGGUAAUAAUAUGGUAGCUAGACCUUCAAAAUUUAUGUGUCUAAACUUUGUUAGUGUUGUUUCUUUGCUAUUCUUUUACCUUUCUUGGUCAGAGCGAUGUAGUGGGAGCUGCAAGCUUCACGUGCUCAACUUUGGCAGAGAACUUUGGCAAAGUUAUCUGUGGUACCCAUGAGCUAUUGUUGCGUGUGGGAAGUGGGUGAUUGAACAGUAAGAUUCAUGUGCUUUCUACUUCACCAGAAGUCUUCGACAGAAUGCCCAUAAUUUCUGCAAAGCUGAGUGUGCGUGUGACAGGUGCUGACAAGGCUAGAAAAGUAGGUGCCUCUUCGAUUUCUGAGAUCGGCCCUCGUGGUCUCUGAGCAGCCCAGCUUUUGAGAAAGCGAGCGCCUCUUCGAUUGAUUCGAAGAACGAUGCCUCAUCGAUUUUUGAGAAAGCAGUCACGAUGGGGGUCUGGCUCUCGAAGAUUCGGGGAGCAGUGUCUCUUCGAUUUUUGAGAAAGUAAUCAUGUUGGGAGUCUGGCUCUCGAGAUUCGGAGGGCGGUGCCUCUUCGAUUUUGGAGCAAGCAAUCUUGUUGGGAGUGUUUUCUCGAAUGUGAGUAAAGGUUGGGCAUGUUUGCUAGUCUACCUUGCCACGAAGCACAGAGGUUGACACACAGGGACUUUCCAAUUAUCCAGCAAUGGUACUGUUCCUUUACCCUCUCUUCGAUUUUUAAGAAAGUAGUCAUGUUGGGAGUCUGGCUCUCGAGAUUCGGAGGACGGUGCCUCUUCGAUUUUGGAGCAAGCAAUCUUAUUGGGAGUGUUUUCUCGAAUGUGAGUAAAGGUUGGGCAUGUUUGCUAGUCUACCUUGCCACGAAGCACAGAGGUUGACACACAGGGACUUUCCAAUUAUCCAGCAGUGGUACUGUUCCUUUACCCUUGUGGGUAAUAAUAUGGUAGCUAGACCUUCAAAAUUUAUGGUUCUAAACUUUGUUAGUGCUGUUUCUUUGCUAUUCUUUUUACCCUUCUUGGUCAGAGCGAUGUAGUGGGAGCUGCAAGCUUCACGUGCUCAACUUUGGCAGAGAACUUUGGCAAAGUUUUCUGUGGUACCCAUGAGCUAUUGUUGCGUGUGGGAAGUGGGUGAUUGAACAGUAAGAUUCAUGUGCUUUCUACUUCCCCAGAAGUCUUCGACAGAAUGCCCAUAAUUUCCGCAAAGCUGAGUGUGCGUGUGACAGGUGCUGACAAGGCUGGAAAAGUAGGUGCCUCUUCGAUUUCUGAGAUCGGCCCUCGUGGUCUCUGGGGAGCCCAGCUUUUGAGAAAGCGAGCGCCUCUUCGAAUUUCUGAGAUCGCCUUCGUGGUCUUUGAGCAGCCCAACUUUUGAGAAAGCAAACGCCUCUUCGAUUUCUGAGAUCAACCCUCGUGAUCUCUAAGCAGCCCAGCUUUUUGAGAAAGCAAACGCCUCUUCGAUUUCUGAGCAGGCGCCUCUUCGAUUUCUGAAGCUCCGUCGAGUGCAGAUUUUUAUAAGGGGCUGGCAUUAAGUUCCAAAACACACUUGAAUCUCCACCAGUAGAAGCUUCCAUUCUUGCACUUCUAAGAUCUUGAUUUGUCCGACCUCUUCUCUCUUCAACACCUUUGAAAAUGUCUGGCCCCUCCGACCGUCGUUUUGACUUGAACCUUGUUGAAGAGGCAGCCCCGCCUUCUCCAGACAACAUAUGGCGCCCAUCCUUCGUCUCCCCUACUGGUCCUCUUACCGUUGGGGAUUCCGUGAUGAAGAAUGAUAUGACCGCUGCGGUGGUGGCCAGGAACCUUCUCACUCCCAAAGAUAACAGACUACUUUCCAAACGGUCUGAUGAGUUAGCUGUUAAGGAUUCGCUGGCUCUCAGUGUUCAGUGUGCAGGUUCUGUGUCUAAUAUGGCCCAACGCCUAUUUGCUCGAACCCGCCAAGUUGAAUCAUUGGCGGCUGAAGUGAUGAGUCUCAAACAGGAGAUUAGAGGGCUCAAGCAUGAGAAUAAACAGUUGCACCGGCUCGCACAUGACUAUGCUACAAACAUGAAGAGGAAGCUUGACCAGAUGAAGGAAACUGAUGGUCAGGUUUUACUUGAUCAUCAGAGAUUUGUCAGUUUGUUCCAAAGGCAUUUAUUGCCUUCGUCUUCUGGGGCUGUACCGCGUAAUGAAGCUCCAAAUGAUCAACCUCUGAUGCCUCCUCCUUCUAGGGUUCUGUCCAGUACUGAGGCUCCAAAUGAUCCCCCUCCGGUGCCUUCUCUUUCUGGGGCUCUACCGACUGCUGAGACUUCUCCUAAGCAACCUUUGUGAAGGCUCCCUCUUGUGUGUUUAUUUUGACUCAUGUAUAUGUACAUAUUUGUAGCUUAUCGGGGAUAUCAAUAAAUAAGCUUUCCUUCAUUUCAACGUAUUGUGUUAAAUACACCAAAGCCUUCUUCGCUAAGUUCUUUGAAUUUUCUUUUGUUGAAGCUUGUAUGUUGAAGCUUUCUGAGUGGAGCAUGUAGGUUGGGGUAGUGUUCCCUUAAUUUUCCGAGUGAGGAAAACUUCUCGGUUGGAGACUUGGAAAAUCCAAGUCACUGAGUGGGAUCGGCUAUAUGAAUCUUAGAACGCCAUUGUGCUCGAUCCUGUGUCAUGUCCUUCGUUAGAUCCAAGUACUCUAAGUCUUUUCUUAGAGUCUCUUCCAAAGUUUUCCUAGGUCUUCCUCUACCCCUUCGGCCCUGAACCUCUGUCCCAUAGUCGCAUCUUCUAAUCGGAGCGUCAGUAGGCCUUCUUUGCACAUGUCCAAACCACCGUAACCGAUUUUCUCUCAUCUUUCCUUCAAUUUCAGGCUACUCCUACUUUACCCCGGAUAUCCUCAUUCCUAAUCUUAUCCUUUCUUGUGUGCCCACACAUCCAACGAAGCAUCCUCAUCUCCGCUACACCCAUUUUGUGUACGUGUUGAUGUUUCACCGCCCAACAUUCUGUGCCAUACAGCAUCGCCGGCCUUAUUGCCGUCCUAUAAAAUUUUCCCUUGAGCUUCAGUGGCAUACGGCGGUCACACAACACGCCGGAUGCACUCUUCCACUUCAUCCAUCCAGCUUGUAUUCUAUGGUUGAGAUCUCCAUCUAAUUCUCCGUUCUUUUGCAAGAUAGAUCCUAGGUAACGAAAACGGUCGCUCUUUGGUAUUUCUUGAUCUCCGAUCCUCACCCCUAACUCGUUUUGGCCUCCAUUUGCACUGAACUUGCACUCCAUAUAUUCUGUCUUUGAUCGGCUUAGGCGAAGACCUUUAGAUUCCAACACUUCUCUCCAAAGGUUAAGCUUUGCAUUUACCCCUUCCUGAGUUUCAUCUAUCAACACUAUAUCGUCUGCGAAAAGCAUACACCAAGGAAUAUCAUCUUGAAUAUGUCCUUGUUAACUCAUCCAUUACCAACGCAAAAAAGGUAAGGACUUAAGGAUGAGCCUUGAUGUAAUCCUACAGUUAUGGGAAAGCUUUCGGUUUGUCCUUCAUGAGUUCUUACGGCAGUCUUUGCUCCUUCAUACAUAUCCUUUAUAGCUUGGAUAUAUGCUACUCGUACUCCUUUCUUCUCUAAAAUCCUCCAAAGAAUGUCUCUUGGGACCCUAUCAUACGCUUUUUCCAAAUCUAUAAAGACCAUGUGUAAAUCCUUUUUCCCAUCUCUAUAUCUUUCCAUCAAUCUUCGUAAGAGAUAGAUUGCCUCCAUGGUUGAGCGCCCUGGCAUGAACCCGAAUUGGUUGUCCGAAACCCGUGUCUCUCUUGCCUCAAUCUAUGCUCAAUGACUCUCUCCCAGAGCUUCAUUGUAUGACUCAUUAGCUUAAUACCCCUAUAGUUCAUGCAAUUUUGUACGUCGCCCUUAUUCUUGUAGAUAGGCACCAAAGUGCUCGUUCGCCACUCAUUUGGCAUCUUCUUCGUUUUCAAAAUCCUAUUGAAAAGGUCAGUGAGCCAUGUUAUAUACCUGUCUCUCCCAAAAGUUUUCCACACUUCGAUUGGUAUAUCGUCUGGGCCUAUUGCUUUUUAUGCUUCAUCUUCUUCAAAGCUACAACCACUUCUUCCUUCCGGAUUCGACGAUAAAAAGAGUAGUUUCUCUACACUCUUCUGAGUUACUCAACUCCCCUAAAGAAGCACUCAUUUUCAUGUCCUUCAUUGAAAAGAUUAUGAAAAUAACCUCUCUCCAUCUGUCUUUAACCGCGUUCUCUGUAGCAAGAACCUUUCCAUCCUCAUCCUUGAUGCACCUCACUUGGUUUAGGUCCCUUGUCUUCUUUUCCCUUGCUCUAGAUAGUUUAUAGAUAUCCAACUCUCCUUCUUUGGUAUCUAGUCGUUUAUAUACAUAUCGUCGUAAGCCGCUAACUUAGCUUCUCUGACAGCUUUCUUCGCCUCUUGCUUCGCUUUUCUAUACCUUUCACCAUUUUCAUCGGUCCUCUCCUUGUAUAAGGCUUUACAACAUUCCUUCUUAGCCUUCACCUUUGUUUGUACCUCCUCAUUCCACCACCAAGAUUCCUUUUGGUGUGGGGCAAAGCCCUUGGACUCUCCUAAUACCUCUUUUGCUACUUUUCGGAUACAACUAGCCAUGGAAUCCCACAUUUGGCUAGCUUCCCCCUCUCUAUCCCACACACAUUGGGUGAUUACCUUCUCUUUGAAAAUGACUUGUUUUUUCUUCUUUUAGAUUCCACCAUCUAGUCCUUGGGCACUUCCAAGUCUUGUUCUUUUUGUCUUACUCUUUUGAUAUGUACAUCCAUCACCAACAAGCGAUGUUGAUUAGCCACGCUCUCUCCUGGUAUAACUUUGCAAUCCUUACAAGUUAUACGAUCCCCUUUCCUCAUUAGAAGAAAAUCUAUUUGUGUUUUUGACGACCCACUCUUGUAGGUGAUCACAUGUUCUUCUCUCUUCUUAAAGAAGGUGUUGGCUAAGAAGAGAUCAUAUGCCAUUGCAAAAUCCAAGAUAGCUUCCCCAUCCUCGUUUCUCUCCCCAAAACCAUGGCCACCAUGAAAACCUCCAUAGUUGCCUGUCUCCCUGCCCACGUGUCCAUUUAAAUCUCCUCCUAUAAAUAACUUCUCCUCCGUUUGAGCAAUUCCUUGCACCAAGUCUCCAAGAUCUUCCCAAAAUUUCUCCUUCGAACUCGUAUCCAACCCUACUUGAGGUGCGUACGCACUAAUCACAUUGAUAAGUUCUUGUCCUAUUACAAUCUUGAUUGCCAUGAUUCUAUCUCCUACCCUCUUGACAUCUACAACAUCUUGUACCAAGGUCUUGUCCACGAUGAUGCCAACACCGUUUCUCGUUCUAUUUGUGCCCGAAUACCAAAGUUUAAACCCUGAGUUUUCUAGAUCCUUUGCCUUACUACCAACCCACUUAGUUUCUUGUAGGCACAUAAUAUUUAUCCUUCUCCUCACCAUAACUUCCACUACUUCCAUAGAUUUUCCCGUUAAGGUUCCUAUAUUCCACGUUCCUAAACGCAUUUUGCUCUCUUGAACUCUACCCUUCUGUCCUAGCUUCUUCACCCUCCCCCGUCUAAUAAGAUCAAAGUACUUCUUUUGUGUGUCCCGGGUAAAGUUGAUAGGAGCAUAUGCUCCCAAACAACUUUGAGUGGAGUCGUUUGAAAAGAAGUUUCUAUGGCCCCCUUGCUCAUUUAACACUGCAUCCGGGUGCCGAUGGAGAUACAGCGACCCUUGCUCACUUAUCACUGUGCUCGGGCCACACAGCGCGCCACUUACGGGUGACGCCCUAGCUUUAGCGUGAUUUUGUUCUGGAUUCAUUUUCAUAAGGAUUCGACGUGAUCAUGGAGUGCCGGCUGUCGACUACCUGACGCCCUCCCCCUCCUCCUUUAUCCGGGCUUGGGACCGGCCAUGUAAGACAUAGGCGGAGUUUUGCCAUCAAGCUCCAAUAUUUCUAAAUAAAAAUAGACUACCAAGAUCCUUAGGGAUGGAAUCAUCAGUUAAAUUGCAGUUUCCAAGACCUAAAAAUGUCAACGAAGGGCGCAAAAGAUUACUUGAUGGUGACCCUCUCAAACCCCAUAGAAAUAAAGAUGUCAGGUUCUUCAAUCUUGCAAUUGAAGAUGGAUCUUGGCUUAUCAUUGUAUCCGACACGUCGACCUAGAUCCUUUGGGAUGGAAUCAAGUAGAAGAGAGAGCAAAUACCUGGCUUAUCAUUGCCAUCAAGCUCCAAUAUUUCUAAAUAAAAUAGAAGAGAGAAAGCAAGAUAUUGGUAUUCACAGAAGCUGAAGAAAAUAAUAAAUAAUUUGUUUGAGAUCAUAUUAUACCACGUCAGUGUCCUCACAAACUCGUAUGAGUUUGCUAUAGCUCAAGUCAAUAGCAACUAGGUUUGGUUGAUAGAAAUCGUCAGGUAUGACCUUCGGAGGAAAUCCAUGCCAACAUAACCAUCUUAAAUCCUUGGAAAGAUGGUGGUAACUUCCAGUGAGCUUUAUGUUUUUGAGUUUGAGCAAUCUCAGACUCAGCAUGUUUCUAAAUGAUUCUGAACUGAAGCUACGCGUGUCAAACUGUUGUAUAUCUAAAGCAAGUUAACUUAUUGAAAGACCAUGAAAUUCACCAUUUUCCCUAAUAUAGGCCUUUAUACACCAAAAAAUGGGAGGUCUAUCAGCUGAGCACUUAACUGUUAGAAAGCAGGAAAUUAAGCAUUGCCCUUGAACGUUUGUGUUCAAGAGUCUAACAUGUCUUGCUCUGCAUCUUCUGAAGCUGAAAGGCCACUCACUUCUUCUUUGUCAUCCUCCCAGUCACUGUCUUCCAAUUGAGGACUCUCGGACCUCUUCUCUGACUCUGCCCCUUGCCUUCUCAUGUGUUCUGAAAUAUUUCACGAAAGCAAACAAUUAAAGACCGGGGGCAUGUAUAGUCUGGGGAAUGUGAGGCAAGAGAAGAGGAAAACUUACUUUUAUUGGUAAUUGCGUGACGAGUCAUGACCAAGAAUUCAUCCCACUUGAAUUUCCUGAGUUCUUGCUUCUCCUCCUCAGAAAGCUCAAAAUUUGGUUCCCUCCCACACAUGAAAGCAGCCCUGAACACAAAUAACAAAACCAACAAAGUUUAUAUGGCAUAUAAUUUAUUGCAUUUGACACACAAAGCUUACCACCCAUUUUCCCAUUUGGCUUAUCAAGUUUCAUGUUUUUGAAUGUCGGGGGAUUGACACGAACCACUAUAUCAUGUUGAUAAUGCAGACACAACAGACCUUCAGGUUUUAAAAAAUAAAAAACCAGAAGUAACAUAAAAAAGGACACAGGUAACCACUGGUUGGAAUGAACAUAUAGGAUGGCAUGUUCUAUCUGGUGACCCUGUCCAAAGAACGUGAACAAAAAAAACCAGUGUAGCAACAGUGAAAACUAAGAUUGUUUUACUUGGUGUAUCUAAAAACAUGAUGACGAACCACUAAACAAGAGAAGGCAUUCGGUAGUCGAUAGACAAAGGAAAACUGCAAUGGUUUAUGAUUUUCAAUAUUAUGCACUACUGAAAGAUCUUGUAUCUGCUGAUCUUUCCUUAUAGUGCUCAUCCAAUAAAAAUUGUUCGUAGUGAAAAAAAUGUGAUCGUACCUGUCGUACAAAUGAGCAGCCUCUUCUUGGGAACCAACAGUGCCCAAGUGGAUUUGUUUCUUGUCAACUUUUAUUGCUGCAUGCCACUUCAUAUUCUUAAAAUACACACCUCUCAGUAGACUUGGUUCCUGGUUUUGAGCAUACUUUCUGCGAUGUUGCUUUCUGUGUUUGACUGGUGGCCCUGAAAAUAGCAUAUUAUGUUUUAGAAACGAGCAACCUGUAACACAGGCCUCUCAAGCUAAUUGUAAUGGAUAAACGUAUAUGUUAUUUUUAAUACUUCCAUUAUCAAGAUUCAAGAAUAUGCCGUGUGCAGGAGGCCUAGGCAAAUAUACAGAAUUACUGCAAAAUCAAGAAUAUGCUGUGUGCCAAAAUAUUUCUAUAGGCAAAUAUACCAAAAGUUGAAAAUAACUGCAAAUUAAAAAUCUUGCAUCUUCUCUGAGAAGACAAUCAUGAAGUUCCUCAUAACGUAAAGACAGAAAAUACAAGUUUCAAAAGGAUGAGUUCGCAAAUUUGUGGUCCAAUAGUCCAAGACAUCCAGCAUUCUAAUCUAUGAAUAUGUAAUUAGAAAUGAUAGAAAAUUUAAUUUAAACAACAAACCUGCCACAUCGUGCUGCUCUUCGGAUAAGCUAAAACCAGAUGCAAUGAAGGAACGAGGUUCUGCUUUCACAAUGGUAUUCUGGUAAUAAGUAAAGCAUCAGAUAGAAUGAAACUAAGAAGCUAAGAAAUGAUUGAAAUGAAUCCAGAACUGAAAUGAAAUAUCCCAAAUAGAGCUUUUGAUUUCCUAUUUAUGGUAUAUAUUUUUACUUUUUUUUCUGAACACAUUCCUUACUAAAAAAUGCUACUUUUUAGCUUUUUUGAUAAGCAACUAUGAAUUAAGAGCAUACUGGAUCACAAAACCAGGUUUAGGGGCACCAACAUCUCUAAGGGUUUACUGCUUAUAGAAAUGCUAUUCUUACUUUGAAUGAGAUAUUGUUAUUUUAUAAACCGUACUUAGGUCUUAUAUGGCGAUCAUUGCCAUCUUACCAUUUUUCUCUCGGUACCCUGCUAAGCUUACUUCACGUUAAAAAGCAAUAUUACGCCAUUGAGACAUUCUGCCUGCGGAUUUUUGUUCUAAAUUAUAUAUAUGGAACUUUUCUCUUACCAUACAUACAUGUAUAUUAACAAAAAACGUAGAAAUCCUGUCUGACGAGUGUCCUAAACAAGCUAAUAAAACCUUCAAACAAAACAGUACCCCAUAUAAUGUAUGUAUUUAAUGAUCGAUUGAUCAACAAUCUUUUCUUACCCCAUCUGGUUGAUUUGCAUCAUUCAAAGGCAUGGGAUGCACAGUGACAGGAUUUGUACGGGGUUUCGAGGAUAGGUAGGAUGGACUUAGCACUCCAACAACUGGGCCAGUGACCUUUAGUGGAACAGGGUUGUCCUCGCUGAAUUCAAGAGAUGUCCAGUGUAACGGUUCAGCUUUAGCCAGGCGAAUUUCAACUUUGGUGGACAGAACGUCAAAUCUGCACAUUUCAGGUAUUAUCUUUCCAAAUAAGCGGGUCUGAAAAUGAUAUGUAUCUUCACCAGCAACAUCAAUGCUAACACCUAGUUUUUGUUCACCAAAGUCAACAUUAACGUCUUUGGCUGAUAUGCCCUCAGCGAAUAUAGUCACAACCACUUCUUCUGGCUUCUGGUAGAAUGCAGGCCUGUAUUUUGGUUUGACAUAUGUAGUGGUCACCUGAUUGGAAGGUUGACUCGCAGGCUGAACAUUUUUUGCAGGUAUAACAUUCUCUGUAAUGUUUUUCUCCAAUGAAGCCGUUGGUAGAACAGCAGUUUCCUCUGCAAUUUUCUCAUCACACUCUUUUAUCAAAUUAGCGAAUCUUGUCUCAUGUGGGGCCAAAGGAGCACCAAUUUCCAGGGUUGCCUUUGCAGUCUGAUAUUCCUCGAGCUUGAUGCAGGCAAUUCCUUUGCGCAAAUACGCUUUGUACAAUAAUGGAUCGAACUCGAUUGCCUUGUUCGCAUCCGCAACAGCCUCAGUGAGAUUGCCGGAUUUGAUGUUGGCCUGCGCGCGGUUGGUGUAGAGCUCGGCGCUCUGAGGGUUGAAAGCAAUGGCAUGGGUGUAGAGGUCAACGGCCAACUUGAAGCAGUCGUCGAUGAACGCCUCAUUGGCACACUUUUCGAGAUCGGAAGCCAUGGGCAGACAACCGUCCAUGUGGACCGAGGGAGAUGGAAGAGUCUAGAAAAACAAAAAAAGUAUACAACUAUGGUUAAUUGUUGAUUUCUUUACAUAGAUGAGAAACUAAAUACAAUGUAUAAUAUUUAAGGAAAAAAAAAUACAUUGAUAAACCAAUAAAUUAUUAAUUUACCGAUUAUUUAAUAUUCCGCUAUAUUAAUAGUCUUCAUUGGUCUCAAGGCUAUUUAUUUAUAGAAGUUUAAUUAUAUAUACAACAACAACAAAGUCUUUUCCCACUAAGUGGGGUCGGCUAUAAUUUGGCAAAUAUACGAUAUAACUCUAAUAAUUUCGGAAGUACAAACCUCUUCAGAUGAAUUAUUUCUUGGUACAGCACCAAUCUCCUCAAUGCUAGUGUAUUUGUCACCGGCAUUACCAUCAUCCCAGACUAGAUUAAUUCCUGUUUUCAUCACUCUCCCUAUUACUCUCCCUCUCCCAUGAGCCUUUGUAACUGCAGAAAUCGAGACUUCGUCUCCACUUUGCAAAUGGAGUACAUCAUUUGAUAAUACACUUUGCAAACGGAGUACACUAUCAGCUACCCAGCAGGUAGAUUCUUCCCAGGUGUGCAAAGCCUUACGCUUGGUAAUAUUUGUAACAGUAAAUCCCGGACAAUAUGUUUCGAAAACACAGCACACAGUCAAUCCUCUAAAAUUACAAGGCACUUUAAAACGAACAUCAUUGGGCUCAUGAAUACCAACAAUCUGGAACCACUCCGGAAUAUCAUAAAUUCCAUUGAGAAAAAUGUCACCAUGUCCGCAAGAAGUCCAUCCCUAGAGCAUACCACGUAAAGCCAGAUUAAUUUGUAUAAGCAAGUCUUAAUUAUGCAUGCGUGUCAUGAACAUGUACAGUACAGGGGCCUCUGUGGGAGUGUGAUAGAAAGAGGAAGAGAAUAUGUCUCUCAGAGGGAGAUCUGUAGGAUGUUCUUCCUAAAACUCAGCAUGUACAUGUCAUUAUUAUGCAUACGAAAUACAUUCUUGUACAUGCAUGUUUUUGGUGUGUUUGUGUGGAUAUGUGUGUGUGUCUGUGAGGGAGAGAGAGAGAGAGAGAGAGAGAGAGAGAGAGAGAGAGAGAGAGAGAGAGAGAGAGAGAGAGACCUGUAUGAUGUUCUUCCUAAAAUCAGCAGUGAGAUUGGUGCAGCCUUCCAUAUGAAUCCUUCUCAUAGUGUGUAACGACUUAUGCAAGCCUAGAAUCUCACUGAGUUUGGGGGAGUGAUUUAGAUGCAGUUCUACCAUACUUGACAUUUCUGAAAAAUUUGGCAGUUUUGCGAGUGCAAUGCACUGAUUCGCUCUCAAGAUUUCCAAACUUCUUGGUAAAUCCGGGAUUUCAAGAAGAUUUUUGCAAUAACUCAAAUCUAACAUUUUAAGCUUGGAGAGUCCACUGAGGCUAGGUAGGCUAUAAAACAAAUUGCCAUCAAGCUCCAAUAUUUCUAAGGAAAAUAGACUCCCAAGAUCCUUAGGGAUUGCAUCAUCAGUUAAACCACAGUUUCCAAGACCUAAAAGUGUCAAAGAAUUUAAGCCAUGCAAUGAAAGGAGCACAGAUCUCAGGUUCUUCAAUCCUGUUAUUGAGGAUGGUAAUUUCCUUGUCAUUGUAUGGCUUGCUUGAGGUGUUGUCGAUGAUACCAUCUCCCCCUUGUCCUUCAGUUUUAUAAAUCCUGUACAGCCUUUAAGAAUAAGAGUCUCAACUGAUUUUGACUUACAGAAAUCCCCUGGAAAAUACUGAAGCGUUUUGCAGUCUUCAAGAUUUACCAAUGAAAGUCUUUCAAGAUGCCCAAUAGAUGGGUGAAUCUUAGACAAUCUUACACAGUUUACCAAUAUCAGUUUUUCAAGAUUUGGGACUUUGGAAAGAUCUGGUGAUUCUGUUAGGUAAUGGGAAUGACUGAGAUUGAUGAUUUUCAGAUUCUUGAGCAGCUGCUGGGGGAAAAAAAAAAAAAAAAAAAAAAAAAAAAACAGAACACAAAAUAGAAAUUCAAAUAGAAGAGAGAGAAAGCAAGAUAUUGGUAUUCACAGAAGCUGAAGAAAAUAAUUAAUAAUUUGUUUGAGAUCGUAUCAUACCACGUCAGUAUCCACCCAAACUUGUAUGAGUUUGCUAUAGCUCAGGUCAAUAGCAACUAGGUUUGAUUGAUCGAAAUCUUCAGGUAUGACCUUCAGAGGAAAUCCAUGCCAACACAGCCAUCUUAACUCUUUGGAAAGAUGGUCGUAACUUCCGGUGAGCUUUAUGUUAUUGAGUUUGAGCAAUCUCAGACUCUGCAUCUUUCUAAAUGCUUCUGUACUGAAGCUACACUCGUCAGACUCUUGCAUAUCCAAAGCGAGUCCUUCAACGUCUUCUGUUCCCUAUUACAAAAAAUAGUUGAAAAUUGAAAACAAACCAACAACAACAACAACAACAGAGGAACUAAGAAAAGGGUUAUAUGCAAGUGAAAAGGUGAUUAAUUCAUACAUCAGAACCACAAGGCCUUGAAUUGGAUGGAUGAACCACAUGAGAGGUGGACAAUUACACAAUAUAGAACAUGGGACCUCUCAUAGGCAACUUUUAUUAUAUAUCUACUAUAAUAUGCUUAUAUGUCUGGAUUAUAACCAUAAAGUUGUACUUUACAUCUGUCUACAUUAAUUAGGUAUCUUUAGCAAGCUUCUGUUACAGGUAUCAUAAUUCACAAAUUGUACUUAACCAGAGGAGGACAUGUGUGAUUCUGUUAUUUAAUUUGAGAUGAUUCAAUACAAAAAGCUCCUUUUUUGUCUCUUACAGUUUCCUUUCUCUGCUACAUUAGUACAUGCAUUUAACAUCAAAUUUAAUUGCAAAAGUACUCACAGAUUGCUUCGUCAAUACGUCUGUUAUAUCUUCAUUAUACCACAAUCUACUACGUUCUCCAGGAUUGUCAGGGGAUUCUGCACGCACGAUUUCUCUGCCCAUGCCUUGAAUCAAAUCAUGCAUCAUGAGAUUGCCUUCUUUAUCAACAGUUACAAGGCAUUGAUCUUGGAGUUCUCGAAUCCCUAUUUCUGGAUAAAACUGACAGCCAUCCAGUACUGUCAUGACAUAGUCCUUGUUCAUUCCAGUAAAGAAACAAGAGAUGUCAAGGAAUAUAGCCUUCACGUCAUCAUCAGUUAGCCCAUCAUAGCUUAUUUCAAGUCUUCUGUGAAUUUCCCGAUAAGGCUGUGAUCUUUUCCAUUUAUCCAGUACAGUUUCCCAUUCACUUGUGCUUCCUGUACGUAUAUAAGAACCUAAGACUUCAAGUGCUAGUGGCAAACCUCCACAGUAGCCAACAGCCUUUCUUGAGAGCUCAAUAUACUCUUCAUUAGGAUAAUUGUUUCUAAAGGCAUGCCAACUAAGUAGUUCAAGAGCUUCUCCUUCAUUCAUUGCUGGCAGAGGACAUAUCUUAUCCACAUUAAUUAUCUUUAGCAAAUGUUCGUUUCUUGAAGUUAUAAUGAUUCUGCUCCCUGGACCAAAGGAGUCAGGUUUAUAGCCAAAGCAUCUCUUUGUUGAACGCUGUCUAAAUCAUCAAUUACGACAAGUACCCUUCUGUUGCCUAACCUUUGUUUUAUCUCCUUGGUCCCUUCAUUGAUACUACUUACCAAUAUGUAGGCCGGUUUCAAGAUAUCAGAAAUAAGUUUUUUUUGCAAAUCAACCAGUUUCUCUUCGCUCGCAGUUUCAAGGAAACUUGCACCGUCAAAACUAUGAUGAUGUUUGUUGAAAACGGCUUUUGCAACCGUUGUCUUACCCAGUCCACACAUACCCAAAAUUCCAAUUAUGCGAACAUCAUUUGAUCCUCCAACAUCUAAAUGCUUACUAAUUUCUCGCACACGAGAAUCUAUUCCAACUAGCUUCGUAGGUACCACUAAGCGAUUGUUUCUGCUCAGUUUUCCAGUGAUCUGAGAAACAACGUUCCUGAUAAAAUUUCCUUCAUUCCUGGUUGUUAAAAUUCAACAAAGCAAAAGUAAAAAUUUAUUAUGCGACUUCAAGAUCACAUUAAUCUUUCAGAAAUUGACGAGUCAAAAUCUCCAGAUACUAUUACAAUUUCCUAAACUGAAAUCUUGGUUGUUAAAUUUCAACAAGGCAAUUAUUACCGAUUAUUUUUUUAUUGUGUAUAUCGAUAUUUUACACUAAGAAGAAGAGAGGGAAUUCGGCUAGGUCACACAAUAAGCAACAUAAUUUGGUAUCGAAUUCGCCAUCCACGAUAUUCCAACAUAAGAUCUCUCGCUUAUAAGUGAAGAGUUAUACCAUCAAAUCCUAGUAUUGAGUGGCUAGAUAAGCCUGAUAUAAUCAUUACUUAUACAUAAAUAAAUAAAAUGGAAGGGAAAUUUCAGCCACACAAAGUAAAGAAAAUAAAAAGGAAAUAAGAAAGUAAUUACCCGGCAGAUUUGGUUCCAACAACGUCAGUCUGUCGAAAAUUGAAUCCGGCCAAACUUCCAGCUUCCUUAAGAGCGUUUCUCCAGAGAAGUACCUUUUCUUCCUUAACUUCCUGUUCAUAUUUCUGAAACGCCUGUGCAAAACUACCACUCUGGUUCAGGACAUCUGAGGAAUCAACACCAUAGAAGAUUGGAAAAACCAUUUGACCCAGUGUUUUUCUGCACUCCAUGAUCUUCACCAGCUCCUCGAGACACCACGCGGACUCUGGAUACCCUCUUGAGAAGACGACGACGGCAACCUUAGACCUUUCGAUUUUUUGAAUCAGGUGUUCUGGUAUAGCUCUAUUACUUUUUUCUAGCUUGUAAUCGUAUUCGUCUCCGUACAUGAAGACGUUGAAUCGGUGGUCUUCUAAUGUACAGUAGAGGUGGUCCGUGAAGGUCGUGCGUGUGUCUUCACCUCCAGAACUCAAGAACACGUCGUACAUCGGAUCGUCUUUGGAGGAUGAAUCCAUCAAUUGUUACUCCAGGAUGUCUUGGCAGGCAGCACAGAUCAAAUUUGAGAUCUACAGACAACCGUAAGGGCAAAGUAAACUCAAAACUCCGAAAAGAAAAGUGGGAACUGGCAAGUGACAAGUCAAUUACGAUCGAUCCCACCCAUUUUAUUUUUUGAUCCAACGGUAUCAAAAAGCUCAAGGAAGAAAAAAAAAAUUUAACCAAUUUUUUUAAGAGAAUUUUAACUAAAAGCUACCGGUACGGUUUACUUUAACGAAAAAUCAUAUUUUUACACUAAAAAAAUCAAUCAUCGUACUUUUUAUUUUAUCCUUUAUUUUGUUCCUAUCGUUAAAAAUUAAAGUUUUUAAACCAUUUUCAUUAGUUUUCUUUUUUUUUAAAGACAAAAUAACACCUAUCCUUCCUAGAAAAAAAAAUAAAAAUAAAAAAUCCAACUGUCACCCAAGGGCCAAGAGCCAAAAGACACAAGCUGUGUGAAAGGUGCUAAAUCGUCUCACUCCUUACUUUAGUUUAGUACAAGACUGGACCUUUGUAUCAAGGAAAACGAUAGAUUGCCGAUGAACUAAACCACCUAAAAAAAUCUAUGACAACUUUAAAGAAGGAAAAAAAUAUCUAUGACAAUUUGAAGAAAGCAGAUGGCAAAUCAAACAGUAAACACUGAAUUAAAAACAAUAAACUCAUCCAUACAUCCAGCUCCCAUCUCUCUCAAAUCUGUCAGUCCCUCAAAGUCACCCAUACCUCCCUCAGUCACCCCUUCCUGACCGGCCAACCCCACAAACUGCACACAACCAUGCCUUCCCCUCUCUCUCUCUCUCUCUCUCUCUCUCUCUCUCUCUCUAAAAUCAGAGGAAACCUCAUAGAUCCUGGCAGAUGACGUAGAUAAAUCUCUCUCUCAUUGAGUCGAAAGCCCUAACACCCAUAUCUCUCCAAUAUGUCACUCCCCCUGUCCUCCCCUAACCACCCGAAGCACAGCCAUCUCUCCCCGAGUCAAAAUUGGCGGCCCUCACUCUCUCUCCAUUCUAUCAGCUCUUAUCUCUCUCAAAUCUGCAGGUGACUCCUCUCUGUGGGUGAUUGUGUGCCCAAACCCCAUUUCCAUCCGCCCAAUACAAAUCCAACCAAGCAAAUAAAACCCCAUCCAGAGCCUAAACCCACAAAGCCCAUUUUUUAAAGGAAUGGCAUGCCCGUAAAUAAAAUGAAAUUCGAACCCAAACACUAUUCAUUUCUAUAGUGCUAAUUCCAAUGCUUUCCUUAGACUAAAGUAAUUUUAUUUUAUGGGUUAAUAUCAGUUUAUUACUCUAAUAUUUAGUGGUUUUCAACAUUUGGUAUAUGAAGUUUUUUUCAUCUCAGAGUCAUACCUCAAGUCUUAAUUUUGGAGCAGUCUCGUACUUUCGUUAGUCAUUCUGUUAAGGACUCUGUUAAAACGUGAUGUGGCACUUGAUUGGGCAACGACAAUGCAAAAUGUGGCACUGUGGGCUCCACAUAGACCUAUAAAACAAUUAGAUAAUUAAAUAAUAUUUUUUGCCUACCUUUUCUCCAGUAAGAAGAACAAAUAAAUAAAAAAUAAAAAUAUUAUAACUCCCAUCUUCUCAAAGUCUUUAAGCUUGUUUGGAUGUAUUUUUAAAAUAACUGAAAGCGCUUUUGGUGAAAAUACUUUUGAAAACUAUCCUUAGUAAAAAUGUUAGUAAAUUCUUGAAAAGUACUUAGGGUGCGUUUGUUGCACCGGACUGUCUCGGACUGGACUAGCUUCAGGGACUAAGCUGGACUAACUUAAUGAAAAGUUUGGUGCAGUGUCGGACUAAGAAGCAAAAUAAUAAUAAAUUCUAAUAUUAUAUAGUUUAAUUCAUAAUUUAUUCCUAAUUCUAGAAACCUCUCCGUCCAUCAACCUCUGUUUUUAUUCCUCAUUUUUCUCAGUCCCACCCUCAUCCUCUUUCUCUACCCUCUCCCUCUCUGCCUCCUAUCUCAAGUCGUGGAAAAGGAAGAAACUUGCUCUAAUUCUCCUGCACUUGAGCUUCCAAGAAGGACCCAAAGUCUUGAGCGAUUUGUAUUUCUUUUUUUUUUUUGUUUUUUUGUCAAUUCACUGUCAUUUUCCCAGGCCCCAGAUCCGGCCGACCCAGACUCUUUUCGUAGUUGGAGCUAACGAUUUGAGACAUGUUGGGGGAGUUGGUGUGUUGAGUCGACGAUUCAACGGCGGAGGUUGUGAAAGUCCAAGCUUUUCCGAUGUAUGUGCGGCAAGACACGCGGUGAUUCAACUACGGAGUCAUCGAGCUUUUUUUUGGAAAAAUCAAACCCGUUUUCUGGUGGAGUUGGUGAAGGGAAGCAGACGAGCGACAGAGGAACGAAGCAAGUCUUAGUUUGUCCCAUGGUUUUCGGGGACUCUAACUAAGAACCUCUAGUGACGCUGUCAGUCCCGAUGAGUCCGGGCUAAUCUCAUUAAUCUUAGCCCCGCAUGAUAACAAACACUGGACUAAACCAAAAGUUAGUCCAGUCUGGUCCAGUGAAACCUAGUGAAGCAAAACAAACGGGCCCUUAAAGUGUUUCCAGGGAGAAGCACAUAACUGGUGCUUCUUGUAGAAAGCACUUAAAGUGCUUUUGGAACUCAAAAAUAUUUUCUUUAAAAGUGCUUUCAAUCAUUUCAAAAGCACAUCCAAACGAGCCCUUUAUCACCUACAACUUCUCCAACCACCCCUACAUCUCCUCCGACAACCACGCUUCCCUAGCCGCCAUUUUUCACACACCUAGAACCUAAAUCCUCCAUUUUCCUCACUGCCUCCAUCUCAUCCUUCGACUCUUUCGCUACCAUAGUUAUCUCCUUCACCAAACCCACAACCUCUAUCGCUGGCAUAGCUGUCGAUUACGGCGAUCCAGAUCCGAAAACCUUAUGGAAGAUUCCACGACAUGUUGAAUAUGGCCACGAUAGUGAUCGAAUGCUCGGAUUUGGCUACGGCGAUGAGUGAGUUGUCUGGGAUCGGGAACCCCAACUGGAUUGGGACAAAACGACGACUUCAGAUCUUGGCUUCGUCUGUACAAUUAGGCAAUUAGGAACCGAUUCUUUGAACCAUGAGGGAUCCAAAACCUUGGCGACGUCUUCAGAUCUCGGUCUCGAUGGCGAAGAUGAGCUAUUGGAAAUAGCUCGUUGUCGCGGACCAGAUCCAUUGCGAAAUAGAUCUUGGACUUGCUUGCCAUGACCUUUUUAGAGUUGGAUGAUGUUGGGUGCUUCACCAUCCUCAUCACAAAGGACGAUGUUGGGGUUCUUUUUUAGGUUUUAGGUUUUAAAUUUUUUAAUGUUUAAUUUUUAUAUUUUUUUAUUUUAAAAAAAAUUAAUAUCCAUGUAGGUCAUAUUGACAUGUGGCGUCUAUUCAUUGUCUACAUAAAUGCCACAUCACCAGUUAAUGACUUUCUUAACAAAAAGACUAACAGAAAUAUGAGACUGUCCCAAAAUUAAAACUUGAGGUAUGACUCUGGGAUGAAAAAAAACUUCAUGUACCAAAUGUUGAAAACCAGGAAAUAUUAGGGUAGUAAACUGAGAUUAACCCUUGUUUUAUAUUAUGAAUACUUUACUCACUCCUUACUUAGUUUAGUGUUUUAUAUUAUGAAUAUUUUAUUAGGUAGAUACAGGUCGGGCAAAGCAGACACUCUGCACUCUCAAUCAAGGUUCUAAAAAACGUUAGGCGCUAGUCGGGCGGUGGGCUGGCGCCUAGCGCCUAGCGCCUAGGCGGCUAAGACCAUCUCCAACCGAAGGGUCUAGAGGGCCAGAGGGCCGAAAAUAGCCCUAAAACCGUCUCCAACCGAGGGUUAGGCUAGAGGGCUCGGGAAUCUGGGAGGGCCCCACGGGAUCGGAGAGGGCUGGAGGGCUGGAGGGCUGGCUGCUUUCGGCCAGCCAGCCAGCCUCGGGCUGGCUAUUUUUUUUUUAAUGUUUCUUAUUUCUGUCGGUUACAACCGACAGAAAUAACAUUUUGAAUUCAAACUUCCAACGGCUAGCGCCACUAGCCGUUGUAAAUCCUUUUUUUUUUUUUUAUGAAUUUAAACCUUUUUUUUCUUUUUUUUUCUAUAACUUCCUAUAACUUCUAUUUUACAAAAUUUGUUUCAAUUUUUUUUUAAUUCUAUUUUUUUUCCUAUAACUUAUAUUUUACAAAAUUUGGUUCAUAUUUUUUUCAUAUAACUUCUAUUUUACAAAAUUUGUUUCAUAUUUUUUUUUAAAAUUCCAUUUUUUCCUAUAACUUCUAUUUCACAAAAUUUGUUUCAUAUUUUUUUUAAAUUCUAAUUUUUUCCUAUAACUUCCUAAGCCAUUAUACAACAUUAAAUUAAAUUAAGUAACAUGAAACAACAUUAAACAAUAUGAAACAACAUUAAAUAACAUUAACCGACAUAAAAAUUAUACAACACUAACCAACAUGAUUUUUAAAUAAAAUUAAGUUGUAGUUUUUAAAUAAUAAAUUAUGUUUGGCCCUAUGGCCCUUUGGCCCUCGGUUGGAGACGGUUUUUUUUUACAGGGCUAAAACGAGCCCUCUGGCCCUCUGGUUCUCAGUUGGAGACGGAGGCAAAUAUGGCCAUGUACUGUUCAUUAAAAUAUUAAUAUCUUGGAGAAUCUUAGAGGGCCAGAGGGCUAAAACGAGCCCUCUGGCCAGCCAUCGGUUGGAGAUGGCCUAAGAGGGUCUAGGCAGGCGGCCUAGGCAGAUUUAGAUAAAUUUCUUGUAUAUCUUAUAAAUAAGUGCAUAUUAACACUUACAAAAAAUUAUACUUGUAUGAAAUCUAUGGAUAACAUAAUAAAAGAAUGAUAAAAUGAAAAAAGAGUACCCAACAAGUCCAAUUUAAAAACACAUUAACCAUAUAUGCCAUAUAACCAUAAUGAGGAGUAUAGUAGGAUGACACAUGUAUUACAAGUUCACAACUUAGACUUAGAUAGGAUAUUUUUUUUAAAUUUAAAAAAUAAAAAAAAUAAAAAAUAAAAUAAUAAAAUAAUAAAAAAACCACUUAGCCUCCUAGCACUGCCUAGCUCGCCUAACCCGCCUAGAGCCCAGCCAAUUUGCAAGAAAAUGCCUUGGGUCACCACCGCUGAGUGCCUAGGCAAUUUUUUAGAACACUGCUCGUAAUUGAGUGCUGAGCAAAAAUAAGGAUGAGGUCUUCUUUGUGAGGAUCUUAGAGAUUCUCACAUUUUAACUGUUUUGUACGAUCAAUUUUCAUUCAGUACUAUUUGUGUUUAAUUUUAAAUAAAAUUUUAAAAUGAUUUCUGAAUGCAAGAUAUACGAUGAAUGACUAGAAUCGGAUUCCCACAAUUUAUAUCCGGAUGGGAUCCAAAUCCCAAAAACAAGUCGUAAAAGAAAUGUAACAAACAAUUUACUCAAUAAAAUUUUAUUCUCAUUUGUUUUUUGGAAGAUUAUUAAUUUUGAGGUCAACUCAUUCUAAACAAUGCGUUUAUUAAUCACACCUUUUUUUUUAAUAACGAAAUACGUUUUGCUUCUAACAUGAUAAAAAUGAAUUUUCGAGAUCAAUGUCUUUAUUUGAUUUUGCGGUUGCACUUAGGUGGAACCCUAGACUACCUACCUACCUUUUUUGAGGGAUCAAGCCGCUUGUUCUUCAUCAUUUUCAAUGAGUGAAUGACUCACUGAAAAAGAAAGAUUUGGUUAUGCUGAUAAUAGAUUGAUUAUGCAUCCUUCGUAGAAUCAAACUGGCAUAAUUCUAGAUUUUCGAUGAGUGUAUGACUGAAAGAAAUUUUUUAUAUUUUGGUGAAUUUGGUUGAAUGAACUAGGGAUUUGAUUUGAAUUUGGACUUUGUGAUGAAUUUGGUUGAGGUGAACUAGGGAUUUGAUUUGGACUUGUUUUGGUUUUGUGCAUUUCCAUCUAGAUCGAAUCUAGAUUGCCUACACCUUUAGCGGAUCAAAUCUGAUGUAGUUGAAGAUGUUUUGUGUGGCUUUGUGCCAUUUGGAAUAUGAAGUGGCUUUGUGCCAUUUCGACCAAUUCGGUAAUUUUCAUGGGAAUUUAACCUAUUAAUGUGACUUGGUUCACAACUGCUGAAUUUGAGGUAAUUUGCCUCCAUGAUUUUUGAAGAUUCGCAUCCACUAAUGUGACACGGUUCGAAGUUUUCUCCAUGUUUUUCUUUAUUUUGGACUACUUGGAUGUGGUAUGCCUCCGCCAAGCCGUUUCGUUCUUGGUCCUGUUUGAUUCAUUGAGCCUAAGUUUGAAAGCUAUGACCAUUUCCAACCGAUCAAGCCAAAGGGUCAUAGGCCAAAAUAUAGCCAAUUUUGACAGAAAAUCGUCUCCUAUCGAGAGCUAGGCCAAAGGGCUUGUGAACCCCACUAAGCCAUACUUCAUCCAUUAGGCCAGUGGGCUGGCCAAAAAGAGCCAGCUAGCCCGUUUCUAGCAGCCCAAAACAGGGAGAGAAUAGGCGUGCCCCAUCUCACUGAGACCGAUUGCACAGAUUCCAAAGACACGUGUCCUAGCUGAGAACGAAACACACCCUAAAAUCCAUGGAGUAGGAUUCUCUCCCCUCUUUUUUUUCCCUCCCCUUCCCUCCCCUCCUAUUUGAACGGUCACAAUUAAGCUACAUCAACAUCUUAUAUUAAUUUAUUAAAGAAAGAGAAAGAUAAAAUAAAGAAUGUGAGAUGAGGAGAUGGAAAGAAAAGGGUAGAGAAUCAUAAUCCAAAAUCCAUUAAUGUGGACAACUCCUUGCAAGGCAUGUGUCAUCCUUCCUCAGAAACAAUGAUGCCUCCAAAAUAAUAUUCACAUUCUUCUACAUCCUUUCAUCAUUCUAUAUCAUCUUACCUCAUUUUAUUUCAAUUCUUCACAUUCUAUUCUCUUACAUUUUUCAAUAAUCUUUCCUUUAAUAUUUUCAAUAAUUUUCAAAUGGCCACAUCUUCAAUCAAAGAAAGGGCUUAUUCAUUUAACAACAAGUGGCACUCAAAAUACGUCAUAAAACCUUAUUUUAAUUCAAUUAACAAUCUUAAUUCAAUUAAAAUAAUAAAUUAUUGAGGGGGCUAAAAAAUAGCCCCCUUCGGUUAGAGAUGGUUUUUUGUUAAACGGGCUAUGUUUUGGCCUAUGGCCAUUUGGCCCCCUCAGUUGGAGGUGGUAUAAAAUAUAGCCUGACUGUUCAUUAAAAAAUAAUUUCUUGCAUACCUAUAGGGCUAAACAUGGCCUUUUGGCCUCCUUUCAGGCCAUCUCAACCGAUCCGGCCAAAGGGUCAUAGGGCCGAAAAUAGUCCAAAAUGACACGAAAAUCGUCUCCAACAGAGGGCUAGUCCAAAAGGCUUAUGGGCCCCACUGGGCCAAAAAUACAAAAUCAGGCCAACCCGCUGGCCCAAAUAAGCUAGCUAGUUAGCCCUGGGCCGGCCCAACCUUUUAAAAGCAACGGCUACCUGGCAUCAGCAUGACGCCAGCUAGCAAUGGCUAGCUGAUGCCAGGUAACCGUUGGAUUUGAAUUUUUUUUUCCUGACAAAAUUAAAAAAAAAAAAAAUUCCAAUUUUUUUCUAUAAAUACCUAAUUCAUUCCUACACCAUUUCUCACAUUAUUUUCACCAUUCCAUACUAUUUUACACGAUUUCUCUCCUAAAUCAUUUCUUACCUUUUCCAAUAAUCUUUGCUUCAAUUUUUUCAAUAAUUUUCAAAUGGCCAGAUCUGCAUUGAAAUGUAGGGCUUGGACCCGAAAAGAAGAUGAAGCUCUUUGCAGGGCUUAUAAGUGGGUCUCCAAAGAUAGUGUGAAGGGGAGUUCUCAAACAAGUGAAGGUGUUUGGACUCGUACAUCCAAAAAAUACUAUGAGUUCUACAAAAGCACCACUCCACCGAUUUCCCAAAACCACGAGAGUUCUUCAAGAUCGAAAAAACAUCUUCAUCCAAGUUUGAAUAAAUGACAUCAAGCAGUGUUAAAGGCCAAAAGCAGACAUGAAAGUGAAGCCAAUUACUACGACCAAGUAAGUGUUUUCACAAGUUAUUUUAAAUGUUUAAUUGGGUAAAUUACAUAGUAGCUCCUCAGGUUUGAGCUCUAUUGCAAUCUCAUACAACAUCUUUAAAACAUUUCACUUUCAUACCUCAAGUACUAUUUUAUUUCAAUUUCAUACAACCGUUAGAUUUUCCAUCCAUGGAUCUGUUAAAUGCUGACGUGGCUGCCACAUAUAUGACACGUGGCUGCCAAAUGUCUGCCACGUGGCAAAUAAAAUAAUUUUUUAAUUUUUUUUUUUUAAAAAAACAUAUCUGCCAUUUUUUUUUCUCUUUCUUCUUCUUCUUCUCUUUCUCUUUCUUCUUCUCUUUCUCUUUCUUCUUCUUCUAGGUUCGGACCUUUUUUUUUUUUUUUUUUCUUCUUCUUCUUCUUCUUCUCCCUCCUCCUCCUCUUUCUUCUUCUCUUCUUCUUCUUCCUCCUUCUUCUUCUGGGUUCGGUCCCUUUCUUUCUUUUUUUUUUUUUUUCUCUUUCUUCUUCUUCUUCUUCUUCUUCUCUUUCUUCUGGUUCGGACCUCCUUUUUUUUUUCUUCUUUUUCUUCUUCUUCUUCUUCUCCCUCCUCCUCCUCUUCUUUCUUCUCUUCUUCUUCUUCUUCCUCCUUCUUCUUCUGGGUUCGGUCCUUUUUCUUUUUUUUUUUCUUUUUUUUUCUCUUUCUUUUUCUUCUCUUUCUCUUUCUCUUCUUCUUCUUCUCUUUCUUCUUCUUCUUCUUCUGGGUUCGGACCUUUUUUUUUUUUUUUCUUCUUCUUCUUCUUCUUCUUCUUUUCUUCUUUUUUUUCUGGGUUCGGUCCCUUUUUUUUUUUUUUUUUUCUUCUUCUUCUUCUUCUCUUCUUCCUCCUCCUCCUCCUCCUCUUUCUUCUUCUUCCUCUUUCUUCUGGGUUCGGACCCCUUUCUUUUUUCUUUUUUUUUUCUUCUUCUUCUUCUCUUUCUCUUUCUUCUUCUUCUGGGCUCGGACUUUUUUUUCUUUUUUUUCCUUCCAAUUUCAGGUUUUUAAAAAAAAAAUAAAAAAUUAUUUUAUUUGCCACGUGGCAGACAUUUGGCAGCCACGUGUCAUAUAUGUGGCAGCCACGUCAGCAUUUAACAGAUCCAUGGAUGGAAAAUCUAACGGUUGUAUGAAAUUGAAAUAAAAUAGUACUUGAGGUAUGAAAGUGAAAUGUUUUAAAGAUGUUGUAUGAGAUUGCAAUAGAGCUCAAACCUGAGAGGCUACUAUGUAAUUUACCCUAUUUAAUUAUAUUACAUUUAAUUUCAUAAAUUAAUUUCCUUUAAUUUUUGUAAUUAUAUUUUCUAGGUACGCCAAGCGGAGGAAUUGUAUGUCAAGGACAACUCGAAACUCUUUAAUCAACACAGUUGUUGGAGAAUUUAUAAGGGGUGGGUGUUAUUUGAAGAUCCACCUCAAGAAAGAAUUGCUCCUAUGCCGGUGUUCGGAAAUGCAUCCUCAAAUGCAGUUGGGGAUGAAUAUGGAUCUCCUAUCGUUCAAGAAACAAGGGUAGAAAAUCUAUCUUCGGGUGAAGGUUCCAUACCUAGGGCUAUGGGACGAAAUAAGGCCCAAAGGGCAAAGCAAAGGAUGAUUAUGCCUUUCAACAGGAAAUGGAGUCCUCAUUACGAUUAAUGGCGAAGCAAAAUGCCUUUGCCGCGGAAGAAAUGAAUCGUAGGCAUGAAGAACGGGCAAAACAAAUUCAAGAAGAGAUGGAUGAUAGGAACAUGCAAAGGAACACUUCGGAUUACACUUCAAUGAGCAAGACCUAUUUUGAUAGGAAAAAAAGUGAAAUUAUGGUCCAACGGGAGUUGUUUACAUCCGACUAUAAUCCUACAAUGGCGGAUGAUGAUGAUGAUAAUUAUAGACUUUAAAUUUAAGUUGUUGUAGUUUUUAAAUUUAAGUUGUUGUAAUCUUUAAAAUUUAAAUAAUAAAUUAUGUUUGGCCUAUGGCCCUUUGGCCCCCACGGUUGAAGAUGAAUUUUUGUCACAUGGCUAUGUUUGGCCUAUGACCUUUUGACCCCUCGGUUGGAGAUGAUAAGAAAUAUGGUCUGGCAUUGUUGUUACGCCCCGGACCCGGGGUCAACAGGAAAACUCUCGAACCCAAAUCCAGUGCACGAGCUAAAAAUAGAAUUAAAUAAAAGGAAAGUGAAACUGGGUGGAAAAAUAUGAAAUUCCUCUUAUAACGAGAAAUCGAUAAUUCUUUACAAGACUAAAAUAAAUAAAUACAAAAUUAUAUCCUCACCCUUAAUCUGAUCUCAUCCCGUCUACCUUUUCUGACUGUUUAGUUCUUAAACCUACUUAACAAUAGAGGGUUGAGCUUCAACAGCUCAGCAGGGACAUAACCUUAUCACAGUAAAUUGACAAUAUUAAAUUAAGUGUCAUGAAAUCAUAUGGCCAAAUAUCAAAUCAUUAUUGAUCAUGAAUGCACUUGAAACUCUUCGGCUACCCCUGUUAAUUUAUAUAAUAAAACAAGCGGACUUGCACGUUCCAUACUGUAACAUCCCACAUCGCCCAGGGGAGUGAUCCUUAAAUGUAUAUUCUCAUCCCUACCUAGCACGAGACCUUUUGGGAGCUUAUUGGCUUCGGGUUCCGUCGGAACUCCGAAGUUAAGCGAGAACGUGGCCAGAGCACUCCCAUGAUGGGUGACCCACUGGGAAGUUGCUUCUGAGUUUCCAGAAACAAAACCAUGAGGGCGUGUCAGGGCCUAAAGCGGACAAUAUCGUGCUACGGUGGUGGAGUAGGCCCGAGAAGUGUUCCGCCCAGGGCGGGAUGUGACAAAUGGUAUCAGAGCCAAUCCCUGGCCGGAAGUGUGCCGAUGAGGAUGUCGGGCCCCUAAGGGGGGUGGAUUGUAACAUCUCACAUCGCCCAGGGGAGUGAUCCUUAAAUGUAUAUUCUCAUCCCUACCUAGCACGAUGCCUUUUGGGAGCUCACUGGCUUCGGGUUCUGUCGGAACUCCGAAGUUAAUCGAGAACGUGGCCAGAGUACUUUCAUGAUGGGUGACCCACUGGGAAGUUGCUCGUGAGUUCCCAGAAACAAAACCGUGAGGGCAUGGUUAGGGCCUAAAGCAGACAAUAUCGUGCUACGGUGGUGGAGCGGGCCCGGGAAGUGAUCCGCCCCGGGCCGGGAUGUGACACAUACCAUGCAUUUUACCCUUGCAUAGAUGGUUCGAAUAUUCUAUUAUAGAAACUAACCCUCAUAUGAUAUCCCAAGUUCAUUGAUCUCCAGCCUAAAUUACCCACAUCGACAAUUCCUGUCAAUCCUAUUCUAAUGUGCACACCGGGCUCGCCUGGAACUAGUUUCACAAUGAUUAGAUUCAACUACACAAAAGAUCAUUUCAAACUACCCUCAUUUCCAUACUUCCAAUCUUAAGGCUGAAAUUUCAACCACAUCAACAUGAAUGAUGCACAAACAAUGUCAUUUCAUCUUUCACAUGUAUCACAGUACAUUCUCAAUGCAUAGCAUUUCAGCAUUAAUUCCAUAACCAAGAACAAGUAAACACUUAACUGAACCAAUUAGCCAAUUAUUAUCCAAUCACAUUAAUCAACCAAAAAGAUCAAGAAUAUUAUAGCACUUCACGAAAUUGAAUAAAAUCAAUUUCUGUAAAGGUUUGCCGUAUUUCCCCUACCUGGAUUCCAAAGCAUUGCUCCGACUCUCUAUUGCAAGAGUCUACCUUCAACAACUCCUAUCCACAAGUGUAAGAAAUUACUAAAAAAAAUGACAUGAACUUUAAUCCUAGUCAGAAUACUUAAGCUUGCUAAUUACACACUACUAAUUCAAAAGUCAUUUGGUUAAUUUACAACAGCAUGGUCAUCAGUGAAGGAAACUUUUGAACUAGAAUACCUUUAUAAAAUAAGUAAAGGUAUACUUCGAAAUACAUAAGUACAUUAACAUACUUCAGCCAAGCUAUAGAUAAAAGCACUAAUCUGUUAGUAUUAUGAAUGAUGUAAAAGCCCUUUAAUUGGCUAUGGUUUUGGCCCAAUUAGAAUAGAACAAACAGCUUAAUAAAAUAAUCUAAAAGAAAAGAAAAUGAAUAAUAUGAAUAUAUAGUUCAAAUACUACCGUAAUGGUGUACUGAACUUAUUUGGUUCAAAAUAAUAGUAAAUUAGAGUAUAGAAAAUUGAAAUAAAGGAAUUAACGAUUAAAUAAGAAGUAAUACAAAACUUUAUGAAAUUAAUAAGUAUAUACAACACAUAAUUAUAUAUAAUUAUUUUUGAAAAUACAGGUCCUCACAAUUGUUUAUUAAAAUAUUAAUUUCUUAAAUGACUAUAGGGCUAAAAGAGUCUCUAACCCUCUUUUGGUUGGAGAUAAGCCUCAAUUGGAGAUGGUAGCCAUUAUGAAUAAUAAUGAUGACUAAUCGUGACAAACGUUUGAAAUCUACAUGAGUAGGUAAGGUUUUGGCAGUAGGCAGUGGAUGUCUCUUUUUGAUUCCCAUCCACUUGUUGUCCACUUGCUCCGUAAGUGCAGCUUUUCAGUGCCUUUUUUUCUUAAGAAAAUUAAUAAAAAUAAGCUUUAAUUUUUUACAUUUUAAUCAAAAAUCGUUUAUUAAUUUUAUUUAACAAUAAAAAUAAAAAGAAUAAAAAAUAAAAUAAAAAAUAAAAAUAUACAACUCACGCUGGGCGCACGUACCUCCCACCCUUUUACCUCUCUUUCACACUCUCCUUUCUCCCGUUGUCAGCUAUCAUUAAGAGUUUUUUUUAGAAUAAGAAAAAGACUUCAAAUUAAAUUACAUUUCUCAGUUUUAUUUUUGUGGUGUUGUUUCCCAAUAGUAAUUAAGAUGACGAGAGACUUUUCAAUGUGUACAGAAAACGGGUAGUACACUACAUGUCUCUAUACAUGUGGUGAGAUUUUUAUGUUAAAAAUUAUUAACGUAAAAAAUAAAGUUUCUCACCACUUACACAAUAACACGUGGUGUACCACUUGUGUUACGCGCAUAAGAAAUUUUUUCUCCAAGAUGACACCUAAGCUCAAAGAAAUUGGAUGAAGAGUUACAUUUAAUUAAUGCAGGUAUGUAAAAAAGUGAGGAAAUUUUAAUUUGGUAACUGAAAACAACUUUUUAAAUAUAAGGCUAAAUAGCCAAAAUGGUCCCUGAGAUUUGCAUAACUCAUCACUUUGGUCCCUAACAUUUCAAAUCAAUAAAAGUGGUCCCUGAGAUUGUCCACCAUCCAUCAUUUUGGUUCUUCCGUUAUGCUAAAACUCACAAAACCUCACUAUGGUAAAACCCACAAAACCUCGCUAUGGUAAAACCUAAGGUGGGAGAAAAAACUCAUAGACUAAGGAGAAAGGUGAGAAGUUGCAUUAAGUCAAAACUAUACGUCUUCUGGAUGCAAGUAAAAGAGCUUACAAGGGUAUGACCAGCCGAAGAUGGGUGCCUCGUCAAAACCUAGUUAGGUAGUAAAAAACCCAGUGGGAAAAAUGCUAUCGUAGAAAAAAAAGUACAUGAAGAUCAAGUGAGUAUAAUUUUGGAUACUUCCGCAGAGUUUGACAAAAUUUCCAAAUAAGAAUGACAAGCAUUGCAUAUGAUUAGUUAGGCAUACCAAUUCCUCAGACAAGUUUCGAGAAAGUAGACUUCGGCAGUGACGUCGUGUAAAGGUUGGCAAGGUUGUCAAGGAUCGGCUUGCAUAACUUCAAUCUCCUGAUGCUUUGUUGAUGUGGUGUAGAUGCAAUAUCUCUUGGCGUUGACUUCGUUGAUGUAUCAUGUCUUUGUCGAGUUGAUACAUGCUGCAUAGUCUUCAUAGAUUGUCGUUAGGACUCAACGAUGGAUGAAGGCAUUGCAUGUACUUCAAAUAUGCUCAACAAUAGCUCUUAACCAUGUCUCACAUGUGGCAUAGUGAAGUGAGGUGAGUCUUGGAAUGAUUUGAAUAUUUGCAACUAAGGUCACAUCGUGGACCUCCAAGAUAUUGCGGUAUCCCUAACGGUAAAGACAUAGACAUUUGGGGAUGUCCCUUGUGCGGGUUUGAUAAGCAUCUUGCGUCAACAUAACAAACAAGGCUAGGAUCAUUCUGAUGAUCAAGGGGUUAGAUUUGCUCGGCAUAUGUUGGGAUUAGCCCAAAUCCGUAGUACCUUCAGGGUAGCAGAAAAACGUCUUUAUUACCAAUUCAGUGGUUGCAUGUAGGCGCGAUGCUACAUCUUUACUAAUAGAUCAACAUCGAAUGAGAUAUCAUGUCUAACAUAAUGAGCUAAGUACAACAAAGCGUAAAGUUGAACUUAGAUAUGGAACUUUAGAUUCCAUAACCUCUUCAAGGGUCUCAUUUGCAUAUAGCGUAUGGAAGAUCAUAGGUAUACUCAAAAGAUAACACCUUUGGGGUGUAGUUCGAUUGGUAGACCAAAAUAUCAUCAAAACACAAAACAACGCUUGAACUUCAGGUCAAGGCAUAAACGAGUUUUCCUAAGAUCCUCAUCUCCAUUUCCAUCUUUAGGUGUUAGGCAGUUUUCUCAAGCUCUUCUAGAGUCUUAAUGAGAUGCAUGUCAUCGACAUAAACUGUAACUCUAGCAAUUCAGAAUAUGACUUCGUAGUUUAACACGCAAUGGCAUAAUUCAUAUCUCUAAUUGAUCAAACAAUCACUUUGACAGGUAUACCAUAUCUGUCGAAUUGCUUCAAUCCGUAAGUGAACACCUCAAACAAGUUGAGAGGGUGUUCCGUAGUCUAACUAUUUGAACUAGUUCAUGUAAUUAUUCGAGAACUUACAUGUCAAUCUCCGUAUCAAUAUUCCUAUCGAGAAACACUAACCACAUUCAUAAUUCUACAGUCAAUCACAGGGCGUUUGAGAGAAACAUUGCGCUGAAAGUAAUGCUAUCUCAUUCAUCUCAUUACAUUUCUUUUCCUACUUGUAACACAACAGGGUUACCUUGGACAGUGUAGGAACGAAAAGUCCAAACACAUUUUGGUAAGGAAUUUAACCUAGAUUGAAAUCUUGGUUGUCCGAUUAGUUUUACGUUGUCAUUAAUCAACUGAAUGUAAUUCAAAAUUGUCGUUUUUCAUUUAUGUCCGUAGCUACCAUAUAAGUGAAAACAUCAUCGAUGAUAAUCUCAUUCCAAUUCCAUAUCUCAUCCAAACUAGUAUACUAGACCAAGAACUUCAAGUCUCAGGAGUAAUCCGGAUUAAUCUUUUGAGGUGAAAAUUAUUUGAGACAACGAUCAAUUAUGGAUUUAUGUUGUGUCGUGAUCUUCCUCUUCUAGGGAAGUGAAUCUUAUGAACCGAGUAAUACGUCGUGCUUCAAGCCAAGAACGGAUUGAUUGACUAUCUGCCAGGGUACCAAGUUGCCCAACAUGGGCAGCCAACACCCUUUAGGAAUGUUGACUUAACGUCUGUUAAGUACAUCUAUCCUUGCAUGCAUGUUUGCAGCUGGCAUAUGAUCUUGUCACUUUAGCUAGAUCAAAGGAAUGCGUCUAGAGCAACAUUCUGAAAGUUAGAAUACAUCACACAUACUUAUCACACUUGUGUGGAUAUGAGACAUAGUGGGCAACGUGCACGCGAAUUUGCUUCGUUCUACAGGAACUUUGACGUUCUUAUCUCCCUCUAAUAGCGAGAAGACUGUCUCAUUCAAGUGACAAUUCACAAAAUGAGCGAUAAGGAGAUCGCAUGCAAAGGUUGUAAAGAGCUAGUGCGAAGGAAAAUCAUAAUCAACAAAGAUUCACAUCCUUCUUUAAGGAACCAUGUUGGUAUGUUGCGGUGGUGCAAACUUGGCACAUGGAAUGCACACCCAAAUGUGUAAGUAUGGAACGUCAGGUUCGUACCUAGUAACCAACUGUAACAUCGAAUAGGUUAGGUGGCAAUGGCCUCAAAGCAAAUCAACAUAGUUGUGUACAUGAUUGCAUAGCUCUAGAAAUCAAUAGCUUGGUGUGUUCACCAAGGUCCAACGAUCAAUUAAACUGCGCUUUAUGAUCACUCUGCGAGGCUGUUUUGGGGUGAACAUGGGAAUUCAAUGUCCAAUUAUAAACCCAAAAAAAAAUGCAAUACUUCUUGAAAACCUUCGAUAUAAACUUUCUAGUAUUAUCCAGUGUUCUAGACUUUAUGGGAUAAUUAGGGUGGUGGUGCCUUAAAAUUGGCCAAGAGGUUUAGCUGCAGUGUGUGUGGACAAACAUGUGACCAGUUUGUCGAUUCAUCAACCAAAACCAUAAGUAUUUAUAUUGUCCACAUUUUGGUUGGAUUAGUCCACAUAUAUUUCCUUGAAUCCACUAUGAAAAGAAGGCCAUUUCGUAUCUUUGCUAGGGAUGAUUUAGAAAAUCAAAUUUCCCAAACGAGUAAGUUUGGCAAAGUGUGUGCUUGUAAACAUAAGAUCCUUACUUUGGGCAAGGAGAUUCUUCGUGGCAUCAUUGUUCGACCUAAGUUUACCAAACGGUCGUGCCAAGGCAAGUAAACUGCUCGAAUCACCCACCUCUAAGUCGGCUACACAUGGCGUAUCCUAGUGGGGAGGUAGCCUAUUGGCCCUAAAAUAAAACUUUAGGCUCAUUUUGGGGGUGAUGCAAAGACAUUCCACUCUAUGUUUCAUCAAUGGUUUCAUUCAUGAUCAUUGUUCUCUCGAAUAUCCUAAAGACUCAAUGAUUUUCUUCUGGAAUGAGGAGAACAUAAGGUCUCUUAAAUGGUAAUUUAGUACCAUUUAUACAAUGAGAAGCAUGCCAAUGCUCUUAAUUAGGUUGGAUAAACCUGAAGUCGUUGUUAAAGAUGUGAUUUAGGUAUAUAGUUAGUGUGCGUAGUGUCGCAUUCAUCCAGACAACUAACUUUCCCACAUUCGUACCUAAUCACGUUUUUAAUUGAAUUCGGUUAGAAACAUUAUUCAAUUAACUCAUAUUCGAGGACAAUAUCGAUAAGAUUAUCCACAAAGUAAACCAAAGUUACUAAAGAGAUUCUCCCAACAAGGUCAUCCAUGUCAAAAUUCUGGAGCAAAAUUAGUCUCAGAUAUUGAUUACGAGAAUGGUACUCCUUAACGAUAUUGGUAGGGGCAUGAAAAGGUGCAUAACCAAUGAAUCUAUUCCACCAAGACGGAAGUAGAUUCUGCAAGGUUGAGGUUUGGGAACACUAUCCCUUAUUCUUGAAGUUUUAGGUCUUAGAGAGUAUCCUACGCACGUUUGGUGACUUUUAUCAUGGCAUUUAUGAUGAUCAGUUUCUCUUUAUUUGCAAUGGUAUGCAGGCCCUCGUUGAUCUUAAGAAUCUUCUACAACUCAGGACAAUCGCAAUUCUCGAGCCUCUCGUUUUUAAGAACUUUUGUGGGCUGGAUGGUGCCUUGGAGAUAUUGAGGCAGCGACUACAGGGUUUAAUGGUGGUGGAAGACCACAGAGAUUAUGCUAUGGAUGUGCAAAGCAUCCGCAAUGAAGUGCAGCAGAAUUUUGAUAGAAAGCUGGAAGAGGUGGUUGCUAAACUUGUUUUGGGUAGCAAUCUGUUUAGAAAUUUACUUUUGGUCGUAACUACCAUCCUAUUAUUUUCUUUUACUUAGCGUCUUAUGGAAAUGACAGGUAAAGCAAAAGGGUGGCCAGGGGAAGACUGAAAUGCAUAUGUGAGUCUUUCGGCCUCCAAAAUGGUGGAUUGACGUAACAAAGCCACCAGCUGGUUCCGUAAACAACAUUACAUACUUGGGUACAUCUGGUGCGCUUGUAAUUUAUGUAUUGCUCUUGAUCUUGGAUCUGUACAUAGCGAACAAUUGGAAAUCUAGUCUCUUUCCCCAUAAGGGAAACUAAGGUAGGCUUUGGUUGUAACUUGUAGUCAUAAAUUGAUAGGUGAAACUUCAGGGGAAGAAAUGUUAUAUGUUAUACUAUCUUCUUGGAAAAUGAAUUUAUCUUGGCAGUCAGCUUAUCCAAGCAUCUUCGGUGAAAAUGAAGUUUUGUUGUGAAAGUAAUUGACGAUUAGCAAACUAGUUUAUAUGCCUGUGUAAGAUUAGUGGGGGUGAACAUGCUAUGAUUGCGUGAUGGAAGUUAAAUUUUCGCUCAGUAACUAAUAACCCAUGUAUCAUGGUGAAUGGGGAGGAGUAGUUCAACUCCUUAGAAGCUUUCUUUAACUUCUCAACGUACGAUAAUUCCAUAUUCUCACAGAAACAGCAUGUAGAAGCAACAAAGAAAGUUUUGAAGUGAUACUUCUACAGUUUGAUACAAGAGUAAGACUCUUUCAUGAAUGAAGUAGGUGAACAAUUCUUGUUGAACUAUUAAAUAGCAAUUUUUCUCUUUGGUACCUAAAAACACGGACUAUCGUUGCAUGAUUGAUUGCUGGAUUUGAUCUAAAAACUUAAAAGUUUAACCUUUGGAUAUGAUGCUACUGUUCAGGCUAGAUCUGUCCCUCGCACAGCUCCUUGGAGCUCUUGCUUGUCAGGCAAGGUUUGCUGCAAUAUGAACUUGCUGUUAGUUUGAAUGGUGCCUUUGUAGGGCCUUUGUUAGGUCGAGUCAUUUGACAUGAUUAAUGAAAUUGAUUGAGUUAGGGUUGAUUAGAAUUUGGGAUGGACACAAAGCGAGGAAUAGAGAGCAGGAAAAUUUGAAAUUGAAGAUCAAUUAUGUGAAGAAUAGUGCUAACUGUGAGAAUGUGAGGACAAAUAUAGGUGAGCGACCAAACUAUGCAAAGGGCUUAUAAAAGGCUGAGUUGCUCUUCAUAUUAUCAAUAAGUUUUAUGAUGGAACCUUAGCUUUCUUCAUGGUAUCCGAAUAGGUUGACCCACGUGUAAAGCCCAAUAGCCACAUGUGCUCACAUCACCCUAUUUGUAUUAUCCACGUGUUAGGCUUGAAAAUUCGUCACACAUGAGGGGGCAUGUGAGAAUGUGAAGACAAAGUCUCACAUUGGUAAGGGAACAAACCAUACAAGGGCCUAUAAGAGGUGGGACUAUUCCCUAUAUAAUAUAUUGCUAAUUAGUUUUAUGGUGAAAUCUCAACUUUAUUCAGUAAUAGUGCAUGAAGAUGAUGAUAUCAUAAAAAUUAUUAGUGGAGCGUGAGAGGGCUUUCUUAAGUUUAGGAGAGAUAACUAAUAAUGUUUCAAUAGAGAAAAAUAAGAUUUGAUAGAAGAAUUGUAAUAGCCAUGUGGAGCUAGGUGUAUGGAAAGGGAAUUUAUAACCCUUUUGGGGAAAGUAUGGGGGAAUUUUAGUUAUAUAAGGUUUUCUGGUCGAGUGAGUAUUGAAAUAAUUUUUCAGACUCCAUUAAGUUUCAGGUGACUGAUUGUUUACUUCAGUGGUAGUCCAGAGUUCAUGCCCUACGCUAACAGUUUGGGGCAGGACAAUUUUGAUGUGGUGAUUUACAUUUAUGAUAUUUAAAAUCAAUAAAAUUGGUUUGUUAACAAUCAAUCAUUUUAGUCAUUUCAUAAAAAAAUUUCGUUAAAUAAAAAUAAAAUAGCAAAAAUACCAUCAAUUUUUGUCAAAUUAUUUUGGCAUAUUAUUUAUUAAAUUGAAGAGUAUUUUUUUCUCAUUUUGGUCCUUAUUUAACAGAAAUUUUCACGGAAUGACCAAUAUGAUUGAAACUGGACAAACUCAGUAACCACUUCUGUUGCUUUCAAAUCUUAAGGACUAAGUGAGGAGUCAUGACAAUCUCAAUAAUCAUUUUAGCUAAAAAGCUGAAGGUAAAAGCCCAAGAUAAUAUUACCCUUUACCCUUUAAUUUUAAAAAACUUGAAAGGAAAGGGGGCUCAAAAAAAUAAUUUUAAAUUGGAAAACAAAAAUAAAGCAAAUUUGAGGUUCAAAUAGAACCAUCAUAAUUCAUUUGUUUUCUAUUGGAAAAAGGUUUUUUGCCAUCUUGGUCUGUGUUUAACUAGCUUUCUUCUAGUUGAAACCUAAUUUCCCUAAUUCUCUAAUACAUUAGUUUCAAAUGUUUUUUUUUUUUCCCGUCAUUCCUGUAAUCCCAGAUUUAUUUCAAAGUAUUUAGAUUUUUGUAACAAAUGUAUAGUUAUAAUAACUUAUUUACAACUUAAAAUCCAGCCAUCUAAACUUGCAAAUUGUUGCAGCCAUGAGGCUCGUUAAUUAUUUUUUAAUAUUUUUUUUCACUGUUUUCCUAUAUGAUAAAGGGUGGUGCAAUCUACACACCUAACUUUACCUCUCACAUAUCCCUUGUUAAUUACUGUCCUUUCUAUUUUUCAAUUCAUUCGAUCAAUUUCAACUGUACAAUACACAAGCAAAACACAAAAGCGAAUACACCAAUUCUGGUUGAUUUCUUAAGAGAGAGUCAUCAUCCAAACCAGAGUAGUGCUAAAGACUAAUUGGAAAACUAAUCAUUGUCCGUACAACCAACAAAAUCACACUCCCAAAUAGGUUACAAGCAUUCAUCCAAGUUCCAACUAGUACUAGAGAGCAGCAACAGUCUAGAACUCCCAUUUCUUCAUGUCCACGCCGACCGGAGCACUUCCCUCAACCUUUUGUUUCCCACUUCCUUACAGUUUGUCUAAGUCAUUGUCCUGUUCCACUCCCCACAGCAUGUCUUGUCUCCACAGAGCACUUCCCUCAACCUCUUGUUUCCCACUUCCUUCCAGUUUGUCUAAAGCACUGUCCUGACUUCCCUCAGCAUGUCCUGUCUCCUCGGUGCCCUUUUUCGUCUGUAUUCGAAGAGGUGAUAAUUUUCCGCACCUCCAUUAAGUUCUUCCCGCCGCAUCGCUUAGUCUACCCUUUUUCGUUUCGGGGAUGGGUAGUACGGGCUUGACGCUCCAACAACUGGGCUACUGACCCUUAGUGGAACAGAGUUGUCCUCGCUGAAUUCAAGAGAUGUCCAGUGUAAUGGUUCAGCUUUAGCCAGGCGAAUUUCAACUUUGGUGGACAGAACGUCAAAUCUGCACUUUUCAGGCAUUAUCUUUCCAAAUAAGCGAGGCUGAAAAUAAUAUGUAUCUUCACCAGCAACAUCAAUGCUAACACUUAGUAUUUGUUCACCAAAGUCAACAUUAACGUCUUUGGCUGGUAUGCCCUUGGCGAAUAUAGUCACAACCACUUCUUCUGGCUUCUGGUAGAAUUCAUGCCUGUACUUUGGGUUGACAGAUGCUACGGCCAACUCGAAGGGGCCAUAGAUGAACGCCUCCUUUGCACGCUUUUUGAGAUCAGAAGCCAUGGGCGGACAACGGUCCAUGUGGACUGAGGGAGAUGUAAGAGUCUAGAUAAAAAGUAUACAACUAUGGUUAAUUGUUGAUUUCUUUACAUCUUUGAGAUAAGAAACUAAAUACAAUUUAUGGUAUUUAAUAAAAUACAAAAUACGUUGAUUAAUUAAUAAAUUUUUAAUUUAUCGAUUAUUUAAUAUUUUGCUAAAUAAUUGUCUUCCUGGGUCUCGAGGCUAUUAAUUUAAAGAAGUUUAAUUAUAUAGAAAACCAAAAAUAAAAACAGAACAAAAUAUAAAAAUAACCAAACCUAAACUUAGGUGCUAAAAUUUGGCAAAUAUACGAUAUAACUCUAAUAAUUUCGGAAGUACAAACCUCGUCUGAUGAAGUAUUGCUUGGUACGGCACCAAUCUCGUCAUUCCUAGAGUAUGAGUCACCACCAUCACCAUCAUCCCAGACUAGAUUAACUCCUGUUUUCAUUGCUUUCGCUCUCCAACCUGUAACUGCAGAAAUCGAGACUUCGUCCCCACUUUGCAAAGGGAAUACAUCAUUUGAUAAUACACUUUGCAAACGGAGUACACUAUUAGCGAAACCGAGUGUAUAUUCUCCCGGGAUGUGCAAAGUCUUACCCUUGGUAAUAUUUGUAACAGUAAAUCCAGGACAAUACGUUUUGAAAACACAGCAGAGAGUCAAUCCUCUAAAAAUUACGACCAAUAAUUUGAGGCACUUUAAAAUGAACACCAUUGGACUCAUGAAUACCAACAAACUGGAACCACUCUGGAUUAUCAUAAACUCCAUUGAGAAAAAUGCCACCAUGUCCGCAAGAAGUCCAUCCCUAGAUCAUACCAUGUAAAGCCAGAUUAAUUUGUAGAAGCAAUAGUCUUAAUUAUGCAUGCGUGUCAUCAACAGUGCCUCUGUGGGCGUGUGAUAGAAAGUGCAAGAGAAUAUAGCUCUCAGAGAGAGAUCUGUAGGAUGUUCUUCCUAAAACUCAGCAUGUACACGUCAUUCUUAUGCAUAAGUAAUAUAUUCUUGUACAUGCAUGUCUUAUGCGUGUAUGUGUGAGAGAGAGAGAGACCUGUAUGAUGUUCUUCCUAAAAGCAGCAGUGAGAUCGGUGCAGCCUUCCAUAUGAAUCCUCCUCAUAGUGUUUAACGACUUAUGCAAGCCUAGAAUCUCAGUGAGUUCGGGAGAGCAAUUCAGAUGCAGUUCUACCAUACUCGACAUUUCUGAAAAAUUUGGCAUUUUUUCAAGUGCAAUGCACUGAUUCGCUCUCAAGAUUUCCAAAUUUGUUGGUAAAUUCGGGAUUUCAUGAAGACACAUGCAAAAACUCAAAUCUAACAUUUUAAGCUUGGAGAGUCGACUGAGGCUCGGUAGGCUAUAAAACAAAUUGCCAGCAAGCUCCAAUAUUUCUAAAGAAAAUAGACUCCCAAGAUCCUUAGGGAUUGCAUCAUCAGUUAAACCGCAGUUUCCAAGAUCUAAAAGUGUCAAAGAAUUUAAGCCAUGCAAUGAAAGGAGCACAGAUCUCAGGUUCUUCAAUCCUGCUAUCGAGGAUGGUAAUUUCCUUGUCAUUGUAUGGCUUGCUUGAGGUGUUGUCGAUGAUACCAUCUCCCCCUUGUCCUUCAGUUUUAUAAAUCCUGUACAGCCUUUAAGAAUAAGAGUCUCAACUGAUUUUGACUUACAGAAAUCCCCUGGAAAAUACUGAAGCGUUUUGCAGUCUUCAAGAUUUACCAACGAAAGUCUUUCAAGAUGCCCAAUGGAUGGGUGAAUCUUAGACAAUCUUACACAGUUUACCAAUAUCAGUUUUUCAAGAUUUGGGACUUUGGAAAGAUCUGGUGAUUCUGUUAGGUAAUGGGAAUGACUGAGAUUGAUGAUUUUCAGAUUCUUGAGCAGCUGCUAGGAAAAAACAGAUAACAAAAUAAAAAUUCAAAUACAAGAGAGAAAGCAAGAUAUUGGCAUUCACAGAAGCUGAAGAAAAUAAUUAAUAAUUUGUUUGAGAUCGUAUCAUACCACGUCAGUAUCCUCCCAAACUCGUAUGAGUUUGCUAUAGUUCAGGUCAAUAGCAACUAGGUUUGGUUGAUCGAAAUCUUCAGGUAUGACCUUCAGAGGAAAUCCAUGCCAACACAACCAUCUUAACUCUUUUGAAAGAUUGCUGUGACUUCCGGUAACAUUUACAUAAUUGAGUUUGAGCAAUCUCAGACGUCGCAUCUUUAAAUGCUUCUGUACUGAAGCUACGCUCGCCAGACUCUUUCAUAUCUAAAGCGAGUCCUUCAACGUCUUCCGUUCCCUAUUCAAGGAAAAUAAAAAGGAAAAAAGUAAGACAAAAUUUAUUUUGACGUGAAAAGAGAAUUUACACACAUGAAGAAAGCCAUGAAUGGGAUGUAUGAACUAGAAUUCAGUUGUGAUUUACAUUUUGCCAAAUUAAUUAGGUAUCUUAGUCGGCAUCGGUUACACGGUGUUACUUUAUGUAUUACUAAACCCUUGGCACACGCGUGUGCCUUUAAUAUUGUUUUGGACUUCUAUUUUUGAAUAUAAAAAUACGUGGUGUACAACUCGUGUUCCGGUUACAAUAAAAAAUUUCUCCAUCUACUGCGUGGGUUUGGGGUUUUUAAUUUAAAAAAUUAAUUAUUGCAAUAAUAGGUGGCAUAUACUUAUCCCUUAAUGAAGUUCAUAUUUAACAAAGAUUUGAUUGCCGAAGUACUUACAGAUUGUUUCGCCAAUACGUCUAUUACAUCCACAUGAUGCCACAACCUACUACGUUCUCCUGGAUGGUAACGGCAUUGUGCAUGUACGAUUUCUCUGGCCAUGUCUCGAAUCAAGUCAUGCAUCAUGAGAUUGCCUUCUGUAUCAACAGUUACAAGGCACUGAUCUUGGAGUUCUCGAAUUCCUUUUUCUGGAUAUAAGUCACAGCCAUCCAAUAUUGUCGUGACAUAGUUCUUGUUCAUUCCAAUAAAGAAACAGCCUAUAUUCAGGAAUACAUCCUUCACAAGGUCAUCAGUUAGCCCAUCAUAACUUAUUUUAAGUAUUCCCUGUAUCUCCCUAGGAGGAUGUCUUUUCCAUUUAUCCAGUACAGUUUCCCAUUCACUUUUGCUUUUUGUACACAGAUAAGAACCUAAGACUUCUAGUGCUAGUGGUAAUCCUGCACAGUAGCCAACAGCUUUUCUUGAGAGCUCAACAUACUCUUCAUUAGGAUAACUCUUACCAAAGGCAUGCCAACUAAGUAGCUCAAGAGCUUCUUCUUUAUUCAUUUCUUGCACAAUAUAUAUCACAUCCACAUUAAGCAUCUCUAGCAAAUGUCGAUCUCUUGUUGUUAUGAUAAUUCUACUUCCUGGACCAAAUGAGUAAUGAUUUAUACCUAAUGCAUCUAACUGUGCAUCGCGGUCUACAUCAUUUACUAUGACAAGCACUCUUUUGUCGCCAAGUCUUCUUAUAAUCUCCUUGGUCCCUUCAUUGACCUUAAGAACCUUCAUGUUUCCCAAACUCAAUAUAUCAGAAAGAAGUUUGUUCUGUGAAUGAACCAGUUUCUUAUCUUCUCUCACAUUUGGAAGGAAGCUUGCACCAUCAAAACUAUGAUGAUGUUUCUUGAAAACGGCUUUUGCAACCGUUGUUUUACCCAGUCCGCCCAUACCCAAGAUUCCAAUGAUACGGACAUCAUUUGAUCCUUCAACGUCUAAAAAAUUACUGAUUACUUGAACGCGAGAAUCUAUUCCAACUGGGUGUAUGGCUACGUCCAAGUAAUUGCUUCUCAGUUCUCUACUGAUUCCUUCAUACCUGGUAGGUAAAAUUCAAUUCAAAAUUAAGCAAAAGUAAGAUUUACAAAUAAACAGCACAAUUAAAUUGAACUAAUAUCUUGCUCAUUAUGACAAGAGCUUGGGAGUGGAAGAUUUGAAAGCCCAGUGAUGCAUCAAAAUCUUUGAAAAUCAUUAAAGCAUUAAACAACACAGAUUUCUCAUGGAAGAGUCUGGAAGCUCUACAUUGCAAUGUGUAAAAUCAAUUACUCCAAGGCGUAGUUAUGAUAAUUUCAUUGUUUCUUGACAUUUGAUAUAUAUGAGAGUUCAAUAGACCAAUACAUUAUGUAGCCAAUUAAUAACUCUUGUUAGAAGGAAUGGGAAAUAAAAAAAAAUCCAAAAUAUAGGAAAGGAAAAAAGAAAUAAGAAAGUACCCAUCAGCACCCAAUAACCAAUCCGGAUGUUGGUCAAAAUCGUAUAGAAGCAAGUCUGAAUCAUGCAUAUUUUCCUUCAUAAAGUUGUCCCAUACUAGAUUAACCCCUAUUUUCUUCACACUCACAGAAGCAUCUGCAGGUUCAACAGGCUUUACAAAUAUAUCAACCUUGUCCCCUCCUUGCAAAUUGAGCACAUAGUUUGAUAUAUGUCCCUGCCAAAGAUAAUGGCCAUCAAGCGUGCAGGAAGUUGGUACCGAGGCAUAUGUUAUCCGGGCGAGCAAAGCAGUACACCAACAACAACAACAACAAAGCCUUUUCCCACUAAGUGGGGUCGGCUAUAUGAAUCCUAGAACGCCAUUGCGCUCGGUUUUGUGUCAUGUCCUCCGUUAGAUCCAAGUACUCUACGUCUUUUCUUAGAGUCUCUUCCAAAGUUGUCCUAGGUCUUCCUCUACCCCUUCGGCCCUGAACCUCUGUCCCGUAGUCACAUCUUCGAACCGGAGCGUCAGUCGGCCUUCUUUGCACAUGUUCAAAAUCACCGGAGCCGAUUUUCUCUCAUAUUUCCUACAAUUUCGGCUACUCCUACUUUACCUCGGAUAUCCUCAUUCCCAAUCUUAUCCUUUCUCGUGUGCCCACACAUCCCACGAAGCAUCCUCAUCUCCGCUACACCCAUUUUGUGUACGUGUUGAUGCUUUACCACCCAACAUUCUGUGCCAUACAACAUCGCUAGCCUUAUUGCCGUCCUAUAAAAUUUUCCCUUGAGCUUCAGUGGCCUACGACGGUCACACAACACGCCGGAUGCACUCUUUCCAUCCAGCUCGUAUUCUAUGGUUGAGAUCUCCAUCUAAUUCUCCGUUCUCUUGCAAGAUAGAUCCUAGGUAGCGAAAACGAUCGCUUUUUGUGAUCUUCGCUAGAUUGCUCCGGUCAUUAGUGUGGAUAAGUAUAUAAAUGGAUAGAGAUAGGAAAGCAAACACAAGAUGUACGUGGUUCACCCAGAUUGGCUACGUCCACGGAAUAGAAGAGUUCUCAUUAAUUGUGAAGGGUUUACACAAGUACAUAGGUUCAAGCUCUCAUUUAGUGAGUACAAGUGAAUGAUUUAGUACAAAUGACAUUAGGAAAUAUUGUGGGAGAAUGAUCUCGUAAUCACGAAACUUCUAAGUAUCGGAGUGUGGUGUCGUCUUGACUUGCCUUAUCUGUCUCAUAGGUAGAUGUGGCAUCUUCUCUGGAAGUACUCUUCCUCCAUCCAGGGGUGGUAUCUUUAACUGGUGGAGAUGCACAAGGUAAUGUAUCAAUUUCACUUGAAGCUUACUUGUAGUUUCAGGCUUGGUCAAGCGCGAUACAAACCAUGUAGUAGGAGUCCCCCAAGUCGCCGAGCUCGGGGGGUCUGCUGAAAGAGGUGACAGACAAGGUAAGCAAUCAGAGCUCCGACUGAUUGUUCACCUUCUCCCCAUCUUGCAGCAGCAUGAAGGAUAAAGAGAAGAAAAAUGAGAAGAGAUGAUAUGAGAUACUUUUGCUUUUGAAGAAGUAACUUUCCACAGGCUUAUUCUUGAACUGAGCUGGAGGGUUUUCUGGUUUCCUCCAGAGUAUAAGGCCGACUGAAGAAUUUGAGGGUCAAAACAAGUCCAUCAAAUCUAGAGUACGUUCCACCCUGCUGAUAUGGGAUACUUUUGCUUUUGACAGAGUAAUGAAUGUAUCGGCACGUGUGCUGUUACGCUUGUCUCCACAUGCUUCCUUGUAUCCUUCGCACUUGCCCUAUCUGUUCCUCAAGCAGAUGCGGAAUCUUCCCUGGAAACAUAAGAUGUUGAAGAUGAGUACUCGAGAGCAAUGUCAGGUAAGUAAUCAGGUAAGGGGUUCCAGGCAGUCAGUUCCUGGCUGGAAGCUUGAUUCCAAGUGCUGACUGAUUGCUCUCUUUUCUCCUUGUCUUGCAGGUAAAAACAAGGCCAAAAGAAAAGACAGGGAAAAAGCAUGAUAUGGGAUACUCUUGCUUUUAACCCUGAUGAUAUGAGAUAUUCUUGCUCUAGUAUAGCUUGUUUGCAGAGGUAUUAUCGGGGGGAAAGAAAGCUGAAUAUUUCGAAAGGCUUCGUUGGGAGUGCCCUCUCAGAUAUGAUGAAGGGUUGAGCAUUUUUGCAGGUCUGCCUGUCCGUUGGGGAUGGAGGUCGACAUAUAUAGGAGUCUCCCUAACAACAAGUAGUAAUGCUAUUCCUUUACCCUGCUUGGUCAUAGCACGGUAGUGGGAGCUGCCAGUUUCACAUGUUUUAACUCUGUCAGAGCACUUUGAAAAAGUGGUCUGUCUGUGGUAUCUGGCUCUCGAGAUUCGGAGAACACGAUGCCUCUUCGAUUUUUGAGAAAGCAAUCAUGCUGGGGGUAUGACUCUCGAGAUUCGGAGAGCAGUGUCUCUUCGAUUUUUGAGGAAGUAAUCAUGUUGGGAGUCUGGCUCUCGAGAUUCGGAGGGCGGUGCCUCUUCGAUUUUGGAGCAAGCAAUCUUGUUGGGAGUGUUGUCUCGAAUGUGAGUAAAGGUUGGGCAUGUUUGCUAGUCUACCUUGCCACGAAGCACAAAGGUUGACACACAGGGACUUUCCAAUUAUCCAGCAAUGGUACUGUUCCUUUACCCUCUCUUCGAUUUUGAGAAAGUAGUCAUGUUGGGAGAGUCUGGCUCUCGAGAUUCGGAGGACGGUGCCUCUUCGAUUUUGGAGCAAGCAAUCUUGUUGGGAGUGUUUUCUCGAAUGUGAGUAAAGGUUGGGCAUGUUUGCUAGUCUACCUUGCCACGAAGCACAGAGGUUGACACACAGGGACUUUCCAAUUAUCCAGCAGUGGUACUGUUCCUUUACAGUUUGUGGGUAAUAAUAUGGUAGCUAGACCUUCAAAAUUUAUGUGUCUAAACUUUUGUUAGUGCUGUUUCUUUGCUAUUCUUUUACCUUUCUUGGUCAGAGCGAUGUAGUGGGAGCUGCAAGCUUCACGUGCUCAACUUUGGCAGAGAACUUUGGCAAAGUUAUUUGUCUGUGGUACCCAUGAGCUAUUGUUGCGUGUGGGAAGUGGGUGAUUGAACAGUAAGAUUCAUGUGCUUUCUACUUCACCAGAAGUCUUCGACAGAAUGCCCAUAAUUUCUGCAAAGCUGAGUGUGCGUGUGACAGGUGCUGACAAGGCUAGAAAAGUAGGUGCCUCUUCGAUUUCUGAGAUCGGCCCUCGUGGUCUCUGAGCAGCCCAGCUUUUGAGAAAGCGAGCGCCUCUUCGAUUGAUUCGGAGAACGAUGCCUCAUCGAUUUUUGAGAAAGCAAUCAUGCUGGGGGUCUGGCUCUCGAGAUUCGGGGAGCAGUGUCUCUUCGAUUUUUGAGAAAGUAAUCAUGUUGGGAGUCUGGCUCUCGAGAUUCGGAGGGCGGUGCCUCUUCGAUUUUGGAGCAAGCAAUCUUGUUGGGAGUGUUUUCUCGAAUGUGAGUAAAGGUUGGGCAUGUUUGCUAGUCUACCUUGCCACGAAGCACAGAGGUUGACACACAGGGACUUUCCAAUUAUCCAGCAAUGGUACUGUUCCUUUACCCUCUCUUCGAUUUUUAAGAAAGUAGUCAUGUUGGGAGUCUGGCUCUCGAGAUUCGGAGGACGGUGCCUCUUCGAUUUUGGAGCAAGCAAUCUUAUUGGGAGUGUUUUCUCGAAUGUGAGUAAAGGUUGGGCAUGUUUGCUAGUCUACCUUGCCACGAAGCACAGAGGUUGACACACAGGGACUUUCCAAUUAUCCAGCAGUGGUACUGUUCCUUUACCCUUGUGGGUAAUAAUAUGGUAGCUAGACCUUCAAAAUUUAUGGGUCUAAACUUUGUUAGUGCUGUUUCUUUGCUAUUCUUUUACCCUUCUUGGUCAGAGCGAUGUAGUGGGAGCUGCAAGCUUCACGUGCUCAACUUUGGCAGAGAACUUUGGCAAAGUUAUCUGUGGUACCCAUGAGCUAUUGUUGCGUGUGGGAAGUGGGUGAUUGAACAGUAAGAUUCAUGUGUUUUCUACUUCCCCAGAAGUCUUUGACAGAAUGCCCAUAAUUUCCGCAAAGCUGAGUGUGCGUGUGACAGGUGCUGACAAGGCUGGAAAAGGCUGGAAAAGUAGGUGCCUCUUCGAUUUCUGAGAUCGGCCCUCGUGGUCUCUGGGGAGCCCAGCUUUUGAGAAAGCGAGCGCCUCUUCGAUUUUUGAGAUCGGCCUUCGUGGUCUUUGAGCAGCCCAACUUUUGAGAAAGCAAACGCCUCUUCGAUUUCUGAGAUCAACCCUCGUGAUCUCUAAGCAGCCCAGCUUUUGAGAAAGCAAACGCCUCUUCGAUUUCUGAGCAGGCGCCUCUUCGAUUUCUGAAGCUUCCGUCGAGUGCAGAUUUUUAUAGGGGCUGGCAUUAAGUUCCAAAGCACACUUGAAUCUCCACCAGUAGAAGCUUCAUUCUUGCACUUCUAAGAUCUUGAUUUGUCCGACCUCUUCUCUCUUCAACACCUUUGAAAAUGUCUGGCCCCUCCGACCGUCGUUUUGACUUGAACCUUGUUGAAGAGGCAGCCCCGCCUUCUCCAGACAACAUAUGGCGCCCAUCCUUCGUCUCCCCUACUGGUCCUCUUACCGUUGGGGAUUCCGUGAUGAAGAAUGAUAUGACCGCUGCGGUGGUGGCCAGGAACCUUCUCACUCCCAAAGAUAACAGACUACUUUCCAAACGGUCUGAUGAGUUAGCUGUUAAGGAUUCGCUGGCUCUCAGUGUUCAGUGUGCAGGUUCUGUGUCUAAUAUGGCCCAACGCCUAUUUGCUCGAACCCGCCAAGUUGAAUCAUUGGCGGCUGAAGUGAUGAGUCUCAAACAGGAGAUUAGAGGGCUCAAGCAUGAGAAUAAACAGUUGCACCGGCUCGCACAUGACUAUGCUACAAACAUGAAGAGGAAGCUUGACCAGAUGAAGGAAACUGAUGGUCAGGUUUUACUUGAUCAUCAGAGAUUUGUGGGUUUGUUCCAAAGGCAUUUAUUGCCUUCGUCUUCUGGGGCUGUACCGCGUAAUGAAGCUCCAAAUGAUCAACCUCUGAUGCCUCCUCCUUCUAGGGUUCUGUCCAGUACUGAGGCUCCAAAUGAUCCCCCUCCGGUGCCUUCUCUUUCUGGGGCUCUACCGACUGCUGAGACUUCUCCUAAGCAACCUUUGUGAAGGCUCCCUCUUGUGUGUUUAUUUUGACUCAUGUAUAUGUACAUAUUUGUAGCUUAUCGGGGAUAUCAAUAAAUAAGCUUUCCUUCAUUUCAACGUAUUGUGUUAAAUACACCAAAGCCUUCUUCGCUAAGUUCUUUGAAUUUUUCUUUUGUUGAAGCUUGUAUGUUGAAGCUUUCUGAGUGGAGCAUGUAGGUUGGGGUAGUGUUCCCUUAAUUUCCCGAGUGAGGAAAACUUCUCGGUUGGAGACUUGGAAAAUCCAAGUCACUGAGUGGGAUCGGCUAUAUGAAUCUUAGAACGCCAUUGUGCUCGAUCCUGUGUCAUGUCCUUCGUUAGAUCCAAGUACUCUAAGUCUUUUCUUAGAGUCUCUUCCAAAGUUUUCCUAGGUCUUCCUCUACCCCUUCGGCCCUGAACCUCUGUCCCAUAGUCGCAUCUUCUAAUCGGAGCGUCAGUAGGCCUUCUUUGCACAUGUCCAAACCACCGUAACCGAUUUUCUCUCAUCUUUCCUUCAAUUUCGGCUACUCCUACUUUACCCCGGAUAUCCUCAUUCCUAAUCUUAUCCUUUCUCGUGUGCCCACACAUCCAACGAAGCAUCCUCAUCUCCGCUACACCCAUUUUGUGUACGUGUUGAUGUUUCACCGCCCAACAUUCUGUGCCAUACAGCAUCGCCGGCCUUAUUGCCGUCCUAUAAAAUUUUCCCUUGAGCUUCAGUGGCAUACGGCGGUCACACAACACGCCGGAUGCACUCUUCCACUUCAUCCAUCCAGCUUGUAUUCUAUGGUUGAGAUCUCCAUCUAAUUCUCCGUUCUUUUGCAAGAUAGAUCCUAGGUAACGAAAACGGUCGCUCUUUGGUAUUUCUUGAUCUCCGAUCCUCACCCCUAACUCGUUUUGGCCUCCAUUUGCACUGAACUUGCACUCCAUAUAUUCUGUCUUUGAUCGGCUUAGGCGAAGACCUUUAGAUUCCAACACUUCUCUCCAAAGGUUAAGCUUUGCAUUUACCCCUUCCUGAGUUUCAUCUAUCAACACUAUAUCGUCUGCGAAAAGCAUACACCAAGGAAUAUCAUCUUGAAUAUGUCCUGUUAACUCAUCCAUUACCAACGCAAAAAGGUAAGGACUUAAGGAUGAGCCUUGAUGUAAUCCUACAGUUAUGGGAAAGCUUUCGGUUUGUCCUUCAUGAGUUCUUACGGCAGUCUUUGCUCCUUCAUACAUAUCCUUUAUAGCUUGGAUAUAUGCUACUCGUACUCCUUUCUUCUCUAAAAUCCUCCAAAGAAUGUCUCUUGGGACCCUAUCAUACGCUUUUUCCAAAUCUAUAAAGACCAUGUGUAAAUCCUUUUUCCCAUCUCUAUAUCUUUCCAUCAAUCUUCGUAAGAGAUAGAUUGCCUCCAUGGUUGAGCGCCCUGGCAUGAACCCGAAUUGGUUGUCCGAAACCCGUGUCUCUUGCCUCAAUCUAUGCUCAAUGACUCUCUCCCAGAGCUUCAUUGUAUGACUCAUUAGCUUAAUACCCCUAUAGUUCAUGCAAUUUUGUACGUCGCCCUUAUUCUUGUAGAUAGGCACCAAAGUGCUCGUUCGCCACUCAUUUGGCAUCUUCUUCGUUUUCAAAAUCCUAUUGAAAAGGUCAGUGAGCCAUGUUAUACCUGUCUCUCCCAAAAGUUUCCACACUUCGAUUGGUAUAUCGUCUGGGCCUAUUGCUUUUUUAUGCUUCAUCUUCUUCAAAGCUACAACCACUUCUUCCUUCCGGAUUCGACGAUAAAAAGAGUAGUUUCUACACUCUUCUGAGUUACUCAACUCCCCUAAAGAAGCACUCAUUUCAUGUCCUUCAUUGAAAAGAUUAUGAAAAUAACCUCUCCAUCUGUCUUUAACCGCGUUCUCUGUAGCAAGAACCUUUCCAUCCUCAUCCUUGAUGCACCUCACUUGGUUUAGGUCCCUUGUCUUCUUUUCCCUUGCUCUAGCUAGUUUAUAGAUAUCCAACUCUCCUUCUUUGGUAUCUAGUCGUUUAUACAUAUCGUCGUAAGCCGCUAACUUAGCUUCUCUGACAGCUUUCUUCGCCUCUUGCUUCGCUUUUCUAUACCUUUCACCAUUUUCAUCGGUCCUCUCCUUGUAUAAGGCUUUACAACAUUCCUUCUUAGCCUUCACCUUUGUUUGUACCUCCUCAUUCCACCACCAAGAUUCCUUUUGGUGUGGGGCAAAGCCCUUGGACUCUCCUAAUACCUCUUUUGCUACUUUUCGGAUACAACUAGCCAUGGAAUCCCACAUUUGGCUAGCUUCCCCCUCUCUAUCCCACACACAUUGGGUGAUUACCUUCUCUUUGAAAAUGGCUUGUUUUUCUUCUUUUAGAUUCCACCAUCUAGUCCUUGGGCACUUCCAAGUCUUGUUCUUUUGUCUUACUCUUUUGAUAUGUACAUCCAUCACCAACAAGCGAUGUUGAUUAGCCACGCUCUCUCCUGGUAUAACUUUGCAAUCCUUACAAGUUAUACGAUCCCCUUUCCUCAUUAGAAGAAAAAUCUAUUUGUGUUUUUGACGACCCACUCUUGUAGGUGAUCACAUGUUCUUCUCUCUUCUUAAAGAAGGUGUUGGCUAAGAAGAGAUCAUAUGCCAUUGCAAAAUCCAAGAUAGCUUCCCCAUCCUCGUUUCUCUCCCCAAAACCAUGGCCACCAUGAAAACCUCCAUAGUUGCCUGUCUCCCUGCCCACGUGUCCAUUUAAAUCUCCUCCUAUAAAUAACUUCUCCGUCUGAGCAAUUCCUUGCACCAAGUCUCCAAGAUCUUCCCAAAAUUUCUCCUUCGAACUCGUAUCCAACCCUACUUGAGGUGCGUACGCACUAAUCACAUUGAUAAGUUCUUGUCCUAUUACAAUCUUGAUUGCCAUGAUUCUAUCUCCUACCCUCUUGACAUCUACAACAUCUUGUACCAAGGUCUUGUCCACGAUGAUGCCAACACCGUUUCUCGUUCUAUUUGUGCCCGAAUACCAAAGUUUAAACCCUGAGUUUUCUAGAUCCUUUGCCUUACUACCAACCCACUUAGUUUCUUGUAGGCACAUAAUAUUUAUCCUUCUCCUCACCAUAACUUCCACUACUUCCAUAGAUUUUCCCGUUAAGGUUCCUAUAUUCCACGUUCCUAAACGCAUUUUGCUCUCUUGAACUCUACCCUUCUGUCCUAGCUUCUUCACCCUCCCCCGUCUAAUAGGAUCAAAGUACUUCUUUUGUGUGUCCCGGGUAAAGUUGAUAGGAGCAUAUGCUCCCAAACAACUUUGAGUGGAGUCGUUCGAAAAGAAGUUUCUAUGGCCCCCUUGCUCAUUUAACACUGCAUCCGGGUGCCGAUGGAGAUACAGCGACCCUUGCUCACUUAUCACUGUGCUCAGGCCACACAGCGCGCCACUUACGGGUGACGCCCUAGCUUUAGCGCGAUUUUGUUCUGGAUUCAUUUUCAUAAGGAUUCGACGUGAUCAUGGAGUGCCGGCUGUCGACUACCUGACGCCCUCCCCCUCCUCCUUUAUCCGGGCUUGGGACCGGCCAUGUAAGACAUAGUAUUUGUCUUAUGGGUGUGCCAUCUGCUGUCUUCUGGCAACUCUUUCCCAAGCCUUCAGCCAAGUUUUCAAAUCUUGAACGGCUGUUAAGAAUAAGAGUUUCAAUAGACUUGGAAUUAAAGAAAUUCAGUGGGAGAUCCUUGAGAUUUUUGCAGCCUUCAAGAUUAACCAAAGUAAGUCUUUCAAGAUUCCCAAUGGAUGAGUGAACCUCAGACAAACUCUCACAAUCAUUCAAUAUCACUUCCUCGAGAUUUGGGAGUCUUGAGAAGUCUGGUGUUUUUGCCAGGUUAGGGGAAUGACUGAGAUUAAGAAGCUUCAACUUCUCGAGCAACUGUUCAACAAAAGGAAAAACUAAAAUAAAUACAAAUGGAAAAGAGAAAGCAUGAAGUUGGAGUUUAUAAAACCUGGAAGAAAGAAUUAACAAUUUGGUUGAGGCUAUAUCAUACCAAAUCGGAAUCCUCCCAAACUCGUAUGAGUUUGCUAUAGCUCAGGUCAAUAGCAACUAGGUUUGGUUGAUCAAAAUCUUUUGGUAUGACCUCCAGAGGAAAUCCAUGCCAACACAACCAUCUUAACUCUUUGGAAAGAUUGUGGUAACUUCCAGUGAGCUUUAUGUUAUUGAGUUUGAGCAAUCUCAGACUCUGCAUGUUUCUAAAUAAUUCUGAACUGAAGCUACACUCGUCAGACUCUUGCAUAUCUAAAGUGAGUCCUUCAAUGUCUUCCGUUCCCUAUUACAAAAAAUAGUUAAAAAUUAAAAACAAACCAACAACAACAACAGAGGAACUAAGAAAAGGGUUAUAUGCAAGUGAAAAGGUGAUUAAUUCAUACAUCAGAACCACAAAGCCUUGAAUUGGAUGGAUGAACCACAUGAGAGGUAGACAAUUAGACAAUAUAGAACAUGGGACCUCUCAAAGGCAACUUUUAUUAUAUAUCUUCCAAUAAUGUGCUUAUAUGUCCGGAUUAUAACCAUAGAGUUGUACUUUACAUCUGUCUACAUUAAUUAGGUAUCUUUAGCAAGCUUCUUUUACGGGUAUCAUAAUUCACAAAUUGUACUCAACGAGAGCAGGACAUGUGUGAUUCUGUUAUUUAAUUUGAGAUGAUUCAAUACAAAAGGCUCCUUUUUUUGUCUCUUACAGGUUCCUUUCUCUGCUACAUUAGUACAUGCAUUUAACAUCAAAUUUAAUUGCAAAAGUACUCACAGAUUGCUUCGUCAAUACGUCGGUUAUAUCUUCAUUAUGCCACAAUCUACUACGUUUUCCAGGAUUGUAAGGGGAUUCUGCAUGCACGAUUUCUCUGCCCAUGCCUUGAAUCAAAUCAUGCAUCAUGAGAUUGCCUUCUUUAUCAACAGUUACAAGGCAUUGAUCUUGAAGUUCUCGAAUCCCUAUUUCUGGAUAAAACUGACAGCCGUCGAGUACUGUCAUAACAUGGUCCUUGUUCAUUCCAGUAAAGAAACAAGAGAUAUCAAGGAAUAUAGCCUUCACGUCAUCAUCAGUUAGCCCAUCAUAGCUUAUUUCAAGUCUUUUGUGAAUUUCUCGAUAAGGCUGUGAUCUAUUCCAUUUAUCCAGUACAGUUUCCCAUUCAAUUGUGCUUUUUGUACGUAGAUAAAAACCUAAGACUUCAAGUGCUAGUGGCAAACCUCCACAGUAGCCAACAGCCUUUCUUGAGAGCUCAACAUACUCUUCAUCAGGAUCAUUCUUUCUAAAGGCAUGCCAACUAAGUAGCUCAAGAGCUUCUCUUUCACUCAUUGCUGGCAGAGGACAUAUCUUAUCCACAUUAAGUAUCUUCAGCAAAUGUUUGUUUCUUGAAGUCAUAAUGAUUCUGCUCCCUAGACCAAAGGAGUCAGGUUUUAUAUCCAAAGCAUCUAUCUGUUCAACGCUGUCUAAAUCAUCAAUUACGACAAGUACCCUUCUGUUGCCUAACCUUUGUUCUAUCUCCUUGGUCCCUUCAUCGAUACAACUUACCCCUAUGUAGGCUGCUUUCAAGAUAUCAGAAAGAAGUUGUUCUUGCAAAUCAAUCAGUUUCUUUUCCCUCACGUUUUGAAGGAAACUUGCACCGUCAAAAUUAUGAUGAUGUUUGUUGAAAAUGGCUUUUGCAACCGUUGUCUUACCCAGUCCGCACAUACCCAAAAUUCCAAUUGUGCGAAUAUCAUUUGAUCCUCCAACAUCUAAAUGCUUACUAAUGUCUCGCACACGAGAAUCUAUUCCAACUAGGUUGGUGGGUACCUCUAAGCUUGUGAUGAUGCUCAGUUUUCCAGUGAUCUGAGAAAUAACGUUCCUGAUAAAGUUUCCUUCAUGCCUGGUUGUUAAAAUUCAACAAAGCAAGCGUGAAAAUUUAUUAUGCAACCUCAAGAUUACAUUAAUCUUUCAGAAAUUGACGAGUCAAAAUCUCCAGAUACCAUUACAAUAAGCCUGAUUUAAUCAUUAUAUACAAAGAGAUAAAUAAAAUGGACGGGAAAUUUAAAGCGCACAAAAUAAAGAAAAUAAAAGGGAAAUAAGAAAAUAAUUACCCGUCAGUCUUCCUCAAAUUUAAUCCGUCCGAAAGGGAAAGUGCAGCUUCCCUAAGAGCCUUUCUCCAGAGAUGUACCUUUUCUUCGUUAAUUUUCUGUUCGUAUUUCUGAAACGCUUGCGCAAAACUACCACUCUGGAUCCGGACGUCAAAGGGAUCAACAUCAUAGAAAAUUGGAAAAAAUAAUUGACCCAGUGUUUUUCUGCACUCCAUGAUCUUCACCAGCUCCUCCAGACACCACAACGACUCCAGAUACCCUCUUGAGAUGACGACGACGGCAACCUUAGACCUUUCGAUUGCUUGAAUCAGAUGUUCUGGUAUAGCUCCAUUACUUUCUUCUAGUUUGUCAUCGUACUCGUCUCCGUACAUGAAGACGUCGAAUUGGUGGUCUUUUAAUGAACAGUAGAGGUGGUCCGUGAAGGUCCUGCGUAUGUCCUCACCUCCAGAACUCAAGUACACGUCGUCCUUGCGAUCGUCUUCGGAGGAUGAGGCCAUCACUUGAUACUCCAGGAAUUUCUUGGCAGCACGGAUCAAAUUUGAGAUCUACACACAACCGUAAAGGCAAAUUAACGUCAAAACUCCGAAAAGAAAAAGGUGAACUGGCAAGUAAUAGACUCGCAGUUUUCUGACACGACCAUGGUAUAAAAUAUCCAUGAUAUCGGAAAGAUGGUAGUUAAACAUAGAAUUUCGAUGAAAAUAUUAGGAUAUUAUUGAUAUCGAUAAAAAUUGAAUAAAAAUUAUGAAAAUUGUAAAAAAAAAUUAGAAUUUUUUAUUGAAACUUUGGAGAAUAUUUAUUUAGUCAAUUAUCUAUUAGUUUAUCAAAAAAAAUUAAAAGGAAAUGCAUUACAUGAUGAAUUUAACUCAUUUAAGUUGAUUAUAGAGCGAGCUGGCAAACACUGAGGGUAGAAAAUAUGUAGUAAUUAAUGAAAAAAAGAUUAAACACACCAUAAUCAUUUAUAUAUAAUGAUUUACUACAAUAUUUUACAUUUUAUACAUUGCAUGGUAAAAUACAUGAGUGAUUUAGUAUCACAUAAAGUUCCUAUAAGGUUUAAAAUUUUCACUAUCUUCAUCAUCUCUAUGUGUAGAGUAAGUUUAUUGUGAAAAGUAUUCAUCAAAUGAUAAAUCUCCAAAAUACUUAUGCAUCUAAUUGUUAACAUGAAACUCAUAUAAAUAUAAAUAUUUUAGCAUAUUAUCACUAAAACAUAAGUGAUAUAUGGUGGUUAUGGUGUUUGAAGAGUAAAAUGGGAGGGGUUCAAAUCCCUUUUGUGUUUUUUUUCCUCCCUUUUUUCCCUUUUUUUCUUUUUUUUUUCCUUCCUUUAUAUCGAUAUUUUUGAUAUUUUAGCGAUAUUACAUCGAUAUUUUGACAAAAUAUUGCUGAAGUGUAAGCGAAAUUAUCGUCAAUAUUGUCGAUAUUUGUACGAUAUGUACAUGGAUAUGUUCCGAAAUAUCCGUGAUUCGAAAAAACCGAAAUAUCCUCGAUAUUUCGUCAAUAUUAUCGAUAUUUCAGACUAUGGACACGACAUAAAAACAACACAAAAAUAACAGGUUUCGGAUCAACACGAUAACUUAUCGGGUCAUUAUCGGGUAACCCGUUAAUAACGAGUUCUUAACGGGUAUACACGCAGGUAACACGUGAGUAACCUGUUUCGAUCCGUUAAGAAAAAAAUUAUUUUGAUAAUUUUAAAGUUUAAUUACUAAAAGAUUUAUUAUAAAAUACAAUAGUCAUAUUAAUAUAUACAAUAUAUUCUAUAUUAAAUAUAUAGUUUUGUAUUAUUAUUCUAUAUAAGUUUAAAAAAAAGUUUUAGUCAUUAUUUAUUUUUAUUACGAGAGUUCCUUAUUAUAAUUACUACGAUAAAUUUUACUUAACAGGUUGUUGUCCAAAAUUAAAAUAAACUAAUAUAGUAUUUGCAUAGGUAAGAACUAAGAAGACAUACAUACAAGUAUGAAAAAUGUGAAAGAAUAUAUAAACACUCGUAAUUCAUCAUUAUUCCACCCCCAAAUAGAUAAUGGUUACACUUCCAUUAUCGUUUAGAUUUUUAAAAUCUUCCAAACCUUCAUGAAUAAUGUUUUUUUAUUUGAGGGAAAAAUUAAUAAUUAUUAUUGUAUAAGUGUAAAAAAUGUUAAAAAAAAAUACAAUUACUCAUAGUGACAAACUUUACAACUUUAAUGAAGGAGUCAACUUCAAAAUCCAACACUAUAAUUCAUAAACCUUAAAUUUAUAUUUAACUGUCGAUUGUCAUUUACACUUUAUUCUUCUUGCUGAAUUUCAUUUUUAAAAUUUUCUUUUAUGAAAACAUGAUUAUCUGGCGAAUGUAAGAACAUGAACAGUUCAGAUCUUUGAUAUCACGUUUCGAUAUUUACGGUUAACUGAAAUAUGAGUCGAUGUCAUAUAGUUUGUAGAAACUUUAUAAACAUCAAGCAAUAUUUUCACUAACCGUAAAACUCUUAAUAUAAUAUCAACGAUCCAAACCGUUCAUCUUCUUGCAUCCUCUAAUAGAUCAAGUUUUCAAAAAAUAAAAUUUGAAAAAAACAAAAUUUGAUGAGAACAAUGAAACGUAAAUGUAAACAACAAUCAGCGGUUAAAUUUUGAUCUAUGAUUUAUAUGAUUAUAGUGGCGAAUUUCAAAGUUAAGCUCUUCAUGAAAGUUGUAAAGCUUGUCAUUACGAGCAUUUCUAUAUUUUUUCUAUAUUUUUUACACUUCUAUAUUAAUUAAAAAACUAUUAAAGACUUUAGGUAAGUGAAAAUAUACUUAAAAGAAAAAUUCGUUUUUAUGUUUUGGAUGUGACAAUAUGGUAUGUAUAUACUUAUUUAGUAUUAUGUUUUUUAUUUGAUUAUUUAUUGGUUUAAAAUAUAUUUUCCUUAACUGAUAACGGGUCGGAUCAUAUUACCUGUUAAUAUUAUCGAGUCGAUUUAGGAUCAUGUCAUUUUACCCGUUUAUUUUAACGGAUGUUACACGACAAGACCCGUUAAGAUAUCGGAUAUGACGCAAAAAUAACACAAACACGGAAAACACAACACGAAUGUCAGGUCUAAUACUGAGUCAAUUACAAUUGAUCCACCUAGUCUUUUUCAUCCAACGGUAUCUAAAAGCUCAGCAGGGAAGAAAAUGGCUUCUUUUUUUUUUCACCAAAUGUUUGUCAAAGACGAAAUAAUUAACAGCUGUCCUUCCCAUGGAAAAACAAAUAAGAGAACAUUUCUUGUCAACUAGUUCUACGGCCAGUGGUGCUAUCUAUCUAUUCUAUUAAGAGAACAUUUCUUGUCAACUUUUUACCUCUUUUUUCUCAUUUUGAUACAUAAUAUUGACAUGAGAAGGUAAAAUAGUAAUUUUGUAUCUUUUGAGAAAAUAGCAAUCAUAUCCCUAUUUUACAUUUUUUUAAAAUGACAAUCAUAUUCCUAUUUUUCCUAUUUUACCUUCACUUUUGAUACACAAUAUUUACAUAAAGAAGACAAACAUUAAUUAUGUAAUAUUAAGAAAAAAUAUAUACUUAUUAAGAAAAACUAGCACAUCAUUAUUAUUUCAUACUCUUUUUAAAAUUUUAAAAACUAAUCAUACUCCUUAAUAGAAAAAUUCUGUUUAAAAUUUUAAAAACUAAUCACACUCAUUAAUAAAAAAAUAAAAAACAAAAUGAAAUUGUUCACACACACAAAGUGUGUGCUCAUUUGCUAUUAUCAAUUGUGUGAACGGUGCUAAAUCAACCACUUGUCUCAAUCAUUAUUUGGUUUAGUACUUUAUAUUAUGAAUAUUUUGUUGUGUGGAUAGAAGUUGUGUUUCGAAUUCUGGCGCCGGUAAAUGAUACGGUAAUAGUUAAGGAGGCUAAUAUAUUUUUAUGUGUGUUCUCAGCCUCUAAAUGGAUAGAAUACUGUGGUGAAGUCACCAGUUGAUUUUCUUUAAAAAAAAAUUAUUAGAUAAGAAAUGCUUGUCCCUUCUAUAGCGUAUCCUAAUUUGUUAUUUACGUAAUUGCUUUAACGUGAAUGGUGCUAAAUCAUAAUCUUUGUAACAAAUUUAAGUUAUAUAUAAUCAAUUAUCAAGAUUUUAUUAUGCGAAAUUAUAGAGCUAAGUGUAUUCUAACAUUCUAUGCAAAAAUUGAAAUCAUGAUUGUUGGAACUAAAUAUGUGCACACCCACGAAUGAAGGUGAAAUCCAGUCGGAUUUGCCAAUGCUCUCUGAUGAGGGAAGAAUGAGGUUAAUUGAAGGGUGUGGUGAAUCUGAAUUGAAUUGCCUACAUAUCUUCCGAAAUACCUCUGUAAAUCUUCUUGGCUCCUAGAAGGAUAGAAUAUUGUGGCGAAGCCAGCAACUGGUCAAUUUUUUUAAAGAAAACACACUAGAUAAGUGAUACUCGUCCAUCCUAUCACAUACCCUAAUGCGUUACUUGCGCAAUUGCUUUAACGUGAAUGAUGCUAAAUCACAAUCUUUGUCCCGAAUUUAAGUAUAGAGAUACUUUAGAUGCGGUCCCUAAUCCUUAACAUUCUUUGAUUAAAACCUUAGUGGUAUUCAAAAUUUGAUCGAAGUCCCCUGACUUUGUAUACCUCAUUAUAUUACAAUUAAUAUCAAUAUUUUUAUAGUUUUGACAUUAAUUGUUUAAUAUUUUAUGAGAUUUAUAAUCCUAUAAAUUUAAAAUCCCUCAUUAUAAUACUAUUAUAAACGGUUACAAUAAAAAAAAUUCAAACAUUUUGAUUGAAUAAAUGGAUAAAAACUACAUAAAAAUAAGAAAUAAUAAAUGGAAAAAGAAUGUAUCCAUAGUGUUAAAAAAAUUGGUACAUUUCACAUAUAACAAAGUGGUACAUUAAUAAAGAAGAAUGGGUACAUUAUAAAUAAAUUAGGGUACAUAUAAAAGAUUAAACAAUUAUGAGUACAAAUGAAUUUUUAAAAAAUAUAGGCACUAAAAGAAAUUAAUACAUGGGUACAAAAUAAAAUUAAAAAGAAAAUACUACAAAUUUAGAAAAAUGUUGCAAAUUAAAAGUGGGUACAAACUAAAUAUAUAAAUAUAUGAUACAAAGUUUAGGCAUAAAACAUAAGUAUACCAUAUGUAAUUUUUCUAUCAUUGAUUAAAUAUACAAUGUCACGUGACGGUAUACACAUGGGUACAAACACAAAUAAAACUUUAAAAAAUAUGGGCACAAAAAGAAACUAAUAUAUGGGUACAAAUUAAAAAUAGGUACAAACUAACAAUAAAAAUAUAUGAUAAAAAAUUUAACCAUAAAUAUAAAUAUACUAAUUUUAACAUUUUUAUUUAAAAAUAAAAAUAUUUUAUUAUUCAAAUAAUGAAUGAUGUUAUUAAUACCCAAGGACAUUGAUCAAAAAUUUAAAAUGAAUAGGAUUUUAAUCAAUGGAGUAACAAAAAGAAGGAUGUGAACCUAAUUUCUCUUUAAGUGUAUAUACAAUCUAUUAUCAAGAUUUUAUUAUGUGAAAUUAUAGAGCCAAGCGUAUUCUAAGAUUCUCUACAUAACUUGAAAUUAUGAUCGUUGUAACCAAAUGUGCGCACAACCAUAGACAGAUGUGAAAUCUAGUGAGCUGACUUGUCAAGUCAGUCGACAAUACCGAAACAUAAUAAUCCCCACGUCUAUAAGAUAGUUCGUAUAAGAAGUCCAGGGUGAUAUUUUCCCAUCUCCAUUCGAAUACAGGAAGUGAUUAUAACCACUUGAAUGAUUUCUUUAUGCUUUCACUUGUGAUAAAAACAGAUAUCUACUUAACGACUAAGCAAUCUCUUUUUUUCAUCUCAAGUCAAAAGUAGAAAGAUCGAACUUGGAAAUUAACUAACAACAUUUCCUGAUGAUCAGUAAAUAACGUCACAUCAAUACUCACGAAUUCUACUUAAGGUGGAAUAUGACAGGCUAAAGGGUAUUCAGUCAUUCAUGUGUUUUUCUGCUGAAGUUGUCGAUAACUACGUUUGCACAACUAGGGUAAUACAUGAUGGCACAAUCGUAGGCAUAGAUUUGUUUCUUCCAUCGCCGCUAUUUGAAAUUUUGUUCCUUUCGGACGAAGAUGUACUUGAGAAAUUUAUGUGGUCUAUAAAGACUUUGACAAGUUUCUUCACGGAAAAGUGUCAUCAGAUUUUCAAGUAAAUAAGGUAAUCAUUGACUCUAGGUUAGGAGUAAGGUAGUUCACUUCAUGCAAUUCCACCCAUCGCUAGACAUAAGCAAUACCCUAUCAUGCUGCAUCAGCAUGCAACCAGAACAUUCAAUGAAACUUCACUGUAGAUAUAAAAUUAUCAAUGUCAUCGACAAGUGUAAGAACAAUGCUUGGAAAGAGACAACACUUCAAUUGUCAGAAACUUUAUUCACAUUUAACGUCUAAAACUAAACUAACUUUCCUCGAUCAACUUGAAAGGAAAAUGCUAUAGCUGAAAAAUCAUUAAUAAAGCUUUAAGUAAUCCUAAAAAACAAUGGUAUUUCAUAUUUCACAAUACUUUGUUAGGAUUUCAAUUUUCUUCCGCUACAACCUUUUGGGAAAAUGAAAAGAAUAUCAUCUACUGAGACUACAUCUUCCAAGAAAGGUAAAUAAAGCUAAUAUUUGAGGAACUUGAUAUAAAGCUGACUAUUGGUGUUUAGAAAAUUUGAUCUAGUUGUUGGAAUAAGUAAGAAAGUCGUCGGGAAUGAUAUCAAAAAUCCAUCAUUGGAUCAUUCGCUAACUCGAAUGACAUUACAAAGAACACAUAAUGGUCAUUCAAGUCUUGAUCGCAGUCUUGGGAUCAUUAACGCUUCUGAUCUUUAGUUGGUUGUAACUAGACUUCAGAUCAACUCGAAUAAAAUUCAUUCUCUACUGAGUUGGUCAAAAAGACCAUCAAUUCAACACAUUGUUAACGGUUCUUAAUCAUCACCCGAUUAAACUACCACAAAUAUAGGUACAACCCUAAGGUUCAAUCUUUAUCUUCGCAAAUAGGUUUGUUAUUGCCUAAGAUAAAUGUUGGGUUAGAUAAAUCCCUAAUCAAUAAGCUUUUGUAACUAAGUUCUCUCGAACACGCCCCAACCCAGAUAUCCAAAUGACACCUGGAUGUCACGUGUUGGCCGACACUCAAGAGUGACGAAAGCCAUAAAUAUAAAAAUGUGCACAGACAUAAGGAAACGUGUAAUCGAAAAGUCACAUAAGAAACAACAUUCAUAAAGAAUGUACAAAACCUAAAGCAAUAAUAAUAAAUAAGCAUUACUCAUAAGAUAAGAAGGAUGUCCAACAAUCAACAAACCGAAAGAAAAGACGCACAAUUAUGUUCAGAGCAUACUACUAAACGAGAGUGCUAGUGAAACGAAAGUCAUUAAGUUACAAUUACACAUAAAGAAAUCGUACGUAAGUGGAAGAACACAAGAUCACUGGUAGGGAAAUGCCUUGAAGCUCUGGUCAUUUUCAUCGUCACUUGGUCCUAAAGAGGGUGUAGGUGCAUAGACCAUAGUUUAUUAUAACCAUAAUAAUAAGAAAACCAUUUUCUUUCUGAACAUACUAACCCCCUCCCCCCGUUUUAAAAACAAUAUGAUACUACGUAAUAGGUUUUUCGAAACUCUACAUGUUAUAAAAAAUUACAACUCGAAGUGAUAUCAAAAUCACAACUCGAAGUGAUAUCAAAAUCACCUAAAGGUAAAAUCCGUAAAAGCUCAUAAGUCAAAAACACUAAUGUACUCAAUAGGGCUAUCAUAUUCACCCAAAGACAUAUCCAUCACCCGAGGGUGAAGCUGUACGACACUGGCUUACGCCAAUGAAGAAACAUGGUAGGUCCCAUCACCCGAAGGUGAAGCUGUAUGACUUUGGGUUACACCAAAGAAGAAAUAUACAUAACACACCGACACUAGCCAUGGCUAGUGAAGUUGUCUGACAUUGGUUUCGCUAGUGAAGCUAUGAGUGUGUCAUAAAUAUCUUACAACUCAUCAACUGUGUCCUAUGACUAUAGACGUAUACAUACUCAUGUUGUGUGUAUGUUUCAUAUGAAUACCCACUAAUUAAGCACAUAAAACGUAAUUCAAAAACUCAUACCAAACUUAGAAUUCAAAACCUCAUCAUCCGAAAAUCAUAAGCAUUUCCAUAAACGUGAUUUCUAGAAAGAUAAAAUUUUAUAAACCUUAAAUUGAUAAAUCGUAUAUAUUUUGCAAAAGAAAAUUAAAUAAAUCAUAGAUUCUCCAUAAUUCAUAAAUCUAGAAAAUUCGUAAAACGUAUCAUAAAACGUAAUUAAUUCAUGAAAUGUAGAAUGAAUGCAAGCCUAAUAUUUUUAUAAAAAACAUGCAAUUUGAGAAGGGGUCCUCUCACAAAUAUUCUGCUACUGGGAGUCGAUCGAACUAGGGAGGACGAAAUCACUUCCAACCAACGCACCUAAACACAAAUAGGGACCAUUUAUUAAAACUCUACUAAAACGGUCGAAUUUGGGAAAACGGAUGGCUAAUUCGGAUUCUGCACAUAAAAAACCUAAGAAGGGACUUCAGGUUCCCUACGCAUCACCACGGGGCAGCGACCUGGGUCAUCACCCGCCACCCCACGCACUACCACAUGGCAAGAUAGGUGUCGGAAAGUUGGCCGAAAUUUGGUCGGCAUAGUGCCUCCAGCGGAGGCGCGUGCACUCCAUGCGCUGAGCACAUGUGGCCUCCACGCGCCGCGAGUCGCCCGUACUAGCCUUCUACAUGAUUUCUGGAAAAUUUCCAGAUUUUUCCUCCACAUCAAGUGAUUCAAAAGCCAAAGUGUAGUUAGGAAUGUGGAGAAGAGAUUCAAAAGCCAAAAUUCCUACAUGCUGCGAUAUGAGAGUCAACGUUUUCACCGCUAGGGGUAUUUUCAUAAAUUUAUCGAAUUAAAACGUAAUAUUCAAGACGGGUUGUUACACUUUCAAUGUCUUAGGAGUCGUUUGAUAAAAUGCAGGAAGAAUAGGUGUUGUAUUUGAAAGUGGAUCGAUGGUACUCCACUUCACACUUUGAUGGUAUCCCAAGUAAAUUUUGAGAAAUGACGCCAGGAAUAUACGUCCUUGAACUAUACUGUAUUGCUUUCUCAUACUACUACACGUACUAAUAGGCUGUCAAAACUUUUCUAAAUAUUCGUUUCAACCUUACAGCAAGAAUUUACUCAUACUUCAAUUGCUAAUGUCUGCCUGUGAAAGUGACCACAAGGAUCACUGGUCAUAGGAAAAUAAUCAUCUUCGGUUUAUGUUCCACUGAAUUGAUAAUUCUGAUGUAGUCAAUCCAUCCCUAUCCACGAGAUCCAAUGAAAUAAGAUUAAUUGCACCGUUGGAUUGGUAAAGAAAAUGAUACAUCCAUCGCAUUCGCACGGGACAAGGCAAACUUUGCUUCAUAACUUUGGGAUUCACAAGACGUACUCGACUAGGGUACCAGAAAGAUUUAAAAGCUAAGGAUGAUGAGACAACUUGAGUGGUGCUCGAAUCAAUCAAAGUCUUAGCGAAAAUGUCCUAAUAACAUACUCCUGACUAGGUCAGGAAUGUUCUAGUCACCUAAGUGGGUGAUAUGGGUAAUACAACUGCGGGUUUACUUUCCUCCUACAAGGUUUGGUCCUAAGUUUCCACGAUUUUAAUUUCUUUGGUCUAGAUUGUCAAUGUUAGCCAGUCUAUUAAUCACACCACUAAUUGACGCAUGCGUGAUAUUUUAAUAUUGUUCGCCACUGAAAAUGUGAACUAGCAUUUUGGUACAAAGCUAUCACUCCCAGAUACUAGUAUAUGCCCGGUAUCAGAAAUCAUACCCCUGGAUACUGGAUCUAAAUAGUAUCGUCAAUGAGUAGCGCCACCAUAGGCUGACUAUAGGUUAGAGCCUGCUCCGAUGGAUAGUUUCAGUUGAUUGGUAAGGAAUUGGUUUUGGGAUUUGGUUCCGUUAACUCUAGAGAAAAUUAAUUACUGAUUCUGGUAUUUCUGUUAACCGUAGGUAUAACAACUUAUACUCUCAUGCAAAAACACCGUAUUGACGGGUACCGCAUCAGAAGUAUAUAUGAGAACUAGUGUUGGUUGAAGUGUCCUAAGGUAGGGAAAUGGAAUUUGCUAAUAACCUACUUCAAAAUGAGGUUUGACGUACUUCAAUCUUCCUAUUGAAGAUCCAGAAAUAUAACUAGUACGUUUGAAAGAUUAGUGCUAUCGGGAACCAAAUGUGAUGUCCCCCAGAUGUUCUUCCAUUGACUACUACCGCUUUAGCACCACAUUAUCACUUGAAAUAUUUCUGGAAAUUUCGACGAAAAGUAAAACUUCGUAUGAAUUCUAAUAGGUGGUAUACUAGACGGGUACUGCCAAGGAUCAAAACUAUUUAUGAUUUUCUAUCUCGGACGGGUUGGUAAUGAUGACUGAAUAUUAAUAUGAUUGAUUGGUAAAAUUUUCGGUGGUAUGUAACUAUCUAUAAAUUAGCCUUGCUUCAGGUCUAUCAACUCAUUCCAAAUCGGGAUUUUCCUUGGCAAGGAGAUUCUUCAUUCAAAGUCUAGAGGCGGGCGCGAAAAUGUUUUUCUAGAAGGUCGAUAAGUCAUCUAAGUCGCCUACAACUUAGGAAAAGCUAAUACAUUUCUCGUGCUCGAUAAGGUGGCAAGACUUGACAUUAGGUUCAAGAACCAAAAAUGCUUACAUCACGUGUCUGAUGAAUGCAAUACUGCCCAAACUUAUGCUCUGAUACCAAAUUGACACACGCCGGCCCGAUAUGCAAAGUGAGCAUAUCGGUGUAAUGUGAGCAUACAUGUGAAGACUGGCUCUGGCCCGUGCAAGUACUAACACCAGUGUUGCAUGCACAAUGAGUAGUAUAACACAAAUAUGAUCAUGUGACGGUAAUUCAAUAAUUCUAGUCAAUAAAAUAUUAUUCAUGGCCACAAAUAUAAUUAAGGCAUCCUAUAAUAGUAUGCAUACCUGUGCAUCCCGUAGGAUUUAGGAUAAGUUCAUAAACUCCGUCAUUCCGCAUAUUCAUAUAAGCGUUAGUCUAAUCUAGGUGUACUGUAGAAAAUUCUUUACUAAAUAUAUAUAUAUAUAUAUAUAUAUGAAAAUUAAAUAAAUAUACAAUAUUUAAAAGCAAAAACCCACUCAUAAAUCAUGUCGUCGGUUCGAACCCGCCUCGCGGGCAUCGAAGAUCCUUGCGAUGCGUUUAAUCUAGAAACGAAACCAUUCACGUAAAUAUAAAAUCUACUAGCUUAAAUUCGCGUAUUCGUACUAAGUACGGCUAAUAAAGAAACUAUUUUAAAACGAUCGAAUUUCGGAAAAUGAAUGGCGAAAUCGGGUUCGGCACGUAAGAAACCUAAGGGGAGACCUCGGGUGCCUCUACGUGCUACCACACGCCGCCACAAGGUGGCAGUCCAGACAGCCACGUGCUGCAUGCGCCAAGGAUAGGAGAGUCCACACGUGCCUUCACGAGCUCGCGAGUGUCUAGAUUUUUGUAGGUUUUUCUUUAACUUCCAGAGCUCUUUCCGAGUUCUAUUCUCAACCAAAAUCGAUGAUUCAAAAACCUAAAUGAAGUUAGAAAUGCAGGGAAUAAAUCUAUACCCAUUUGAGGCUGUGUCAUGGUCGGAGUUGGCUGAAAAAAUGGCCUGAAGAUGGCCUGACGGCAACGGUUCUACAUUUCCAGAAAACUGGGAAAUCUUCCUUAACGGUUCUACCACCAAAACAUGCAUUCAAAGUUAAAAAUAGGAUCAUAUCAUCACUACGGGGAAGAUUCAGGGAAAAACAAUGCUUACCCGAGAUCGGGCAACCGAGAAAUCUCGCUGGAGUUCAAUGAAGAAAACAGUGAAUAGUGGCAUAAGCCACUGCGCAGUGCCAUGCCCUCGUUCAAUAGUGUUGUUUAUGGGUUUGUGGUUCGUGACUGGUCUGUGUUUGUAGUGGCGGUGCUUGCCGGAGUGGUGAAGGUGAUGGUUGUGUUGUUUCUCUGCACUUGUAGAGAGAAGGGGACGAGAAGGAGCUAAAAGAAAGAGAGAGUGUAUAGGGUAGAGAGUGAGGAGAGUUUUUGUGAAUGAUAGAGAUGGAGUGAGGGAAAAGAGAGAGACAGUAUGGGAGGGAGACAUGGAAAGGGGACACGGGAGAGAGAGAAAAGAAUGGGGUGUGGGCCCCACUUAGCACAUAGCCCAAUCCAUAAAAAGACGAAACAAAAAAAUAUCUCCCGUAAAUGUGAAAUUACCAAUGCCCUUCACGCUACAAAAUUCGUAAAAUCUUCGUUGUAACUUUGAAUUCAGUUCUGCUUGUGCCCAUGUGUUCGUACCGUCAAGUACUUUGAGAAUAUAUAUGUUUCUUUGGUCAUGCCCAGAUAAUAAUUAAUUAGGCAUGAAGCCUAAUUAAUAAAAUACUAAUAUAGACAAGCCUACUUACCCAUUUGCUUAACAAACCCAACGAAUAAGCUAUCGAUAUUACAGUUUGCAGCCCGCAAUACUGAUAACUCACUGUUGUCUCAAUAAACAAGUAAUAAAUUCCCAAGAGUACAAAAAUACCAUUUUUCCCCUCAUCGGGAAACGUACCUAAAUAGUCAGAUUUAUGCCUCGUUCGCUCUCACGUGUUCGUAAGGACAUGUACUACCUAGAAAUAUGUCCAAGGUGAUAAAGAGUGUUAAGGACUCAAAUGUCCACGUAUGAUUUCCACCUGUCAGGGGCAUAUUCGUAAUUUUACCAAGGUUAGGGAAUAAAAUAAUAUUAAAUUCAGUAUGGGACGGGACGUCACAUGAAAUACCUCUAUAAGUCUUCUCGGCCCUUAGAAGGGAGGAAUGUUGUGGCGAGCCACCACUUGAUCCUUUAAAAAAAAAAAAAAACUGGAUAAGCAAUGCUCGUCCCUUCUACCACAUACCUUAAUGUGUUACUUAUGUAAUUGCUUUAACGUGAACGGUGCUGAAUCAUAAUCUUUGUCAUGAAGUUAAGUGUGUGUGUGUGUGUGUGUUACUUAUGUAAUUGCUUUAACGUGAACGGUGCUGAAUCAUAAUCUUUGUCAUGAAGUUAAGUGUGUGUGUGUGUGUAUAUAUAUAUAUAUAUAUAAUCUAUUAUGAAGAUUUUAUUAUGUGAAAUUAUAGAGCCAAGCCCAAGUGUAUUCUAACAUUUUGUACAUAAAUUAAAAUCAUGAUUGUUGAAACCAAAUAUGUGCACAUUCAUGGACGUCAGUGAAAUCUGGUUGGAAUUGCCCAUUAUCUCUAACAAGGGAAGAAUAGGGUUGAUUGGAAGGUGUGGUUAAAUCCGAAUUGGACUGCCUACAUAUCUUCGGGAGGAACACAAUGUUUUUUUUUUUUUUAACCAAGUGUUUGUUUAAGACAAAAUAAUAGAUGUCACCCAUGACAAAAAGGAAGAAAAUAAUGCGAACCGGUUCUACAACCAUUGGUGCUAAAUUAAUCAAUUAUGUGGGAAUGGUGUUAAAUUAAGCCCUUGUCCCAACCCUUAUUCAGUUUAGUAUUAUAUAAUUAUGAAUAUUUGUAUAUGUAGAUACAAGUUGGGUUUAAAUGGAUAAACAAAUUUGGAUUUUAUUCCUUGCACUGGUAAACCACAUGAUGAUAGUCAAGAAAGACUGAAAUGCCUCUAUGAAUCUUCCUGGCCCUUAGAAGAAUGCUAUGGCGAAGCCACUAGCUUGUCCCAUUUUUAAAGAAAAAAAUUGGAUAAGCUAUGCUUGUCCCUCCUAUCACAUAUGAUAGGGAUUUUGCUACACGGUUAAAACCUCCUAUAAUACUUGCAAGAAUUACAAGGUUGUUGUAGUAUAAACAGAUCUUGCGAGGUUAUUCUCCACAUGGAUUAUUAAAUAAUUCGAAACAAACCAAAUUUCAAUUAAUUAUUAUAAAGUAGAAAUUGAGAUGAUUGAUUUAUAACGUACUUAAAUUAAAACGAAUUUAAUUAAUAAAAGUAAACUAAUCUGCAAUAUUAAAGAUGAAAGAGAAGGAAAUAGUUUUGGAGAAAUCAAAUUAAGAAAACACUAGGGUUCCACCAUCACCUAUCAAUCCUAUGAACUUUUACCAAUUACUUAUGAUCUACACAUGCCACUUUGAAGGUUAGAUUUUCCUAAUUCAUAUUCUACUUGGAACCUUCGACAUAGAACGUAUAUCUAACAUGCAACCCGUCUGGACAUUCGGAUCAAAUCUGAACAUGAAAGACUCAUUAUGCUUAUCGAAAACCCUUUGAAAAACCAUGCAACCCUUAAGACGUGGUGUUCAUCCUAAGUGAAAUUACAAUUAUUAAUCAUAAGAAGCCAGCGUCAAUUUCAGGGAACCUUCCGACCAAAAUUGCAUCAAAUUACUUUUCUAAAGAUCCUAAUGGUGAUCAGGCAUUAAGACAAUUAGAUAGUUUUUAUCCCGGUAAUUAAUAAUUCAAAGUAUGCAUGCAAUCAAUCAUAAGCAAUUAAAUAAAAAUCACAUAUUCAUGCUAAGGCUCAAGACUUUGACCUAGCAAAAGGAAUUAGUUACACAUAUUCAUAAUUAAAAACAUAGAAAAUAUUAUUAAGAAAAGGAUUGAAAACACCUUAAAAUAGAAAAUCUCCAAGAACCCUAUCAAUUUUCUCUGUCUCCAAAGUUGCAUAAAAGAAAGCGUAGGAAAAAAAAUAAAGAACGGCAAAGCAAUAUAUUUGCUUAGCCAUCCACAAACCCUAAAACAUAGGUCUCUUAUUUCAAUUAGGAAACUAAGAAAAAUAAUAAAAUAUCUUAGAAAAUAAAACCUUAAUUAAACUAGGGGAAUCUGCCAAGUACUUGUCCAGCCACGUUUUAGCCUCAGAUCUCCUCCAAAUCUGGCACAAGAUAGCUUGUUUUAAACAUUAGGACGUUUUGAACACAUCUCCAGAAGGCCACGAAACCAUCCAAGGUCAUCUUGGGCUCCAAAAAUGUAAUUUAAGCCCAGAAACGUCAUUUUCCAACACCGUGCACUGCUUCUUUAUUUUAUCGCCAGAAAAUAACUGCUUGGUAGAAAAAUCCCAAAUUUUGAUACGAUCAAGCUAAGUGACUCAUGAAUGUCCUUCAACUAGAAUUACUCCAAAAUUCGUCCAUUUGGUCCUGUUUUGCUCCAGAGGAAAUUGAAAGUCCUAUAUUGAAAAUACAAUUCAAAGUAUCAAAAUUCUUCCAGAAUAUUAACCAAAAUAUACUAAGAAUAGGGUAAAAUAUAUAAUAUAAAAUCUACUCAUCAACAUACCCUAAUGCAUUACUUACGUAAGUGCCUUAACAUGAAUGAUGCUGAAUCAUAAUCUUUGUCACGAAUUUAAGUAUAUAUAAAAUCUAUUAUCAAGAUUUUAUUAUGUGAAAUUAUAGAGCCAACCGUAUUCUAACAUUGUCUGCAGAACUUGAAAUUAUGAUUGUUUGAACUAAAUACGUGCACAUCCAUGGACGGAGGUGAAAUCCAAUUGGAAUUGUCCACGAUCUCUGACGAGGAGGGAAUGGGGUUGAUUGGAGGGUGUGGUUGAAUCUGAAUUGGACUGCCUACAUUUAUCUAGGAGGAAGAUAAUGUUUUUUUAACCAAAUGUUUGCUUAAGACAAAAUAACAGAUGUCAACCAUGACAAAAGGAAGAAAAUGAUGCAAACCGGUUCUACAAUCAUUGGUGCUAAAUUAAUCAACUAUGUCGGAAUGGUGUGAAAUUAAGACCUUGACCCAAUCCUUAGUUUAGUAGUAUACAAUUACGAAUUUUUUAUUAUGCAGAUACAAGUUGGGUUUAUAUGGAUAAGCGAUUUUGGAUUCGAUUCUCGGCACUGAUAAAUCACACGAUGAUUGUUAAGGGAGUCUAAAAUGCCUUUGUAAAUCUUUUCUGCCCCUAAAAGAGUGGAAAUGUUAUGGUGAAGUCACCAGCUGGUCCUCGUUUUUAAAGAAAAAAAAUUGGAUGAGCGAUGCUCGUCCGUUCUAUCACAUACGCUAAUGUGUUACUUACGUAAUUGCUUUAACAUGAAUGGUACUGGAUCAUAAUCUUUGUCACGAAGUUAAGUGUGUGUGUGUAUUGUGACAUCUCGACCCGAGAUUUAUCGUAUUUUAUUCUCGGUAGUAGUGAAAUUAUCAAAAUACCCCUAAGAUGCCACGUAGGCCUUCCACAUGGACCUCAAUUUUCCUUUCACUUUUCUCAUCUUAUUUUACUAUUUUUGAAUACUACUCAUUUUUACGGACACAUGAUCGCAGACGGAAUUCAAUUCAAAGUUAUAACAAACAAGUUCUGCAAGCUUCAAAACUAAGGGCGAAACUGAUAAUUUUGCACCUUGGGAAUUUGUGACAGCUGACUAAAUUCAGCUUUUAUGUCUGAUGGUCCUCGUGCAGACCAAAUCCAUGCAUGGUUUAGAAAUUUGAACGGCAAGUAGUAAAUGAAAAUAAUAUUUAUUUUGGGUUUGAAAACCCACAUGUCCCAUCACACUUGUCACCCUCACUUUUCUUUCUCUCUUGGCUGGUUCUUUCCCUCGGAAAUGGAUCAUUUCCAGAUCCCUUCCACCUAAGCCAACUGAGGACGAAAUCUGAACCCUUGAAAUUUGAUCCAACGACUAAAGUUAUUAUAACUUUUAAUGAGGCCCUGUUUUUAGUCGUUGGAUCAAAUUUCAAGAGUCCAAAUCAAAUUUCAAAAAUCCAGAUUUCAUGCUCAGUCGGCUCAGGUGGAAGAGAUCAUGAGGGGAUCCCUUUCCCUUUCCCUCUACCUCAUCCUCUCUCUCAAGCCUUAUUUUAUCAUUUCAACUGGCCUCAUUUCUUUCUACCCACUCAACUUUCCCUCACUUUUCUGAAAGUCAUUCUCUUUCUCUAAGUCUCGGUACUCUCUCCAUCCUCACCACCUCUUUCUUCUCUAUGAAACACAUAGAUGGCUCUCAGUCUAUCUCGACUAUGUGCUCACUGCACAGAAAACGUAGCUGCAACACCACCAACUAACCUAACUCCGGCGAGUUUUCGAACAACCAAACCACCCCUCUUUAUGCCUCUUCAAAUCAAACAAAUCUCUAUCAUUGCUUCCUGGAAACCGAACCUGAGCCUCGAACUAACGAGCUCUGACGAGGAGCAAGUUUCUUCGGCGAGUUGGAGGUUUUUGGAGCUCAUGUUUUAUUUGAAACAAUCCCAUGUAUUUAGAUAUCCUCUUGCAUGUAAAUUUUAGUUGGAAGUUACUGAGAUUUGACAUGCAUGCACUGUGCUUCCUAUUUCCAGAAUCUGGUGAAGGCUUUCGAAGGGAAUCUAUCGAAUCCGAGGUGGAUUCGACCCUUAUUACUCCUUUAUCUGUUCAAAGUAAGUCCAUGAGCCUUGUAGUAGUGUUUUCUACAAGAUUUAACUUGAAAUUCGUGAAUUUUGGGACUAAAUUCAUGAUUUGCAACUUUCUAGAAUUUUCCCCAGUUACCAGCAAAGGACCCCGUUGUUGCAGGCCGUUUUCCGUCCACUUUCGACCACGGCUGGUCCUCGUGUUGGUAAAUCCUUGUUUUCCCUUUCCUUAGCUUCAAUUUGACAUAUGGAUUGAUGAAAAUGGUUGUGAUUCGAAUCUAAUUGGAGCUUAGAAAUUUAUCCCGGCCAAACCAGCCCAGAAACCGACGACCUGACCCACAAUAGGGACAGGGUUGACCCGACCAGAAGAAAAAAAAAAGCCAACCAGAUAUGUAGGCUAGAUUCGACCCCCGACCCGCGAGUUGGGGUUAACUCGACCCAGUAUAAAAAAAAAGAAAAGAAAAUGGCCUAAUCCCAAAACCUUUUACAGGCCCAAGCCCAGACACUCCAACCCGGAUCCGAACCUAGGAUCUGGCCCAUUAUAUUUUCUAGAAUAUUCCUUGUGUUGACUUUUUCAAAAUUUUCUUGGAAAUCCUCCUAGGCUAAUUUUGACUCCCUGAGUUCGUUUUUGACAUCUAUUUAGUGAAAUUUCAAAGUUUUAACAUAGUUCACCGUCGGAGCGUCUUGGUUGACUUUUUAGGGUUGACCGUUUAUGUUUUACAAAAUUUACCCGGCACCCUUCUUAGCGUAUUUCGAUGCUCUAAAUCUGAAUCUGCACUCCGUUUUCCCAAAUUUAGUCAUUUAAGUUGAGUUUUACUGAUAGGUUCCAAUAUUAUGCUUAGGUGUGAUUACUAUUGGAGACUCCGACUUUCCCAGCUCGAAUGGUUAUGACAUGCAUGUACCUGUGAGUAGGUUUUUUUGUUUUUACGUAUAUAUAGGUAUAUGUGAUUUUUCUCAACAAGUACUUUUACAUACUAUGAUGUGACAUGCCACGUUUAGCUUUACAAAUAGACUUUUUGACACUUUAUGUUUUUAAUUUUAUUUGUGAGCAUAAACUUGUGGCAUGACAUCCUUGCAUUUUAUAUGCUCAUUAUUACAUGUUUGCACAAUGUCUCUUAGUUAUUUGUACUGUCCUGAGCCAAGGACUAGCUUCACGUGUAGUUCACAUGCACCGUUUACGUUCGCUUUGGAUCCAGAGUUAGGUGUCAGCCUGUCCUUUUGUAUUGAUGUGUUGGACUCGUAUGUGAUGCGACUAGUGCAUCUCACGUGAUGUAGUACCAGAAUGUAAAACCUACACCCAACCUGUUCCAUUGUCUGAUUAUCUCUACAAUGGACUUAUGUGCCUACAGAAAUUAAUGAGCAUUGUUUUCUUGUGAUAUGGAUUUGAGAUUUAAUGUUGAGAUAUCUUGAUGGUGUACCCUACAUCUUUCCAUUCACCUUUGUUACAAGGUACCGUAUUACAUACUAGUAUUAUAUUAUUUUUGGGAAACCAUAUACUUGUUUUACAAAUAGGGGUUACAUUUUUCGAAAAGGUUUUACAAAACUUUAUUUUCAAGCCCACUUACCCUUGUUUUUCGCCCCUCCAGGAUUUUAUUGGCAGAGUUUUCGUGACGACGAGGAUUGUUGGCAAAAGCUGCUAUGUAGGAGACUUCUUCUUUUAGUAUUAAUGUCAUUACCCUUCUUUUACUGCAAUUCAUCUAUGCUCUGACAUCACUUGUGUGAUAUGGAUUCAAUCCCCGCUCACAUGCGUACUCUAAAUUAGUCACUUUUAGGUUUAAUUAUUCACAUUUUUCACAUCACUACACUUUAUGGCUUCGUCACCUUCUAGGUGUUGGCCAGCACAUCGCAAUUUGGUGUGUCCAGGUGGACAUUCCGGGUCGGGGUGUGUCAGUUUGGUAUCAGAGCAUAGGUUAAGCAGUAUCGCAAUCAUCACACACAUGAUGUAAGCAUUUUUGGUUCUUGAAUUCUAACGUCAUAAUUAUGCCACUUCGUUAAACACGAAAUAUGCCAGCUUUUCAUGAUUGUUGAGCAAUUUGGAACAACUAUUGCUGACAAUUUUCUGACGACUUACCAACCUUCUAGAAGAUUACUUUGGCAACCACCACUAGAGUUAAAGGGAAGAACCUCAUUUCCAAAGAAAGACCCGAAAUAGAGACAUUUUGUUAACCCUGAAGCAAGGUAGAUGUAUUGAUAAUUGUGUACCAUCGGAAAUUUACCGACCAAUCACAACUACAAUCUAACCAUCGUUACCAACCCUUAUUUAUUAGGAAACUACAAGCGCUUUCAUCCUUGGCUAUCUUUAUUUUGUGCCACCUCCCAUAACCUUCUCGAGGUUUUGCUUCACCUCGAUGUUCCUGAAAAUUUCUUAGUGACUUUGUUAGUGAUGAUGUGGUUGCAGUUAACGGAAAAACAUCUGGGGGAUAGUCACACUUGGUCCCCGACAACGUCAAUCUUUCCAACAUAGUAGAUAUGAUUCCAGAUCUUCAGGAGGAAGAUUGAAUCUCAUUAAACCUAUCAUGAAGUAUGUUAUUAGUAAAUUCCUUUUUUUCCGACUUUAGAACACUCCAACCAAUACUAGUUCCCAGAAUUUCUUUUGGUGUUGUACUUGUCAUUUCAAUGAGUAUAUGCACUAAAAUAUGAGUUGUUAUACCUAUGGUUAGUAAAAAUCCCCGAAGUAGUGAGUAUUUUCCCUAGAAUUAUGAAACCACCUCAUAGGACCAAUUUCUAACCAAUCGUCUGAAACCAUUCACUCAAGUUGGCUCUAACCUGUAAUCAGCCUACGAUAACGCCAUUUGUUGACGAUGUUGUCCGAUACCCCAAAACUAUAAACCAGUAUUCAGGCGGUAUGAUUUCUAAUACUAGACAGAUGCUAGUAUAUGAGAGUGAUAUCUUUAUGCUAGAACGCUAGUUCACAAUUUCAGGGUAAUGAACAAUAUCAAAAUAUCAUAAAUGUGUUAAUUAGCGGCAUGACUAAUAGACUGAUUAACAGUGACUACCUAAGCCGAAGAAAUUAAAAUCGUGGAAACUUUGGGGCAAGCCUUGUAAGAGAACAGUAAACCCAUAGUCAUGACAACGACAUUAACCACUAGUCAGUCAUUUUAUCCAUAUUUGCUCAAAUACUUCAAUCACAUGGUACCUUAGUCGGGUAUGUCUCGACAAAUUCCUAUGCCACAAUGCAAGUCUGUUAUGCCAGUGCGAGUGUAGUAGUUGCACCAUUUCCAUUACCAAUCUGGUAAUGCCAAUUAAUCUUAUUUUAUCGGAUAUCGUGGAAUUCCACAUAAUCCAAGAAAUGGAUUGACUGCAUUAUUAUUAAUCCUUUGGUGGAGCAUUUACUGAAAGUAGUCAUUUUUCGACGACCCAUCAUCCCUAUGGUCAACCUCAUUGGCAAACAUCAGAAACUGAAACACAAAUUAAUCCCCGUUGUAAAGGCGAAACAUUUAUUGAGAAAAAUUAUGAAGGCUUAUUAACACAUGUUGUAGAGGAAGAAAACAAUCUAAAACAACUGGAAAUUAUGAACCCGGUCAAACUAAAUUAGUGACGUCAUUCCUAAAUAUUUACAUGUGAUACCACUAGAUUGAGAUGUGUGAGGCACCAUUGAUAUUCCUAGGAUUACCAGUUUCCUCAAGCAAACUCGGCCCUCCCAUGGAGAACCUACCACCACUCCACGGUGGAAACAACCCCAUCCUAACCGAUUCUACUCAUACAUUAACAUUACAACCCUAAACAUUACUACCCUAACCGACCCCACCAUGAAUCCUACCCUACCUAUACCGCAAGUUGUUACAUAAAUUGUCCAUCAUGAUUCGUCUACUGCUUCGAUUGGCAUCAAACUCAAUGGUGCCAAUUAUGGAGUUUGGUCUCAGAUUGUUGAGAUGUUUGUUGUUGGAAAAAGACAAGUUGGGCUACUUGUUUGGGAGUAAUCCCCAACCACCUAUUGAUGAUCCGGCCUUCACCAAAUGGCAUACGGAGAACGCUAUUGUGAAGGGUUGGCUCAUCAACUUUAUGAACCCAAUUUAAUUGGGUACUUUCUUCGACUACCGACAACAAAGAAAGUGUGGGACGCGGUUGCUCGCAUGUAUUAUGACAACUCUGAUAUAUCUCAAGCCUAUGAUCUUACCUACAAGGCCUCUCGUAUGAGGCAAAAUGGACGGCCGGUGGAGACAUACUAUAGUGAUCUUCAAUCUUUGUGGCAGGAGAUUGAUUAUCGUCGACCUAAUCCGAUGAAGUAUGGUACUGAUAUUGAAAUUUUUAAUAAAAUUGUUCAAACGUAUUGUAUGUACACUUUGCUUGUAGGAUUGGAUGUGAUGUUUGAUAAAAUUCGUAUUGAUAUUUUACGAACUGAGCCCAUUCCUUCCAUCGAACAAACUUUUGCCUAUGUUCGUAGGGAAGGCAUGCGACAAGCUGUGAUGAAUACCAGAGGACAGCUGCCAAGCUGGACAGCCAUGGUAGCUCGGCCUGCCACACGAGCCGUAGCUCCGCCUCGUCCCCAUGCCCUCGAUAAGUCACCUGCACCGAGCCUAAGAUUGCAACCCCAGGCUACUGCCCCGAGCCAGCACAGGGCUCGCUCUUUGCUGCUAGGACGACCUCACGACCCAGCACAGGUCCCCGUCCUCCUCGUCAUAAACCACCCGUCUCGGCUGGUUGUUGUAUUUACUGAGGCAGUGAAAAGCUUGGCCGUGAUAAUUGCUUGCAAUUGCAUGACUAUCCUAACUGGUGGGAACCGUUAAAGCUUCAGAAACAACGGGAACGAAACGAGCAAGCCAAGCUUGGGCAAGCCAAUCUCGCCACCUCUAUGUCCCAAUUAUCUUUGAUAUCUCAAGAUGAUCCUCCUCCGGUUUUGAGUUCCUCUGACAUGUCUCCUGAGUUUUCAGGUAACUGUGGUUAUGUUUUUAAUAUGAAUAGUGAUGCUACUCCAUCCGGAUGGAUCAUUGACUCCGGUGCCACAAACCAUAUGACUUAUGAUCCCACUGAUUUAGCUUGUGAUACUGUUUCACUUUGACGUAAUAUUACUAAUGCUAAUGGAGUCACCUCACCGGUAACUGGCGCUGGCACCGUGCACAUUACACCCACUCUCUCUUUGCCUCAUACAUUACUUGUACCUUCACUAAAGCAUAAAUUGAUGUCUUCUAGCCAAGCUACUGAACAAUUGAACUGUUGUGUGCUAAUGUAUCCAAAGUUUUGUCUUAUAUAGGAUAUUCUCACGAAGGAGAUAAUUGGUCGUGGUACUAAGAGGGGGGAUCUCUAUUUUGUGGAUGAUGUCAGUACAUGACAGGCCAAUCUCGCCCAAUGAGUCGUUCAUCACAAGAGGCGUCAUAUAUGGUUAUGGAAUCAGCGUUUGGGUCAUCCAUCUUUCAGUUAUUUGCAGCAUAUGUUUCCGGAUUUAUUUGUUGGUUGUUCAGUUUCAGACUUUAAAUGUGACACUUGCAUACUGGCCAAGAGUCAUCGUGUUUCUUAUCUACUGAAUUCUAAUAAAAGUGUUAUUCCUUUUGGUCUUGUUCAUUCGGAUGUUUAAGGGCCAUCUCUGAUUACUACUUCAUCUUCGAUGGUUUGCAACGUUCGUAGAUGAUUGCAUAAAGAUGACAUGGUUAUAUCUUCUUAAGCAUACAAGUGAUGUUUUUUUGGCUUUUAAGACCUUCAACACCAUGGUUCAGACACAGUUUUCUACUAAAAUACGGAUUUUGCUUUUUGAUAAUGGUGGUGAAUAUGUUAAUAAUGAUUUCUACCAUUAUUUAACUAAUCACGGAAUUCUUCACGAUACUACCUGUCUUCAGACUCCUUAAUAGAAUGGGGUGGCUGAGCGCAAACAUCGUCAUCUCUUAGAAAUGGCUCGCUCACUCUUGAUUGGGGCGUCUGUUCCCCGAUCUUCUUGGGAUGUUGCUCUUCAGAUCGCCACUUAUCUUAUCAACCGUCUGUCAUCUAAAGUCCUGGAUUUUUUUACUCCCUUACAAGUCCUUGUUACCUUCAUGCAUCUACCGUCAGUUUUAGUACUCCUUCUUAGGGUUUUUGGAUAUGUUGCAUUUGUUCAUCUUCAUAAAAAUCAACGGAUGAAACUUGAACCGUGUGCUUUAUGUUGUAUUUUUAUGGGGUACAGACUCUAUCAGAAAGGGUACCGUUGUUACCACCCUCCUUCCUCAUUGAAUGUAUGUUACUAUAGAUGUCACUUUUUCCGAGUCUGAGAUGUAUUACCAUUCGGAUUCUUCCAAUCCUACUCCUUAGGGGGAAACAUGGUAUAAUGAGAAGGAUUGGACCAUGAAUGAUACUGUUGAUCUUCCACUGCCACUAGCCGAGCUUAUAGCAGUUGCCCUACCAACCCAGCCAAUAACAGCCGUAGUGCUGCCCACAGAAUCAACUGCAGGCAUGGCAAUGUUGUCUUCACCCACGGCAACAGUGCUACCACUUGUCAACUUUGAGAGAGUUCUACUAAUACUACUCCCCAUCCUCUCUAAAUAUAGUACCACCAGAUGACCAUACUCCUAAGAAUAUUCCUGAGGUAAGCUUUAUCAAUUACCUCUCAGGCACAACCGGGGAAAGCCACCCAAUUGAUAUUCACCGGACACAAUGAAAGGCUCUAAAUACCCCAUUGCCAACUAUGUGUCAUCACAGAAGUUAUCAAAACCUGGCAAAGCUUUUGUAUAACAAAUAUCCAAUGGUAGCACACCAAGUUCAUUGAAGAAGGCACUAUCUGACGAUUGAUGGACCAAGGCAAUGGAGGAAGAAAUGGCUACACUCCAGAAAAAUCAAAAUUGGGAUUUAGUUUCACUUCCUCGAAGAAAUAAGAGAUUUGGGUGUCGAUAGGUGUACACCAUCAAGUACAAAGCUGAUGGGUCCGUUGAAUGAUAUAAAGCACGAUUGGUGGCCAAGGGAUAUACUCAGACAUAUAGUGUUGAUUAUACAGGGACAUUUGCCCCGGUAGCAAAGAUUAAUAGGGUAAGAGUAUUGCUUUCAUUGGCGGCCAACUUAGAUUGGCCAUUACAACAACUUGAUUGGAAAAUGCUUUCUUACAUGGUAAUCUUAAAGAAGUGUAUAUGGAUAUUCCACUUGGUUAUGCAUUGGUUGUAAACCCAGAAUAGUGUGCCAGUUGAAUAAAGCGUUGUAUGGGUUGAAACAAUCACCUUGAGCAUGGUUUGGUAGGUUUCGGAUGGCUAUGAGGAAAUAGGGGUUCAAGCAGAGCAAUUCCGAUCAUCACUUUUCUUAAAACGUCGAAUGGGGAAAUUAAUGGCACUUAUCAUCUAUAUGGACGAUAUGAUUGUUACGGGUGACGACAAAGAGGAAAUCUCAAGGCUCAAAGAUUACCUAGCAACCGAGUUCGAGAUGAAAGAUCUUGGUGGUUUGAAAUAUUUCUUGGGGAUAGAAGUAGCUUGAUCUAAACAGGGUAUAUUUCUGUCUCAAAGAAAAUAUGUUCUAGGCUUAUUAGUUGAAACCGGAAUGCUUGAUUGUAAACUGGCUGACAACCCACAUGGUCCAAAAUCACCAUCUUGUUGUGCAUCCUAAUCAAGUUCCCACUAACAGAGAUCUUUAUCAAAGGUUAGUUGGGAGGUUAAUUUAUUUAUCUCACACCAGGCCUGAUACUGCAUACGCAGCAAGUGUUGUUAGUCAAUUUAUGCAUUCUCCGAGUGAGGCACAUAUGGGUGUGGUUGAACGCAUCCUACGAUACCGAAGUCCUCACCGGGUAGAGGCAUCAUGUUUUCCAAGAAUGAUCAUUGCCAAAUAGAGGGUUACACCGAUGCAGAUUGGGUAGGCAACGUUAUUGAUCGUUUGUCCACAUUUGGUUACUUUACAUUUGUGGGAGGAAACUUAGUGACUUGGCGGAGUAAGAAACAAAAAGUGGUUGCUUUAUCAAGUGCAGAGGCAGAAUAUAGGGGUAUGGCAAAAGGAGUAUGUUAACUAUUAUGGCUUCGGAGGUUACUUGGUGAACUCGGGUAUCCUUCGAAAUCAGCCUUAGAUUUAUUUUGUGAUAAUAAAGCAGCUAUCGAUAUCUCACACAACCCAAUUCAACAUGAUCGCAUGAAACACGUGGAAGUUGACAGACACUUCAUUAAGGAGAAAUUGGAUGGGAAUAUUAUUCAAUUCCCAUUCGUAAAGUCAGAGGAUCAAUUGGCGGAUAUCUUAACUAAAGCUGUUGCAAGUCAAGCGUUCUACAACUCUCUUGUCAAGUUGGGCAUGAACGACAUUCAUGCACUAACUUGAGGGGGGGUGUUGGAGAGUUGACCCUUUGUAAUUAGUUUAGUUACCUAUUUGAGUCCUUGUAAUCAAAUUGUAAUUAGGUUAUUUGAUGUUUCUUUCCUUGUAAAUCACUCUUGUACAUUAUAUAUUUUCCUCAUUGGUGAGAACAAUGAUAUCAGGAAACCCCAAAAUAAGCUCUAAUUAGCACCUUCAUCGUAAAGACCUUUGCUUCCAUUCAUGAAGGGCAAAGACUGAACCUUAAGAUUGUACAUUAUUUACUAGUACUUCAAUUGGGCGACGAUUAAAAACCGUUAAUCCAUGUCUUGAAUUAAAGAUCAUUCAAACCAACUCUAUUGAACUUGAGCUUUCUUCGAGAUUGAUUUGAAGUUUGGUUACGACCAGCUGAAGAUCAGAAAUGAUGAUGCUUUAACACUACGUUCAGGACUCGACAUGUUCAUUAUGAUUCCUCGCAAUGUCAUGCGGGUUGACGGAUGCUCCAAUAUCGUUCAUGAACCUGACAAACCGUGCAUUUUACCCAUGUCCCGAAAGUUCGUGAUAACCUUAUCGAGAACUUCCUUGUUACUCCAAUAAUGAAGUCAGACUUUCUAAACACCGAUGAUUUGAUCUAAGCAAUUUCAAAGCGAAUCAGCUUUACACUAAAUUUUCCAAAUGCCAGUUUUGUUUAGAUCAUGUUUCUUUUAGGAGACGUGAGCUCAGCAAAUGACAUUCUUGUCAAUCCCAAAAAAUGUUGCAGUUGUAAAAAAAUUGGAAACCCUACAAGGUUUUGCAAAAUGCUAGGUAUCUUUGGUCUCGUCGAUUACAAUCGACAUUCGGUGCUAACUUUCUCCACCUUAGGCUAACUCCUUACAAGUUGACCAGGAAAGAAGUUAGUUUCAUUUGAGAUGUGAAUGUGAUUAAGUUUCUGACAACUGAGAUGUUGCCUCUUUCUGACUAUUGUUCUUACACUUCUCGAUGACACCAAUAAUUACGAAAUCUACAAUGAUACUUCACUGAAUGAUCUGGAUGCAUGCUGAUGCGGCAUGGUAGGGUAACCGCUUAUACCUACCAACAACUGGAACCACAUGAAGUGAACAUUCUUACUUACGACUUGGAGUUGACAAUUGUUGCUUUUAGACUAAAAGCUUGAUGACGAUUUCUCUAUGGAGAAACAUGCCAAAAUCUUUAUCGACUCCCUUAAACCCCUCAAAUACAUAUUCAAUUGGAAGAAGCUUAAUUGCAGAUGGCGGUAACGGAAGAAAUUAAUCAAUGUCUACGAUUACACCAUCAUGUACUACCCCGAUUGUGUAAACGUAGUUGCUAACGACCUCAACAGAAAAGCACAUGGAUAACUCAGCCAUUAUAUCCUAUUUCAGUUACAACUCACGAGUAUUGAUGUGACGUUACUUACAGAUCAUCAGGAAGCCUUGUUAGCUAAUUUCCAAGUCCGACCCUUCUAUUUUUGACUUGGGAUGAACAAUGAGAUUGCUUAGCUAUUAAGCAAAUACCUAAUUUUCGGCAUGUCAAAGCAGAAAGAAAGAAAUCGUUCGAGUUAUUAUAAUCACUCCUUAUAUUCAGGUGGAUAUAAAAGAAUAUCACCAUGGACUUCAUGUGCGGGGUCUGUUGGAAGUAUGCCCACAAAGCCACUCAUUUGAUGUAAUAGCUUUUGGAAUACUUAAUGUGUUAAACUAUUAUAUGUUUCAUGAAUGAAAAUUUUUAUUGUUAAUCAUUAUUUAUUGUAUUAUGCAUUUAAGCAAUAAGGGAAUCCAAGGAAUGUAUUUAAUCUAAGAGAGAAGUUAUCUAAGUAAGUUUGAUUAAUGAGACCUUUCUCUUAUGUUCAUUCCUAAAACGUUCCUAGCCACAUGAUUGCCAAUUGGGCAUUGACAAUCCGCUAAGGUUAGUAUGUGUUAUGUUAACUCAAGUGUGAGUAUGACUAGUCUCAAGUCAUUUAGUGUUGGACACUGAAACGAACACAUAGGUGCUCAAAAGGUAAUUGAGUACACUGAACAACGAUAAAAAAAGUUCGAACAUACAUGUCAUGUAAGAACUCAUAAGUUGCAAUAUGCAAAGUAAUCAUUUGACCUGAGUCAUCAUAGAUGUCUAAUGGUUAGGUCCUUGAUCUUUGAUCAUGCAAAAGCAUUCCAUCGAGAGUGUCCACAGCAUUGUUGGGGUCAAGCUAUCUAGUCAUGUAGGCAUAUGAAUGCACAACAAGGGAUCUUUAACCUUCCAUGGUGGAGGGAGAAUACUCUGAGAUAUGAUUCGGGAGUCUUUGGUGAAAGCAUACGAACAUGACUGAAGUUUGUUCCAAAUCAUAUUCAAUUAAAUCAUAUAGAGAAAUAUCACAUUGGAUAAUAGACAUGAAACAAACUAUCACUCAAACAAUGUGAUUAAGAGUAUUGUAUUAGAGAGGGACCGUAUUGCAUUGUAAUUGUAACUGGAUAGGUUCUCCAACCACUUCUACUUAGCUUGGGUAGCCAUGACAUACUGCUAGGUGUCACUCAUGGUUUGUGGAAGCCCUGAAGAUUAAUAAACACUAAUCUUCAUCAAAGGGAGAAUUGAAAUGUAGUUUCAAUUCACAAUCAAUCGUUAAGAGUAACAAUCGCCCACUGCCUCGCUAAAUGGAACCUAAUGGAUCGUACACCAAGUAAGGAAAAUGUGAAGAUAUAAAAGAGAUGGAUAAGCAAUUAAAUGGUUUAAUUGAGAAUGGUCAAGAUUAAUUAAUUAGUUAAUUAAUCUUACGAAAGGUUCGUAUUGGGCUUUUAAGUUGGUUUUGGGUUUUGGGGCCCAAAAGGGUUUUGGUCCACAAGGCCCAUUGAGUUUAUGUUGUGUGACAACUAAAACUAAAUGGAAAAAUAGCCCAAGAACAAAGCUAAAACCGGACACAUUAGGGAGAGUGAGUUGAUUGACUUAUUACAAGUUUGUCACUCACUUGUGAGAUGGUAUAAAGACAACUUUAUAGCCAUUACCUCAUUAGGAUUUUCUUGAGGAAAAUAAGAGAAACCUUUUCUCUCCCUUUUCUCUAUAGAGGCCGGCCUUCCUAAGGGUGUUUACUAGCAUCUAACUUCCUCUAGGUAAUCCAUUUCAUCUUCACACCAUCAUCCUUGGUGUGGAGACUUAGAGGUACCAAACCUUUGGUACUUUUGGAGUUCCUUUCCUCACAUCCUUAAGGAGCAAGAAGAGCAUCAUAAGGAAAGAAAAUAACAAGUAAGAUCUAAGGAGCUAGGAGGUGACUUGAAGGCUUUCCACUUGGGUGAAUCCCUUGUGUAAACAAGGAUGAGCUUCAAGGGUAAUGAAUCUCAAAAUCCUUUCUUCUCUUUAAUGCUGUUAAAGAGUCUUAUGGUUCACCAUUCACUAGGCUUUGAAAGUCAUGGGUUUUAGAAUUGUUUUUGAAUACAUGCCUACUUUAAAGUGUUAUUAGUUUGCAUAUGUGUUCAAAUGUUCUCACAUGUUCUUAGCUAGGACAAAACUUUACCUUCAAGGUCACCUUGUAUACUUGGAGACAAUGAUGAUGUUUUUGUGAUUGUUGACCAACUUACUUGGGUGCACAUCUUCUGUCGGUCAAUGAGGACACCCUUUCGACCGAUUGGAAAAAUCCUAUCCCACAUUUAUUUUUAUUUUAUUCCCUAAUGCUGGAAAAUUUCAAAACGCCCUUGACCGGUUAAGUGGAAAUCCUACGCAGAUUUCAGGCAUGGACAUCUGAGUCUUCAUUACUCUUUGUUCCUUUUCACAUCCUUCUAAUACGUGUUCUUACAAACAUGUGUGCACGUAUAAGGCGUAAAUAGCAGGACACACACACACGUGUGCAAGUAUGCCUGUUUCUGGUAGUAUUUUAUUAAUUAGGUUUCAUACGUAAUUAAUUAUUGUUUGGGCUUGACCCCCCCCCCCCACACACACACACACACACACACACACUUACUCUGGUAGUGCUUGCCACUACGAUCACGUGGACGCAAGCGAUAUGAAAUUUAAAGAUACCACUAUGUUGAAGAGGCUUCAUGGGAAAUGGAAGAACGUGUGAGAGACUUGUAUUCGUAUUUCUUCCUUGACUAUUGUUUUGAAUUUCGAGGAUGAAAUUUUCUUAAAGGUGUAGAUUGUAACAUCCCUUCUCGAGAUUUAUCGUAUUUUAUUCUCAGUAGUAGUGAAAUUAUCAAAAUACCCCUGAGAUGCCACGUAGGCCUACCAUGUGGACCUCAAUUUUCCUUUCAUUUUCUUGUCUUAUUUUACUAUUUUUGAAUAGUACUCAUUUUUACCUACAUGUGGCCACAUAUGUGAUUCAAUUUGGAGUUAUAACGAACAAGUUAUGCACGUUUCAAAACUGAGGGCAAAACUGAUAAUUUUGCACCUUGGGAAUUUGUAACAGCUGACUAAAUUCAACUUUUGUCGUCUGAUGGUCCUCGUGCAGACCAAAAUCCAUGCAUGGUUUAGAAAUUUGAACAUCAGAUAGACUCCGGGCAAGUAGUCCUUUAAAUAAUAUUUAGGCUAAAUAGCCAAAAUGUUCCCUGAGAUUUGCAUAACUCAUCACUUUGGUCCCUAACAUUUCAAAUCGAUAAAAGUGGUUCCUGAGAUUGUCCACCAGUCAUCAUUUUGGUUCUUCCGUUAAAAACUCCGUCAAGUGUCCCAGAGCUCUUGGCCGCAAAUUUGGACAAUUUUCAAAGCUUCGUAACUCAAUCGUUCUUAACCGAAUUCGACCCAUAAUAUAUCAAAAUGAAGAUAGGAAAGUGUAGAAUAAGAUUAUACCUAUUUGGAAGUCUAAUGGCUUCCAGAGAUAGCUGGAAAAUAGCCUCAAAGUUGACUGGUCCGAUGGAAAACUGGAAAACUCGCCGGAAACUGGGUAAACUUUAAACGUUCAUAACUUCUUCAAUCACCGUGGUUUGGCCAGAAAAUGGCUUGAAAGUGGCUGUUUUGGUCUCGAGUUAGCCACUUUUGAGCCGUUUUCCGGCCAAACCACGGUGAUUUAGUCAAGAAGUAUUAUGGGUCGAAUUUGUAUAAUCUUAGUAUAAUCUUAUUCUACACUUUCCUAUCUUCAUUUUGAUAUAUUAUGGGUCGAAUUUGGUUAAGAAACGAUUGAGUUAUGAAGCUUUGAAAAUUACCCAAACUUCCGGCCAAGAGCUCUGGGACACUUGAUGGAGUUUUUAACGGAAGGACCAAAAUGAUGGAUGGUGGACAAUCUCAGGGACCACUUUUAUCGAUUUGAAAUGUUAGGGACCAAAGUGAUGAGUUAUGCAAAUCUCAGGGAUCAUUUUAGCUAUUUAGCCUAAUAUUUAUUUUGGGAUUGAAAUGGAAAAUACUUGGGUACUCAAUGGGGAGUACCCAAAAGACUGACUAAAUGAAGUGGCCCAAUGAGAACAAAACACCUGUUUCAUUAUAAGUUCAAUAAACAUGUAACCAAACACAAUGUUAACCACACAUCCAAACAACCCAUUUCUUCCCCAACGCCCUCCCCCUCCCAGCCUGCAUCUCCUUCUUGCUUCUGCCAGUUUCAGUGCCGGUAACCUCGUCUCAUCCAUCGAACCCACCCGUAUCUUCUCCUCCAAUCUCUCUAACGUCUCGCCCCCAAACCCUCUUCUUUAUCGUAGCCAUGGCAGCACCACUUCCCUCCCUUUCCUUCACCGGAGACCACGUCAAGAUCGGCGUCGAUUAUCAAACUACAAAAGAUACCCACAACCACUUCUCUGCGCUUCGCUAGAAACCAUGUCAUCAUCGGCGUCGAUUGCAUCCGGCGACUUCCUUUUGAUGUUGAUUUGAAGAGAAAGAACGAAAGAGAGAGCAAAUCCUCUAAUGGUGGGUGAUCCGACGAGGCCACGGUGGUCGGUUGACACUUAUAAAUGGGGGUCUACUUGUCUUCUUGUUAAGAGAGAAUAUGAGUGCUUGGAUAGUGAUGAAGAGGAAAUUUGGAGUGUUUCGUUAGGGAAAUAGCGGGUGUUUUGUUAAUAAUAAAAGAUUGCUUAAAGUGCCAGCUAUUUCAAUAUUAUUGGUCCACCUCAAAAAUUCAAUAUGUUGCGUCCUGAUCGGUCAAGUCCCAAGUAUUAUCCGUUUGAAAACCUACAUGUCCCAUCACACUUAUCACCCUCACUUUUCUUUCUAUCUUGGCCGGUUCUUUCCCUCUACCUCAUCCUCUCUCUCACGUCUCAUUUUUCUUAUUAUUUUAUAAUUUAUUUUUGUCAUUUCAACCGGUCUAAUCUCUCUCUCUACCCACUUAACUCUCCCUCACUUUUCUGAAAGUCAUUCUCUCUCUCUCUGUAACUCUCGGCAUUCUCUCCAUCAUCGCGCAUUUUAAAUCAGUCACUUUUAGGUUUUAAUUUAUUCACAUUUUCCACAUCACUACACUUUAUGGCUUCGUCACAUUCCAGGUGUUGGCCAGCACAUCGCGAUUCGGGGUGGACAUUCGUGGUCGAGGUGUGUCAUAUAUAUAUAUAUAUAUAUAUAAUUUAUUAUCCCUUAUACAUAAAACCAGAGUCGUAAUGAAUAGUGCAUUUAGGGUCACGGCUUCGACAAAAAUGAAUAUGGCCAAAAUGCCCCUAAGCCAAAAAAUAAAUUCAAAAGAAGUAAAAUAGAAUGCAUAAAAUAAUACAAGGGUAAUUUUGUAAAUUUAAUUUUUUUUAAUACUGCCACUGAAUCUCUGACACACCCUGACCCAGAAUGUCCACCAGGACUUCGAAUCGAGUUGUGCUGGCCGACACCUGGAAGGUGACGAAGCCAUAAAGUGUGCUGAUGUAAAAAAAAAUGUGAAUAAAUUUAAACCUAAGAGUGCCUAAAUACCAAAGUGCACCAGUGAGCAGGAAUGAACCCACUUCACGAGUGACGUUAGAGCAUAAACAAGUGCAUAAGAGUGAAUUAAGAAUCGUACCCUUCAAAUAAUCUCCAAUACUAAGAAUUGCCACGAAUCUUCGACAAUAAGAAGCUCAGCUAAUAAGACCUGGUGGGUGAAGACAAGACAAAGGUGAGUGACCCUGUAAAUAAAAUUUUAAUAGAAACCAUAUAAAUUUUUAUAACCCCUCGCUACGACACCCGUAUAAUUUCCAGAAAAAUCAUAAACAUACCACAACCUAUCAUCUGGUCAGCAAUAUCAAAUAAUCAUAUGAUUAAUAACUCAUACUAGUACGCAAGUCGGAGUCACCUAUGGUGACCUGUACUACUUACCCGUAUUUCAUCACAUAUACUAAUUCAUCACAUAUUUCAUUACAUAUGCUAACUUAUCGCAUAUUCAUCACGGCUGCUAGCUCAUCACGUAUUCAUCACAUAUGCUAGCUUAUCACAUAUUCAUCACUUAUGCUAGCUCAUCACAUAUAUUCAUUACACAUGCUAACUUAUUGCAUAUGCAUCACGUCUGCUAACUCAUCACGUAUUCAUCAUAUAUGCUAGCUUAUCACAUAUUCCUCACAUAUGCUAGCUCAUCACAUGUUCAUCACAUAUGCUAGCUCAUCACAUGUUCAUCACAUAUGCUAGCUCAUCACAUGUUCAUCACAUAUGCUAGCUCAUCACAUGUUCAUCACAUAUGCUAGCUUAUCACAUAUAUUCAUCAUGUCUGCUAGCUCAUCACGUAUUCAUCACGUCUGCUAGCUCAUCACGUAUUCAUCACGUCUGCUAGCUCAUCACGUAUUCAUCACAUAUGCUAGCUUAUCACAUAUAUUCAUUACAUAUGCUAACUUAUCACAUAUUCAUUACAUAUGCUAGCUCAUCACAUAUUCAUCACAUAUGCUAGCUCAUCACGUAUUCAUCACCUAUGUUAACUCAUCACAUAUUCAUCAGCUAGCUUAUAAGUCGGAGUCACCUCUAGUGAACUAUACGACGUAUUCAUAUCUCAUUAAUCAUGGCUAGCAUGUAAGUCGGAGUCACCUCUAGUGACCUAUACGACACUAUGCCUGCACACGAGUUGGAACCACUGUAGUGGUCUAUACGAUAGGACUGGGUAUAAAUGUAUACGCUCAAGUGCUACAAUCACAUGAAGAGUCACCUACGAGUCGGAACCACUUAUAGUGGUCUGUACGACAGGCCUGUGCACCUACCUUGAAUUCAAGGUGAACAUAUGGUGCGGGAGGUGAACAUUACGUGAAGAACUAUGCUCUGGCCACGGGCGGGAGCACUAACAUCGGGGUGUAGGUUUAUGAGCUUUAAAUGCAUCUAAUACAACAUGUACGACUCAUAAGCAACAUGUACGACAAUGCCGGAGUUGCCUACUAUUGCAACCUGUACAACAAUGUCGGAGUUGCUUAAAACAUAAAUGUAGUCAUACCAUAACCCCAUUAAUUCAACUAAUACCGUAUACUUACCUGAACUUACCUGCGCCUCCUCAGCAUUGUUUAACACAACAUAAUUCAAAACAAUGUAACACUUAGAAUAUAACACAUUUUAGAAUAGCAUGAAUUGCAUAACCCAACUUAAAACAUUUUUGGAAACCAUAAAGCAUAUAUAUAUAUACACAUAAACAAAUGCCCACUCACAUUGCUCAAUUCCCCAAACAAUGCUAUUGUCUCAAUUAUUUAGUCUUAUUUAUUAUAUGGCUGCAUCUAACGUCUCGCUAGACUGCCUACGUACCCUAAACAGGGAUCAAGCCAUUCGUAGUUCAUAGUAAUUGUAAGUCAUAAACAAUUAUAGACGUUUAUGGAAUUAUCAAUCACACACACACACACACACACACAUAUAUAUAUAUAUAUAUAAUAUACGAUGGAAAGGAAAAGACCCACUCACCUGAGGCCCACGCUAUGAUCCUCUAGCACGCACAUCUAGGCGUCCUGAACGAUGGGCGCCUGUGACCAAUUAUAGAAUCACAUCUCAGAACUCUUAUCAAUAGAAUACGUAAUUCACAUAAAGCAAAUCCUCAAGGACGUUCUAAAAUAGUUUGAGACCCAUUGACCACAAGUCAACCGUCGAUCGAAGUUCGACGGUUGGGUCCACAACCCUGUAAAACUCGAUCCGGAAGAUCCGUAUCUCAAAUUCCUAAUCCACAACCUCCAAAGAUCCAAAAUAUACUUCUAGAAUAACAUACUAAAAUUUUAUUACGAUCCAACGGUCAGAUCUCCUUCAAUUGCCCAAAACUAAGUGACGGUUAAUAUUUAUUUUAUAAACUUACAAAUCCAGUUCGAGAAGAUCUGUACAUCAGAUUCCCAUUCUGUAAGUUCCUAUGAUCCUGAAGUAUUAUGCACUAUAAUGUAUUAAAGUUUGGUGAUGAUCCAACGGCCGGAUCGUCAAUUUAUAUUUUGACCUAUUCACGUGUCGAAAUGAAACUAAGCCCAAAUAAUGAAAUUACGUCAUACGGAUAUCAAUUAUGAACCCAGGGAAUCUAAUAGCACUUAAAUAAAACAUCAUUGGCUCACAGGCCACGUGCCGCCGCGGGUGGCGGUUGGCCGCCCCGACUCUCCGGAAAAUUCAACUAUUUUUAAAAAUUCUCAAAAAUUACAGAAUUGAAGAUCUCAAAUAUUAGAGUAAACUUUAUACCUGUGGCCAAGUCCCAUUUGGCCUAGAAAGGCUCCAAUUUUUCUAAAACCGUACGAAACCCUAGAAUUAGGUGUGAUUCGAUUCGACCUCCAAACUUGCUUUGACGCCUCCACCAUUACUUGGGCUUUGUUCCUGGGUUCUAGGGGAGUGUUUUGGUAGUGGUAAUUGAAGGAAAACGUUUCACAAAUGGGUGGAUUUCGAGUAACCUUUCCUGCGGCACCCAUGGUGGUUUUUCCAGCAAACUUCAACCAAAUUCCUUUUAAUUUUGGGUGGAAAUGGAAGAGGGAAGGUUAUGGAGUAGGUUGCAGGUAGUGGGAAGGUUUGAAUUGCCUGAAAAAUUGCCAAAUUUGGCCGUGUGCUUGUUUGGUCGAACGGGUCAAGGGGGAAACCCGGUUUCCCCUUUCAUUUUAUUUUUCCUCCUUUCCCUCCUUUCUGCCUUCUCUAGUUGGUCACCUCCUCCUCUCUCCUCUCCCCAUUCGUCUACCCUUUCUCUCUAUAUUUUUUGACUGGGCAGUAGCCCUUUCUUUUUCUUCCUUCCCCCGUUCCCCACACUUCUUCCCCUAUUCUUCCUUUUUUCAAAAUAACUAAAAAAAUGAAAAAAAUAAUUAUAUACAUUAUAAAAAUAUAUGAAAAUAUAUAAAUAGUGACUAAAACCAAAAUACUUCUCGAGUACUUCAGGAAAACGCUAAAUGAUUAAUUCAUACACUUCACUAUAUACUGAUCCACGAAAGUCAAUACCCUCGCCUCUAAAGGUAUUUUAGUAAAUUCACAUUUUCAAAUUUAUAAAAUAAUAAAAUUUGGGACGGGUUGUCACAAUCUCUCUGCUGCUACUUUUGUAAAUUUAAUUUUCUAGGGAAGCAUCUGUAAACAUGGAAAUUCAUGCGAUGAACAAGACAAGAACAUGUGUACAAAAUAAUAUUUGUAUUGAUGAUUUAAGGGUUACAAUCUCUUCUACAAAUUUAGCAUCUGAUUCUAUUUUUGUAAUGGGUAAUUUUGAUGUUGUUGAUCCAAAGGGUCGUCGGGGCUUGAUCUUUAGGAUGAACGGAUGAUGAAUGAUGAACACUUUCUUCAAGGGCCGUCUGGGCUUGAUCUUGAAUUAGUGGAAGUUUCUUCAAGGGUCGUUGGGGCUUGAUCUUGAAGGAGGAUUUUGACGAAGAACGAAGAGGGCUCUCUUGAUUCUUCGGGAUUUGCUUGAGAGCUUUAGAGUUUCAAGGCUUCAAGGCUUUGGUGUGAUGUGAAUUCUCUUCCAAUUUGGGAGUAGAGAUAAUGUAUGUAAAAUCCUCCCUAUUGCUUGAUGGAGAAGCCUAUUUAUAGGCUUUGAGAAUGAAUCAACACCAUCCAUUUGUUUGGUGAAGUAAGUGGAUGUUGUAGGUAGGAUGAGUGUGUGUUGUAGGUGAGGUGAGUGUAUGCUGUAUGUGAAGUGAGUGUAUGAUGUAGGUGAAAUGAAUGGGGGGUUGUAAUUUUAAUACAAUUGUCAAUACUUAUUUCACCGAAAUUUCAAUGUCUACAAAUGCCCCCACUUCAAGGCGCGUUGUAUACAUGUGAUUGUCACGUGUAGAAGAUGCGUUUUGAAGUCCCUUAAUGUAGAUGUCGAUCCAAGGGCCGUGAGGCUUAAUCUUGAAUUGGGCUGGGAGUUUCUUCAAGUGCCGUUGAGGCUUGUUCUUGAAUUUUGUUUGAAAUUUUUUCAAGGGCCGUUGAGGCUUGAUCUUGGAUGAAAUUUGGACCACAAGGAGCUUCAUGUGGUAGAUGAUCUUUGGCUUUGGUAAUGGAUGAAUCGGCACAUAUUUUGUUGCGCUUGUUGACUUUCCACAACUUUGAUCUUGAACUAAGUUGGAGGGUUUUCUAGUUUCAUCCAAAGGACUUUCCACAUACUUAAUCUUGAACUGGAUUUGAUUCAAGGGUGGUGGACACUUGAUCUUGAAUCGGACUUGUGAUUUCUUCAAGGGCCGUUGAGGCUUGAUCUAUAACUUAAACAUGACCACGAGCAGUUUCAGGAUUUGGACACAUGGCAAGUAGGCACGAGAUGGAGAUGAUGGUCUGCUUCUUUUUUUCAAUCUUUCCAAUUCAUAUUGAAGAAGGUCAGGGAGGGGAUAAGGUCAGAUGUUACAAAAAUUUUCUUUGAAAGAUCAAGGAAGUUCGCAGCAUUUUCAUAUGAACCCUGAGCAGUUUGGUUGACGGUAUGAUCUUCAAGGGUUGUCGAGACUUUGCUCUUCGGAGACAGUGCGAGUGAAAGGUUGUUGAAGCUUCUCGAGCUCUUUGAUUAUAGCAACGAUGGUGGGCUUGAAUUUGACUUAGACUCAUGUCAAUCAGCUUCGAAAGCUUCAUUUACGGGCGUUGUGCUGCAGUGAUUUUUUCCUGCUUAUCAUGCUGCAUUCUUGUCUGCUUGUUUUUUUCGCCUAGCAGAAGUAGCGCAACCCUUUGCCUUUAAAUGGUCUUUCAGAGCAUCACUUUUCAGCCACUUAUCCAUGCUUGGCAGCUUCAGUGUAAAGAGCCAACACUAUACAACUGUCUUGAAGUAUUUACAGAGGGAAUUCGAGACCUGUCAAUAGUUGAAGAUGAGCACUCGAGAGCAAUGCUAGGCAAACAACCAGGCAAAGGUUCCGAGCAAUCAGUUCCCAAUCGGAAGUUUGAUUUCGGGUUCCGACUGAUUGCUUUCUUUCUCCUUGUUCUGCAGGCAAGAGCAAGGGCAAUGGAAAAGAUAGGAGGAAAACAUGAUAUGAGAUACUUUUGCUUUCGACCCUAAUGAUAUGAGAUACUUUUGCUUUUGAAGAAGUAGCAGACGAUUAGCACAUGUAUUUGUUGUGCUUGUCUCCACAUGCUUCGAUGCAUCAUUUUCACUUGCUUCUUCUGUUCUUCGGGUAGGUGUGGUAUCUUCUCUGGAAGCAUAAGAUGUUGAAACAAUGGGUAAUUCGAGAGCAGUGCUAGGUAAGCAACCAUGCAAAGGUUCCAGGCAAUCAGUCCCCGAUCGGAAGUUUGAUUUCAGGUUCCGACUGAUUGCUUUCUUUCUCCUUGUUCUGCAGGCAAGAGUAAGGGCAAAUGGAAAGACAGGGGAAAAGCAUGAUAUGAGAUACGUUUGUUUUCGACCCUGAUGAUAUGAGAUACGUUUGCUUUUGAAGAAGUUGCAGAUGAACCAACACGUAUUUUGUUGCACUUGUCUCCACAUGCUUCGAUGUAUCAUCUUCACUUGCAUCAUCUGUUUUACAAGCAGAUGUGGUGUCUUCCUUAGAAGUACAUCAACGAUUGAAGAUAAGUACUUGAGAGCGAUGCUAGGUAAGCAAUUAGGGAAGGGGUUUCCAGUCAGCCGGUUCCAAGUCGGAAGGUUGAUUCCAAGUACCGGUUGAUUGCUCUAUUUCUCCUUGUCCUGCAGUGAAGAUGGAGGACAAAUAAAAAGAUAGGGAGAAAGCAUGCUAUGAGAUACUCUUGCUCUCAAUCCUAGUGAUAUGAGAUACCUUUGCUCUGGUGUGACUUGGUUGAAGAGGUGUUUCCAGGGAGGAAGAAAACUGAGUAUGUUGAGAGGUUUGGUUGUAGAUGUAUUCUUGGCAAGGAAGAAGAGUCAGACGUUUGUAUCUUCAGGGAGGAAGAAAAAUGAGUAUGUUGAAGGGUUUGGUUGCAGAUGCAUUCGGCAAGGAAGAAGAGUCAGGCGUUUUGGAUGUGUGCCUUGCUAUAGAGGAUGUAGGUCGAAUUAUAUGGUGUUUUCCCAAUAGCAAGUGGUAGUGCGAAUGCGGCCUUGUUACCCAUGCUUGUCGGCCAAAAGUGUGGUAGUUGGAAUAAUGGACUUCGCACGUUUUCAACUUUGUCAGUGAUCUUUGACAAAGUUGCACGUGAUAGCCGAAAGCUGAGAUUGCGUCUGAAAAGUGUUGACGGACUUUACGUAGGAAAUUCCGUGUUUUGAAAUUCGAAGAGUGGUGUCUCUUUGAUUUUUUGAACAAGUGGUUGUGUUGCCUUUCCUUUUAAAGAGGUGUCAAUCGUAUUCAACAUGCACAUUUUAAAGAUUGCCCGCCCUUGAAAAUUGUCUUUGCUGUAUUUCUGAGAUUUUACUCACUCCAACCCUUUUCUUUUACCAUUUUUUUGGAAAUAGCAUACCCGUAUAACAUUUGCUUAGAUUUGAGUUUCGGGAAUGAUACAGGUGCGCAACGUUAGGUUAAUAUAUGGCGCCCGUCCUUCUUUUUUUCUAAUGGCCCUUUUACAGUUGAAGACUCUGUGAUGAGGGAUGCAACAACGGCUAUGGUUGUAGCUAGGAACCUCCUCACUCCUAGAGAUAAUAGGUUGCUUUCAAGGCGGUUCGAUGAGUUGGCUGUCCAAGACUCCAUAGCUCUCAGUAUUCAGUGUGCGGGCUUUGUGUCCAAUAUGGGCUAGGGUUUAUUUGCUCGAACUUGCCAAGUUGAAUCAUUGACGGCCGAGGUUGAAAGCCUUGGACGAGAGAUCAAACGUCUCAAGCGCGAGAACAGAAAGUUGCAUGAGCUUGCAAAUAAUUAUUCAACCAGCAUGAAGAGAAAACUUGAUGAGCUGUAGGAAUCUGAAGGUCGGAUUCAAAGUGACCAUCUGAAGGCCAGAAUACUUCUUUCAAGCCAUAAAUGAUAUAUAUUCCUUCAAUCGUCACAUCACCAUCACCAUUUGCGUCCUUUCAAGCCAUAUAUAUAUAUAUAUAUAUGUGGAAGUUGAUCAUCCCGUCACCAUCACUGUGUACACAUUGUAUAUAUUUAUAUAUGGAACUUGGUUGCCGUGUCUUACACACACACACACACACACACACACACACAAUACCAUAUAAUGUGUCUAUUUUUAUGCACAGUGUGUUUGUGCUCCCCCACUGAUGGAUUUCUUUACUGUGAUGCCAGGAAAUCUUUUAAAUUUAAGAAGGCAGAGCAUGACGUCGAGACCCUUAUGAAGCUUUCAGAGGUGUGAUUGUUGGUGGCGGAGUGAGCAGGUUGCCUACUGCUUAUGCUAGAGACUGCAACGGGGUUUCGAUGUGUAGUGCCUUUUAAUCAUAGUUUUCCCUUGGUGGUGCGCUGCCGUAUGGUGCUAUGCAAGAGUCUGCAGCGGGGCUUCGCUGCGUAAUGCCUUUUGGUCAUAGUUUUUUCUUGGUGGUGACGUCGACGUGCGGUGCAAGAAACUACUUGCGUAGUCACUGCGGGUUUGCGUAGUACGAUUACGUAGCAUUUUGGUUUCCUUUGCCACUGUAGCAUGCCUUGAAGGACCAUCCUGUAGCUGCCAUCUUUGCCGCUGCUGCUUGGAGCCUGUUCCAGUGUGUCACCUUUACCGUGUGGGGUUGUGUAAAAGAUUGCAGCAAGUUUAUGCUGUGUAGUGCCUUUUGAUAUAGGUUCCCUCUUUAAUUGGAAAUUAGAUCAUUCUAGGAAAGGGAAAUAAAUUACUUCUGAAGUCUAUUUAAGUCUACAUUAAGUAAAUGAUUAAAUCAACUUCAAAGAGCAAUUUAUUCUACCCUACAAGAGAGAGAAAGCUAGAGGAUAUUUGUUCCUCUUCCCCUAGCAAUCUUCUACACUUGCCCGUGCAAAAGACCAUCUUUCGUUGCUUUGUUUAUCUUCUCCACGCCAUAUCGUGGUAAGAAAAAAAAAUUCCUUGUCUUCUUCUUGGAUAGUGCUGUCGCGCUGCAGCACGUCGGCUCGGCAUGGGCCGAGGAGGUGUUAUGGCAGAGACCACCGCUUAGGCUGCUCGGCUUGGCUAAAACCAAGGGCAGCUGUGUGGCAGGGGCUACAGAUUGAGGUACUAGGGCGCAGUGCUAGGCGAGCUGCAUUGCUUAUGUCUUUUGGGGUCUUGAACCUGACGUGGGCCAAGCCGGCGGUUAAGAGAAAUGAGGAGAUUGUAGCCCUCAUGGGCUAUUGGAAUGUUGGACAUCCAGGCCUCCUGCUUGCUGGUCUAAGAGAAUAAAUGAGGGAAAAGCCAAUAUGGGUUGAGCUCCCCUGCUGAGUACUGUGAAUGGCGUUAGCUGCUUAGUCAUCUUCGUCGGGAGAAAGGUGGGCUGCUCUUAAAAGAGGAGAUAGGAUUACGGCGGAUGCAUUGGCUCGUCUGAUCGCUGUCAUGGAGCCUAUUAUGAAUGAAAGUGUAAAGAAGAGAUUUUUCCAGCCUGCUCAAGAGAUGACGGUUGAGAAAAAACUGAAGACUUCCUCCGCUGCUCGUGAGAGUCCGCUUAUUGCCGAAAAGCAUAUGAUUGACUUGACUUGUUACAAUGAGAAGAAAAAUUAUGCUGCUAGAUCUGAGCCUGUGACGCCUGCUAUGCCGAAAAUGGCUAGUAUGAAUGCUAAUAGGAUUGCUCAGCAUAGAGGUUCUGUCAUGCCCUCAGUGCCCAAGUGUGUACCAAGACGUUCGUUGGGAGCUAAGAACAGUUCACCUUUGGAAAAGCUUGCUACUAUAAAGAGCGAUAAGGUGGACUUUGCUGCUAAAGUGGCACCAAGGCAUAAUCAUCCUGCUGCUGAGACUGGUUCGUGUGCUAAGAAAGAGGAGACUGCUCGAGUGAGCAAUUGUGAGAAAUCCAACAAGCCUAUUUCUAGAGAAGCUGCUGAGAUCUAUGCGCUUUUGAAGCCAGAUCUGCACGAAGAUAUGGAUAUGUGUGCCAAGCUUGUUAAUGGCGUUAGAGGGGUUAUUUGUCCAAGUUCGUUUGUGAACCAUACGACCCAAUAUAAAAAGACUUAUCUGCUUGCUAUGAUGCAGAAAACGACAAUUUUGGCAGCCGAGUUUAUGCUUAAUAACCAAGAGGAUACCAAGACUGCCAAAGAGGUGGCAAAAACUAUAGCAGAUGAAGCUUAGAGGUUAUAGUUUGAGCUCGUUCUUUGAAAGGGUCUAAUGUAUAUGCCCUCACUUCUCUGUAGCUUGAGACCGCUCACCAAGAAUGUCACACCCUGAUCCCAACAUACGUCGCAAAUCAACACGUGACAAAGAAAAAAUAACAUUCGUUGAAUAUGACAUACCAUACGGAAUGAAAUACUUUAACUGCAACCCAAACUAAAAAAGAAGGUGGCUAAGUUCUUCACAAGAUAUUUACGAAUAUGUACAUCCCAAAAAGAAGCAUAAUCUUUGCUUUACUAAGAACAAGAACAAGUUUGAAGUGCUCAAAAGAAAGUCCCAAAAGAUACAGUACAAGGUGAAUCAAGGGUAACCUAACGCUCCACAUCUCUGAUAACCACACUACUACCCCCACCUACGGACUUCUCGGAGUCUACUCAAACCUGUCACCUGUAUGAUCACUGCCUACACCAUCGGAAUGGUGCAUUGGGCAAACAUCAACCCGGAUAAGCUGUGAAGCUCAUGUGAGUGACAAUAAUACAAAGUAUGUGAUACAAUAAUAAAACCAAUCGUUAAUCACAAUUUAUAAACCUUGAAUAUAAAUCAUGCAUGAGAAAUCAACACCAAACUUUUGAAAACUCUGAAUAAGUCACCCCAGACAUUCAACGAUUCGUCUGAAACAAUCACAACAUCUCACAACCAUAUUCUCAUACAACACAAUGAAAGGUAGGGUUAGGGCAACAUAGUUCAGCCGAAACCUACACCUUUGAAGCUAUCUCAAUCCAAACUCAAUAAAACCCAAGGUGGAUACGAUCCCGGACCAUCACUCUAUGGAAUCGCAGAGUAUGAGGGAUUCCAGAUCAUCUCUCAACGAAAUUCGAGUGAAUAUGAUUCCAGACCAUCACUCCAUGGAAUCGCAAAGUAUGAGGGAUUCUGGACCAUCUCUCAAUGGAAUCCAAGUGAAUACGAUUCCGGACCAUCACUCUACGGAAUCGCAGAGUAUAAGGGAUUCCGAACCAUCUCUCAACAGAAUCCGAGUGAAUACGAUUUUGGACCAUCACUCAACGAAAUCACGGAAGGCCAACAACCAUAAUGUAUAACGGCUCAAAGAAAUGAGAUGAGACAAGCACAAGUUACUUAAUUUACAAAAGCUCAACUAAGGGAAAUAAGGCACAACUACUAAAUUUAGAACGAAUCAACGAAGCGGGAAAUGAAACAAUAUCGAAGCAACAAUCCUCUUCAUAAUGGGUUAUGGCCCACCAUUAGCCUUCACAUUUCAUCACAUCAUGCCAAUCAAACAAAUCAAACCAUAUUUCAAUAUACAUACAUCAAAUCUCAUUUCAUAACUUGAAUCAAUGGCUAAGCAUUCAAAAUAACAAUUCAAUAGAAAACAUAUAUAUAAAACCAAGUCAUAUCUACACAUGAUAACAAUUACGAAAACAAGGUAAUCACCAAUAUCACAUAUGUUAAAGUCACUCACCUAGAGUCCACGCUAAUGCACCCUAGCAUGAGAGUCAAGGCAUCACGUUCUAUCACCGCCUAAACAAGGUACAAGUCCAUAUUUAGAUUUCAUUCGAUAAUUCACAUACUUAAAAACUCUCAUAUGUCUCCCACAACAACAUUUAAUGAGGAAUCGAACCGUCAUUCUAAGAAUAGGGUCCAUGAUCUUUCAUCACUUAUUCUGUAAGAUCUAAUCACUGGGUUUUCACUUAUAAGUUCCUAAGGUCCUUAAACAAUAUCUACCAAAGCAUACUAAAAUUGGGUUUCAAUUCAAUGGUAAGAUUGUUAGUUGCUAGAAUAAUCAAUUGGUGGACCUUAUCGAUAAUAUACUCAACCAACAGCAUUUUCAUAAAUCGAAUGUCACACAUCGGGAAAUUUGACUUUUUCCAAAAAUUCUCAAAUUUUACAAGAAUGAAGAUCUCAACAAGUAGAGUAAACUUUAUAGCUGUGGCCGAGUCCAAUUUGGCCGGGAAGGACCUUAAAUUCGCUCGCACCCGUCGAAACCCUAAGGUGGGUGUUCUUCAAUUCGGCUUCCUUGGUGUUCCAACGCCCCACCCACCAGUUGGGUCUUGUUCCUAGGUCCAAGGGAAGUUGAUUAAGGGUUAUGAUGAAUGGUGAUACUCUCCGGAACGACAAUUUGUCGUCGAGAACCCCCGGGUUCUCCUGUGGAGUUCUACCCGAAUUAGGCCUUAAAAAUCCUUGUUUUUUGGGGGAGAUGGAAGGAAGAAGAUAAUUGAGCAAGUUGCAGGUGAAUGAGAUAGGAAAAUCAUAUGAGAAAUGGAGGAAUUGGCCUGAAAUUGGCCGCUUUGAAAGUGUGCUGGUGGAGCACACGGGUUCACAAAUGGGGGAGGGAGGAUUUUUUGCUUUUCUCCCUUUACUUGGUCCUUUCUACCCCCAAAAAAUCUGAUUGUCCCCUUUUUAUUAUUAGACUAACUUAAUUUUUAGCCCACAUGUGGAAUUUAAACAAUUCCCACAAUCUAUAGUUCACAACUUCAAACGUCAGUAACUAUACCGUUAUAAUUCGGACUCGUAAACGGUUUUCGCCUAUGCGUUCGUGGGUUCGAGAUCUAUUUAAAAACACUAGUUGUAACUUUGAAAUAUCAUCGAAAGAUAAGGAUUGAUUAAGAAACUUCCAACUCGAUAACUAACCAAUUACUAAACUUAAAAUUAACGGAAUUGAAAUUAACUAAUAAAGAUAACGUAAUCGCGAAAUACGAAUUUAAAAUACGAGAUACGUAAUGAAUGGUGAAAUUCCAGGGAUGGGAUUUCACAAAGAGAUCGUUGACUUGAAUAAUAGGCUUAACGCGAUCCAAGUUAAGCAUGAAAGUGCAGAGAAUGAGAUUGGAUGUUACAUACCUCAGAUUCAAGAUCUUAAGCAUGUUGUUUCUGAGCUUCUUUUCGUUGCUUACGCAAAGGAUGAAGAGUUGAUUGUUGCCUAUAAUCAAGUGAUCCACUUCAAGAAGAUCGUCGAUAGGCUUGAACCCUAAGUGUUGGAACUCCAAGGUGCACUGAAGAUCAAUGAAAGUCUGAAGAAGGAAGUGGAUGAACUGUAGCACGUCCGUGUUGGUUUGCUCGAGGAGAAUGAACAGCUGAAGGGUGAGAAGUCUAGGCUCGAGGCUUCGCUUUUUCAGAGUCGGGCUGAUUUCUACAAGCUAGGUUAUGUAAAUUAUCUCUUUGGUAGGUCUUUUGACUUUGAGUUUGCUAGGAAAGAUUUCGAGACCUUCUCUAUUUCUCCGGAAGACUUGAUUGCCUUUACUUUUGAGGCUUCCAUUGGUGAAGUAGUCAUAAAAGUUGGUUCCCAAGCUGGAGCAGCUGGGGAUGAAGCGUUGGAUGAUGCCACUGCUGAGAACAUUGCAGAUACUAAAGGUGUGGCGACCGAGUAGUCGUGGGAUGUCCAAGCUUUAGUGCACUCGGUAGCAGCUUUAGGGUUCCAAGGCAACCAUCCAUAGGGCGUACUGCGUAAUGUGUCUCCUCCAUCUCUGAGGCCCGAUCCCCCAAGGAUUUCUGAAUUCCUCGUUGAAAAAAUAGUGAAACAAAAGAAAACUUAGCUGUAAGGUAGGAACUGCAUAACAACUGGAUAGUUAUCGGCUUGUGAGGUGGUGCCCGUCGAGCUGCUUGAGCCUUUGGGCUUUAAUGUAGUGGGAGGUCACACAUGGUACUUCCUCAUAUUGUAGGCAUUCCACUGUUUUUCGAUCUCUUUGUUGUUCAUGUUGGCAAGGGUGUAGCUACCCUUGUCGCCUACUUUGUUAAUCUUGUACGGACUUUCCCAGAUGGGAUUCAUCUUUUUGGAUCCUUCUCUGCGGGCAGUGAUGAAGGCUUUUCUUAGGACUAGAUCUCCAGGCUGAAACUGCCGAAUCUUGGCUCUUUUGUUGUAACUGGAGAUGAGCUGCUGCUGGUAGGCUGCGAUACGAGUGAUGACCUUAUUGAGUUUCUUCUCUGCCAGAUCUAAGUUUGUGGUCAUCUUCUUUCUGUUUUGCUCUAUGCUUGUCAUUAGAGUGUUGAUACUUGGCAUGAUGAUAUUGGAAGGAAUGAUUGCUUCUGAAGCAAAUGCCAAAGAGAAAGAAAUCUCACCAAUUGCUCGUCGUAUGGUUGUGCGAUAUGCCCAUAGACAUCCAGGAAGUUCAUCUGGCUAUUUUCCCUUCUUGUCAAAAAAGGAUUUCUUAAGGCACUCGAGAAUCAUCUUGUUAGAUGCUUCGGCCUGCCCAUUGCCUUAGUGAUACCUUGGCGUGGAUAUGUGCUGCUUAAUGCUAUAUUUAUGAAAGAACUUCGCCAAAUUUUUGCCAACGAAUUGCAGGCCAUUAUCUAUGACGAUGGAUUGAGGGAUGCCAAAUCGGCAAAUGAUGUUUCUCCAUAUGAAGCACUCUAUGUUUGUCUAAGUUAUGGUUGUCAUGGGCUCUGCUUCCACCCACUUAGUGAAGUAGUCAGUUGCCACGAUCAUCAUGCCUCUGCCCCCAGUAGCGGGCGGCAUUAGCCCUACCAAGUCGAUUGCCCACUGCAUGAACGGCUAAGGAUUCGUCUGUGGGUGUAGUUCGUUGGCAGGCAGUGCUGGUACCGGCUUGUAGUGUUGGCAGCGGUCGCACUUUUGUACUAACUCAUUAGCGUCUUGAUGCAUAGUAGGCUAGUAGUAGCCUGCGUUAAGAGCCUUCUGUUCUAAGGAUCAGCCUCUAAAGUGAUUUCCACAAACACAUUUGUGGAUUACACUUAGAACCUUUAGGUUGUCAGGAGGUGCUAGGCAACGGAGAUGUGGUCCAGUGUAAGAUCUUCGGACGAGAAUGUCGUUCCACAUGUAGUAACGUGUUGCUUUUGUUUGAAACUUUCUAAACUCCAAUCUUUCCAUGGGGAGUGUGCCAUUGACCAAAUAGUCUAUAAUGAAAUCUUGCUAGUUUGGAGUUGUACUAACCUGUGACACCUCGGCUACUGGCUCCACCUUUAUGCUUGGCUUGUCUAAAUAUUCCACCGAAAUAAAGUAUUUGCGUUAGCGAUCGAGGGCAAAGCCUAAGCCGGCUAGUGCGUCCAUAUAGACGUUGUCUGCCGGCGGAUCUUGAGUGAAGGUGUAAGUCCUAAACGCCUCAAGUUGAUUUCGUACCUUCCCUAGGUACUGCGCCAUCUUUAGAUGUUUUGCCGAGUACUCCCCAGUAGUCUGGCUGGUGAUUAGCUGGGAAUCAUAAUGAAUUGCAAGCUUUUUCACCACCAAGUUUUUUGCUAUUCGGAUGCGUGCUAGUAAGGCUUCGUACUCUGCUUUGUUGUUAGACGUUUUGAAGCCUAUAGUGAUUGCCUACUCAAGCAUCGAACCGUCUGUGGUGACAAGGACCACGCCUGCUCUUGAGCUCUUGUAGUUGGAUGCACCGUCGACGUGCAAAUGUCAGAAGUCUCCAUCGGGUGAAGCAGGUGUGGCUAAGGCGCGCUCGGUUGCCUAGGAGGCAUUGUUGGGUCACUUUGUUGCGUCGCUUAGGAUAGGCAUGAAGGUGCGAUAAGGAGUUGUGAAGCUAUGGCCAUGUUACACAUAGCACGAGAUGCUCAACUGCCAGUAUUGGGCCACUCUAGAACUGAAUUAUGAAGCAAGGGUUGGCAAGGGCCGUGUGACGUGUAGCAGGAGGUGGUGCUUAACUGCCGGUACAUGUUGCUCCUAUGUAGAAUCUUUUGGUGCGACGAUGACAAAACUUGUUUCCGAGUGUGUCUUUCUAGUGUUCGUUUACCCUUGGCGCGCCUUUGGGGCUGAGUUGUUGUGUUCGUAAAAAAACGUUGCAUUUGCCAGUGUCUGCACCUUUAUCGCAGCGCGUCUGGAUUUGGUGGAAUAGUGUAUCAUAAGGAUGACUGCAUGCACCUGAAGGUAUAACUUGAGCUUCCGGGUUGCAACAAUUGUCACUAAAGUUGGCUUUUGAAUUUAUGGUAACUGGUUUUCGCAUUGAGGAGAGUUUUUGAACUGCUGAAUACAGGUAGUCGGGCCCCCAACUCUUCUCAUGUGAGGGCAGAGCUUAUUGCUACUUUAGAUACCGUCAAACAUCUAAAUAGGUUCUCCGCUGCUUCCGGUUUGGAUAGUAGGGAGGUGAUGCCAGGUACUUCUUCAGGUCUUUGAAUGCUUUCUUACACUUGUCGUCAUGUUCGUCUUAUUGCUCUUUUUCGAUUGAGUAAAAAAAAAGUCUCACGUUGAUCGGUGGACUGCAAGGGUAAAAGGUUGAGUACGGCUACUCAUCUGGUCAGACCUUGAAUCUCCUUCAGAGUAGUGGGGGAGAUCGCUCGGAUUUACCUUGAAUGUGCAUCGGUGAGCCUCGUCCCAAAGUGCAUGCUUAUCUACCAGAGCGAAAGAAUUUGCUAGAUUUAAAUCUUCUUUCAGGAUCAAGUUUUAGAACAACAGGUAGUCUGUUGAGAGUCAUUUUUAGAAGGCUGCACUAGCUAUCGAGUUGUUGCAUCCGACUAUCUUUGCCUUCUCUACUUUGAACCUCUUCAUAUAGUAGUGAAUCAACUCCUUUGGGUUCUUCUUGACAUUGAACAAGUGGUCGGACUUCUUCUUGAUCGAGCAUUAUGAUGAAUAUUCUUUGGUGAAAACCAAAGAAAUUUCGUCGAAACUCCAGAUGGAUUGUGGCGGCAGGGUAACCAAUUUUGCACCUCGCCUUAUAGAGCGGUGGCGAAUAUCUUGCCCAUGAGAGCAUCGCUGUUCUGAUAAAGGAUCAUUAUGCUUCGGUAGUACUUUAGGUGUCUCUCCAAGUCUCCAUCCCCUUUGAAGGAUAUGAAAUGUGGCAUACUGAACAUACGUGAAGGCUUUGCCUACUCGAUCUUGUCCGUAAAGGGUGACCAGCUUAUAUUGGUCAUGUCCCAUCGUAGCGCCUCAUCAGUGACCUUGUUGCGUUGGAAAUCGUGUAAUCACUCGAUCAAUGGUCUCUCUACUUCUUCAUGAAUUUUUCUUCGUUGGGGUAGCGAAGCUCUCGGCUGCCCCCGGUCUUAACCUGCUGGUCUAGGCUGCUCUUCCAUAUGUUCGACUCGUCUAUGUCGCGGCUACGGUGCAUGUGGUACAUUCCUAGCAAGCAAACGAGUUCUUCGCAGGCUGCCGGUUGAACUUCAGCUGGAUUGAGUGAUUGCUUCUCUCCGUCCCUCGUGUUGUCUACUCCAAUGUGAGGUGGAAGAUGCUCCUUACAGGCUUAAUCGCAAAUGAACACUUCGCCUGGAAGGUUACUCAUGUUGGUUAUCAAAUUGUGGCCCCAAUCAUGAAUGUAUGCUUGUCAGUGGGCCUAAGCAAAAGUGCACGUUCCUCCGCACGUUAAGACGGAAGUAUUCGUUAUCUCGGGGACCCAGUUGGGAGUGUACAUUGCCAGAACUCUCGCUUCGUGACUAGUCAAGUGGUUGUUUGCCAGGAGGCUGUGGAAGGGGCUCGUCUUUUGCCUUUGUCCUACUUUGGGACACCUCGUCUAGGGCACGUUGCAUCUAGGUGCGCUGCAAUAGCUGAUUCACCAAGGUUGUCUAUUGUGCAAGGGCGCUUGUCAACUCUAUGACUUGUCGAGACAAGUGUGGUUCGCCAUUCGGGUUGGAAGAUCUUGGACGGUAUACCUCUCCUUAAGUUAUAGAACUGUAAUUGACUCCGAGCGCGAAAUUUAAGUUGGGAUAUAUCAAAUCUAUGAAGAAAUGAGGUGAAAGUACCCCUAGUUCAAUCAUCAGUCUAGAAAUCUGAAGUCGGGAUGGUUGAACCGAUCUUAGACCGGUUUGGAUUGCUUGGAAGGCCACGGGAGUGAACCGAACCUCGGGUUAAACCAAGGGAGCGGGUCAGUGAUAUAGAUAACCCUCUCACCUAUUCCAUGCCAUGAAUAGUCCUCAACAAGCUAUAUGGAACACUACAAUGAAUGAGGAAUUAGAAUCGAUGUCAUAUAACAAUGUAUGGACAUUAGUGGCUUCUAAUCCUCAAAUCAAGGCUAUAGAAUGCAAAUGGAUCUAUAAGACCAAGAGAGAUGCUUAGGGAAAAAUUGAGAGGUACAAGGCCAGAUUGGUUGCUAAAGGUUUCACUCAAAGAGAAGGAGUUGACUACAAUGACGCGUUUUCACUUGUCUCUUCCAAGGAUUCUAUGAGAGUUAUAAUGGCACUUGUUGCGCAUUUUGACUUAGAACUACAUCAAAUGGAUGUGAAGACUACUUUUCUCAAUGGUGAAUUGCAGGAAACCAUUUACAUGAAGCAGCCUCAUGGAUUUGUUGAAAGGGGGAAAGAUGACAUGGUCUGUGAUAAGAGCAUAUUUAUGCAACUUAGUUAGCUUGUUUCUUGGCAUUUACUUAGUUUAAUUCUAGUUAUUUUAGUACUUUAAGCUAUUUUUGUGUGUUUGUAGGUUCAAAUAACAAAGUUAGCAACAAAGUGCUAUUUGGAGCAUUUUGGAGCAUUUUUGGGCCAAGAUUGGAUAGUGCAAGCAUGGAGACAUGAGGAUGAACGUUUUUGAAGAUUUGAAGGCUAGAAAUCAGCAUGUGUGUGUGCAAGUGUGUUGACCUACAACUACAAACAUUCAUCCACUACACCCAUUACAUCCACUCAUUACCAAACAUCCAUCCACUACACCCAUUACAUCCACUCAUUACCAAACAUUCACCCACUACACCCAUUACAUCCACUCAUUACCACAACAUACACCACUACCACCUUAAUUAGAUGAUGGUCCUCUCCCUAUCCUAUAAAUACAUCCACCUUUCACCAUAACAAGGGGGGAUCCAUCCAAAGACCUUACAUUCAUCCAUAUAUUCCCACAUCCCCCAAACACUUACAAUUCCAUUCCUUUGCCGUGGCUCUCAUCCAACCUAAAUACAUUCAUAACCUUUCCAUAUAUCCAUACACAUCCUUAGAUACUUGUGCUGCAACAAGGUGGUGAAAACGAAGAUCCUUGGCAUUUCAAGCUUGAAACUUUGGAGCGUUUUAGGUGUACUUCGUUUUUGCUUUUAAUGUCUACUUUGUUAUUUUCUGAUUUUGUUGCAAUUAUGAGUAACUAAACCCCCCAUAGCUAGGGGAAUUCGAAACCAUGUUCAUGCUUGCAAUAUGAUUUGAUUACUUUCAGUUGUGAUUCAUAAGUUGUGAAUUCAAUUUACUUAUCCAUUUGAAUUAAAACUGAUUUGUGUUUAUUGGUUGAGAGUGCACGCUUAAUUUUCAUGCAUAAAUCUGAUGCUAGGAUAUAAGGGAGUUUCACCUAAUCGUUAUGAACUUAUAUUCACAAGUAGUAAAGGUUGCUCGUCACAACCUUGUUAAGUAAAUUCUUGGCAUAAGUUUCAUGCAAUUCAUAGUUACAAGUGUUUCGUCAAUGCUUAGGAUUUUCAUAGAACUUAAUUAUUCUUGCUUGUAUCUCUAUUAUGCAAUUCUUGUGGGGAAUGUUUUGGGUUCUUGUAUGCAAUCAUCCAAUUCAAUGAAAUUAGGAAAAUCUGAGGGUUAAUUAGUGCAAUUCACAGUUAAUAUAGGGCGUUGAGAAUUCGUAGUUUAUUGAAAAGCAACUGGAAAUCGUUUUGUUUGCAAGUGUGUCAUGUGUGGAGAAGAACCUUCUAGCUAGCCUUCCAUCAAUUUAAUUUACUCAAAUUCGUACAGAUUUACUUGUUUUGUUUUCAAAUUCGUCAAAACCAAAACCCCCUUUACCUUGUUGAGUCAUAGUAGUUAGAAACUAAUUUAGUUUGUGUUUUUAAGUGUUUCGAACCAAGUUAAAACCAAAAUUCGUCCAAAAGUGUGUUUAGAGUCCAAAUCAACCUAGUUUGUGUUUUUAGGCAGAUUUGAGCUUUUUUAGCUUGUUUUGAGUCUUUUGAGUUUGUUUUGAGUUCUUUGAGUCUAUUUUAGUGUUUUUAACUUUGUUUAUAUGUUUUUAAGUCAGUUUAGAGGUUAUUAGCAAGCCUUCCUAAUCCCCGGUCCAGAACGAUCCAUACUUACAUUCUUUACUGCAAUUGAUACAAGAGGGUUUAAUUUGUGUGUUAAGUUAAUUUUUGCAUCAGUCUGCAAACUCAACAAGUCUAUUUAUGGAUUGAAGCAAGCAUCAAGACAAUGAUUUUUGAAAUUUGAUCAAGUUGUUACAAGACAUGGUUUCGUGGAAAACAAGUUAGAUGAUUGCAUUUAUAUUAAGUGGUCAGGUUCAAGCUUUAUAAUUUUAGUAUUAUAUGUUGAUGACAUUCUACUUGCGAGCUCUAACUUGAAGCUCCUUAAGGACACCAAGCACAUACUCAGCAAGAACUUUGAGAUGAAAGACCUUGGAGAGGCACACUUUGUGCUUGGCAUUGAGAUUGUCUAUUAUAGGUCCAAAAAGCUUCUUGGAUUAUCACAGAAGGGGUACAUUGAGAGAGUUUUGUUAAAGUUUAACAUGGAAAACUGUAACAAUGGUGAAGUACCUGUGAAUAAGGGAAACAAAUUUUCUAAGGCUCAGUGUCCUAAAAUGAAAUUGAAGCUAGAUAAAAUGCAAUACAAGCCUUAUGCUUCAUUGGUUGGGAGUCUGAUGUAUACAACUAUUUGCACUAGACCGACAUUGUUUUCAUAGUAGGAAUGUUGGGUAGGUUUCAAGCAAAUCCAGGAAAGUCUCAUUGGGUUGCUGUGAAGAAAGUUUCAAGGUACUUUCAAAGAACCAAGAAUUACAUGUUGGUUUAUGGCAGAGAGGAACUUUUGGAGCUAGUUGGCUACACAGAUUCUGAUUUGGGCGAGGAUGUGGAAGACAAAAAAUCCACUGGAAGUUAUAUUUUUAUACUUUGUGGUGGUGCAGUCUCUUGGAAAAGUGCGAAGCAGACUAUCAUAGCAACAUCUACAAUGGAGGCAGAGUUUGUAGCCUGCUUUGAAGGAAUGAAACAAGUUGUAUGGUUAAAGAAUUUUUUGAUAGAUAUGACUGUUGUCAAUUCUAUGCAAAGGCCUAUUAAAAUGUAUUGUGACAACAAUUUUGCAGUAUUCUUUGCCAAGAACAAUAGGAGAACUUCAGCUUCAAGAUUGAUGGAUGUAAAGUUUCUUAAGGUCCGAGAAAAGGUUAGAGAAUGAGCAUUUCAGGUGGAGCACUUGAGUACUGAUGCGAUGAUUGCAGAUCCUUUAACCAAGGUAUUGCCAAUUGGAGUGUUUAAAGCUCAUGUCUCUCGGAUGGGAAUACUUGAAUCAUUUUAUCAAUGGGAGUGAUCUGUUACAAAGUGACUAUCAGAUUGCUGUUGUGAAGUUCAGAGAGCUGGUGCAGCAAUAUAGACAGGUUUUAUGUUUAAAUUUUAAAGAUUAUGGCUAAAUAAAGAUAGUAUCAGGUUAGCUAGCCUUGUUUUCAGUUUAUUUUAUUUUUCGAAUAGAGAUCAGUUAUGUUGGUCUAUUGUUUUGAGAAAUAAAGUUUGAAAUAAUUCAUUUGAUGCUUUUAUAAUGGUUAGUUUGUUUAAAGCACUUGCUGAAUUAUUGAUUCAUAUGUUGUUUUGGAGCAAUGGUUUGUCUUUAAAUCUUGCUGCCAAUGGUAUGAAAUAGUGGGAGCAAAUUAUUACAUGUUUGCUUAUAAAGAUCAGGUUCACAAUGAUAAGAAUACAGAUCGAAUAUAUGUAAUUCUGGAAAACUGUUUUGCAUUAUGGUUGCAAUUUGAGUUACAAAGUUCUAUAUUUUGAAAUGUAUGUAAGUGGUUUGUGAUUGAAUACUCUUGAUACAAGACUUGGUGAUCACUUCUAUCUAAGAAUUGAAUAAGUCGGGUACUUGAAACUGUUAUCAUAGUCAAGUGGGAGAAUGUUAGAAUGAGUAUGAGAUAGAGAAGUUUUAGGGACCGGUUAUGGGUAUUUAGUUUGGUAGAAGAGUCUUGUUGAUAAGAGGUAUGUUGAUCCUUGCUUUAAAAGGAUUUUGUAUAUCAUUCAGAUCUUUUGGAACAAGGAAACAAGUAUCUGUUUCCUAUCAGGAUUUUAAUAGGGAAUCCUAUCUAAUUAUGGAAUGGACUAUAUGUAUAUAUAUAGUUGCCUCUCUUCUCACAUAAUAUAUGCCUAUAUUUGGGAUUGAAACCUAUUUGUAAGUCGCUUGAUGCUUGAUGUAUUUUCCAGGGGAUUUCUAUAAGUCAAAAUCAGGGGAUUUCUGUAAGUCUAAUUCUUGAACAGCCAUUAAGAAUAAGAGUCUCAACUGAUUUUGACUUAAUGAAAUCCCCUGGAAAAUACUCAAGCAUCAUGCAGUCUUGAAGAUUUACCAACGGAAGUCUUUAAGAUGCCCAAUGGAUGGGUGAAUCUCAGACAAUCUUAUACAGUUUACUAAUAUCAGUUUUUCAAGAUUAGGGACUUUGGAAUUCUGGUGAUUCUGUUAGGUAAUAGGACUGACUGAGAUUGAUGAUUUUCAGAUUCUUGAGCAACUGAUAGAAAAAAACAGAACAAAAUAAAAAUUCAAAUAGAAGAGAGAGCAAAAUAUUGGCAUUCACAGAAACUGAGGAAAAUAAUUAAUAAUUUAUUUGAGAUCAUAUCAUACCACGUUAGUAUCCUCCCAAACUCGUAUGAGUUUGCUAUAGCUCAGGUCAACAGCAACUAGGUUUGGUUGAUCAAAAUCUUCACGUAUGACCUUCAGAGGAAAUCCAUGCCAACACAACCAUCUUAACUCUUUGGAAAGAUUGUGGUAACUUCCACAGCUUUAUGUUAUUGAAUUUGAGCAAUCUCAGACUUCGCAUCUUUCUAAAUGCUUCUGUACUGAAACUUGAAUCAUCAGACCCUCACUAAACUAAAGCAAGUCCUUCAAUUGCGACAGUUCCCUAUUCAAGGUAAAAAAAGGAACAAAGUAAGACAGAAUUUAUUUUGACAUGAAAAGAGAAUUUAUACACAUGAAGAAAACUGGAUGUAUGAACUACAAGCCAUGAAUUAGAAUUCAGUUCUGAAUUUCACCAAAUUAGUUAGGUAUCUUAGUCGGCAUCUUAGUCGGCAUCUGUUACACGGUGUUACUUUACCUAUUACAAACCCCAGGUGACAAGAUCCCCGGAAACACACCCUUUUGCCUCACACCACUUUACCACCAUCAUCCAUCCAUUAUUUCCAUUUCUUCCACAACAUCUUGAGCAGUACUGCUUUUAUUCAUCCCUUGGUCAUCAAGAGCUGGAGGAUUACUAAAGUUAUCAUAAUUUGGAUAACUAAUAAUACUGUGUGGGGAAGAAGAUGUGGUAAAAGAAUUUGACCGUGGUAAGCCGGUGAGGCGUUGGACACAGUCGCUGAAAUCGCUAAGGUUUGCUUGGAUGACAUUCAGGUGCACCGAAUAGAUUACGACCGGCUGAUGUGAUUGGUUUUAGUACAACUGGAGGUUUGUUGAUCUAGUGAGAGUCUAUGUGUGUAUCUUGAGAGGCGUUGGACGUGGACCCUUGAGUUGAAGCUCUCUUCUCGGAUAUACAAAUGGAGAUUGGUUGAUCUUGUGAGAGUUUCUGUGUAUCUUGAGAGGCGUUGGACGUGGACCCUUGAGUUGAAGCUCUCUUCUCGGAUAUACAAAUGGAGGUUUGUUGAUCUUGUGAGAGUUUCUGUGUAUCUUGAGAGGCGUUGGACGUGGACCUUUGAGUUGAAGCUCUCUUCUCGGAUAUGCAAAUGGAGGUUUGUUGAUCUUGUGAGAGUCCCUGUGUAUCUUGAGAGGCAUUGGACGUGGACCUUUGAGUUGAAGCUCUCUUCUCGGAUAUUUUUCUGUUGAAUAAUCCAUGCCGUUGAAGGUGAAAUAAGGCUGUAAUCUUUCCCAUUUAUCCAGUUCAGUUUUCCAUUCACUUCUGCUUUUUGUAUGCAGACAAGAACCUAAGACUUCGAGUGCUAAUGGCAAACCUCCACAGUAGCCAACAGCUUUUCUUGAGAGCUCAACAUACUCUUCACCAGGAUAAUUCUUUUUAAAGGCAUGCCAACUAAAUAGCUCAAGAGCUUCUUCUUUGUUCAUUUCUUGCACACGACAUAUCGCCUCCAGAUUAAGUAUCUUUAGCAAAUCUUGAUCUCUUGUCGUUAUAAUAAUUCUACUUCCUGGACCAAAUGAGUCAUGCUUUAUAGCUAAUGCAUCUAACUGUGCAUCGCUGUCUACAUCAUCUACUAUGACAAGUACUCUUUUGUUGCCAAGUCUUCUUUUAAUCUCCUGGGUCCCUUCAUCGACCCCACUAACCUUCAUGUUUCCCGAUCUCAAGAUAUCAGAAAGAAGUUUGUUUUGUGAAUCAACCAGUACCUUAUCUUUUCUCACAUUUGGAAGAAAACUUCUACCAUAAAACAUGUGCUGAUAUUUGUUGAAAAUUACUUUUGCAACAAUUGUUUUACCCAGUCCGCCCAUACCCCAGAUUCCAAUGAUACGGACAUCAUUUGAUCCUCCAACAUCUAAAUAAUUACUGAUUUCUUGCACGCGAGAAUCCAUUCCAACUGGGUGUAUGGCUACGUCCAAGUAAUUGCUUCUCAGUUCUCUACUGAUUCCUUCAUACCUGGUAUAGGUAAAAUUCAAUUCAAAAUUAAGCAAAAGUAAGAUUUACUAAUAAACGGUACAAUUAAAUUGAACUAAAAUCUUACUCAUUAUAACUAGAGAGCUUGGGAGUGGAAGAUUUGAUAGGCCAAAGAUGAAUCAAAAUCUUCGAAAACCAUUAAAGCAUUAUAAAUUUCAGAACUUACAUUUAUACAGGCAUAAAUGUGUAAAAUCAAAUAUUUGAUUCAUGUGGUUGGCUCAAUAUCUGACCACACAUGACACACAGAAUGUGUUCAUAAAUUCUCAUGGAAGAGUCUGGAAGCUCUACAUUGCAAUGAGUAAAAUCAAAUACUCAAAGCCGCAGUUAUAAUAAUUUCAUUGUUUGUUCGACAUUUGAUAAAUAUGAGAGUUAAAAAGACCAAUACCUUACGUAGCCAAUUAAUAACUUUUGUUAGAAAGAACUAAAGGUAGUACGCAUGAUUGUGUACAAAAAAAUGGGCCCGGAAAUUUAAAAAAAAAAAAAUACAGGAAAGGAAAAAAGAAAUAAGAAAGUACCCAUCAGCUCCCAAUAACCAAUCCGGAUGUAGGCCAAAAUCGUAUAGACGAAAGUCUGAAUUAUGCAUAUUCUCCUUCAUAAAUUUGUCCCAUACUAGAUUAACCCCUACUUUCUUCACUCUCACAGAAGCAUCUGCAGUUUCAACAGGCAUUACAACUAUAUCGACCUUGUCCCCUCCUUGCAAACUGAGCACAUGGUUCGAUAUCUGUCCCUGCCAAAGAUAAUGGUCAUCAAGUGUACAGGAAGUUGGUACUGAAGCAUAUGUUAUCCGGGCGAGCAAAGCAGUACGCUUAGUUUUAUUGAUAACGAUAAUGCCGAGAGGACCUUCACGUUGUUUCUUUGAAGAGUAUAUGCAGCACAGAGUCAACCCGCUAAAAUUGUGACCAAAAAUUAGAGGUAUGUGAAAACUGACCAGAUCACCCUUGACAAAAUCAAACCAGUCAGGAAUAUAAUUUCCAUUGAGAAAAAUGCCACCAUAUCCGCAAGAAGUCCAUCCCUGUACGAUGUAGAGCCAGAUUUGUAACAAAAUACAUUGUUAUGUAUGCAUGUGUCAUAUAUAUGUGCUGCUGUGUGUGUGGUAGAAAGAGAAAGAACAGGCUAGAUAGAAAGAGACCUGAAGGAUGUUCUUCCUAAAAUCAGCAGUGAGAUUGAUGCACCCUUCCAAAUGAAUUCUUGUCAUCGAGUUUAAUGACAUAUCCGAGCCCGGAAUCUCUGUGAGUUUGCAUGAAUGACUUAGAUACAACUCUCUCAUAUUCAACAACUCUGAAAAAUCUGGCAUUGUUUCUAAUGAAGUGCACAAACCCGCUCGCAAGACUUUCAAAGUUGUUGGUAAAUUUGGGAUUGCAUGUAGGUUUGUGCAAUCAUCUAAACACAAUGUUUCAAGCUUAGAAAGACCAAUGAGGCUUGGUAGGCUACAAAAACUAUUUUUUCGAAGAUCUAAAUCUUCUAAAGAAAUUAGACUCCCAAGAUCCUUCGGGAUUUCGUCAUCGGUUAAAGUGCAGCAUCCAAGAUCUAAUUUCC
rnacentral:lncRNA from 1 species